GAGAAAUGUUUGACUUCUGGGUUUUAUCGGCUGUUGUUUUGUACCAAGGGUAUUUGCAAGUCUGUAUGCGUGGGUCGUUUCGGUUACCCUGGGCAGGAGAUCCGCGAACAUUGGUGCAGUAAUUUUUUCUUUGCCAAGUGCACCUGCAAGGUUUGCGUUGAUGGAUAGAGCUUAAUGGAUAUGCUAAGUGCACUUCAUGUUAUCAAUAAAUAAUCCAUUACAUCGUGUCCUUGAAUGACGUAUGUUAUGUAUGUGAGUGUAUGCUUGGGAAACAACAUGGGGGACAUAAUGUAUUCGAGAAACAUGGGGGACAUAAUAAUAUUUGACCUCAUGGCCCGAAAAUUCAAAUCUGAGCCCAGUCUCAGCUGCAUCCGAUAUCACAUCCGUCCACACACGUUGGGAUGUACUCCUUCAGUUUGUAUUUGCAGCUGUAUUCAGAAGGUAUCGGCAUAAAUCAUAAUCGUGGGCCUCAGUCGCAUUAAAAGCUGUAGGUGUGGUCUUCCACCCGGCCGAAACAGACCCUGGUACACGGCCUAGUUAUUUUUCUGUUCCAUCCGGAGCCGUCGGGCUUGGCAUAAUGGCCAUCCCCUCAAAAGAGGAAAAGGAAGGCAUAAACGGCCACCAACCUAGGCCACUCCCCCCCCGAUCCUGCCGCGUCUUCUUUCGAUUCCUCACCAUGUCCGCAUCAUCGUCCUUGCAUCGUCUGCGUCGGUACUUGUUGAACAACAACAGUCCGCGUCGUCUUCUAUCAGAGUUGUUUGCAUGCUGGGCGUAUUACAGCAAUCUCCUGCAGCCGGAGAAUUUUCAAUGAAAAAUGUUUCCUCAGCGAUAUGGCUCGUACUAGCAUAUGGUAGCAUUAUCUGGUUUUAAUUACUUUGAGCUAUUUGGCCUCCACAAAAAACUGUAGUAUUUGUCCCAAGUAUUUUCUCUGUCAAAACCGAGCAGGCGAGCUUCUUCCUCGUUUGCUCCCAAGCCCGCUGGCACCUACUACUUCUCCUUGCGCGACUCCUGUGGUGUCAGCUGGCCGACGGCACGUCAAGACACCUCGCCAUAACUGAGGGGGAAAGAGUUGGUGACUAGCGCAGUACUGCACGGUGGUGUUCCUCAUCUUUGGUAACCUGCAGUGCUGCAGGCCGAGCUUUGCGCAUGGCCCUUGACAGUUUGGCAGCGGACUUUGCGCAUGGCCGUUGAGUUUGCAACAGCUGGGUAUUGCCUAUGUCGAAUCAUGACCAGGCAUAGUUCAGAAACAGUUGUCAGCAUGCAUACAAAGCCCAGGCAAUCCAAAGUAACAAGCUUGUGAAUGAGAUGACAGUUAGAUUGCAUAUGAGCUUGAUUGCAGCAUGCAAAGACAUGCUCAGUUAAUGAGUUCAACAGCUGGUGAGCACAAUCAUGUGCAAUUCCAUUCAAACUCCUGCAUAUAUCAAAUAUGCUCGGGGUCGCUCCGUUAGAAUUGCGACCAAACGCCUUGAUGGAAUGUUCGAGCGCACUCGUCCUUGACAGGCACGGUGUUCUGUCUGGUGGUGCCACAGGCUUACGACCUGAGUGACCAUUCUCAUCACGAUAACUUUCAGUUUGCCAUUUUUGCAACUCCAACGCCAGCGAAUUUCAUACCGCAUCAAAAGAACAGAGCAGCACUGAACAGUACACAAAACACAGGGAGCACUAGAUUAACCAUCACGUCCAUCCUGGCACCUCCUGAUUAACCCUGUCAGUAGACUGUGCCGACCUUGUUGGUGAACCUCCCUUCCGCCGUCUCCCGUCGACCUGAGCCCUAUCGUCCUUGGCGCCACCAAGACGCUGCCCACAGCCGGAGUCAGCAUUCGAAUCAGCCGGCUCAGCGCCCGUGCAAUCAAUCCGCGGGAGGACCACGAGAGGGACUGGAUCUGGAUGUUCCAAGCUGUCCGUGGGCUCUUCCCGCAGCAGAAACCUGCAAGACAGGGCCAUACAUGGUUAGUCCCUUACCUGUCGACGGCGCCCAGAAGGAACUCCAGCCCUGCAUCUUCAUGUCCGGCCGUGUUCCCGGGGCUGCCGAGUCCUUCCACAGAGCUUUGGGGGCGAGGGUUAGCUGUCGCCGUCGGCGGCUGGUCUCGAGAACCACCUGGAUAAGGGUUUGGGGAGGAGGGUCAUAGGCCCCUGACCCGCUCCAGAUCGACUCCUAUUUUGACUCAACUAGAGAUCGACUUGAAAAUAAAUAAAUUAUAAAUGAGCACUCUAUGUAGCUCGAUCGAAAAAUGAGCCUAUCUUGAGCCAGUAUUGGCUUGCUCGGUUUUUAGCUCGAUAGCUUGAUAUCAUAUAAAAGCAUCUCCAGCACAUCCCUUAUAUUGCAGACCUAAAAAGUGCGUUCACAGUUAGUGGCAAUGCCUCCGAUACGGGUAGAAAACAGCCGCACCGGAGGACAACAGCGCCUGCCUGCGGUCCUACUCCUCUGUCUCGCGGCGGACGAGCGACGGCGGCGGCUGAAGGCCUUGGUUGAGGUACCUCCGAGCGCUUCGUUUCCUCGCGGCGUCGGCGGUGACACACCGCUUUCGCUCGGGGUCAUCGUCACCGUCGGCGCCGCAGCCGUCACGGUGCAAGGACCACAUCCCGCGCCACAUGGUGGAGUUGGGCGGUGGAUUGAGUCGCCUACAGCGAGAAAUCGAGAGGGGAGAGGAGGGAUUGCGGCGGCGCGGGGAUAUGGUUCGGCCCCGUAUAUCGACCGCGAACCCUUAGUUAUACAGCGCGAGGGGGCGAUUUUCGGGGCACUGUAAAAGAUUUACGGGCUGGGGCGACUAUACAAGCUCUGGUCUGGCCGAAAAAAGGGCCAAACCGGUAUUAGUCGCCGAAAUUUUACCGGCCGCACGGUUUUAAGGGGUCUGCUAGAAGACAUGCUCUAAGUAUAUUAAAUAAUCUUCAUGUCUAUUACCAAGAAAUGGAUAGUUUAUUACCAUAUAUGAUGUGUAAUUUUUUUCUCUCCAUUUUACCUACUAGCAAACAUGAAAUCUUAACUAAGAGUGGAGAAAAUUUAGCCUGAAUAUAGUACGUGAUCAACCAUAUGUUAAUUAUCUUUCUUUUGUGGGCAAUGUUUGCGACCAGAUGCACCUUCAUUUUUCUUCUCUUGCUAGUUCAUUCGUAAUCUUUUAUUAUUAAAUACUAGUCUUCAUGAGAAAGAAUAGGUCAAAUGUUAUACUGAUGUCUUAUGUUGUGGCAUGUCGUAUUUGAAAAUUUGCCCCGAGUAUUUAGAAAAAAAAACAUCUUAUUGAGCUCAAAAUUAGCUCGAGAUCGUUGCAAGCUGAGCAGAGCCACUUUGUACAACUUGAUCUUGAGCUUCGCUCAAUUUAUGCUCGCUUAAAUUUUAAUAUGAGUUGAGUUGAGCCUAGUCCAACUUGUUCGAACUCGACUCAUUCGCAGCCCAUCGACAAGCGACCGCUAGAUUUGCAAAGUGGAGGGUACUUCACCGACGGGAGCUCCUAUAAGCCACCUCAUAUGCCCUGGAACCAAUUUGCGCUCACGCGCACUAGAGUGGGCCGUGGCCCAGCAACGCGCUUCGCUCCAGCUGCAAGCCUGCUCCAUUCGCUCGCUCAGCCGCGGACUAUUUUUUUGCUUUUUAUGUUGUUCGCCUGGUAGAUUUUUUUAUAAUUUUUGUAUAGCUUUUUGAUUUCACAAUUUUAUCUCAAGUAUUAAAAAACCGGCCAGUUUCUUAUUACUUGUGAUAAAAUUGUGAAAUCAAAACUCAUCCAUUUGGAGAAAAAGGUUAUCAUCGAUUUUGAAAAAGGUUCAUCAAUACUGAAUUUUUUCAUUGGUUUUGGAAAAAAAAUCAUUGAAUUGGAGAAAAUUCACAAAUUUUGAAAAAGUUCAUUGAAUUUAAAAAAAACUUCAUCAAUUUUGACAAGAGUUCAUCAAUUAUAAAAAAAAUUCAAACAAUGUAAAAAACUUCAUCAAUAUUGAAAAAAAGUUCAUUGAUUUGAAGAAUAUUCACGGAUUUUGAAAAAGUUCACGAAUUUAUGUAAAGGCAAAAAUAAAUGAAAUGAAAUGAAAAAAAUAAAAAGAAAAGAGAAGGAAAAAAGGAAAGAAGAAAAAAGGAAAAGUGUCGGAGCAAUGGGCCACGGGUAGCCUCACCCGGGUCCCUGGAUUUAUCAAGACUUUGGGCCAGCUCCGCCUUGCUGAGCCCCAAGCUGAAGCUCCGCCCUCCGGGGGCCGGCUAGCUCGACAACCGGCCACCAGAGGGCGGCCAACUACCAGCCGACGGCAUCACGAGCGGCCGACUCCAGCCAGCCGGCUUCUAGAGAGGGCGGCAUCAGGCAGGCGGCCCCCUCGCGCCCUCAGAGUUUGUGCCCCCUUCAAGAGGACGUGGUGGGGCGUGGCUACAGUGAAGCCCUCACCCCCGAAUCGUGGGUUCGGCAUGGCCACAGUGCCCCGUACGGACGGAGAUCUCGGCACGGCGUGGCAUUGUUGCCACCUACCAUUGACGUCACACCGGACAGGCGGAGCCCUACUCCCCACGACGUCCUGUCGGUACGGCCCGCGGGUUGCGGGCCCUACCGGGCAGCGACACCCCAGAGGAUGGCGCACGCCGGAUCGGUCGGACCAGGGGAGGGCCGGCCUCCAGCAGGCGGUCGUCCCCACCCUCGAAGCAAGGGCGCCAUUAACCUGAUGAGACCAGGUGUGGCUAUAGUGAUCUCCCACCAGGCGGCGGGACUGUAGCCACGCUGAGCUGACCAAGCCCAUGUCAUUAGCAGCACGACUCUAGUGAGCGGCCUGUCGGCUCCGUACUAGACCAGGCGGCGGGCCCCAGUAGUCGGCGGAGAAGCCGGAGGCCGGAGACAGUGACAGCCGGGCCCAGCAGCCGGCCAGAUUACCAUUGUACCCCUGGGGGUAGGCCUAUAUAAGCCCCCCAGGGCACCCAUGCAAAGGGUUCUCACUCUGAUAGAACUAGCCAGAUCACUAGAGCAGGGGAGAGCUAGCCUUGCCUUCUCCUACCUCUAGCAUACAGCUCAAGGAGCACAUUUGUAUCACUAAAGCCAUAGUGAUCAUGCGGAGACCCCGCAAAGCAGGAGUAGGGGUAUUGUCUUCAAGGAGAGCCCCCAACCUGGGUAAAGUACGCCGGCGUUCGUGUCUACGCCUCAUCCCACUUUCGGGCACCGGGGACGUUCUACUCGCUCCCACCAUGAUAAGCCAUCCUUUGGCAUAUGUCGCACCCAACCCCCGACAUUUGGCGCCCACCGUGGGGCGAGGUGCACCGUCUCCCUGAGAUCUGCUCUGGACGGGAACCUUGUUCCUUCCUGGCGAGCGAAGCCAGCCCAGCACGCCCGAUGGCGUCAGCCUCGACGCGUUGAACGGUGCGGAGAUCGCCUGCGCGGCGAGCUGCCUCGCCGACCUUGUCGGCGAGAUCCACCUCUCCCACGAGCCCGCCUCCGACGCGAGCACCGGCUGCCCCAAGAGCCGCCUCGUUAGCCUCCUCGACCAGCUUCACGUCACCAGCAAGCAUGCUGUGGACCUGGAGUCCGUUGGCUCCACCGACCGAUGAUCAUCGACUCCGACAUGACGUCAUUUGACGUGUUCCCCACCAACGUGGCGGUCUACAACGAGCCGCCUCCUCGCGAGCACGGCGGUGGGAGCAUCGUCACAGAAGUGCUCGUCAUUCACAGCGGCGAGCACUCGGACGGACGCGCUCGAGACCCACUCGAUGCGGCUCUGCGAGACCUGUCGGCGCCCAUCCCAGAGGGCGCAGAUGCUAAGAUGCUGGAGGCAUGCCGCGUCCAGCUUCACGAGAGCGCUGGCCGACUGGCCAGCGUGCGACGCCUCUCGGACGCCUACCGGCACGAGAUGGAUCGGGUCGUUGGCGGCACGCCGGCUCCUGAGGGGCCUAGCCGCCUCGGCAUGGUCCGGCAGCGUGGCGCGACCAUCGCCAGCAUGUUCGGGGGAGAACGCCCCGUCUACGCCACGCCUGCUGAGAACAUCCGGGCCGCCCAGGCGGUGACGGAUGAGUUGGACAAAUACACGGCGAUGAGCGCCGCCACAUGACAGAGCGAGUCCAGCAGCUCCUAGACGCAGCUGCCGAGCAGCACGAAGCUGGCUGCCGCGCUGAAGUGCCCGCCCAGCGGAACGAAGAGCCGCCCCUUCGCCAAGAUCACGGUGCGACAUCUCGGACGCCGACUGGUGGCGCCCGUGGAAGAAGAGGCAAUGAGCCGGCUGCCAGCCGCAGCCGGACACGCCUUUCCAUCAAGCAAGACAAAGACGGCCGCCCUCGAGCGGUGGAGCGACGAGGCGAUCCACCUCCUCCUCCGCCUCGUGGAGCGAGGAACCCCACUCCGCCGCCUGUCACGCACCCGACACUCGCAGACCGCCUUGGCUGCCGAGAGGGAGUCGGAGAGAACGGCGCCCGCCAUCGGAUCGAUCAUCUCAACCGAUCCCUGGCGCUAGAAGAAGAAGACGCAUUGGGCCCGCCCUGCUUCGGCCCGCCAAUUCGGGACGAGCCCUUCCCCAAAGGGUUCACCCUCCCAUGAGAUACGCCCAAAUACACCGGAUCCGUGAAGCCGGAGGACUGGCUGGUCGACUACUCGACAGCCGUCAGCAUAGCAAACGGCAACAAGCGUGUGGCCGUGAAGUACGUCCCACUCAUGCUUCAGGGCACAGCCCGGACAUGUCUCAACAGCCUGAAGCCCCGCAACAUCAACAGCUGGGUUGAUUUCACCGAGGCCUUCAUCCGCAACUUCACCAGCACUUACAAGCGGCCUCCCAAGCCCCGACAGCUCUCCUUGUGCGUCCAAGGGCCCAGCGAAUCGACUCGCAACUACCUCACGCGCUGGCCGAGCUGCACAACUCCUGCGAAGGCGUGCACGAGGUGCAGGCAAUCAAGUACUUCACCGCCGGGUGCCGAGAGGGCACCCUCCUCAAGCAUCGGCUUCUCUGCGACGAGCCUGCGACGCUCGAUGAGCUGCUGAUCAUCGCCGACAAGCACGCCAUGGCCGAUUCCUCCAUGAAGGCGGAAAUCUUAGUAGAUGCGUCCGGCAAGGUGGCACCCAAGGCCCCUAGGACUCCGGCUGGUGAUGCCAGCCGGCGGCAGCAUCCAAGCGACAACAAACGGAAGGCCACUCAGCCGGCUUCCACCAGCCGGCAGGUGGCGACAGUUGAGGAUCAGCAGGCGGAGGGGUAGCAGGCGCCCAAGCGUCAGAAGUGCAGCAAGCACAAUUGGUUGCCCGCCUUCUCUUAUGAGCAGACCCUCGAUGCACCCUGCAAAUUCCAUAGUGGCGCGAAGCCGUCCAACCACACCACUCAGAAGUGUCAUUGGCUCACCAGGAUUGCUAAGGGAGAUGUCCUCCUACCUCCUCUGCCUGCCGGACCGCCGCCUCCUCAGCCCCAGCAGCCGGCGGCCCGACCAAUCGGUGCCAUACAAGACGAGUAUCCAGAAGAGCAUGGAGCUUAUGUUGUGUUCACCAGUGUGGCCGAUGACAGACGCAGCAGGCGGCAGCAACAACAAGAAGUGCAAGCAGUUGUUGGGGAACGUAGUAAUUUCAAAAAAUUUCCUACGCACACGCAAGAUCAUGGUGAUGAUAUAGCAACGAAGGGAGAGUGUUGUCUACGUACCCUCCUAGACCAAAGCGGAAGCGUUGACGCAACGUAGAGGAAGUAGUCGUACGUCCUCCGGUUCAACCGAUCCAAGUAUCGUUACUCCGGCACCUCCGAGUUCUUGACACGCGUACAGCUCGAUGACGCACCCUCGAUCUCCGGUCCAGCAGAGGCGCCGAGGGGGAGUUCCGUCAGCACGACGGCGUGGUGACGAUCUUGAUGUUCUCCUGUUGCAGGGCUUCGCCUAAGCACCGCUACAAUAUGACCGAGGUGUAAUAUCGUGGAGGGGGCACCGCACACGGCUAAGGAACGAUCAAUGAUCAACUUGUGUGUCCUAGGGUGCCCCCUACCCCCGUAUAUAAAGGAGGGAGGGAGGAGGUGGCCGGCCCUAGGGGGGCGCGCCAUGAGGAGGGGGAAACCUACUCCAAGUAGGUUUCCCUCUCUUUUCCUUAUCUUAUUUGGAGGGGGAAGGAAAGAGUACUAGUAUUAGGAAGUAGUACUAGUAGUAGUAAUAGGAAGAGGGGGAAGGAGAAAGGAAAGGGGGGGCCGGCCCCCCUCCCCAAUUCGGAUUGGGCUUGGGGGGGCGUGCCCCCUUCCCUUGCUCCUUCUCUCUUCCUCCUACAUGGGCCCAAUAAGGCCCAUAUACCUCCCGGGGGGUUCCGGUAACCUUCCGGGGCUCCAAACUUCUCCGGAACCUUUCCGGUGUCCAAAUAUAUCCGUCCAAUAUAUCAAUCUUUAUGUCUCGACCAUUUCGAGACUCCUCAUCAUGUCCGUAAUCAUAUCCGGGACUCCGAACAACCUCCGGUACAUCAAAAUACAUAAACUCAUAAUAUAAAUGUCAUCGAAACCUUAAGCGUGCGAACCCUACGGUUCGAGAACGAUGUAGACAUGACUGAGACACAUCUCUGGUCAAUAACCAAUAGCGGGACCUGGAUGCCCAUAUUGGUUCCUACAUAUUCUACGAAGAUCUUUAUCGGUCAAACCGCAUAACAACAUACGUUGUUCCCUUUGUCAUCGGUAUGUUACUUGUCCGAGAUUCGAUCGUCGGUAUCCAAUACCUAGUUCAAUCUCGUUAUCGACAAGUCUCUUUACUCGUUCUGUAAUACUUCAUCUUAUAACUAACUCAUUAGUUACAUGCUUGCAAGGCUUAGGUGAUGAGCAUUGCCGUUAGGGCCCAGAGAUACCUCUCCGACAAUCGGAGUGACAAAACCUAAUCUCAAAUUAUGCUAACUCAACAUGUACCUUCGGAGACACCUGUAGUACUCCUUUAUAAUCACCCAGUUACGUUGUGACGUUUGGUAGUACCCAAAGUGUUCCUCUGGUAAACGGGAGUUACACAAUUCUCAUAGUUAUAGGAACAUGUAUAAGUCAUGAAGGAAGCAAUAGCAGAAUACUAAACGAUCAAGUGCUAAGCUAACGGGAUGGGUCAUGUCAAUCACCUCAUUCUCCUAAUGAUGUGAUCCCAUUAAUCAAAUGACAACACAUGUCAAUGGUUAGGAAACAUAACCAUCUUUGAUUAAUGAGCUAGUCAAGUAGAGGCAUACUAGUGACUAUAUGUUUGUCCAUGUAUUCACACAUGUAUCAUGUUUCCGGUUAAUACAAUUCUAGCAUGAAUAAUAAACAUUUAUCAUGAUAUGAGGAAAUAAAUAAUAACUUUAUUAUUGCCUCUAGGGCAUAUUUCCUUCAGUCUCCCACUUGCACUAGAGUCAAUAAUCUAUAUUACAUAGUAAUGAUUCUAACACCCAUGGAGUCUUGGUGCUGAUCAUGUUUUGCUCGUGAGAGAGGCUUAGUCAACGGGUCUGCAACAUUCAGAUCCGUAUGUAUCUUGCAAAUCUCUAUGUCUCACACUUGGAGUUGGUCCCGAAUGGAGUUGAAGCGUCUCUCGAUGUGCUUGGUCCUCUUGUGAAAUCUGGAUUCCUUUGCCAAGGCAAUUGCACCAGUAUUGUCACAGAAGAUCUUCAUUAGUCCCGAUGCACUAGGUAUGACACCUAGAUCAGAAAUGAACUCCUUCAUCGAGACUCCUUCAUUUGCUGCUUCAGAAGCAGCUAUGUAUUCCGCUUCACAUGUAGAUCCUGCCACGACGCUUUGUUUAGAACUGCACCAACUUACAGCUCCACCGUUUAAUAAAAACACGUAUCCGGUCUGCGAUUUAGAAUCGUCCGGAUCAGUGUCAAAGCUUGCAUCGACGUAACCAUUUACGACUAGCUCUUUGUCACCUCCAUAUACGAGAAACAUAUCCUUAGUCCUUUUCAGGUAUUUCAGGAUGUUCUUGACCGCUGUCCAGUGAUCCACUCCUGGAUUACUUUGGUACCUACCUGCCAAGCUUAUUGCUAAGCAUAUGUCAGGUCUGGUACACAGCAUUGCAUACAUGAUAGAGCCUAUGGCUAAAGCAUAGGGAACAUCUUUCAUUUUCUCUCUAUCUUCUGCUGUGGUCGGUCAUUGAGUUUGACUCAACUUCACACCUUGUAGCACAGGCAAGAAUCCUUUCUUUGCCUGAUCCAUUUUGAACUUUUUCAAAAUUUUGUCAAGGUAUGUACUUUGUGAAAGUCCUAUUAAGCGUCUUGAUCUAUCUCUAUAGAUCUUGAUGCCCAAUAUGUAAGCAGCUUCACCGAGGUCUUUCAUAGAAAAACUUUUAUUCAAGUAUCCCUUUAUGCUAUCCAGAAAUUCUAUAUCAUUUCCAAUUAAUAAUAUGUCAUCAACAUAUAAAAAUAGAAAUGCUACAGAGCUCCCACUCACUUUCUUGUAAAUACAGGCUUCUCCAAAAGCCUGUAUAAAGCCAUAUGCUUUGAUCACACUAUCAAAACGUUUAUUCCAACUCCGAGAUGCUUGCACCAGUCCAUAAAUGGAACGUUGGAGCUUGCACACUUUGUCAGCACCUUUUGGAUCAACAAAACCUUCAGGUUGCAUCAUAUACAACUCUUCUUCUAGAAAUCCAUUCAAGAAUGCAGUCUUGACAUCCAUUUGCCAAAUUUCAUAAUCAUGAAAUGCAGCAAUAGCCAACAUGAUUCGGACAGACUUAAGCAUCGCUACGGGUGAGAAAGUCUCAUCGUAGUCAACCCCUUGAACUUGUCAAAAACCUUUUGCAACAAGUCGAGCUUUGUAGACAGUAACAUUACCAUCAGCGUCAGUCUUCUUCUUAAAGAUCCAUUUAUUCUCAAUGGCUUGUCGAUCAUCGGGUAAGUCAACCAAAGUCCAUACUUUGUUUUCAUACAUGGAUCCUAUCUCAGAUUUCAUGGCCUCUAGCCAUUUUGCGGAAUCUGGGCUCAUCAUCGCUUCCUCAUAGUUCGUAGGUUCAUCAUGGUCUAGUAACAUGACUUCCAGAAUAGGAUUUCCGUACCACUCUGGUGCGGAUCUUACUCUGGUAGACCUACGAGGUUCAGUAGAAACUUGAUCUGAAGUUUCAUGAUCAAUAUCAUUAGCUUCCUCACUAAUUGGUGUAGUUGUCACAGGAACCGGUUCUUGUGAUGAACUACUUUCCAAUAAGGGAGUAGAUACAGUUAUCUCAUCAAGUUCUACUUUCCUCCCACUCACUUCUUUCGAGAGAAACUCCUUCUCUAGAAAGGAUCCGAUUUUAGCAACGAAAAUCUUGCCUUCAGAUCUGUGAUAGAAGGUGUACCCAAUUGUCUCCUUUGGGUAUCCUAUGAAGACACAUUUCUCCGAUUUGGGUUCGAGCUUAUCUGGUUGAAGUUUCUUCACAUAAGCAUCGCAGCCCCAAACUUUGAGAAACGACAACUUUGGUUUCUUGCCAAACCACAGUUCAUAAGGCGUCGUCUCAACGGAUUUUGAUGGUGCCCUAUUUAACGUGAAUGCGGCCGUCUCUAAAGCAUAACCCCAAAACGAUAGCGGUAAAUCGGUAAGAGACAUCAUAGAUCGCACCAUAUCAAGUAAAGUAUGAUUACGACGUUCGGACACACCAUUUCGCUGUGGUGUUCCAGGUGGCGUGAGUUGUGAAAUUAUUCCACAUUGUUUCAAAUGUAAACCAAACUCGUAACUCAAAUAUUCUCCUCCACGAUCAGAUCGUAGAAACUUUAUUUUCUUGUUACGAUGAUUUUCUACUUCACUCUGAAAUUCUUUGAACUUUUCAAAUGUUUUAGACUUGUGCUUCAUCAAGUAGAUAUACCCAUAUCUGCUCAAAUCAUCUGUGAAGGUGAGGAAAUAACGAUAUCCGCCACGAGCCUCAACAUUCAUCGGACCACAUACAUCUGUAUAUAUGAUUUCCAACAAAUCUGUUUCUCUCUCCAUAGAUCCGGAGAACGGUGUUUUGGUCAUCUUGCCCAUGAGGCACGGUUCGCAAGUACCAAGUGAUUCAUAAUCAAGUGAUUCCAGAAGUCCAUCAGUAUGGAGUUUCUUCAUGCGUUUUACACCGAUAUGACCUAAACGGCAGUGCCACAAAUAUGUUGCACUAUCAUUAUCAACUCUGCAUCUUUUGGCUUCAACAUUAUGAAUAUGUGUAUCACUACUAUCGAGAUUUAAUAAAAAUAGACCACUCUUCAAGGGUGCAUGACCAUAAAAGAUAUUACUCAUAUAAAUAGAACAACCAUUAUUCUCCGAUUUAAAUGAAUAACCGUCUCGCAUCAAACAAGAUCCAGACAUAAUGUUCAUGCUCAAUGCAGGCACCAAAUAACAAUUAUACAGGUCUAAAACUAAUCCCGAUGGUAGAUGUAGAGGUAGCGUGCCGACCGCGAUCACAUCGACUUUAGAACCAUUCCCCACGCGCAUCGUCACCUCGUCCUUAGCUAAUCUUCGCUUAAUCCGUAGUCCCUGUUUCGAGUUGCAAAUGUUAGCAAUAGAACCAGUAUCAAAUACCCAGGUGCUACUACGAGCAUUAGUAAGGUACACAUCAAUAACAUGUAUAUCACAUAUACCUUUGUUCACUUUGCCAUCCUUCUUAUCCGCCAAAUACUUGGGGCAGUUCCGCUUCCAGUGUCCAGUCUGCUUGCAGUAGAAGCACUCAGUUUCAGGCUUAGGUCCAGACUUGGGUUUCUUCACUUGAGCAUCAACUUGUUUGCCGUUCCUUUUGAAGUUCCCCUUCUUCUUCCCUUUGCCCCUUUUCUUGAAACCAGUGGUCUUGUUGACCAUCAACACUUGAUGCUCCUUUUUGAUUUCUACCUCCGCGGUUUUCAGCAUCACGAAGAGCUUGGGAAUAGUCUUGUUCAUCCCUUGCAUAUUAUAGUUCAUCACAAAGCUCUUGUAGCUUGGUGGCAGUGAUUGGAGAAUUCUGUCAAUGACGCUAUCAUCCGGAAGAUUAACUCCCAGUUGAAUCAAGUGAUUAUUAUACCCAGACAUUUUGAGUAUAUGCUCACUGACAGAACUGUUCUCCUCCAUCUUGCAGCUGUAGAACUUAUUGGAGACUUCAUAUCUCUCAAUCCGGGCAUUUGCUUGAAAUAUUAACUUCAACUCCUGGAACAUCUCAUAUGCUCCAUGACGUUCAAAACAUCGUUGAAGACCCGGUUCUAAGCCGUAAAGCAUGGCACACUGAACUAUAGAGUAGUCAUCAGCUUUGCUCUGCCAGACGUUCUUAACGUCGUCAGUUGCAUCAGCAGCAGGCCUGGCACCCAGCGGUGCUUCCAGGACGUAACUCUUCUGUGCAGCAAUGAGGAUAAUCCUCAGGUUACGGACCCAGUCCGUGUAAUUGCUACCAUCAUCUUUCAACUUUGCUUUCUCAAGGAACGCAUUAAAAUUCAACGGAACAAUAGCACGAGCCAUCUAUCUACAAACAAACAUAGACAAGCAAAAUACUAUCAGGUACUAAGUUCAUGAUAAAUUUAAGUUCAAUUUAAUCAUAUUACUAAAGAACUCCCACUUAGACAGACAUCUCUCUAGUCAUCUAAGUGAUUACGUGAUCCAAAUCAACUAAACCAUGUCCGAUCAUCACGUGAGAUGGAGUAGUUUCAAUGGUGAACAUCUCUAUGUUGAUCAUAUCUACUAUAUGAUUCACGCUCGACCUUUCGGUCCCCGUGUUCCGAGGCCAUAUCUGUAUAUGCUAGGCUCGUCAAGUAUAACCUGAGUAUUCCGCAUGUGCAACUGUUUUGCACCCGUUGUAUUUGAACGUAGAGCCUAUCACACCCGAUCAUCACGUGGUGUCUCAGCACGAAGAACUUUCGCAACGGUGCAUACUCAGGGAGAACACUUCUUGAUAAUUAGUGAGAGAUCAUCUUAAAAUGCUACCGUCAAUCAAAGCAAGAUAAGAUGCAUAAAGGAUAAACAUCACAUGCAAUCAAUAUAAGUGAUAUGAUAUGGCCAUCAUCAUCUUGUGCUUGUGAUCUCCAUCUUCGAAGCACCGUCGUGAUCACCAUCGUCACCGGCGCGACACCUUGAUCUCCAUCGUAGCAUCAUUGUCGUUACGCCAUCUAUUGCUUCUACGACUAUCGCUACCGCUUAGUGAUAAAGUAAAGCAAUUAUAGGGCGUUUGCAUUUCAUACAAUAAAGCGACAACCAUAUGGCUCCUGCCAGUUGCCGAUAACUUCGGUUACAAAACAUGAUCAUCUCAUACAAUAAAAUAUAGCAUCAUGUCUGGGCCAUAUCACAUCACAACAUGCCCUGCAAAAACAAGUUAGACGUCCUCUACUUUGUUGUUGCAAAUUUUACGUGGCUGCUACGGGCUUAAGCAAGAACCAAUCUCACCUACGCAUCAAAACCACAACGAUAGUUUGUCAAAUAGACUCCGUUUUAACCUUCACAAGGACCGGGCGUAGCCACACUCGGUUCAACUAAAGUGAGAGAGACAGACACCCGCCAGCCACCUUUAAGCACGAGUGCUCGUAAUGGUGAAACCAGUCUCGCGUAAGCGUACGCGUAAUGUCGGUCCGGGCCGCUUCAUCUCACAAUACCGCUGAACCAAAGUAUGACAUGCUGGUAGGCAGUAUGACUUAUAUCGUCCACAACUCACUUGUGUUCUACUCGUGCAUAUAACAUCAACACAUAAAACCUAGGCUCGGAUGCCACUGUUGGGGAACGUAGUAAUUUCAAAAAAUUUCCUACGCACACGCAAGAUCAUGGUGAUGAUAUAGCAACGAAGGGAGAGUGUUGUCUACGUACCCUCGUAGACCGAAGCGGAAGCGUUGACGCAAUGUAGAGGAAGUAGUCGUACGUCCUCCGGUUCAACCGAUCCAAGUACCGUUACUCCGGCACCUCCGAGUUCUUGACACGCGUACAGCUCGAUGACGCACCCUCGAUCUCCGAUCCAGCAGAGGCGCCGAGGGGGAGUUCCGUCAGCACGACGGCGUGGUGACGAUCUUGAUGUUCUCCUGUUGCAGGGCUUCGCCUAAGCACCGCUACAAUAUGACCGAGGUGUAAUAUCGUGGAGGGGGCACCGCACACGGCUAAGGAACGAUCAAUGAUCAACUUGUGUGUCCUAGGGUGCCCCCCUACUCCCGUAUAUAAAGGAGGGAGGGAGGAGGUGGCCCGCCCUAGGGGGGGCGCGCCAUGAGGAGGGGGAAACCUAUUCCAAGUAGGUUUCCCUCUCUUUUCCUUAUCUUAUUUGGAGGGGGAAGGAAAGAGUACUAGUAUUAGGAAGUAGUACUAGUAGUAGUAAUAGGAAGAGGGGGAAGGAGAAAGGAAAGGGGGGGCCGGCCCCCCUCUCCAAUUCGGAUUGGGCUUGGGGGGGCGUGCCCCCUUCCCUUGCUCCUUCUCUCUUCCUCCUACAUGGGCCCAAUAAGGCCCAUAUACCUCCCGGGGGGUUCCGGUAACCUUCCGGAGCUCCAAACUUCUCCGGAACCUUUCCGGUGUCCAAAUAUAUCCGUCCAAUAUAUCAAUCUUUAUGUCUCGACCAUUUCGAGACUCCUCGUCAUGUCCGUAAUCAUAUCCGGGACUCCGAACAACCUUCGGUACAUCAAAAUACAUAAACUCAUAAUAUAAAUGUCAUCGAAACCUUAAGCGUGCGGACCCUACGGUUCGAGAACGAUGUAGACAUGACCGAGACACAUCUCUGGUCAAUAACCAAUAGCGGGACCUGGAUGCCCAUAUUGGUUCCUACAUAUUCUACGAAGAUCUUUAUCGGUCAAACCGCAUAACAACAUACGUUGUUCCCUUUGUCAUCGGUAUGUUACUUGUCCGAGAUUCGAUCGUCGGUAUCCAAUACCUAGUUCAAUCUCGUUAUCGACAAGUCUCUUUACUCGUUCUGUAAUACUUCAUCUUAUAACUAACUCAUUAGUUACAUGCUUGCAAGGCUUAGGUGAUGAGCAUUGCCGAGAGGGCCCAGAGAUACCUCUCCGACAAUCGGAGUGACAAAACCUAAUCUCGAAUUAUGCUAACUCAACAUGUACCUUCGGAGACACCUGUAGUACUCCUUUAUAAUCACCCAGUUACGUUGUGACGUUUGGUAGUACCCAAAGUGUUCCUCCGGUAAACGGGAGUUACACAAUUCUCAUAGUUACAGGAACAUGUAUAAGUCAUGAAGGAAGCAAUAGCAGAAUACUAAACGAUCAAGUGCUAAGCUAACGGGAUGGGUCAUGUCAAUCACCUCAUUCUCCUAAUGAUGUGAUCCCAUUAAUCAAAUGACAACACAUGUCAAUGGUUAGGAAACAUAACCAUCUUUGAUUAAUGAGCUAGUCAAGUAGAGGCAUACUAGUGACUAUAUGUUUGUCUAUGUAUUCACACAUGUAUCAUGUUUCCGGUUAAUACAAUUCUAGCAUGAAUAAUAAACAUUUAUCAUGAUAUGAGGAAAUAAAUAAUAACUUUAUUAUUGCCUCUAGGGCAUAUUUCCUUCAGCAGUGUCCUCAAGUACUCCUGAAUUCAUGCAUUGGUUUGAGAAGCCUAUCAGUUGGAGCAGGGCUGACCACCCGGAAGUGAUGCCUUCCCCAGGUUCAUAUGCCCUGGUCCUAGAUGCUACCUUUGCAACAGACAUGUGGGCAGCAUGCUUCUCUAGAGUCCUGAUAGAUGGCGGCAGCAACAUCAAUAUCCUAUACCGUGACACAAUGGAGAAGUUGGGAAUCAAGCAGAAGUAGCUCAUCCCCAGUCGGACUGUAUUCCAUGUCAUAGUCCCUGGCCUUUCCUGCUCACCAAUCGGCAAAACCCAAAUUGAUGUUCUCUUCGGAGACAAGAAUCAUUUCCGCCGUGAGCCAGUGUGGUUUGAAGUGGUGGACCUCGAAAGCCCCUACCAUGCACUGCUUGGCCGACCAGCUCUGGCCAAGUUCAUGGCAGUCCCCCACUAUGCUUACCUCAAGAUGAAGAUGCCGAGUACCAAGGGGAUCCUGACCGUAGUUGGAGACUACAAGAAGUCGGUCGCUUGUGCCGCAGAUAGCAGCUGGCUGGCCGAGUCCCUUGUGAUUGCAGCUGAAAAGCGGCUUCUUGACCGGGUGGUGGUAUUGGCAGGCAAGAAGCCAGAAAUGUCACCCAUCCCCAAGGAGUCGGAGGUUGAGGGCUCGUUCAAGCCGGCCAAGGAAACAAAGAAGAUAUCCUUGGACCCAGAGCACCCGGAGAGGCACGCUGUCGUAGGUGCGAACCUUGAUAGCAAAUAGGAAAGUGAGCUCGUCGAUUUCCUCCGUGAGAAUCGGGACAUCUUCGCAUGGUCUCCCAAAGAAAUGCCGGGUGUUCCGACAGAUUCCGCCGAGCACAAACUACAUGUCCGAUCUGAUGCCAAGCCGGUCAGGCAGCCCUUGCGCCGCCUGUCAGAAGAGAAGAUAAGAGUUGUCGGAGUAGAGAUAGCCCAGCUUCUAGCAGCCGGGUUCAUCAUGGAAGUGUUCUUUCCAGAGUGGCUGGCCAACCCAGUCCUAGUGUUGAAGAAGAAUAAGCAGUGGCGCAUGUGCAUUGACUAUACCAGUCUCAACAAAGCUUGCCCCAAAGAUCCCUUUGCUCUACCAAGAAUUGACCAAGUGAUAGACUCCACAGCCGGAUGCGAGCUGCUGAGUUUCUUGGACGCAUACUCAGGGUACCAUCAGAUAAAGCUGAACCCGGCCGACAGGCUGAAGACCGCCUUCAUCACGCCAUCUAGAGCCUUCUGCUACCUGACUAUGACGUUCGGCUUGAGAAACGCUAGCGCCACAUUUCAGCGUUGCAUGCAGAAGUGUCUUCUCAAGCAACUUGGCAGAAAUGCCCUUGUCUAUGUGGGUGAUGUGGUGGUGAAGACGGAGAAGCGUGGCACGCUGCUAGAAGAUCUCAAGGAAACUUUCAAGAACUUGCGCCGAUUCCAGAUCAAGCUCAACCCGGAGAAAUGCGUCUUUGGAGUACCAGCCGGCCAGCUUCUUGGCUUCCUAGUCUCAGAGCGCGGCAUAGAGUGCAACCCCGUGAAGGUCAAGGUCAUCAAGAAGAUGAAGGUGCCCACCCGACUGCUGGACGUGCAGAAAUUCACCGGCUGCUUGGCAUCAAUUAGCCGUUUCAUCAGUCGGUUGGGCAAGAAGGCUCUUCCCCUGUACCAGCUCAUUAAGAAUACCACUUCUUUUGAGUGGAACGACAAGGCGGACGAGGCUUUUCUCCAACUCAAGAAGAUGUUGGCAACCCCGCCUAUCCUGGUGGCUCCGACUGAGAAGGAGCCCAUGCUCCUCUACAUCGCAGCCACCAGCCGGGUUGUCAGCAUAGUCAUGGUGGUAGAAUGCAAGGAGGAGGACAGAGCAUUGCCGGUCCAGAGCGGUGUAUUACUUGAGCGAAGUACUGUCCGCCUCCAAGCAAAACUACCCAAAUUAUCAGAAGAUGUGCUAUGGCGUGCACUUUGCCUCCAAGAAACUGAAGCCUUACUUUCAAGAGCACCCAAUAACCGUCGUCUGCACAGCUCCGCUUGCUGAGAUCAUCGGAAGCCGAGAUGCUUCUGGCCGAGUGGCCAAGUGGGCUAUUGAUCUGGCCCCCUACACCAUCUACUACCAGCCUCGCACUGCCAUCAAGUCACCAGUGUUGUCCGACUUCCUCGUCGACUAGGCCGAGACCCAGUACUUUCCACCAGCACCAGACUCCACCCAUUGGCGGAUGCACUUUGAUGGUUCAAAAAUGUGCACCGGUCUGGGAGUCGGCAUCGUCCUCACCUCUCCCAAAGGCGACAAGCUCAAAAUAUGUGUUGCAAGUCCAUUUUGCCGCCUCCAACAAUGUAGCAGAAUAUGAGGCACUCAUACACGGACUCUGGCUUGCCAAGGAACUCGGCAUUCGCCGGAUCUUGUGCUAUGGUGACUCCGACUUGGUGGUCCAGCAGUCGUCAGGCGACUAGGAUGCUAAGGAUGCAAAUAUGGCAAGCUACCGCUUCCUCGUGCAACAGCUCAGUGGAUACUUUCAUGGGUGCGAGUUUCUCCAUGUGCCAAGAAAUGAUAAUGAGCAAGCAAAUGCUUUGGCACGGAUUGGCUCCACCCGACAAGCAAUACCAGGCGGCAUCGCCCUAUGCUGCCUUCUCAAGCCGUCUGUCAAACCGUCCCCAAAAUCAGAUUCCAUCUUCAUGCCAGCCCCUCCCGAAGCAGUCGGAUCCGACUUGAGGGUCCCAGAGGCCAGCACGGGGACUUCAGCAGACGGCCCGGGGACUGCUGCAGCUGCACCCGGUUCGGGGACUCCAGAACCCGGCCCGGGGAUUACAGCAGUCGGCCCGGGGACUUCUUUAAUUCAGCAGGCGGAAGCAGUUGCCAGCCCGCCACCUCCAGGCCCAACCGCCCUCAUACAAGUUGCAGUUGUGGCAGUCGAAGAAAUAGCAGCACCAUCCUGGGCUCAGCCAAUUCUCAAGUUUCUGGUGAACAAGGAACUAACGACUGAUGAGAUCUCAGCCAGACAGGUGCAACGGCAAGCAGCAGCAUACACCAUCAUCAAUAGAGAGCUAGUACGGUGUAGUGUCACAGGCGUGUACCAGCGCUGCGUAGAGCCGGAGAAAGGCCAAGCAAUCCUCAUAGACAUUCACCAAGGCGAAUGUGGUCACCACGCAGCCUCAAGAGCACUCGUCGCCAAAGCUUUUCGCCACAGUUUCUUCUGGCCGACUACUUUGGAAGAGGCCAAGGAACUGGUCCAGAAGUGCCCGGGGUGCCAGAGAUUCUGCUCCAAGCCACACUUGCCAGGUUCUGCACUCAAGACUAUUCCCAUUGCUUGGCCCUUUGCGGUUUGAGGUUUGGAUAUGGCGGGGCCAUUCAAGACAACCCGUGGCGGCAUGACUCAUCUACUUGUCGCUGUGGACAAGUUCACCAAGUGGAUAGAGGCAAAGCCAAUCAAGAAACUGAAUGGGCCGACUGCCAUGACUUUCAUCGCCGACAUCACCACUCGGUACGGCAUACCACAUAGCAUCAUCACAGACAACGACACAAACUUUGCCAAAGGAGCCUUGGCUCGUUUCUGCGUGACUCAGGGCAUCCGACUGGACUUAGCAUCCGUUGCCCAUCCGCAGUCAAACGACUAGGUUGAGCGAGCAAACGGCCUCAUCUUGUCCGGCAUCAAGCCCCGACUGGUCGAGCCUCUAGAGCGUUCGGCCGGCUGCUAGCUCAAUGAGCUGCCGGCCGUCCUCUGGAGCCUGCGCACAACUCCGGACAAGUCGACCGGCUUCACGCCCUUCUUCCUCAUCUACGGUGCUGAAGCCGUCAUCCCAACAGACAUAGAGUUUGACUCCCUGCGAGUCACCAUGUACACCGAGGCGGACGCCAAGGAGGCGCGAGAAGACGGCGUCGACCUGUUGGUGGAAGGCCGGCUGUUGGCACUCAGCUGGUCCGCCAUCUACCAGCAGAGUCUGCGCCAAUACUACAACCACAAGGUGAAGCCAAGAUCUUUCCAAGAGGGAGACCUUGUGCUCCGGCUGAUCUAGCAAGCAGCCGGCCAGCACAAGCUCUCGGCGCCUUGGGAAGGCCCUUUCAUCAUCAUCAAGGUGCUGGGCAAUGACUCCUACUAUCUGAUUGACGCUCAGAAGCCCAGAGCGCGCAAAAGAGAUGAUUUAGGCAAGGAGACGGAGAGGCCGUGGAAUGCAAACCUCCUCCGAAGAUUUUACAGUUGAAAGCAGUAUGUAUCACGCUACCCUUUGUAUUAUGAACAAAGACUCUGGGUCCCCUGAGAAGAACUCGGGGACUACCCUCCUUUUAUCUAUAUGAUAAGUGUUAUGCCUAUGAGUAUGCAUUCUUUUAUCAUUUCCACCUGGCACCGGGUCCGACCAGUCGGCCCGGAGGUUGGCCGUCUUCUACGAUAUGCCGCCUCCUGCAGCCGGACAAGUAAUGUGUUGGCACCUAAAGCUUCCUCUGUCAGAAGCCGUAGCUCGCGAAGCGGCUGAAUGGCGGGCAGGGGUUGCAACACAAUGCCCACAUGAAAAAUGGCUAAGGAAAAAACAUAUAUAGUCGAGGUUGGCACCACACCUGUUCGGCCGGCUGCCGAGCAGACGGCCGGCCGAGUUCUACUUCACUUGCCAAAAUCUCCAAACGGCUAAGUACUUACCCUCCCGCAAAAAAGCUAAGUACUCAAACCAGCCGCAGUCCGUAGAGCGGCUGCUUGGUUGGCAAGAGGAAAGCUAAGGGAGGGCGGCAAAGGAAAAAGCAAGGGGUAUAAAGCAAAGAAAGACAGAAGUCGACAAAGCAAAAAUUGCGAUAAGAUAUUUACAUAGAUAAAGGCCCAUCGGCCGGCAUUCAACAAGUUUGAUAUACACCCCACGGGUGGAAUUGUGUGAAUUUAAUCAAAAUGUCCCGACUAGGAAGAAGUAAAAGGAAAAGAUAAACAUCCUAAGGAGCAGCAAAAGUUUCCGGCUGGGCACUGGGGUCGGCUGUGCCGGUUGGCGCGGCAGGCGGCUUCGGCUGGGCACUGGGGUCGGCUGUGCCGGUUGGCGCGGCAGGCGGCUCCGGCUGGGCGCUGGGGUCGGCAGUGACUGUUGGCACCGCAGACGGCUCUGGCUGGACGUUGGGGUCGGCAGUGCCAGUUGGUACUGCAGGCGGCUCUGGCUGGAUGAUGUAGUCAGCAGCGCCGGCUGACGCGGCAGGCGGCUCCGACUGGGCAUUGGAUUCCACGACACCAGUCGGGACGACGGAGGGCUGGAUGACGGAGUCUGUGGCGCCCGUCGGAGGCACGGGCGGCUGGCCGAUCUCCGUUUGGUUGCCUCCAGCAGUAGUCGGUGCCUUGGAGCGUGGAUCGUUGCUUGAGGCCCGGUCAGGUGGGGGCUGACCAUCCGCCCCAGCUUCUGGCAUGUCAUCAUCACACUCCUCCUCCCCCCCUUCAUCACUAGAGUUGAUGACCUCGGCCGAGUCCUCGCUGUCCUCCGGGUUCAGCCCGAGCCACUCCCGCGGCGCCUCGGCGCCUUCCUCGACCACCUCCGGAACGAAGAUGCUGGUGUCGGUGAAGUCGGCUAUCGCUGCCGCCCUGUUGAUAAGCUCGGCUUCCACUGCCACCAGCUCCUCCUGCAUCUCCAGCCAGAACAUGGCUAACUGGGCUAGAUCUAGCCUAGGAUACCACGCCUUGACAAACUCAAGGGCCCGGCACGCUCCUGCUCGGGCUGCAGAGCCUUUCCAAGUCUCCAGACGGCCAGCCACCACCUCCAGCAAGUCGGCAGUCCGACUUGGGGUGCUCAGAGCCGGCAAGCCUGGCCAGAGGGCGGAAACCGCUUGGGCCCCGACGUGCUGAAGACGGCGCAUCACUUGAUGGGCGGGCCUGGAUGCUGAGGAUCUACUCGUUGAGGGCCCGGGGGGCGUCGGCGGCAAUCUGCACACCUUCCGCCCUCUGCUCCGCGCGCUGGGCCUCGAUGAUUUGAUUUGCGGUGACGGAGUGACCCAGGAAGAAAUCUGCUCGGGUAGAAGGCAAGAAGAACAAAGUCAGAAACAAGCAGUCGGCUUAGACAAAGGCCGGCAGCUCAAGACAAGAAAUAAGAAGAAUAAAAGCUUACCGUCGACCAAAUCCUCGAUGCUGCUGAAGCAGGCCGUCGUCUUAAGCAGAUCGGUCUCCUUCGCCUUUGCCUCCCACUGGGCCGUCUUGAGGGCCUCCGUCUGCUCGGCGAGCUGAGCGACCAGCCGGUCUCGCUCCUCGGUCAGCUUGCUGCACUCCGCCUCCUUGCCGCGCAGAGCGGUGUUGGCUUCGCCCAGCUGCUGCUGCAAGGCGGCGUUGGCCUUUGUAAAUGGAAAAGAAGAAAGAGCAUCAAUCAAAAAGACAAAGAGGGACGCAGUUGCCGGGAGAUCCGGCCCGACUGCUCAGCAGUCGGCCCGAGCAGUCGGCCCGAAUCUCGGGGACUACAGCCCGCGGGUGCGCCAUCGCACCCCCGCAGAGAAGAAGCAGUUAACAAAGGUAGAUCCACUGAGGAGAUUCGGCUCGACUGCUCAGCAGUCGGCCCGAACCUCGGGGACUACAGCCCGCGGGUGCGCCAGCGCGCCCCCGCAAAAAAAGAAGAAAGUCGAAGCUUACUCCGGCUCUCGGACAGAUGGGAGGUCUGCGUCUCCAGCUCCCAAACCCUGGAGUUGUAGGCGACCGCACGAAGAUUGUGGUAGUCCUGCAGAAGGGAUACCAGACGAAGUCAGCAUUUGACACUCGCAAGAUAAAGUUCAGGACCAUCUGCUCAGCAGCCGGCCCGAAACUUGGGGACUACACCUAGUGGGUGCCCUUGCGCGCCCCCACGAAGGAAGCAAGAAGAUCAAGCAAUGAAGAGAUCCAAAGAAGACUUAUGCGGAUGGCGGCCCGCGAGUCCAGGAAAGCCUCGUUGCAGCGCUUGAGGGCUUCGGCUUCGGCCCGGAGUUUGGCCUGGACAUCAAGGGACGCCUGGUUCAGGGCGCCCGUCCCGCCCCCGCGUAUCCAGCCGACCGGUGCAGUGCUGGUCCCCUUGGUGUCAGGAACCGACGAGCUCAUGGCACCGGCCUCCAACGGCCAUGGUGCUGAAGCCGCCUUCUCACGACAGCGGCGUACGGGUGUGCGGACCUCAGGAGUAAGGUCCGUCACCACCACGUCCCCAGCUGGUGGCACUGGCGGCCCAGCCGGCUGCUCGGCCUGCGUCUCGCUUGUCGGCGGCGGCGGCACGAUGACGUCCGGCAUGGCCACGUCGCCACCCUCCCUCUCCAUGACUGGCUGCUCAUCGCCGACUCCUCUGGUCGUCGCCUCGAACUCCGGCGGGGAGGCGCGGUGUUCAAAGGCGUCACGAGCAGUGGCUCCUGGCGGCGUGCAGCCUCCGCGAGCCGCUCCCUCUUCGCGGCUUCGGCCUCCUCCUGUGCUAACUUCCUCGCCGCGGAUUCUACAGCCUUGUCCGCCGCCGCCUUCGGCAGACGGCCAGGCUCUUCCUCACGCGCCUCCCGCGCAUUCCGUUCUAUCGCCUCCCGGAGGUCGGCGGCUGAAUCAAUUCUUCGGCUGGUGGAGGAGGUCGCCGCUGACCUGAUGACCGAUCCGGCUCCCGACUUCUCGAGAGUUAGCGGGGCCUUGGGAUGAGAAGACAAGUCGGAAAGUUUGUUCAGGCCGGAUCGGCGAAGAAGUGGAAAGCAUGGGAAGAACACUUACGCUGACACCAUAACCGUCACCUUCGGUUGCCUCUGAUAUUUGGCCACCUUGGCUGCGGCUUUCUUCCGCCUGGUCGCCGCGACCGGGUUUUUGGGCUUCUUCGGCACGCUGCCAAACAGGGCAGCGCCUUGCCUCCGCUUGCGCUUGCCUCCACGGGCGUGCGGCCCAGAAGAUGGGCCGGUGCCAGUGUUGGCAGUGCUCCGGGCGGGGCACGGCUCGUCUUCAUCAUCGUCAUCAUCGAGCCAAGUCUCCAUGCCGCCGCCCUCCUCGGAGCCGCUUGCCCCACCGCUGCCGCCUGUUGCGUCGUCCGCCAGGGUGGCCGCCCCCAAGUCGGGGCCGUCCACAUCACUCAUCGCCCUGUCCGGCAGGUAGUCGCCACCCGGCCCCACGAUGGCGGCCAUCGCCUCGGACAUAUAAAUAUGCACUCCAGAAUGGAGUCGCAUCAACAAGAACAAGACUGAGAAACAGAGCUGAAGGAAGAAAUGAAGGAACUUACGGCAGGCAUCGACUCGUCGUGGGAGUACGGCCGCUUCCCGUACCGCCAGUUACUCUCCGACAGCUUGAGGUCGGAGAUCUCGUUCACCAUCUGCGCGACCUCGGCAGUCGGUAUCUCCUUCGUACACAGGCUGGGGUCGCGGUGCCCGCUCAUCCGAAAGAUCGGAUGAGGGCGGCCCUGGAGAGGGAGGACUCGGCGCUCGGCGAAGGCGAUGAGGAGGUCAGAGCCCAUGAGGCCCUCCAGCUCCUGGAGCACCCGGAGUCGGCCGAUGGAGGCCGCGGCAUCCGGCGACACCGGCUUCGGCUUGUAGCCCCAGUUGGGCCGGAGCCCGGUGGGAGGACCGGCCUCGUAGGCCGGCAGGUUGAUGAAGUCGACAGCCGGAUCGACGUUCUCAACGUAGAAGUAAGAUUGCUGCCACAUCUUUACAGACUGUGGCAGCUUGACGACGGGGAAGGCGUUCUGUUUUGCCAGCCGGCGCACGGCGACGAACCCGCUGCACUCGGCCGCCGUCUCCUUGGUAGAGGUGCCAAGCUUCCCAUAGAAGAAUGCUCCCCACAGCUCGAGUGUGGGGAGGAUGCCGAUGUAGCCCUCGCACGCCAUGACGAAGGCGGAGAGUAGAGUCACGGUGUUGGGCGUGAGGUAAUGAGGUUGGAGGUGAUUGAAGUCGAGGAACGAGCGGAGGAAGCCGCUCACUGGAAGGCCGAAACCGCGGAGGAUGUGCGAGCGGAAGACGACCCGCUCGUUCCCCUUGGCGCCGGCGAAAUCUCUGCCUCCGGCGGCACCUGCGCCUUGACGAAUGUCGCGUUCGGCAUCCGGCGCGUGUCGCGGAGGAAGAAGAUGUGAUCCUCGAUCACCGUCGAUCCGUCCCAGUCGCCUCCCUUCUCGCGCGCCAUGGCUUCAGGCAGGGCCGCGAAGGAGGAGGAGUGCAUUGGCGGCGAACGGCGGCAGCACCACGGCAUCACAGAGCAUCAGUGGCAGCGAUGGAGGAGAGAGCAGAGGAAGAAGAGAGAGUGGGAGGGGGCGCGCGAGCUUUGUCGCACCCCUCCCUCCCCCUACUUAUAGCCCCUGGGGUACGAAGCCGAGGGGGCGGGGAAUGGGUCGUGGGAUUAACUGCGCCCACGACCCCACAACCCCCCAUUUUCCGCGCGCAUUCACCAUGCCUCGAGCGGUCGUGGGGAUCGCAACCGCCGCCCUCGGCGCAGAAGAUCUGCCCGGCUGCCGAAGCGCGGUAGUGGCGGGCACGGCCCGCUGUCACGUCCCAUCAGGAGCGUUGGAUGGCAGGCUGGCCGGGUUGGCGUGCGUCGCUUGGCGCGUCUGUGGCGGGCGGCGGCCCUGGGAGGCUUAUCAGGCACGCUACCUGUUUUCUCGCCUUAAAGUUCAAACAACGACCAAAAGGUCCCGCCAGGCCAAGGCCGACUCCUGCAAUCGGCUAACCACGAGGUGGACCGAACAUUUUUUCCGGAGCUCGGUGGGGAGGGAAGCCACCGAGACUUCGCGGCCUCUCGACCACAACGCCUCACCGGCUUCGGGGACUACUGUCGGAGUAAUGGGCCACGGGUAGCCUUGCUACCUCUUGAGCACUGCGUUGGAUUUCCCCGAACAGGAGAGGACGAUGCAGUAAAGUAGCGUAAGUAUUUCCCUCAGUUUUUGAGAACCAAGGUAUCAAUCCAGUAGGAGAUCACGCACAAGUCCCUCGUACCUACACAAAACGAUAGCAACUCGCAACCAACGCUUAGGGGUUGUCAAUCCCUUCACGGUCACUUACGAGAGUGAGAUCUGAUAGAGAUAAUAUUUUUGGUAUUUUUGAUAGAUAGAUGCAAAGUAAAAAGUAAAAGGCAAAGUAAAAACAAAGCAAGUAAAUAAAGUAUAUAGAUUGAUAUGAUGAGAAUUGACCCGGGGGCCAUAGGUUUCACUAGUGGCUUCUCUCAAGAGCAUAAGUAUUCUACGGUGGGUGAACAAAUUACUGUUGAGCAAUUGAUAUAAAAGCGAAUAAUUAUGAGAUUAUCUAGGUAUUAUCAUGUAUAUAGGCAUCACGUCCAAAACAAGUAGAUCGAAACGAUUCUGCAUCUACUACUAUUACUCCACUCAUCAACCGCUAUCAAGCAUGCAUCUAGAGUAUUAAGUAAAACAGAGUAACGCUUUAAGUAAGAUGACAUGAUGUAGAGGGAUAAAUUCAUGCAAUAUGAUAAAAACCCCAUCUUGUUAUCCUCGAUGGCAACAAUACAAUACGUGCCUUGCAACUCUUUCUGUCACUGAGUAAGGACACCGCAAGAUUGAACCCAAAGCUAAACACUUCUCCCAUGGCAAGAACUACCAAUCUAGUUGGCCAAACCAAACGGAUAAUUCGAAGAGACUUGUAGAGAUAACUCCAUCAUACAUAAAAGAAUUCAGAGAAGAAUCAAAUAUUGUUCAUAGAUAAGCUGGAUCAUAAACCCACAAUUUAUCAGUCUCAACAAACACACCGCAAAAAGAAGAUUACAUCGAAUAGAUCUCCACAAGAGAGGGGGAGAACAUUGUAUUGAGAUCCAAAAAGAGAGAAGAAGCCAUCUAGCUAAUAACUAUGGACCCGAAGGUCUAAGGUAAACUACUCACACUUCAUCGGAGAGGCUAUGGUGUUGAUGUAGAAGCCCUUCGUGGUAGAUGCCCUCUCCGGCAGAGCUCCGGAACAGGCCCCAAGAUGGGAUCUCGCGGAUACAUAAGGUUGCGGCGGUGGAAUUAGGUUUUUGGCUCCGUAUCUGAUCUAACGGGGGUACGUAGGUAUAUAUAGGAGGAAGGAGUACGUCGGUGGAGCUUCAAGGGGCCCACGAGACAGGGGNNNNNNNNNNNNNNNNNNNNNNNNNNNNNNNNNNNNNNNNNNNNNNNNNNNNNNNNNNNNNNNNNNNNNNNNNNNNNNNNNNNNNNNNNNNNNNNNNNNNNNNNNNNNNNNNNNNNNNNNNNNNNNNNNNNNNNNNNNNNNNNNNNNNNNNNNNNNNGACCGCCUCUGGCACUUCUUGGAGUAGGGUCCAAGUCUCCUGGAUCACGUUCGGUGAGAAAAUCACGUUCCCGAAGGUUUUAUUCCGUUUGGACUCUGUUUGAUAUUCUGUUUCUUCGAAAUACUGAAAUAGGCAAAAAACAACAAUUCUGGGCUGGGCCUCCGGUUAAUAGGUUAGUCCCAAAAAUAAUAUGAAAGUGGAAAAUAAAUCCCAAUAUAGUCCAAAACAGUAGACAAAGUAGCAUGGAGUAAUCAAAAAUUAUAUAUACGUUGGAGACGCAUCAAGCAUUCCCAAGCUUAAUUCCUGCUCGUCCUUGAGUAGGUAAAUGAUAAAAAAGAAUUUUUGAUGCGGAGUGAUACUUUGGCAUAAUUUCAAUUUAAAUCUUCUUAAUUGUGACAUGAAUAUUCAUAUCUGAAAGAUUCAAGACAAAAGUUUAUAUUAACAUAAAAGUAAUAAUACUUCAAGCAUACUAAUCAAAGUAAUCAUGUCUUCUCAAAAUAACAUGGUUAAAGAAAGUUAUCCCUACAAAAUCAUAUAGUCUGGCUAUGCUCUAUCUUCAUCACACAAAGUAUUUAAUCAUGCACAACCCCGAUGACGAGCCAAGCAAUUGUUUCAUACUUUAGAAAUCUCAAACUUUUUCAACUUUCACGCAAUACAUGAGCGUGAGCCAUGGACAUAGCACUAUAGGUGGAAUAGAAUGGUGGUUGUGGAGAAGACAAAAAGGAGAAUAUAGUCUCACAUCAACUUGGCAUAUCAACGGGCUAUGGAGAUACCCAUCAAUAGAUAUCAAUGUGAGUGAGUAGGAAUUGCCAUGCAACGGAUGCACUAGAGCUAUAAGUAUAUGAAAGCUCAACAAAAGAAACUAAGUGGGUGUGCAUCCAACUUGCUUGCUCAAGAAGACCUAGGGCACUUUUGAGGAAGCCCAUCAUUGGAAUAUACAAGCCAAGUUCGAUAAUGAAAAAUUCCCACUAGUAUAUGAAAGUGAUAACAUAUGAGACUCUCUAUCAUGAAGAUCAUGGUGCUUAAUUUUGAAGCACAAGUGUGGAAAAAGGAUAGUAGCAUUGUCCCUUCUCUCUUUUUCUCUCAUUUUUUUAUUUUUUUNNNNNNNNNNNNNNNNNNNNNNNNNNNNNNNNNNNNNNNNNNNNNNNNNNNNNNNNNNNNNNNNNNNNNNNNNNNNNNNNNNNNNNNNNNNNNNNNNNNNNNNNNNNNNNNNNNNNNNNNNNNNNNNNNNNNNNNNNNNNNNNNNNNNNNNNNNNNNNNNNNNNNNNNNNNNNNNNNNNNNNNNNNNNNNNNNNNNNNNNNNNNNNNNNNNNNNNNNNNNNNNNNNNNNNNNNNNNNNNNNNNNNNNNNNNNNNNNNNNNNNNNNNNNNNNNNNNNNNNNNNNNNNNNNNNNNNNNNNNNNNNNNNNNNNNNNNNNNNNNNNNNNNNNNNNNNNNNNNNNNNNNNNNNNNNNNNNNNNNNNNNNNNNNNNNNNNNNNNNNNNNNNNNNNNNNNNNNNNNNNNNNNNNNNNNNNNNNNNNNNNNNNNNNNNNNNNNNNNNNNNNNNNAGUCUCAUCCCGACUUAUGAGGGAAUCAUAGUCUCCAUCAUCCUUUCCUCACCGGGACAAUGCUCUAAUAAUGAUGAUCAUCACACUUUUAUUUUUCUUACAACUCAACAAUUACAACUCGAUACUUAGAACAAGAUAUGACUAUAUGAAUGCCUCCGGCGGUGUACCGGGAUAUGCAAUGAAUCAAGAGUGACAUGUUUGAAAAUUAUGAAGGUGGCCUUGCCACAAAUACAAUGUCAACUACAUGUUCAUGCAAAAAGCAAUAUGACAAAAGUAAUGCGUGUCAUAUGAACGGAACGGUGGAGAGUUGCAUGGCAAUAUAUCUCGGAAUGGCUAUGGAAAUGCCAUAAUAGGUAGGUAUGGUGGCUGUUUUGAGGAAGGUAUAUGGUGGGUGUAUGAUACCGGUGAAAAGUGCGUGGUAUUAGAGAGGCUAGCAAUGGCGGAAAGGUGAGAGUGCGUAUAAUCCAUGGACUCAACAAUAAUCAAAAGAACUCAUGCACUUAUUGCAAAAAUUUAGAAGUCAUCAAAAACCAAAGCAUUAAACGCAUACUCCUAGGGGGAUAGAUUGGUAGGAAAAGACCAUUGCUCGUCCCCGACUGCCACUCAUAAGGAAGACAAUCAAUAAAUAAAAUUGUGCUCCAACUUCAUCACAAGUGGUUCACCAUACGUGCAUGCUACGGGACUCACAAACUUCAACGCAAGCAUUCUUUAAAUUCGUAAUUACCCCUACUAGCAUUUCUUUAAUAUUAUCACCUCCAUAUCUCAAAACAAUUAUCAAGCAUCAAACUUAUCUUAGUAUUCAUCGCACUCAAAAGAAAGUUUCACAAAUCUUGAAUACCAAGUAUAUUAACAUUAAGCAAAUUACCAUGCUAUUAACAACUCUCAAAAUAAUCUAAGUGAAGCAUGAGAGAUCAAUAGUUUCUUUAAAACAAAUCCACCACCGUGCUCUUAAAGAUCUAAGUGAAGCACUAGAGCAAAAAUUAUUAUGCUUAAAAGAUAUAAGUGAAGCACUAUGAGCAAAACUAUCAAGCUCAAAAGAUAUAAGUGAAGCACAUAGAGUAUUCUAGCAAAUUCCAAAUCAGGUAUGGCUCUCUCAAAAUGUGUGUACAGAAAGGAUGAUUGUGGCAAACUAACAAGCAAAGACACAAAUAAUAAAGACGCUCCAAGCAAAACAGAUAUCAUGUAGUGAAUAAAAAUAUAGCUCCAAGUAAAUUACCGAUGGAAAUAGACGAAAGAGGGGAUGCCUUCCGGGGCAUCCCCAAGCUUUGACUUUUUGGUGUCCUUGGAUUAUCUUGGGGGUGCCAUGGGCAUCCCCAAGCUUAGGCUCUUGCCACUCUUUGUUCCAUAAUCCAUCAAAAGAAUUCACCCAAAACUUGAAAACUUCACAACACAAAACUCAAUAGAAAUCUCGUGAGCUCCGUUAGUGAAAGAAAACAAAAGACUACUUCAAGGUACUGUAAUGAAAUCAUUCUUUAUUUAUAUUGGUGUUAAACCUACUGUAUUCCAACUUCCUUAUGGUUUAUAAACUAAUUUAUUAGCCAUAGAUUCAUCAAAAUAAGCAAACAACACACAAAAACAGAAUCUGUCAAAAACAAAAUAGUCUGUAGCAAUCUAUAACUAACACAAACUUCUGGAACUCUAAAAAAUCCUACCAAAAUAGUAAGCACUAGAAAAUUUGUUUAUUGAAGAGAAGCAAAAACAAUCAAUGCAAAAGCCCGUUCCUGUGAUUUAUUGAAUUGUUUCUCGUGAGCGCAAAGUUUCUGUUUCUUAGCAGAAUCAAAUCAACUAUUAUUAUAGCUUAUCCUAUAGGUUCUACUUGGCACAAACACUAAUUAAAACACAAAACCACAUCUAAACAGAAAGUAGAAACAAAAUUUAGCACUAAACAGGAACAAAAACAAAGAACACAAAAUAAAAUUGGGUUUCCUCCCAACAAGCGCUAUCGUUUAACGCCCCUAGCUAGGCAUAAAAGCGAAGAUAGAUCGAAGUGUUGCCAUCUUUGGUAGGCAAUCCAUAGGUGGCUCUCAUGAUAUAUUCAUAUGGUAGUUUUAUUUUCUUUCUAGGGAAGUGUUCCAUACCCUUUCUCAAGGGAAAUUGGAAUCUAAUAUUCCCUUCCUUCAUAUCAAUAAUUGCACCAAUCAUUCUAAGGAAAGGUCUACCAAGAAUAAUAGGACAUGAAGGAUUGCAAUCUAUAUCAAGAACGAAAAAAUCUACGGGCACAUAAUUCCUAUUGGCAAUAAUAAGAACAUCAUUAAUUCUUCCCAUAGGCUUUUUAAUAGUGGAAUCUGCAAGAUGCAAAUUUAGAGAGCAAUCCUCAAAGUCACGGAAAUCUAGCAAAUCACACAAAGUUUUGGGAAUAGUGAAGACACUAGCACCCAAAUCACACAAGGCAUGAAACUCAUAAUCUUUAAUUUUUAUUUUGAUAGUAGGUUCCCACUCAUCAUAGAUUUUUCUAGGGAUAGAAACUUUCAACUCAAGUUUUUCUUCAUAAGAUUGCAUCAAGGCAUCAACAAUGUGUUCGAUAAAGGCCUUAUUUUGACUAUAAGCAUGAGGAGAAUCUAGCACGGAUUGUAACAAGGAAAUACAACCAAUCAAAGAGCAAUUUUCAUAAUUAAGUUCCUUGAGAUCCAAAAUAGUGGGUUUAACAACAUCAAGAUUUUUAUUUCUUUCAAUCCCACUUUCAUCAAUUUCAUCAUCAAGAUCUAGAAACUCAGAAUUCUUAGGACGCCUUCUAGGUAAAGGAAGAUCAUAUUCAGAUUCAUCAAGAUUCAUAUUGCAAAACAAAGAUUUAAUGGGGGACACAUCAAUAACUUUUAGAUCUUCAUCUUGAUUUUCAUAGGAAUCGGAAGAACACGCUUUAAUAAAGGCAUCUUUGGAAGCACGCAUCCUAGCGGUUCUUUCCUUGCACUCAUCAAUGGAAAUUCUCAUAGCUUUGAGAGACUCAUUGAUAUCAUGCUUAGGAGGAAUGGAUCUAAGCUUUAAAGAAUCAAUUUGAAGAGAAAUUCUAUCAACGUUCCUAGCCAAAUCAUCAACUUUAAGCAAUUUUUCUUCAAGCAAGGCAUUAAAAUUCUUUUGUGAAUUCAUAAACUCUUUAACACUACUCUCAAAUUCAGAGGGCAUCUUAUUAAAAUUUCCGUAAGAGUUUUUGUAGGAAUUUCCAUAAUUAUUAGAAGGAUUACUAGGAUAAGGCCUAGGAUUAAAAUUCCCUCUAUACGCGUUAUUUCCAAAACUAUUCCUUCCAACAAAAUUCACAUCCAUAGAUUCAUUAUUAUUCUCAAUCAAAGUAGAUAAAGGCAUAUCAUUGGGAUCAAGAGAAGUAUUUUUAGUAGCAAACAUCUUCAUAAGUUCAUCCAUCUUUUCACUCAAAACAUUGAUUUCCCCUAUAGAAUGCACUAUUUUACUAGAAGUUCUUUCAAUAUGCCAUUGAGAAUAAUUAGCCAUAAUAUUUUCAAGCAAUUUUGUAGCAUCUCCUAACGUAAUUUCCAUAAACGUGCCUCCUGCGGCCGAGUCUAAGAGAUUUCUAGAAGCAAAAUUUAAUCCGGCAUAAAAUUUUUGUAUGAUCAUCCAUAAAUUCAAACCAUGAGUAGGGCAAUUUCGAAGCAUCAAUUUCAUUCUUUCCCAAGAUUGGGCAACAUGCUCAUGAUCAAGUUGUUUAAAAUUCAUGAUAUCGUUCCUAAGAGUGAUGAUCUUAGCGGGAGGAAAAUAUUUAGAGAUAAAAGCAUCUUUGCACUUGUUCCAAGAAUCAAUACUAUUUUUAGGCAAAGACGAAAACCAAAUUUUAGCACGAUCUCUAAGUGAAAACGGAAAUAAAUUCAAUUUGACAAUGUUGUUAUCCGUAUCUCUCUUCUUUUGCAUAUCACACAAAUCAACAAAAUUGUUUAGAUGAGUAGCGGCAUCUUCACUAGGAAGGCUGGCGAAUUGAUCUUUCAUAACAAGAUUCAGCAAAGCAGUAUUGAUUUCACAAGACUCAUCAUUAUUAAGAGGAGCAAUCGUAGUACUAAGGAAAUCAUUAUUAUUGGUAUUCGAGAAAUCACACAAUUUGGUAUUAUCUUGUGCCAUGGAAACAAGUAAUCCAACACACAAGCAAAGGCAAACGAGAAAAAGGUAAAAGAGAAAGAGAGGAGGAGAUUGGGAAAGAGAGGGCGAAUAAAAUGGCAAGGGUGAAGUGGGGGAGAGGAAAAUGAGAGGCAAAUAAUGUAAUGUGAGAGAUAGGGAUUGUGAUGGGUACUUGGUAUAGUUGACUUUUGUGCAAACUCCCCGGCAACGGCGCCAGAAAUUCUUAUUGCUACCUCUUGAGCACUGCGUUGGAUUUCCCCGAAGAGGAGAGGAUGAUGCAGUAAAGUAGCGUAAGUAUUUCCCUCAGUUUUUGAGAACCAAGGUAUCAAUCCAGUAGGAGAUCAUGCACAAGUCCCUCAUACCUACACAAAACGAUAGCAACUCGCAACCAACGCUUAGGGGUUGUCAAUCCCUUCACGGUCACUUCCGAGAGUGAGAUCUGAUAGAGAUAAUAUUUUUGGUAUUUUUGAUAGAUAGAUGCAAAGUAAAAAGUAAAAGGAAAAGUAAAAACAAAGCAAGUAAAUAAAGUAUAUAGAUUGAUAUAAUGAGAAUAGACCCGGGGGCCAUAGGUUUCACUAGUGGCUUCUCUCAAGAGCAUAAGUAUUCUACGGUGGGUGAACAAAUUACUGUUGAGCAAUUAAUAGAAAAGCGAAUAAUUAUGAGAUUAUCUAGGUAUGAUCAUGUAUAUAGGCAUCACGUCCAAAACAAGUAGAUCGAAACGAUUCUGCAUCUACUACUAUUACUCCACUCAUCGACCGCUAUCCAGCAUGCAUCUAGAGUAUUAAGUAAAACAGAGUAACGCUUUAAGUAAGAUGACAUGAUGUAGAGGGAUAAAUUCAUGCAAUAUGAUAAAAACCCCAUCUUGUUAUCCUUGAUGGCAACAAUACAAUACGUGCCUUGCAACUCUUUCUGUCACUGAGUAAGGACACCGCAAGAUUGAACCCAAAGCUAAACACUUCUCCCAUGGCAAGAACUACCAAUCUAGUUGGCCAAACCAAGCGGAUAAUUCGAAGAGACUUGUAGAGAUAACUCAAUCAUACAUAAAAGAAUUCAGAGAAGAAUCAAAUAUUGUUCAUAGAUAAGCUGGAUCAUAAACCCACAAUUCAUCGGUCUCAACAAACACACCGCAAAAAGAAUAUUACAUCGAAUAGAUCUCCACAAGAGAGGGGGAGAACAUUGUAUUGAGAUCCAAAAAGAGAGAAGAAGCCAUCUAGCUAAUAACUAUGGACCCGAAGGUCUGAAGUAAACUACUCACACUUCAUCGGAGAGGCUAUGGUGUUGAUGUAGAAGCCCUCCAUGGUAGAUGCCCUCUCCGGCAGAGCUCCGGAAUAGGCUCCAAGAUGGGAUCUCGCGGAUACAGAAGGUUGCGGCAGUGGAAUUAGGUUUUUGGCUCCGUAUCUGAUCUGAUGGGGGUAUGUAGGUAUAUAUAGGAGGAAGGAGUACGUCGGUGGAGCUCUGAGGGGCCCACGAGGCAGGGGGCGCCCUCCACCCUCGUGACCGCAUUUGGCACUUCUUGGAGUAGGGUCCAAGUCUCCUGGAUCACGUUCGGUGAGAAAAUCACGUUCCCGAAGGUUUUAUUCCGUUUAGACUCCGUUUGAUAUUCUGUUUCUUCGAGAUACUGAAAUAGGCAAAAAACAACAAUUCUGGGAUGGGCCUCCGGUUAAUAGGUUAGUCCCAAAAAUAAUAUGAAAGUGGAAAAUAAAGCCCAAUAUAGUCCAAAACAAUAGACAAAGUAGCAUGGAGUAAUCAAAAAUUAUAGAUAUGUUGGAGACGUAUAAAGCCUCACCCGGGUCCCUGGAUUUAUCAAGACUUUGGGCCAGCUCCACCUUGAUGAGCCCCAAGCUGAAGCUCCGCCCUCCGGGGGCCGGCUAGCUCGACAGCCGGCCACCAGAGGGCGGCCAACUACCAGCCGACGGCAUCAUGAGCGGCCGACUCCAGCCAGCCGGCUUCUAGAGAGGGCGGCAUCAGGCAGGCGGCCCCCUCACGCCCUUAGAGUUUGUGCCCCCUUCAAGAGGACGUGGUGGGGCGUGGCUACAGUGAAGCCCUCAGCCCCGAAUCAUGGGUUCAGUGUGGCCAUAGUGCCCCGUACGGACGGAGAUCUUGGCAUGGCAUGGCACUGUUGCCACCUACCCUUGACGUCACACUGGACAGGCGGAGCCUUGCUCCCCACGACGGACUGUUGGUAUGGCCCAUGGGCUGCAGGCCCUCCCAGGCAGCGACACCCCAAAGGACGAUGCACGCCGGAUCGGUCGGAACAGGGGAGGGCCGGCCUCCAACAGGAGGCCGUUCCCACCCUCGAAGCAAGGGCGCCAUUAACCUGAUGAGACCAGGUGUGGCUAUAGUGAUCUCCCACCAGGCGGCGGGACUGUAGCCACGCUGAGCUGACCAAGCCCGCGUCAUUAGAGGCACGGCUACAGUGAGCGGCCUGUCGGCUCCGUACCAGACCAGCCGGCAGGGCGCGUCAGGUGGCGGGCCUCAGUAGUCGGCGGAGAAGCCGGAGGCCGGAGACGCUGACAGCCGGGCUCAGCAGCCGACCAGAUUACCACUCUGAUAGAACUAGCCAGAUCACUAGAGCAGGGGACAACUAGCCUUGCCUUCUCCUACCUCUAGCAUAUAGCUCAAGGAGCACAUUUGUAUCACUGAAGCCAUAGUGAUCAUGCGGAGACCCCGCAAAGCAGGAGUAGGGGUAUUAUCUCCAAGGAGAGCCCCAAACCUGGAUAAAGUACGUCGGCGUUCGUGUCUACGCCUCAUCCAGCUUCCAGGCACCGGGGACAUUCUACUCGCUCCCACCAUGAUAAGCCAUCCUUUGGCAUAUGUCGCACCCAACCCCCGAAAAAAAGGAAAAGAAAACGGAAAGAAAAAACAAAAAGAGGAAAGCUGAGUUAGUAAUCACAACUGGUGUGGUUUCUCCGACGGUUAUUGCAGUUAAUAGAGAGCAGAGAGGUCGCGAGUUCAAAUCCUUCGGACGCCCUCAAUUUUGUGGUUUAAUAGAAUUAGAAAAAAAACUAAACGGGUCAGCCCAGCGUGGAGGGGAUGUGCGCCCAUUUGCAAAAUGCACAAUAACGAGCGCCAGCUGCGCCCGGGCACCAAAUCGCCACGCCGAGGGUUCCUUUUCUAGUUAUAUGUCUCCCACCAGCACACAGACACAAAAAAGCAAGAGGUUAAAUCCUAUUAGUUGCGUUCUUAGGGCAUCUCCGAUGGCAACUCGCAAAUUUUCUCCCACAUCCGUCUGUGGAUAGGGGAGACCAUUCUGUGGACAUGGAUGCGGGAGACCGCCAUCCAACCAUCAUAGCCGCAUACUCCCUCUGUCUUUUAAAGAGCGAACUUCCAACUUUGUUGGAAAGUCAAACCUUUUUAUGCUUGAAGGUAUUUAUACAAUAAUGCACCAACAUUUAUGCCAUCAAAUUAGUAGCAUUAGAUUCAUGAUAAAAUAUAUUUUCAUCAUAUACCUAUUUGGUUUCAUAAACAUUGAUAUAUUUUUGCACAAACUCGAUCAAACAUUGAGAUAGUUUGACCCUCCAACAAAGUUGGAAGUACACUCUUUAAAGGAUGGAGGGAGUAUAUUUUAUCAACGUUUCAAACUAAUUGGAUGAAAUUCGAUCAAACUGGGCAGAUUUCAUUGAAGUUCGAACAUAAUUUACAAAUAAGGUCGAUAUUUUGACCAUUUAACAAAACAACAUAAACCCUAUAAUGGACAACCUCCUCGUAUGCGUGGUCGCCCUACCCUACAGAGUCACCGCCUCCGUCGGUGUCGUCGUCAUGGUCCCUCGAAUAGCGGAACGGCGUCAGAAGACCGUGGUAGCAUUGUCCGGCAGCUACCUGCCGCUUGCGGAGGAGCCGCUAUGUGUCCUGCUACGCCAUGUAGAGUACUGCUACUCGAAGAGGAGAUGAUGAAGAAGUACAUGAUACAUAAGUAUUUUCUUCAGUUAAGAACCAAGGUUAUCAAUACAGUAGGAGAACCACACAGAACCUCGUUAGCAGUACUUGCACACACAAAAGAAAAUACUUGCACCAAAAGCGAUCAAGGGAGUUGUCAAUCCACUUGGUGGUUAAUUGCAAGGAUCAAAUCUCAUACUCGUAGAUAGAUAAAAUAAAAUAACGACAAUAAAAUUGCAGCAAGAUAUAUUUGAAUUUUAUAUAUGAUAAAAGAUAGACCCGGGGGUCAUUGUUUUUAUUAGAGGCUUUUCUCUCCAACACAUAGUAUACGGUGGGUAAACAAAUUACUAUUGAUCAAUUGAUAGAAAAAGACAUAGUUAUGAGGAUAUUCAAGACAAUGAUUAUGUAUAUAGGCAUCACUUCCGAGACAAGUAGGAUGACUCCUGCCUACAUCUACUACCAUUACUCCACCCGUUGACCGCUAUCCAGCAUGCAUCUAGGGUAUUAAUUUAAUAAAAAAUAGAGUAACGCCUUAAGCAAGAUGAUAUGAUGUAGACAAAGUAAAUCCAAGCAAUUUGAAUAAACCCCAACGUUUUAUCCUUAAUGACAAUAAUACAAAUAGAUGCCAUUUCUCUUUCUCUCACUAGGAUGGAGCACCGCAAGAUCGAACCCAUUACAUUGCACCACUCUCAUUGCAAGAUAAAUCAAUCUAGUUGGCUAAACCAAAUGGAUAGAUCGAAGAGAAAUACAAAGCUAUGACAACCAUGCAUAAAAGAGUUCAAAGAAGACUUGAUAAGUCUCCAACAUAUCUAUAAUUUUUUAUUGUUCCAAGCUAUUAUAGUAUCAAUCCUGGAUAUUUUAUAUGCAGUUACAUAUCAUUUUCUGGGACUAACCUAUUAAACUAGUGCCAAGUGCUAGUUGUUGUUUUUGUCUGUUUUUGGUUUUCCAGGAAAUCAGUACCAAACUGAGUCCAAAUGCUAUGAAACUUUUUGGUGAAUUUUUUCUGGACAUAAGAGACCUUAUAAGCUUUGGGAGGAGGCCAGAAGGUAAAGGAGUAGGCAACAAGCCACUAGGGUGCGCCCAGGGUGGCGCGCCCUAGUAUCUUAUGGGCCCGUCGUGGCUUCAUCUGACCUAAUUCCACCUCUAUAAAUUCUCUAAAAAGGGAAAACCAACAGCAAGCCUGCCAAAAUACUUUUUCUACUGCCGCAAGUCUUUAUUCUUCCACGAUCCCAUCUGGAGGCCUUUUUCGGCACUCUGUUGGAGGGGGAAUCGAUCACGGAGGGCUUCUACAUAUACACCUUGCUGCCCUUCGAAUGAUGUGUGACUAGUUUACCACAGAUCUACGGGUCCAUAGGUAGUAGCUAGAUGGAUUCUUCUAUCUCUUUGAUCUUCGUUCUCCUCAAUGUUCUUGGAGUUCUAUCCAGUGUAAUUUUCUUUUGCAAUGUGUUUGUUGGGAUCCAGUGAAUUGUGGGUUUAUGAUCAAAUUGUUCAUGAUAAAUAUUUGAGUCUUUCUGAAUUCUUAUAUGCAUGAUUACUAUAGAUUUGUAUUUCUCUCCGAUCUAUCUGUGUGGUUUGCCUACUAGAUUGAAUGAACUUGCAAUGGGAGAGGUGCUUUGUAAUGUGUUCAAUCUUGCGUUGAUCUAUAUCCCAGUGAUAGAAGGGGACAAGACACGUAUUUGUAUUGUUGCCAUUAAGGGGAAAAUGACGAGGUUUAUUCAUGUUGCUUGAGUUUACUUUGUCUAAUCAUGUCAUCUUGCUUAAGGCGUUACUCUGUUCUUUAUGAAUUUAAUACUCUAGAUGCAUGCUGGAUAGCGGUCGAUGUGUGCAGUAAUAGUAGUAGAUGCAGGCAGGAGUCAGUCUACUUGUCUCAGACGUGAUGCCUAUAUACAUCAUCAUUGCCUUGAAUAUCAUCAUAACUAUGAACUUUUCUAUCAACUGCAUAACAACAAUUUGUUUACCCACCACAUGCUUUCGUUCGAGAGAGAAGCCUCUAGUGAAAAUUAUGGCCCCCAGGUCUAUCUUUUAUCAUAUUUAAAAUCCGAAAAUAUCUUGCUGCAAUUUAGUUAGCGUUCUUUAAUUUUGGGUUUUUUAUUUUAUCUAUCUAUCACUAUGAGACUUGAUCCUUGCAAUUAACUGCCAAGGGAUUGACAACCCCUUGUUUGCGUUGGGUGCAAAUAUUUGCUUUUGUGUGUGUGGGUGCUACUAAUGAGGUUUCACGUGGUUCUCCUAUUGGAUUGAUAACCUUGAUUCUUAAUUGAGGGAAAUACUUAUCUCUACUAUACUACAUCAUCGUGUCCUCUUCGGGGAAAUCCCAACGCAGCUCAGAAGUAGCAAGACUCAAAUAAUAUUCAUGAGUAAUCUGAUCAUAAACACACAAUUCAUCGGAUCCCAACAAACACACCACAAAAAAGAAUUACAUCGAAUAGAUCUCCAAGAACAUCGUGGAGAACAUUGUAUUUAAGGUCAAAGAGAGAGAAGAAGCCAUCUAGCUAUGGAACUGUAGGUCUGUUGUAAACUACUCACGCAUCAUUGGAAGGGCAACAAGGUUGAUGUAGAAGCCCUAAGUGAUCGAUUCCCCCUCCGAUAGAGUACCAGAACAGAGACUUGAGGCGGCGAAAAAAGUGUUUCAGGUGGCUCUCUGAUGUAUUGCGAAUAUUUGCAAAUUUAUAGAGGCGGAAUUAGGUCAAGAAGUGCCACAAGGGGCCCACAAGCCUGGGGGCGUGCUGGUGAGCUUGUCGCUCCCUCGUGGCUCCUCUGGUCUUCUCCCGAACCUUCUAGGGUCUCUCUUGGUCCAGAAAAAAUUGUCAAAAACUUUCAUAGAAUUUGGACUUAGUUUGGUAUUGAUUUCCUGAAAAGCUGAAAACAACCAAAAAACAUAAACUGGCACUGGGCACUAGGUUAAUAAGUUAGUCCCAAAAAUUAUAUGUAAUUGCAUAUAAAACAUCCAAGAUUGGUACUAUAGUAGCAUGGAAUGAUAAAAAAUUGUAGAUACAUUGGAGAGGUAUCAAGCAUCCCGAAGCUAAAUUCCUACUCGUCCUCAAGUAGGUAAAUGAUAAAAACAAAAUUUUGAUGUGGAAUGCUACCUAUCAUGUUCAUCAUGUAAUAUUUCUUUUGUAGUAUGAAUAAUAAGAUCCAAAUGAUUCUAUGCAAUAGUCUGUAAUUUGAUAUAAGGACAUAAAUACUCAGACAUACUAACAAACAAUCAUGCCUUUCAAAAUAAAAAUGCUAAAUAAAGUUAUCCCUACAAAAUCAUAUAGUCUUGCCAUGCUCCAUCUUCUUAACACAAAGUAUUUAUCAUGCACAACCCCGAUGACAAGCUGAGCAAUUGGUUCAUAUUUUAUAACGCGCUUUAGCUUUUUAAACCCCCACGCGAUACAUGAGCGUAAGCCAUGGAUAUAGCACUAUGGGUGGAAUAGAAUGCGGUGGUAGAGAUUAAUAAGGGGAAGUCAAAAAAAUAAGAAAGUCUCACAUCGACAAUGCUAAUCAGCGGGCUAUGGAGAUGCCCAUCAAUUGGUGUCAAAGCAAGGAGUAGGGAUUGCCAUGCAACAGAUGCACUAAGAGCUAUACGUGUAUGAAAGCUCAAACAGAAAACUAAGUGGGUGUGCAUCCAACUUGCUUGCUCAUGAAGACCUCAGAAAUUUGAGGAAGACCAUCAUCUGAAUAUACAAGCCAAGUUCUAUACUGAAAAAUUCCCACUAGUAUAUGAAGUGAAAGCAUAGGAGACUCUCUAUAUGAAAACAUGGUGCUACUUUGAAGCACAAGUGUGGAAAAGGAUAGUAGCAUUGCCCCUUCUCUCUUUUUCUCUCAAUUUUUGUGGGCUUGUUUUGGCCUAUUUUUCUAUUUCCUCACUGUGAUAAUGCUCUAAUAAUGAAUAAUGAUGAUCAUCACACUUCUAUUUACUUACAACUCAAAAUUACAACUAAAUACUGAACAAAAUAUGACUAUAUAUGAAUUCCUCUGGCAGUGUACCAGGAUGUGCAAUGAUCUAGUGUAACAUGUAUAAAAAAGAUGAACUGUGGCUGAGACACAAAUACUAUGUCAGCUAUAUGACCAUGCAAAGCAAUAUGACAAUGAUGAUGUGUGUCAUAUAAAUGGAAAGGGUGGAACUUGCAUGGCAAUAUAUAUCAGAAUGGCUAUUGAAAUGCCAUGAUAGGUAGGUAUGGUGACUAUUUUGAGGAACAUAUAAGGAGGCUUAUGUGUGGUAGAGCAUAUCAUACCAUGGGGUUUGGACGCACCGGCAAAGUUUGCACCAACUUUCGAGGUCAGAAAGGGCAAUGCAUGGUACCGACGAGGCUAGGAAAUUGAGGAAAGGUAGGAGUACGUAUAAUCGAUGGACUCACAUUAGUUAUAAAGAACUCACAUACUUAUUGUGAAAUCCUAUUAGCCCUCGAAGAAAAGUACUACUCGCAUGCCCCUGGGAAUUGGUUGGUAGGAGUUAGCCAUCUAAUAACCCACAAGUAUAGGGGAUCGCAACAUUUUUUGAGGGUAGGGUAUUCAACCCAAAUUUAUAGAUUCGACACAAGGGGAGCCAAAGAAUAUUUGUAGGUAUUAGCAAUUGAGUUGUCAAUUUAACCACACCUCAAGAUUAAAUAUCUGCAGCAAAGUGAUCAGUAGCACAUUAAUAUGAUAGUUUGAUAGUAGUAGUAAUAGAACCAGUGGUGUCACAGCCCUAGAAUUGAUUGCAAUUAGUUGCAUCAGCAUCUUGCAUCAUGUGUAAAAUUAAUUGAAACUUGAAAUGGGGGAUGACCAAACCCUAGUGUGGGAGUCCUGGACUAGGGGGUCCUUGGGCGUCCGAUCUAUUGGAUAUGGGCCGGACUGAUGGGCCGUCGAUAUACAAGAGAGAAGACCACCACUCGUGUCCGAUGGGGACUCUCGUGUGUGUGGAUGGCAAGUAUAGGUGUCCGGAUAUGUUAUUCCUUUCUAUAAAACCGACUUUGUACAACCCUAGGCCCCUCCGAUGUCUAUAUAAACCGGAGGGUAGAUCGGAGGCAGGAUCACAACAUUGCUGGGCUAGCCAAUCUAGGGCUAGCCAACUCGAUCUCGUGGUAGAUCAACUCUUGUAACCCCUUUACCCUCGAAUAUAAUCAAGCAGGAGUAGGGUUUUACCUCCAUUAAGAGGGCCCGAACCUGGGUAAACACUGUGUCCUUUGUCCAUAGUCACCUUAGGUCCUUAGACAUACAACUUGGCCCCCCUACCUGAGAUAUGCCGGUUUCAACACCGACAUUGGUGUUAUCAUUGAUAGCUCCACUGUAUCGUUGACAGAAGGAUCAAUGGCUCACCUCUUCAUCAACAACGAUGCUGCGUCCAAGGAAACCUUUCUCCCUGGACAGGUUUUUGUGGUUGUGGCUUUGUGCUUUGUGCCAACUCGAUCGGCCGCCUCGAGCAGGCCGAUAGUUAUGCCCCCGGCCACCAGACCAGGUUUGGAAACCUGAACUAUGUUGCUGACAUCCGAGGAGACCUACUCUUCAACGAGUUCGUGGCCUCGGCCGCUACUCUAUGUCCCCGCCAAUAAGACUCUUCGUAUCCCCUGUUAGAUCCUAUCCAGGGGUCAACACUCAUACCCACCUCGGCCUUAGAUCCGGGCGGGUCUCCCUGUCCGAAGACAGGAGAGUGAGCCCCGCCGGACUUCUUCCCCUUGUGGAACUCCCGACUGAAGACCCAGAUGCAAUCUUAGACUUGGCUCUGGGCAAGCAUCCUGAACUACCAAGGUCUGCACUCAGUGGGUCUGAUCAGGUGUCCCAUGCCGAACUCAGCCGAGCAGAUCCGCAGUUUCUGGUCCCACUUUUGCUCCUAGAUGAAAUGUUGGGAUUGAUGCAGACUCUCGAUAUCACUGGGGCUCUUACUCCAAACUGCACCCAGCUCGGGCUGGAGGCUGAGAGCGGGGAAUUUUACCCCCACCCACCACCCACUUAGUAGCCACUGUUAAGGAUUUAACCGACAUGCUGGACUAUGUGUCCGAAGACAUCGACAGUAUGGACGACGAUGUAGACGCCGAGCCGCAACAAGUCCCACCCAUCACGGGGCGUUGGACGACCACUUCAACCUAUGAUGUAUACAUGGUGGACACUCCCUAUAAAAAGGACGACGAGGACAAUUAGAGCCCUGAUGAGGACAAACCCGUCGAUAAACCACCAAAGCACCGACGUUAGCGGCGCUGCUCACGAUCGUGUCAGGUGAAGGAUAGUAACACCGGCACCGGAGGCAAUGAGACUCCAGAUGAUACCGAAGAUCUUGAAUACCCUGUCGAGCCCAUGUCCGAACAAGACGGGAGGGAUGAGGGUGAACAUAGUCCCGAACACGCUGAUCACAAAGAUUCGGAGGAUAGCAACUAUAUGCAAGAAUCCGAAGAGAAGAUCAGCCUGGGCGACGAAGAUUUUAUCGUCCUAGAGGAACCUCUCGAUCAAGAAUGCUUAAAGUUAUAGCUCAUUGCUACAACCCGAAGCCUAAAAAAGAAGAACAAGAUACGCUUAAUGAAAGGUGGACUAAGGUCCUGGCUGCUGAGGAAUACGGCCAUGAGCGACCUGUUAAAAGUUACCCUAAGCGCAAGUUGCUGCCACAGUUCAACGAUGAAGCCCUUGAGCCAAUGCUGUUGAAAUACAAUCAGGCAGACCAACCAGACCGACCACAACGUGGACGGGAUAAAGCGGCAUAUCAAGCCAGACACCUACCUGCACCUCCUCAUCAAAGAGGCAGGGAGACAGCAGCUGCAGGAUACACAUAUGACUUACAACAUGACCUAGCCAAUAAAGCUGGUCAGACUAGAUCAAUCUACGGAUAAAGGGACCGUGCCCCGGCGCGAGACAACAACUAUGAAGCCCGGCAUGACGACCAUUACUAUAAUCGGGAUCAGAACUAAAAUCAGAUGUGAGCCAAUCUCCGCCAUGAUAUUGCACGAUAUAGAGGUGCCGCAUACCCUUUAUGCUUCAUCGAUGAGGUCAUGGAACACUAAUUUCUAGAAGGGUUUAAACCCGUAAACAUCGAAUAGUAUGUUGGAACGACGGAUCCGGCCGUCUGGAUUGAAGAUUUUCUUCUCCACAUCCACAUGGCUUGAGGAGAUGACCUUCAUGCCAUCAAAUAUCUUCCUCUAAAGCCGAAAGGACCAGCAUGACACUGGCUAAACAUCGUGCCAGGAAACUCCAUGGGAACCUGGGAAGACAUGGAAGAUGCUUUUCGGACCACCUUUCAGGGCAUUUAUGUCUGUCCACCGGAUGCUGACGACUUGAGUCACAUAAUCCAGCAGCCAGGCGAAUUAGCCCGCAAGCUUUGGAAUCGGUUCUUAACUAAAAAGAACCAGAUCAUAGAUUGUCCGGACGCCGAAGCCUUAGCGGCCUUUAAACACAGCGUCCGUGAUGAAUGGCUCGCACGACACCUUGGGCAGGAAAAGCAGAAGACCAUAGCAGCCCUAAUGGCACUCAUGACUCGCUUCUGUGCGGGCGAAGAUGGCUAUUUGGCUCGUAGAAGCAACAGCUCGGGUGACCCCGACACUUUUGAGGUGCGGGAUGGCAAUGGUAAAUCUCUCCGCAAUAAAAACAAAUGUCGGAACAACAACAACGAUGACGGAGACGAUACGACAGUCAAUGCCGGAUUCCGCGGUCCUAAGUCUGGUCAGCGGAAGAAACCUUUCAAAGGCAACAAGGACGGGCCAUCUAGCUUGGAUAAAAUCCUCGAGAGGCCUUGUCAGAUUCAUGGCACGCCCGAUAAGCCUACAAACCACACCAACAGGAAUUGUUGGGUUUUCAAACAUGUCAGUAAAAUAAAUACCGAACACAAGGGAAAAGGGCCUCCAAGCGAAGAUGAUGACGAGCCCCGUCAGCCGAACACCGGGGGUCAGAAGCAGUUCCCCCCGAGGUGAAAACAGUGAACAUGAUCUACAUCACUCACAUUCCCAAAAGGGAGCGCAAGCGCGCACUUCGGGACGUCUACGCUGUAGAGCCUGUCGCCCCCAAGUUCAACCCAUGGUCAGCCUGUCCGAUCACCUUUGAUUGCGGGGAUCACCCAACCAAUAUCCGUCACGGGGGCUCGGCCGCCCUGGUACUUGAUCCAAUUAUUGAAAGAUACCACCUUACUAGAGUCCUCAUGGACGGAGGCAACAAUCUCAACUUGGUUUACCAAGACACUGUUUGUAAGAUGUGCAUUGACCCGUCAGGAAUCAAGCCUAGUAACACUACCUUCAAAGGUGUGAUACCAGGAGUGGAGGCCCAUUGCAUGGGCUCACUCACACUAGAGGUAGUAUUCGGCUCCCCAGACAACUUUCGCAGCGAAGAGUUAAUCUUUGAUAUCAUCCCUUUCCGCAGUGGCUACCACACACUGCUCGCACGAACCGCUUUCACCAGCUUCAAUGUAGUCCCGCACUAUGCUUACUUGAAACUUAAGAUGCCCGGACCCCAUGGCGUUAUUACAGUCGAUGGUAACAUGGAGGGCUCCCUCCGUAUUGAGGAGCACACAGCGGCUCUUGCAGCCGAAGUGUAUGGCGGCUUUAUCAAGCCAAACAGUUCACCGGCCAAUAAAAGCCAACGACGUAUCCAAACGAGUCUGGUCCAUGCAUAAUAGCGAUAAAUCAAUGGAUCCAGACCUUGAUUAAUAGUUCGGCCUUCGUAGAUUGCCCUACCAGGUUGUGGCUUGUGUACCACGUGUAUAUAAUUAUGCACUAAAAAUACCUUGGGCGGCGCCGGAGGCACACUACGAAAGAGGUCAAUUGUACGGUUUGACCCUAUCUGGACCGCAUAUACCUUUUUCCUCUUACUGCAGGUUCAUCAAGGGCCCUACUUGCAAGAUGGUUGUUACAGGAGAACCUUUUAAGGCUAGCACUUCCCAACCACCAAACACUCCUCUCAAAGGACUUAUUACUAAGGAGAAAUGGCGCAAACGUGCGGCAGGGAAUCACCGGAAUUUCUUUUUCGAACUAUUAUCUUUAGGCCAUGUGUUAGACUUUCCCUUAUGUAAAACCUUUUCUUUUUUCCAUGGGCAUGUAAUAUGACCUUACAAUUGAACAACACUGUCUGUCAUCGAUGUAUCAAUAAAGAUAUAAAGGAAGCAGAUGAUUACCACCUUCUUGGUUGAUCCUUAUAUUAACCUCUCAUCUGCGUCCCCCCCUUACGUUCGACUACCAUAUGUGGUUCGGCCCGGCCUUCAUGCCAGGGGCUGUCUUUGGCCCCACACAAUUCUUAAGUCCGAACACCUAUAGGGAACUCUUCGACGUCCCGGAUAUUGCAUUAUAUGCAUCGGCUCCAAAUCAUGUCUUUGGUCUAUAGUUGGGUUGCCCGGCUCUUGUGUUUGACACCGUACGUUCCGCAAGUUCGGCUAAGGUAGUAAAGGGAGAACUACUGCGAUUGUAUUUCUGGCUCGUCCGGCUAAGUACCUCAGUAGAGAAAGCCGAAAACUGACUGUCAUGAUAGACGAGAGUAGGUCAGCAAUCCGGUGACUUACUGUUAUACUACAAAUCGUUCAUGAUUUAUGCCGUGUUAUAUGAAGGGCUGGGCUUUCGACCAGCCAUGUUGCAAAGGCGUUGUACUCCGGAUGGUCGUUCAUGCAAAAAGGGGCUAGUACUUAGCGCCACCAAUGGACUCUUAUGGCUAAGUGAAAGUACUAAAGCUGCAUAGUCUAAUUGCCUAGUUCGCCUCGCAAGUCGCCUCCUACAUUGGACCAAGACGUUGGAUAAAGUAUGGUCAUGUGUUUCCGAAUACCCCUGUAAUAUUUACGUUGGGUCUGGAGCUGACGACUGGUAAACUUUCAGACAUAUAAACAGUAGAAUAGGAGGAUAAACUAAUCAUAAAGCAUAGCUAUUAUACAUCAUGAGUUCAUUAUACGACUCUUACAAACUGGACUCAACUAUUCAAAUAUGAUGUCCUUUGAGCACUGGCCCUCUACAAUGCGGGCUCCCUCGAGGACCACAUCAAAGUACUUCUCCGGCCGCCGGUGCUCCUUGCCUUCAGGUGGCCCUGCGGUGGCAAUCUCGGUGGCCUUCAUUUUCGCCCAUUGAACUUUGAUGUGGGCGAAGGCCAUCCGGGCACCUUCUAUGCAGGAUGAUCGCUUGAGGGCAUCGAUCCAAGGAAGAGCAUCCACCAGCCGCUUCACGAGGCCGAAGUGGCUGCUAGGUCUGGGCUCGGUAGGCCACAGACGGACUAUCACAUCCUUCAUGGCCAGUCUGGCCACCCUAUGCAGCUCGGACAACUGCUUCAGCUGGUCACUAAGGGGCACUGGGAGUUCUGGCGUAAGGUACUACCGCCAAAACAACUUCUCCAUGGAGCUCCCCUCUUCGGCAUGGAAGAGUGUGGAGGCAUCCGCAAUACUCCUCAACAGAUCCGCAAAAGCGCCUGGAGAACUCCAAACUCGGAUCAGCAAAAUAUAUCUCUUACUAGUAAAUCUACUCUUCAUGAUAAAGGCCUUACGAGCCGCAAUCUGCCUCGCCUUUUAGAUCUCCUGGCGAGCGCCCCGGGCAUCAACCCGGGCUUCCAUCAUGCUCUCAAGAGCUUUGGUGAGCUCGGAGGCCUGCUCCGAACUCUUCUGCUCGAAGGACUCGCACCUGGCGAUGGCAUCCUUGAGCUCCUGUUCGACCUCCCCCACCCGUGCCUCAUGUCUUCGGCGGGUAGUUUGCUCCUCCUCUAAAUAUUUGGCCGCUUUGUCCGUGGCCGCCUUGCUCGCCUCCGCCUCCUUCUUCGCUUCGGCGAGGGCACUCUUGAGGGACUCGACCUCGACGGCGCCAACUAUGAAUAUAUUCAUAACAAUCUCAGUCAGUUUAAAAUGACUAACACACAUAUAACUUUCGGGUAUGUCGUAAUGCCGCACACCUUGGGUUUUGUUGAACUGCUUGUGCAUGCGCUCGAGUUCCUCAUCAGAUAGCCGAAGCUUCCGAUUGAUCUCGGGAAUCUCUGUGGCCUGAGCAGUAGCUGCCAGCAUCGAAGCGUGUCCAACAAUAUAUACGACAUGUUAUCAACCUGUUUUGAUCCUCCGUACGAAUUGUUCUAAUACGGACAUAGUCUCAUGGGCUACUGUCUACACAUGGGUUCGCCUAACACAUAUAUGUGUAUGAUACGUCUCCAACGUAUCUACUUUUCCAAACACUUUUGCCCUUGUUUUGGACUCUAACUUUCAUGAUUUGAAUGGAACUAACCCGGACUGACGCUAUUUUCAGCAGAACUGCCAUGGUGUUAUUUUUGUGCAGAAACAAAAGUUCUCGGAAUGACCUGAAAAUCCACGGAGGUUAGUUCUGGAAAAUAUAAAAAAUACUGGCGAAAUAAUCAAGGCCAGGGGGCCCACACCCUGUCCACGAGGGUGGGGGGCACGGCCCCCUCCCCUUGGGCGCGCUCCCCUGCCUCAUGGGCCCUCUGGAUGUCCACCGACCUCAACUCGAACUCUAUAUAUUUGCUUUCACGAAGAAACAAAUCAGAGAGAAAGUUUCAUCGCGUUUUACGAUACGGAGCCGCCGCCAAGCCCUAAUCUCUCUCGGGAGGGCUGAUCUGGAAUCCGUUCGGAGCUCCGGAGAGGGGGAUUCGUCGCUAUUGUCAUCAUCAACCAUCCUCCAUCACCAAUUUAUGAUUCUCACCGCCAUGCGUGAGUAAUUCCAUCAUAGGCUUGCUGGACGGUGAUGGGUUGGAUGGGAUUUACCAUGUAAUCAAGUUAGUUUUGUUAGGGUUUGAUCCCUAGUAUCCACUAUGUUCUGAGAUUGAUGUUGCUAUGCUUGUCACUAGGGCCCGAGUGCCAUGAUUUCAGAUCUGAACCUAUUAUGUUUUCAUGAAUAUAUGUGAGUUCUUGAUCCUAUCUUGCAAGUCUAUAGUCACCUAUUAUGUGUUAUGAUCCGACAACCCCGAAGUGACAAUAAUCGGGAUACUUCUCGGUGAUGACCGUAGUUUGAGGAUUUCAUGUAUUCACAAAGUGCUAAUGCUUUGUUCCAGUACUCUAUAAAGGAGGCCUUAAUAUCCCUUAGUUUCCAUUAGGACCUCACUGCCACGAGAGGGUAGGACAAAAGAUGUCAUGCAAGUUCUUUUCCAUAAGCAUGUAUGACUAUAUUUGGAAUACAUGCCUACAUUACAUUCAUGAAUUGGAGCUAGUUCUGUGUCACGCUAUGUUAUAGCUGUUACAUGAUGAACCGCAUCCGACAUAAUUAUCGAUCACUGAUCCAAUGCCUACGAGCUUUUCACAUAUUGUGCUUUGCUUAUUUACUUUACCAUUGCUACUGUUACAAUUACUACAAAACUGCUAUUAUUACUUUUAUCAUUGUUACCAUUACUAUCAUACUACUUUGCUACUAAAUACUUUGCUGCAGAUACUAAGUUAUCCAGGUGUGGUUUAAUUGACAACUCAACUGCUAAUACUUGAGAAUAUUCUUUGGCUCCCCUUGUGUCAAAUCAAUAAAUUUGGGUUGAAUACUCUACCCUCGAAAACGGUUGCGAUCCCCUAUACUUAUGGGUUAUCAAGACUAUUUUCUGGCGCCGUUGCCGGGGAGCAUAGCUCUAUUCUUUGAGUCACUUGGGAUAUAUAUCUGCUGAUCACUAUGAGAAACUUGAAAGACGAAAGAACUAAGAUUUUCCCCUCAACUACGAGGGGAGGUAAGGAACUGCCAUCUAGCUCUGCACUAGAUUCUCCUUCCGUUUUGAGUAAGCUUGCAAUACCCAAACUGCUACUGCUAUGAAUUAUGAUAUGUCGCAUGUUAGUGAUGAUGCCACUUCUUCUAUGCAUGAUACUUAUGAUGAAACUACUUAUAUGCUAGAUAUUGUUGUGCCAUUAGGUGAAUAUCUUGACGAACAACUUGCUAGGGUUAGAGAGAGUGAAAUUAUAGAUGAUGAAAUUAUUGAAGAUAGUGAUGAUAAAGGUUCUCCCCCUAAGUAUGAAUUGCCUGUUGUUCCUGAAGGUUAUGUUAUGGAUGAAGAAACUGCUAGAGACCUUCUUGCUUGCAAUGAUAGAUCUGAUCUUAAGAAGUUAUUAGCUAAACUUAAACAGAAAUAUCUGAAUGCUAGAAUGAAAUAUGACCCUGCUUUUGCUACUUCACCUAUCUUUGUUACUGAUAAGGAUUAUGAAUUCUCUGUUGAUCCUGAAAUAAUUACUUUGGUUGAAUCUGAUCCUUUUUAUGGCUAUGAAUCUAAAACUGUUGUGGCACAUCUUACUAAGUUGAAUGAUAUAGCCACCCUGUUCACUAAUGAUGAGAAAUCUCGCUACUACUAUAUCCUUAAGAUAUUUCCAUUCUCAUUAAAGGGUGAUGCUAAAACUUGGUUUAAUUCUCUUGAUCCUGGUUGUGUGUGUAGUCCCCAGGAUAUGAUUUAUUACUUCUCUGCUAAAUAUUUCCCUGCUCAUAAGAAACAAGCUUCCUUGAGGGAAAUAUAUAAUUUUGUGCAAAUUUAAGAAGAGAGUCUCCCACAAUCUUGGGGGAGGCUUCUCCGGUUACUUAAUGCUUUGCCUGACCAUCCUCUUAAGAAAAAUGAAAUACUUGAUAUCUUUUAUAAUGGACUAACCGAUGCUUCGAAGGACCACUUGGAUAGUUGUGCUGGUUGUGUUUUCAGGGAAAGAACAGUUGACCAAGCUGAAUUGCUAUUGAAUAAUAUGUUGACUAAUGAAAAUAAUUGGACUCUUCCUGAGCCAAUUCCUGAGGCAAUUCCUGAGCCAAUUGAGCCAACUCCUGAGCCUAUUCAAAAAGCUACUCAGAAGAAGAGAGGUGUUUUAUUUCUCAGUCCUGAAGAUAUGCAAGAGGCAAAGAAAUCUAUGAAAGUGAAAGGUAUUAAAGCUGAAGAUGUUAAGAAUUUACCUCCCACUGAAGAAAUACAUGGUCUUAAUAUACCUCCUGUCGAAGAAGCACAUUGUCUUGAUAACCCGACAUGGGUAGUAAAGGUAAAUUCUCUCUAUAGAUAUGAUAAAGUUGAAAUCCCGUCUAUUAAGUUUCCUAGCCAAUGUUUGGAUGAAUUUGAUGAUUUUAUGGCUAGGCAAGAAAGUUUUAAUGCUUAUGUUGGUAGAGAAUUAAAGAGUAAUGCUUACAUGAUUGGACGCUUGAGUGAUUAUAUGGCUAGGGUUAAAGGUGAACUUAAACUCAUUAGUAAAUAUGCUUCUAUGGUUACCACUCAAGCAGAGCAAUUACUUAAAGCUCAAAGUGAUUUACUUGAUGAAUUAAAUAAUAAACAUGAUUUUGCUGUUAGAGUGGCUACUAGAAUUGGUAGAAACUCAGGAACCUUUGUAUCCUGAAGGGCACCCUAAGACAAUUGAGCAAGAUUCUCAGAGAAAUAAUUUAGAGGUACCUAGUUCUUCUAAAAAGAACAAAAAGAAAAAUGAUAGGACUUUGCAUGCUUCUAGUGAACCUGUUGUAGACACACAUGAGAAUCCCAAUGAUAUUUCUAUUUCUGAUGCUGAAACACAAUCAGGUGACGAACAUGAACCUAGCGAUAAUGUUAAUGAUAAUGUUCAUAUUGAUGCUCAACCUAGCAAUAAUAAUGAUGUAGAGACUGAACCUGCUGUUGAUCUUGAUAACCCACAAUCAAAGAAUCAACGUUAUGAUAAAAAAUAUUUUGUUGCUAGGAAGCACAGUAAAGAAAGAGAACCAUGGGUUCAGAAACCCAUGCCUUUUCCUCCUAAGCCAUCCAAGAAAAAGGAUGAUGAGGAUUUUGAGUGCUUUGCUGAAAUGAUUAGACCUAUCUUCUUACAUGAAGGAUAUUAUUACGAAUAAAAGAAAGAUACCUGAAGCUGAAAUUUCCACCAUGCUUGCUAAUUAUACUUUUAAGGGUGGAAUACCAAAGAAACUUGGAGAUCCAGGAGUACCAACUAUACCAUGCUCCAUUAAAAGAAACUAUGUUAAAACUGCUUUAUGUUAUCUUGGAGCCGGUGUUAGUGUUAUGCCUCUCUCUUUAUAUCGUAGACUUGAAUUGAAUAAGUUGACACCUACUGAAAUAUCUUUGCAAAUGGCCGAUAAAUCAACUACUAUACCUAUCGGUAUUUGUGAGGACGUGCCUAUUGUGGUUGCAAAUGCCACUAUCUUAACGGACUUUGUUAUUCUUGAUAUUCCCGAGGACAAUAGUAUGUCGAUUAUCCUUGGUAGACCCUUUUUGAAUACUGCAGGGGCUGUUAUUGAUUGCAACAAAGGCAAUCUCACUUUUCAUGUUAAUGGUAAUGAUCAUACGGUACACUUUCCGAGGAAACAACCUCAAGUUCAUAGCAUCAGUUCUAUUGGAAAAAUCCCAACUAUUAUUAUUGGAGGUUUUGAAUCUCCUCUUCCUACUGUCAAGAAAAAAUAUGAUAUUCUUAUUACUGGGGAUGUUCAUAUCCCCGUCGAGGUAACCUAGUGCUAUUCGAAAUUUCUCUGGUUUCAUGCGAUUCAGAAUGAGUUUGUUAACAAGACUUGAUCAACCUUGUUAGUGGAUUCCUUUUGAUGAUCAUGAGAUGGAUGAAACUAGAAGGCACAACUUUCUGUGCCCUCCUUUUACUUUCUGUUAUUUAGAUUAAAUAAAGGAAAAAUACUAUUAUCUGUCUAUUUUCUGAAUUAUCCAUGCAAUAAAAAAUAUCUCGAAAAUAAAAGUUCUCCAAAUGCCCUGCAAAUUUAGUAUGAUUUUUAUGGAAUAUUUAAGGAUUUUAGGCACUGAGAACACAAUAGGGGGGGCAAGCACCUAGCCACGAGGGUCUAGGGCACGCCCACCCUUACUGGGCGUGCCCCCCUGCCUCAUGGGCCCAGGUGACCCCCUCCACUUAUUCCUCCACCCACACACUUCAUCUUCCUUCAAAAAAAUCCCCAUCCAGCUCAAGCAUGAGUUCUAGCUCAUUUUGCUGGAAUUUUCGAUCUCCUUGCUCAAAGCUCCAUUCACAAAACUGCUUUGGGAGAUUAUUCUUUGGUAUGUGACUCCUCCAAUGGUCCAAUUAGUUUUUGUUCUAGUGCUUUAUUCAUUGCAAAAUUUCCCUGCCUAGGUGACCCUGUUCUUGAACUUGCAUGUCAAUUUAUGAGGUCCCAAGUAAUUCUAAUGCAUGAUAUAGGCUCUAGGCAUGUAUGGGAGUAGCUGCUAUCAAUCGUGCUGAGUCUGAUUCACUUUUAUUUUGAGUUACUAAAAAUUUCAGAAAUUUUCAGAAAAUGAUGAAGAGAUUUUUGAGGGGCUCUUCUAGCCAAGGAUCCAAGGAUAAACAAGCUAAGGAGAAAGAAAAGGCCAAGUAUAAUCUUCCUCGAGUAGCGGAAGUAAGGCCGUGUGAGUGGCCUUGUGAUAAUUUCUUGAGAGCAGCCGGGAUUUAUGAAGACUUUUAUUCAUUGACUGAUAAUGCGGGCCUCUCCGACUUCCUCCAUGAUCGGAUUGAACAGUAUCUCUUACUCACCAAUACUUUCGUGCAAAACUUUUACUAUUAUCCUAAGAAUUCACCUCCUUUAGUAGCUUUUCAUUUAUAUGAUGAGGCUAAGGAAAUGUCAUUACGUAAUUUUUGCGCGGUUUGUAGAAUACCCUUUGAGGGCGGCUUAGAGGAACCACAUCAUAAAGAUGUAGAUGGUUUUAUUGAUACUAUUUGUCAGGACCCCGAUCCUAUGCCACACCGAUCUAGCAUGUAACACCUCAUAUCACUUUGUGGCCUCACGCACGGUAUUCCCACGGGUGUCGCCUUACCAGGCCCGGGAUCGUUUGCGCCUUUUGGCUCAUGUAUAUGAUAGUGUUGCUAGCAUCCAUAUGACAAAGAACCCGGGCUGGCAUGGCUAGUUGCAAACCCAAAGUGGCACUAACUUACAGGAACAGGAAUACAUGACCCAGCAACGAAUGUGUCGGUCAUUAGUGAGGGAAUCCGGGCUGUAGUAGCUGGGCUAGCAGGACUCUAGAGAAUCCGGGCUGUAGAAGGCUAGCAGGACUCUGGUAGACACCGCGUUACAUUUCCCCGAAGGGACAGACACAGGAACGAAGAAGGACACAUGCCGGCCAACCUAAGUGUUCAGAGCAGUAGCAAGCUAUCAUGGCUCAGUGGAAGCACUAGGAGACAUUUCCCGGUAAGAGAGGCUACUAAGGAUAAACAACUGGAUAGUCAGAUCCCACACAUACCAAGCAUUUCAGUAACAUUCACACAAUAUGCUCGAUAUGUGCAAAUACAACAUGGCAUCACAACAUAACUCUACAACUCAAGUAUUUUAUUCAAUAGGCUCCGAGGAGCGAGAUAUUACAAACAUGGGUGGCAUGACCCAACAUUCAGAGCAUACAAGUCAAAUCACAUGCGGAAGCUUAACAUGUCUGAGUACAGACAUCUACAAAUGAAAAAGUCUGAGAAGCCUGACUAUCUACUAGAUCCUGCCGAGGGCACAAGAUCGUAGCUGAGGUAACAAGCUAAACGUCAAAGUCCAUGCGGAACUACUAGUGAGAAAGGAGUCUCUCCGCAAAAACAUAAAAUAGGUAAACAUGAGUACAAAUGUACCCAGCAAGACUUACAUCAGAACUAACUACAUAUGCAUCAUUAUCAACAAGGGAUGGUGGGGUUUAACUGCCGCAAGCCAACUUUGACUUGGUGGCUAUCCUGAACUACGACUGCAAGUAACUCUUUUGAGGUGGCACACACGAGUCCACAUAUUCACCAUAACAAUACACCACUAUGGAUCCGCUCCCGUCUCCCUACGAGUACACCAUCCAUAGCACUCACGCUUAUCUUGCACAUUUUAGAGUAUCCACUUUCACUUGUAUAUGAACUGUAUAGGCAACCCCGAGGUCCUUUAGCGCGGACGCGGCUAUUCGAAUAGAUCAUAUUAACCCUGCAGAGGUGUACUUCUUCACACACGCUCUCACCACUUACCGCCAUGUACACGUCAUGUAUCUCGGCAACCUUCAAGCGGAAGCCUGGCAAGGGUGUCGGCCACGACCUGACUAACCACACAAGUCUCUAGUCCAGGUUUAUCGCCUAUUCAGGUUCCAUCAGCAAGGAGAUCCAGCCAGGGUGUCGCUCACGGCCCCAAACAAUGUGAGCAGGUUUCCGAAGCCCACCAUCCAGGUGCCACUUGGUACACCGUGCCACUACACCUAGUCUAUCCCAAGCCCACCUGUACCGGGUGCCACUUGGUAGACUACUAGGACUACCUACAAACACCAUAAACUAGUUGCAACUCCUGGGCAGAGAUCGAGUUGAUUAACAAGUCGAGAGAGCUUGGAGUGCCCGGAGCCCAAUGUGUGGUAGUAACUGUUCAUGGAUCACAAACACAGGGCUCAGUUCCGGAGGACGGAUUCAAUGAGACAACCCACCAUGUACUCCUACAUGGCCUCUCACCGCUACCUUUACCAAAUCGUGUUCACACACUUAGCUCUCAACAGUAGGACAUGUUCACAACUUCCCAAUUCAUUCCCGAUGAAUCAAACCUGACACAACUCCAAGCAAUAGCAGGCAUGACAAACAAGCAUGAAUGAGUAGGCACAUCAGGGCUCAAACAACUCCUACUCAUGCUAGUGGGUUUCAUCUAUUUACUGUGGCAAUGACAGGUCAUGCAGAGGAAAGGGGUUCAUCUACCGCAGCAUGUAACAGUUGAAACGUUGUUGUCCUAAUGCAGUAAAAGAGAGCAGGAGCGAGAGAGUGGGAUUGUAUUGAAAUGAACAAGUGGGUUUUGCUUGCCUGGCACUUCUGAAGAUAAUAUAGUUCUUCAUCGGUGUCAUCGAACUCAUCGUCGAAACCACGUCUACUGAGAGGGGAAAAAUACUGGCAAACAAGGAAGGACACAAUCAAUGCAAUGCACAAUAUGAUGCAUGAUCAUAAUAUGGCAAAAUGAGUGUGUUAGAGCUAAUGCAACUACAAACAAAGUGGUUUGAGUCAUUUUGAACCAAAGGUUCAAUUCCAUACUCAAACUAUGAAUCCAAAUAGUGCACUAUCAUGUUUUGAUCUAAACAACAAUGUUAAGUUGUUUAAACAUGCAUGAAAUCAGUGCAGAUGGAUAGAUUGGAUUUUUUUGAUCAUUUUUCAUAUAUAAAUUAUUUCAUUUGGAGUUAUGGUUGAAUUUCUAUGAAUUUUGGAAGUUUAAACAUUUUUCUAGAUUUUAUAAUUCAUUUAUGUAAUAUAAAAUCGCCAGAAAAUGAUUAUGUGGUCAACAUGACGUAAGCCUGGCGUCAGCAGGUCAACUGGGCUGCCCCUGGUCAAACUUGACCAGUGGGCCCACUGGUCAGUGACUCUGUGCUGCCUAGGGUCACAGACAGGUGGGGUCGGGUCAACAGACACGUCAGCAAGUCAACCCUGACGCGUGGGUCCUGCCGGGUUAUAAACUAAUCUAAAUAGAAAAUAAACCCGGGAUUAAUUAGGUGCGGGGCCCAGCUGUUGGUGUCACUGCAGGGGUUAAUUAGUGGGUCAUUAGCCACUAAUGAUGCCCACGUGUCGGCGGCUAACCGCCGGUGGCACGCAUACGCGGCGGCGCUCCUCGUCCAGCCAUCUCCGGUAUUGGCUGGACGCGCAGCUGGGCGCGCUAGAAAACUCGCGAUCCAGCGCAUCCAGUGGUGGUCGCGGUGUGUGCUGGGGCAGCGUGCAGCGCCGGUGGUGACAAGCCGGGCGGCGGCCGGAGCUCGGGUGUCGACGGAAUCAAUGACAUGGCAUGCGGAAGGAUCAACGGUUUGCGUCUAUGGCAUCUACAAGACCUCACGAACCCAACGGAGGCACGCACAGGAUCAUUUGUUCAUCGGAUCCUCGUCGGCGAUGAGCCCGUGCGGCGGCAACAUACGGGACUCGCGGUCAUCGGUGUUACAGCGAAAAAUCGGCGAUGGGGGAGGGGGAGAUGACGGCGGGGCUCACAGGGAGUUGGAUGGGUGGCUCAUUUGGCUCGGGGACGCAUCGGGGCGAGCGGGCGAUGAAGGGGAUCUCCGGUGACUAGAGGAGAAAGAAGGGGUCGGGGAUGGUGCUUUGGGGCGUCCGGCGUUGCGCGAGACGACAGAGAGGUCGAGGGCGUCGAGGCGGAGCUCGGAGGCACGACGAGGGGUCGAGGAAGAGGCGGUGGCAUCGACUACGAUGGCGGCGGCUUACGGGCGCGUCGGCCAUAGUGGAGAGGACGAGGGAAAGGGAAAAGAAGGGGAGAGUGGUGUCCAGGGGGUUGAGGCGGCGUCGAGGAGAAGACGCGAGGCAUCGCGGUGGCCAGGCAAUGCAGGCAGGCAGCCUGGUGGCAUGGCGCCCACGCGCGCGCCGUUCGCUGUCCCUCCUCUGCCUACUGGCAGAGGUGGGUGACAACUGGCACAGGCCAGGUAGGCCGGCCCAGCCAGGUAAGUGGACCUGGGGUCCUUCCCCCCCUCUCUCUUUUAUGUUUUUUCAUUUUUUACCUUUGUUUUGAUUUAGUUUAACCACUAAAUCAUUUUGGUAAAUUCUGAGAAAAGUAGUGGGUGCCAGAUAGACUUAUUCCAGAGACCCUCUACAAUUUUCAGAAAUAUUGGAGUGGUAUAAUUAUUGAUAGAAUUUUGUAGCUCCAACUCAAAUACUUAUUGAUUUAAUUCAAAGCCCAAAUAUGUCCUUAAAAAAUGUAAACCAUUUUUGGUAGAUGCUUCCACCUUAAUCCAGAAAUGAUGAACAUUUUUAAAGGGCAUUCUGAAUUCAUUGAAAAUAUUUUUAGGUUGAACCUAUUUGAAUUCCAUUUGAUGCUAGGGUUUGAACAUCCCCAUUUCAACUUUCAAAAGAAUUUAAACAUGAUGCAACAAGAUGCAAACACCAGGUAGUACCAGAAGCUAGGGAUGUGACAACUCACCCCCCACUAAACGAGAAUCUUGAUACGUCUCCAACGUAUCUAUAAUUUUUGAUUGUUCCAUGCUAUUAUAUUAUCUGUUUUCAAUUAUUAUGGGCUUUAUUAUACACUUUUAUAUUACUUUUGGGACUAACCUAUUAACCGGAGGCCCAGCCCAGAUUGCUGUUUUAUUGCCUAUUUCAGUAUUUCGAAGAAAAGGAAUAUCAAACAGAGUCCAAACGGAAUGAAACCUUCGGCAACGUGAUUUUUUGGAAGAAUAUCAUCCUGGAGACAUGGAGUUCAAGUCAGAAGAUACUCGAGGACUCCACGAGAUAGGAGGGCAUGCCCCCCUGUCUCAUGGGCCCCUCGAGCACCCCCUGACCGACUUCUUUCGCCUAUAUAGUCCCACGUACCCUAAAAACAUCCAGGGAGAAGAUAGAUCGGGAGUUCCGCCGCCGCAAGCCUCUGUAGCCACCAAAAACCUCUCGGGAGCCCUUCCCGGUACCCUGCCGGAGGGGGGAUCCUUCACCGGUGGCCAUCUUCAUCAUCCCGGCACUCUCCAUGACGAGGAGGGAGUAGUUCACCCUCGAGGCUGAGGGUAUGUACCAGUAGCUAUGUGUUUGAUCUCUCUCUCUCUCUCGUGUUCUCUCUCGUGUUCCCUCUAUGGCACGAUCUUGAUGUAUCCCGAGCUUUGCUAUUGUAGUUGGAUCUUAUGAUGUUUCUCCCCCUCUACUCUCUUGUGAUGAAUUGAUUUUACCCUUUGAAGUUAUCUUAUCAGAUUGAGUCUUUUAUGAGAACAUUUGAUGUAUGUCUUGCCGUGCUUAUCUGUGGUGACAAUGGGAUAUCAUGUGCCUCUUGAUGUAUAUUUUGGUGACCAACUUACGGGUUCCACCCAUGAACCUAUGCAUAGGGGUUGGCACACGUUCUUGACUCUCCGGUAGAAACUUUGGGGCACUCUUUGAAGUACUUUGUGUUGGUUGAAUAGAUGAAUCUGAGAUUGUGUGAUGCAUAUCGUAUAAUCAUGCCCAUGGAUACUUGAGGUGACAAUGGAGUAUCUAGGUGACAUUAGAGUUUUGGUUGAUUUGUGUCUUAAGGUGUCAUUCUAGUACGAACUCUUGAAUAGAUUGAUCCGAAAGAAUAACUUUAAGGUGGUUUCAUACCCUACCAUAAUCUCUUCGUUUGUUCUCCGCUAUUAGUGUCUUUGGAGUGACUCUUUGUUGCAUGUUGAGGGAUUGUUAUAUGAUCUAUAUAUGUUAUUAUUGUUGAGAGAACUUGCACUAGUGAAAGUAUGAACCCUAGGCCUUGUUUCCUAUCAUUGCAAUACCGUUUACACUCACUUUUACCACUUGUUACCUUGCUGUUUUUAUUAUCUCAGAUUACGAAAACCUAUAUCUACUAUCUAUUUUGCACUUGUAUCUUCAUCUCUUCGCCGAACUAGUGCACCUAUACAAUUUAGCAUUGUAUUGGGUGUGUUGGGGACACAAGGACUCUCUGUUAUUUGGUUGCAGGGUUGUUUGAGAGAGACCAUUGUCAUCCUACGCCUCCUACGGAUUGAUAAACCUUAGGUCAUCCACUUGAGGGAAAUUUUCUACUGUCCUACAAUCCUGUGCACUUGCAGGCCCAACAACGUCUGCAAGAAGAAGGUUGUGUAGUAGACAUCAAGCUAUUUUCUGGCGCCGUUGCCGGGGAGGCUAGCGCUUGAGGUAUAUCUUUAGAUCUUGCAAUCAAAUCUUUUUGUUUCUUGUUUUAUCACUAGUUUAGUUUAUAAAAGAAAACCAAAAAAAUGGAGUUGAGUUUGUCUCAUACGCUUCGUCUUUUUAGUAUCUUUCGUGAGUUUGAUGGAAAGGAAAAUUGUGCUCGAGUGCUAAAAGAAGAAUGCAUUAGAAUGUUUGGUACUAUAUCUUUGAAUGAUGAGCUUGAUUGCAAUGUUGUUAGUAUGAAUUCCUUGAAUAUCCAUGAUGCUAAUGAUAUGCAAAGCCACAAGCUUGGGGAAGCUAUGUUUGAUGAAGAUGAUAUUAUUUAUCCCCCAAGUUUUGAUGAGAAUAUUUAUUAUGAUGAAAGCAUGCCUCCUAUUUAUGAUGAUUAUAUUGAUGAAAGUGGGUUUGGAAGAGUGUCAACUUUAGGAAGUAGUGAUCCCACUAUUUUGGAGGAUGUUUAAUCUUAUUGUGAUGAACAUGAAAGUGGAUUUGGAAGAGUGUCAACUUUAUUUAGUGAUGAUUCCACUAUUUCGGAAGAGGUUCCAAUUGAUUAUGAGAACAAAGUUGCUAUCUAUGAUGAUUAUUGUGAUGACUUGUAUGCUAUUGAUAAUAAUGAUAACAAUGAAACUUGUCAUCAUGAUUUUAGUUUUCAAUUGGAUUAUGCCUCACAUGAGAAUUAUUUUGUUGAGAUUGCUCCGACUACUAUUCAUGAGAAGAAUUGUGCUUAUGUGGAGAGUAGUAAAUUUUCUAUGCUUGUAGAUCAUGAAAAGAAUGCUUUAGGUGCUGGUUAUAUUGUUGAAUUCAUUCAUUAUGCUACUGAAAAUUAUUACGAGGGAGGAAUAUAUGCUUGUAGGAAUUGCAAUAAUGUCAAAUUUCCUCCCUAUGUGUUGAAAAUCUUGAAGUUAUGCUUGUUGUGCCAUCCUAUGCUAGUUGAUUAUUGUUACCAUAAGUUGUUUGCUCACAAAAUCCCUAUGCAUAGGAAGUGGGUUAGGCUUAAAUGUGCUAGUCAUAUGCUUCAUGAUGCUCCCUGUAUGUUUCAAUUCUUAUCUUUUAUGUGAGCAUCAUUGCCAUCAUCAUGCCUAGCUAGAAAGGCAUUAAAGAAAACCGCUUGUUGGGAGAUAACCCAAUAUUUAUCCUUACUGUUUUUGUGUGUCCACAUUAUUAUGCUACUGUAGUAAUCAUGUUUUAUAGCUUUUGUUUCAAUAAAGUGCCAAGUAGAACCUUUGGGAAGACUUGGGUGAAGUUCAUGUGAUCUUGCUGUAAAAAACAGAAACUUUUGCGCUCACGAGAAUAGCUGCCAUUUUUACUGGUGAGUGAUUUUAGGUUGAUUCUUUUUGAAGAUGAUUAAUAGACAAAUUACUCAGGUCCAGAAAUUUAUUUCAUUAUUUUUGGGGUUCCAGAAGUAUACGUUUGAUACAGAUUACUACAGACUGUUCUGUUAUUGACAGAUUCUCUUUUCAUUGUGUUGUUUGCUUAUUUUGAUGCAUCUAUGGCUAUUAUUAAGUGGUAUGAACCAUAGAAAAGUUGGAAUACAGUAGGUUUAACACCAAUAUGAAUUUAGAAUGAGUUCAUUACAGUACCUAAGUGGUGGUUUUAUUUUCUUAUACUAACGGAGCUUACGAGUUUUGUGUUGAGUUUUGUGUGGUUGAAGUUUUCAAGUUUUGGGUAAAGAUUCGAUGGACUAUGGAAUAAGGAGUGGCAAGAGCAUAAGCUUGGGGAUUCCCAAGGCACCCCAAGGUAAUAUUCAAGUACAACCAAGAGCCUAAGCUUGGGGAUGCCCCGGAUGGCAUCCCCUCUUUCGUCUUUGUUCAUCGAUAACUUUACUUGGAGCUAUAUUUUUAUUCGCCACAUGAUAUGUGUUUUGCUUGGAGCGUCAUUUUAUUUUGUUAUUGUUUGCUUGCUGUUAGUUAGAAUAAUGUUUUGCAUCUUUAGUUUCAAUAAGUGUCAAGGAUAGCCUUGACCAUGUUUAUUUUGCUAGUAUACAUGUUGCUGUUUCAAAACAGAAAGUUUACCGCUGUUGAAAAAAUUCCCUAGAAAAGUCAGAGAAUGGUAUAAUGUUGAAUAUUUUUUCAUAUUAAGGUCUGAUAAAUUUAUUACAGUGGGAAUUUUCUCUCAUAAUUUUUGGAGUUAGGGAAGUAUUGAUACUCUUGCAUUCUUUACAGACUGUACUGUUUUGGCAGAUUGCUGUUAUGGUUGCAUUGUUUGCAUAUGUUUGCUUGUUUAAUGUUUAUAUUUGAGGAUAGGAGUAUUAAAUAUGCAGAGGCAUUUAGUAUUCAAUGUUUAAUAAUAAUUUAAGUGAUUUGUUACAGUAUAAAAUGAUAAGGUUUUGCAUUGGUUUAUACUAACCUAUCUCACGAGUUCUUGUUGAGUUUGUUAUGGAUGAAGCUUUUGAUAAAAAGAGAAACCAUGAUAUGAGAGGAAUUAAGGAGACACAAAAGCUCAAGAUUGGGGAUGCCCAAGGAACCCCAAGAUAAUAUUUCAAGAAGUCUCAAGCAUCAAAGCUUGGGGAUGCCCCAGUAGGCAUGCCACCUUUCUUCUUCGGUAAUCAUCGGUUAGUAUCGGUUGAGCCUAAGUUUUUGCUUCUUCACAUGAGUUGUGCUAUCCUUACAAUGUCAUUUUAUUUUGUUUUGCUUGCUUCUUGAAUACAAUACCAAGAUCUGAAACUCUUAAAUGGGAGAGAGUCUUCACAUAGUUGCACAAUUAUUUGACUACUAAUUGAACUUCACUUAUAUCUUUCAGAGUAGUUUGUCGUUUGCUCUAGUGCUUCACUUAUAUCUUUUAGAGCACGACGGUGGUUAUAUUUUGAAGAAAUUUCUAGUAUCUCAUGCUUCACUUAUAUUAUUUUGAGAGUCUUAAACAGCAUGGUAAUUUGAAUGAAAACUAUCAUAGGGAGUGAAUUGGAUGCUAUGAUCAACUUGAUGCUUGAUAAUUGUUUUGAGAUAUAAAGGUAGUAAUGUUAGAGUCGUGCUAGUGGGUAAUUAUGAAAUUGAGAAAUACUUUUGUUGAAGUUGGCAAGUCCCGUAGCAUGCACAUAUGGUAAAAGUUGUGUGACAAAUUGGUUGCAUGAGGUACUCUUUUGAUUGUCUUCCUUAUGAGUGGCAGUCGAGGACGAGCGAUGGUCUUUUCCUACCAAUCUAUCCCUCUUGGGGCAUGCGUAGUAGUACUUUGCUUCGAGGGCUAAGUAGAAUUUUGCAAUAAGUAUAUGAGUUCUUUAUGACUAAUGUGAGUCCAUGGAUAUACGCACACUCAUCCUUCCACUUUGCUAGCCUCUAUUGUGCCACGCAACUUUUGCCAGUAUCAUGAACCCAUUAUUUACCUUCCUCAAAACAGCCACCGUACCUACCUAUUAUGGCAUUUCCAUAGCCAUUCCGAGAUAUAUUGCCAUGCAACUUUCCACCGUUCCGUUAUUAUGACACGUUUCAUCAUUGUCAUAUUGCUCUUUGCAUGAUCAUGUAGUUGACAUCGUAUUUGUGGCAAAGCCACGUUCAUAAUCUUCAUACAUGUCGCUCUUGAUUCAUUUCAUAUUCCGGUACACCGCUGGAGGCAUUCAUAUAGAAUCAUAUCUUGUUCUAGCUUUGAGUUGUAAUUCUUGAGUUGUAAAUCAAUAAAAGUGUGAUGAUCUUCAUUAUUAGAGCAUUGUCCCAGUGAGGAAAGGAUGAUGAAGACUACGAUUCCCCCACAAGUCGGGAUGGGGAUUUGGACUUUAUAAAAAUAAAAGAGGCCAAAGAUGCCCACCAAAAAGAAAAAAAAGAAAAAAAAAGAAAAAAAGAGAAAAAAAGGGGAGAAAGAAAAAAAAGGAAAGAAAAAAAAGAAAAAAAAAGAAAAUGAGAGAAAAAGAGAGAAGGGACAAUUCCUACUAUAUCUUUUUCCACACUUGUGCUUCAAAAUAGCACCAUGAUCUUCAUGAUAGAGAGUCUUAUAUGUUGUCACUUUCAUAUACUAGUGGGAAUUUUUCAUUAUAGAACUUGGCUUGUAUAUUCCAAUGAUGGGCUUCCUCAAAAUGCCCUAGGUCUUCGUGAGCAAACAAGUUGGAUGCACACCCACUUAGUUUCUUUUGUUGAGCUUUCAUAUAUUUAUAGCUCUAGUGCGUCCGUUGCAUGGCAAUCCCUACUCACUCACAUUGAUAUCUAUUAAUGGGCAUCUCCAUAGCCCGUUGAUACGCCUAGUUGAUGUGAGACCAUCUUCUCCCACUUUUUGUCCUCACAACCACCACCAUUCACCACCAUAGUGCUAUGUCCAUGGCUUGCGCUCAUGUAUUGCGUAAGAGUUGAAAAAGCUGAAGCGCAUUAAAAAGUAUGAAACAAUUGCUCGGCUCGUCAUCGGGGUUGUGCAUGAUGGGAGUAUUUUGUGUAAUGAAAAUGAAGCAUGGCCUAACUAUAUGAUUUUGUAGGGAUAAGCUUUCUUUGGCUAUGCUAUUUUGAUAGGACAUGAUUAUUUGUUAGUAUGCUUUGAAGCAUUAUUGUUUUUAUGUUUUAUAAGCUUUCAUCUUGAAUCAUUUGGAUAUGAACAUUCAUGCCACAAUAAAGGAAAUUACAUUGAGAAUCAUGCUAGGUAGCAUUCCACAUCAAAAAUUCUAUUUUUAUCAUUUACCUACUCAUGGACGAGCAGGAAUUAAGCUUGGGGAUGCUUGAUACGUCUCCAACGUAUCUAUAAUUUUUGAUUGUUCCAUGCUAUUAUAUUAUCUUUUUUGAAUGAUUAUGGGCUUUAUUAUACACUUUUAUAUUACUUUUGGGACUAACCUAUUAACCGGAGGCCCAACCCAUAUUGCUGUUUUAUUGCCUGUUUCAGUAUUUCGAAGAAAAGGAAUAUCAAACGGAGUCCAAACGAAAUGAAACCUUCGGCAACGUGAUUUUUUGGAAGAAUACCAUCCUGGAGACAUGGAGUUCAAGUCAGAAGAUAUUCUAGGACUCCACGAGAUAGGAGGGCGCGCCCCCCCUCUAGGGCGCGCCCCCUGUCUCGUGGGCCCCUCGAGCACCCCCCGACCGACUUCUUUCGCCUAUAUAGUCCCACGUACCCUAAAAACAUCCAGGGAGAAGAUAGAUCGGGAGUUCCGCCGCCACAAGCCUCUGUAGCCACCAAAAACCUCUCGGGAUCCCUUCCCGGCACCCUGCCAGAGGGGGGAUCCUUCACCGGUGGCCAUCUUCAUCAUCCCGGCGCUCUCCAUGACAAGGAGGGAGUAGUUCACCCUUGAGGCUGAGGGUAUGUACCAGUAGCUAUGUGUUUGAUCUCUCUCUCUCUCUCUCAUGUUCUCUCUCGUGUUCCCUCUAUGACACGAUCUUGAUGUAUCCCGAGCUUUGCUAUUGUAGUUGGAUCUUAUGAUGUUUCUCCCCCUCUACUCUCUUGUGAUGAAUUGAUUUUCCCCUUUGAAGUUAUCUUAUCAGAUAGAGUCUUUUAUGAGAACACUUGAUGUAUGUCUUGCCAUGCUUAUUUGUGGUGACAAUGGGAUAUCAUGUGCCUCUUGAUGUAUAUUUUGGUGACCAACUUGCGGGUUCCACCCAUGAACCUGUGCAUAGGGGUUGGCACACGUUCUUGACUCUCCGGUAGAAACUUUGGGGCACUCUUUGAAGUACUUUGUGUUGGUUGAAUAGAUGAAUCUGAGAUUGUGUGAUGCAUAUCGUAUAAUCCUGCCCACGGAUACUUGAGGUGACAAUGGAGUAUCUAGGUGACAUUAGGGUUUUGGUUGAUUUGUGUCUUAAGGUGUUAUUCUAGUACGGACUCUUGAAUAGAUUGAUCCGAAAGAAUAACUUUGAGGUGGUUUCGUACCCUACCAUAAUCUCUUCGUUCGUUCUCCGCUAUUAGUGUCUUUGGAGUGACUCUUUGUUGCAUGUUGAGGGAUUGUUAUAUGAUCUAUCUAUGUUAUUAUUGUUGAGAGAACUUGCACUAGUGAAAGUAUGAACCCAAGGCCUUGUUUCUUAUCAUUGCAAUACCGUUUACGCUCACUUUUACCACUUGUUACCUUGAUGUUUUUAUUAUUUCAUAUUACAAAAACCUAUAUCUACUAUCUACUUUGCACUUGUAUCUUCAUCUCUUCGCCGAACUAGUGCACCUAUACAAUUUACCAUUGUAUUGGGUGUGUUGGGGACACAAGAGACUCUCUGUUAUUUGGUUGCAGGGUUGUUUGAGAGAGACCAUCUUCAUCCUACGCCUCCUAUGUAUUGAUAAACCUUAGGUCAUCCACUUGAGGGAAAUUUGCUACUGUCCUACAAACCUGUGCACUUGCAGGCCCAACAACGUCUACAAGAAGAAGGUUGUGUAGUAGACAUCAAAUCUCGUCCCGAGAUUCAAGACAUGAGGUAAGAAGAGAGAGGGGACACAAAGCUAAGAUGAUCUUCACGAUCCAACUGUCCUUGUCAAAGAAUUUAUUCAUUGCUUCAUAUUGAUCUUAACGUCUUUGCUUUCGAGAUCCUCAUCCAACUUGAUUACGCUAGAAAGAAACUCUAUCGUAAAGGAUCAUUGAAACUCUCCAUACCAUGCUAAGGCACGAUCGUUUGGCGAAGUGCGAAGGAAUGGCAUACCCAGACUAGAAUGGACGAUGUGGAUUACCUUGUUGAAGACAACACAAGGGGUGAUUUUUCUUAUCACUGGAAAUGAUUGAAACCCAUGGUAGGAUGGUACAAAGACAGUGCUAACUCGGAAGAAAAUGAAAAUACUGGGAAUGAUUCUAGUAACUGGGGAAAAACUCAACAGUCGAGAGUGAUUCCACUGUUAGAAUGGUUAUAGCAUAACCGAAGAAACUAAGAACAAUUCCCAAUUAAUGCUGCCGAGAAGACCUAGCGCCUGCGGAUGCCCUCAUAAACUUGAGCACUUCCAUAUUCAUCAAGGUUUUAUCAACAUCCGUGUCAAGGAUCCUGGAAACACAACAUACUACCAUGAUGAAUAGUGAUUGACGAUGCAGAUGCAAAGGAAGAUAACACCUUGAUGACCCACAAAUAUAGGGGAUCUACCGUAGUCCUUUCGAUAAGUAAGAGUGUCGAACCCAAUGAGGAGCAGAAGGAAAUGAUAGGCGGUUUUCAGCAAGGUAUUCUCUGCAAGUACUGAAAUAAGUGGUAACAGAUAGUUUUAUGAUAAGAUAAAUGGUAACGAGCAACAAGUAAUAAAAGUAAAUAAAGUGCAGCAAGGUGGCCCAAUCCUUUUUGUAGCAAAGGACAAGCCUGGACAAACUCUUAUGAUAGGAAAAGCGCUCCCGAGGACACAUGGAAAUAUCGUCAAGCUAGUUUUCAUCACACUCAAAUGAUUCACGUUUGGUACUUUGAUAAUUUGAUAUGUGGGUGGACCGGUGCUUGGGUACUGCCCUUACUUGGACAAGCAUCCCACUUAUGAUUAACCUCUAUUACAAGCAUCCGCAACUACAACAAAAGUAUUAAGGUAAACCUAACCAUAGCAUGAAACAUGUGGAUCCAAAUCAGCCCCUUACGAAGCAACGCAUAAACUAGGGUUUAAGCUUCUGUCACUCUAGCAACCCAUCAUCUACUUAUUACUUCCCAAUGCCUUCCUCUAGGCCCAAUAAUGGUGAAGUGUUAUGUAGUCGACGUUCACAUAAAACCACUAGUGGUUAGACAACACACAUCUUAUCAAAAUAUCGAACAAAUACCAAAUUCACAUGACUACUAAUAGCAAGACUUCUCCCUUGUCCUCAGGAACAAACGUAAUUACUCACAAAGCAUAUUCAUGUUCAUAAUUAGAGGGUUAAUAAUAUUUAUAUAGGAUCUGAACAUAUGAUCUUCCACCAAAUAAACCAACUAGCAUCAACUACAAAGAGUAAUCAACAAUACUAGCAAACUACUAGCACCAAUCCCGGACUUGGAGACAAGAAUUGGAUACAAGAGAUGAACUAGGAUUUGGAGAUGAGAUGGUGCUGAUGAAGAUGUUGAUGGAGAUUGCCCUCUCCCGAUGAGAGGAGCAUUGGUGAUGAUGAUGAUGAUGAUUUCCCCCUCCCGGAGGGAAGUGUCCCCGGUAGAGAAGCUCCGCCAGAGCCCUAGAUUGGUUCCGCCAAGGUUCCGCCUCGUGGUGGCGGAGUCUCGUCCCGAAAGGUUCUCUCUGAUUUUUUUCUCAUUGAAAGACUUCAUAUAGGAGAAGAUGGGCGUCGGAGAGCCACCAGGGGGCCCACGAGGUAGGGGGCGCGCCCAGGGGGGGGGGCGCCCCCCACCCUCGUGAGCAGGGUGUGGGCUCCCUGGCCUUCAUCUUUGGCGACGAUUUUUAUUUAUUUAUUCUAAGGUAUUCCGUGGAGUUUCAGGACUUUCGGAGUUGCGCAGAAUGGUCCUUCAAUAUUUGCUCCUUUUCCAGCCCAGAAUUCCAGCUGCCGGCAUUCUCCCUCUUCAUGUAAACCUUGUAAAAUAAGAGAGAAUAGCCAUAAGUAUUGUGACAUAACGUGAAAUAACAACCCAUAAUGCAAUAAAUAUUAUCAUAAAAGCAUGAUGCAAAAUGGACGUAUCAACUCCCCCAAGCUUAGACCUCGCUUUUCCUCAAGCGAAAAACCGAUAACAAUAAAUAUGUCCUCAUGUUCAGAGGUAGAGGCGUCGAUAAAAAUAAAAUACGGACAUGAAAGCAUCAUGAUUAUUUCAUAACAGCAACAUAAAUAGAUUUUGUCAUAUGAUUACUCAUGUUCAAGUAAUGACCUAUUCACAAAGCCAAAGCAUGAAUCAGAAACAUUAUUGGUCACUAACAAUUAUAAUCUCAGUCAUUGAAGCAGUUGCAAUUUAUCAUAACAUCGGGAAGAGUCUAUGUCAGAGCUUAAAAGCAAGUCCACAUACUCAACUAUCAUUUAGUCCUUCAUAAUUUCUAGAACUCACGCGAUACUUGUGGUUACGGAGUUUUAAUCGGACACAGAGAAAGAUAGGGGCUUAUAGUUUUGCCCCACAACCUUUUACCUCAAGGGUAAUGUCAACAAUAAUAAUUCGUGCUCCUCCACAUCCAAUUAGAUAUGUAUAUCAUACUCUUUCCAACAUGCUGAGCUUGCCAAAGGAUAAAAUGAAAAAGGAAUGGUGAGGAUCACCGUGACUCUUGUAAGGUAGAGGAUAAUAACAAAAGAUAGGCCCUUCGCAGAGGGAAGCAGAGGUUGUCAUGCGCGUUUAGGGUUGAUGCACAAAAUGUUAAUGCAAAAGAACGUCACUUUAUAUUGCCCCUUGUAUGUGAACCUUUAUUAUGUAGUCCGUCGCUUUUAUUGCAUCCACAACAAGUUUGUACAAAGCUUAUUUCUCUAGGUUAAUAAAUCAUGCAUAUUUAGAGAGUAAUUUUUAUUGCUUGCACCGAUGACAACUUACUUGAAGGAUCUUACUCAAUCCGUAGGUAGAUAUGGUGGACUCUCAUGGCAAAACUGGUUUAAGGGUGUUUGGACGCACAAGUAGUAUUUCUACUUGGUGCUAAGAAUUUGGCUAGCAUGAGGGGGAAAGGCAAGCUCAACACGGUAGAGGAUCCAUGACAACAUACUUUAUCUCGAAUGUAAGAAAACAUAACUCAUUAUGUUGUCUUCCUUGUCCAACCUCAACUCUUUAGCAUGUCAUAUUAUAAUGAGUGCUCCCAACCAUAAAAGAUGUCAAUGAUAAUAUAUCUAUAUGUGAAACCUCUCUUUCCUUAUUACUUCCUAUUAAUUGCAACGAUGACCAAAGCUAUAUUUGCCAACUCCCAACAACUUUUAACCAUCAUACUCUUUCUAUGUUAAGUCAUUACUUUCAAUAAGAUCAAUAUGAGCUCCUUGAUUCUUUUUAUUCUUUUUCUUCUAAUGACCCAAGAUCAUGGCAAAAUACUCAAGCCCUUGACUCAACACUAAUCUUUAUUAUAUAGCUCACGGACUCGAUUACAAGGAAAGAUCAUAAAGCAAAACUUAAAAGUAGAUCAUGCCACGACUUUAUUCUACUAAAUAAAGAUACUACUAAUAGGAUCAAACUAAGAAAAACUAUAAAGAUAGGAGUUGUGAUGGUGAUACGAUACCAGGGCACCUCCCCCAAGCUUGGCAGUUCCCAAAGGGAGUGCCCAUACCCAUGUGGUUUUUUCUCUUUCUUUGUUGUAGGUGUAAGUAUUGUCGAUGAUGCGGGCUUGUCGUCCAAUUUCCAUGGCAUAGGCUCUCCAUCAUAGAAGGAUGAUCGAGUCUCCGGAAUCCUCAAAUCUGCAGCCAAACUCAUCCUUUUGAAUAUAUAUUCAUACUCACAAUUUUGAUUUUGCAGAUCAUAAAUUUGGGCUUGGAGGUGCUCGAUCUUCUCUUGUAGCUUAAAGAUAGACUCCUCGGUGCUCUUGGCAUCCGGCUCGUAGUUGUUGGUGAACUCCGCGAGCAUCUUGUGGCUAGCGUUUAUUCCACGCUCCACCAUCCCCUGACACUUGAAAACUUGUUGCUCCAUUGCCUCGAGCCUCGACUCCACACUUCCGGUUCCCUUUGGUCCCUCAACAUCGCGGAUGUGCAGCAACCCGUCAUGCAUCUCAAUGGUUUGAGGGUGCCGCACCACCUCCGCGAGGUAAGGGUUAAUCACCUUCUCGAAGAACUUGUCCUUGGAAGCACUUGGGGUUGUCAUGAUGAUCUACACCUGUCAGAAAAACAGCUCGAAACAAGAACAGAGGAUAUUUGCGUGAUACGGUGGUCAAAACCUUCGGGAGUAUAGAUAAUGAAUUUUUACCGACCAAAAUAUGUAUCAUGCAAGGAAACAGUGUCCGGAGGGCACACGAGGUGCUCACGAGGUAGGGGGGUGCGCCCGGGGGGGUAGGGCGCGCCCUCCACCCUCGUGGAGGCCUCGUGUCCUCCCCGGACUGCUACUUAUUUUUUUAUUUUUCUAAAUAUUCCAAAACGGAGAAAUAUUGCCUUAAAAAUUGUUUUGGAGUCGGUUUACUUACCGUACCACAUACCUAUUCCGUUUCGGAGUCUGGAACAUUUUGGAAAGUGUCCUUUAUGUACUCCUCCGAGGUCACGAUUUCAAUAAUAUUAGAUUCAACAUUUAUAGGAUUACCUGAGAUAUAGUGUUUGAUCCUUUAACCGUUUACCACCUUCGGAUUUGUGCAUGCGAAGUUGUUGAUUUUUAUGGCACCAGAACGAUAGACAUCCUCGAUAAUGUAGGGACCUUCCCAUUUAGAGAGAAGUUUUCCUGCAAAAAAUCUUAAACGAGAAUUGUAUAGCUAUACAUAAUCACCUACAUUAAACUCACGCUUUUGUAUCCUUUUGUCAUGCCAUCUUUUAACUUUUUCUUUAAACAACUUGGCAUUUUCAUAUGCUUGGGCUGUCCAUUCAUCAAGCGAGCUAACAUCAAAUAACCUCUUCUCACCGGCAAGUUUGAAAUCAUAGUUGAGCUCCUUAAUAGCCCAAUAUGCCUUAUGUUCUAGUUCGAGAGGUAAGUGACAAGCUUUUCCAUAGACCAUUUUGUACGGAGACAUACCCAUAGGAUUUUUAUAUGCAGUUCUAUAGGCCCAUAAUGCAUCAUCAAGUUUCUUGGAUCAAUUCUUCCUAGACGUAUUGAUAUUCUUUUGCAAAAUUAAUUUGAGCUCCCUAUUGCUCAAUUCUACUUGACCACUAGACUGAGGGUGAUAAGGAGAUGCAAUCCUAUGAUUAAUGUCGUAUUUAGCAAGCAUCUUACGGAAAGCACCAUGAAUAAAGUGUGAACCACCAUCAGUCAUUAAGUAUCUAGGGACUCCAAAUCUCAGAAAAAUAACUUCCUUAAGCAUUUUAAUAGAAGUGUUGUGAUCAGCACUACUAGUUGGAAUAGCUUCUACCCACUUAGUAACGUAAUCAACAACAACUAGAAUAUGAGUGUAACCAUUAGAGGCAGGAAAAAGUCCCAUAUAAUCAAAGCCCCAAACAUCAAAUGGCUCAAUAACAAGUGAAUAAUUCAUAGGCAUUUCUUGACGUCUACUGAUAUUACCAAUUCUUUGACAUUCAUCGCAAGACAAAACAAACUUACGGGCAUCCUUGAAGAGAGUAGGCCAAUAAAAACCGGAUUGCAAUACCUUAUGUGCAGUUCUAUCUCCAGCGUGAUGUCCUCCAUAAGCUUUGGAGUGACACUUGCGUAGGAUCUAUUCCUGUUCAUGCUCAGGUACAAAAUGUCUAAUGACACCAUCUACUCCUUUUUUAUAAAGAUGUGGAUCAUCCCAAAAGUAAUGUCGCAAGUCAUAGAAAAACUUUUUCUUUUGCUGCUAUGUGAAGCUAGGCGGUAUAAAUUUAGCAACAAUAUAAUUAGCAUAAUCAGCAUACCAUGGAGUGCUAUGAGAAGUACUUAUGACAUUUAAUUGCUCACCAGGAAAGCUAUCAUCAAUAGGUAGUGGGUCAUCAAGAACAUUCUCUAACCUAGACAAGUUAUCUGCAACAGGGUUCUCAGCUCCCUUUCUAUCAACAAUAUGCAAAUCAAAUUCUUGAAGUAGGAGAACCCAUCUAAUAAGUCUAGGUUCUGCAUCCUUCUUUUCCAUAAGAUAUUUAAUAGCAGCAUGAUCAGUGUGAAUAGUAACUUUGGAAUCAACAAUAUAAGGUCUAAACUUAUCACAAGCAAACACCACUGCUAAAAAUUCCUUUUUGGUAGUAGCAUAAUUUCUUUGAGCACUAUCUAGAGUCUUACUAGCAUAAUGGAUAACAUUUAAUUUCUUAUCAACUCUCUGCCCUAGAACAACACCUACAACAUAAUCACUAGCAUCACACAUAAUUUCAAAGGGUAAAUUCCAAUCAGGUGGCUGAACAACAGGUGCAGAGACUAGUGCUUUCUUAAGUAUUUCAAAUGCUUCUACACAAUCAUCAUCAAAGACAAAUUGUACAUCGUUUUGUAAUACAUUAGUCAGAGGCCGAGAGAUUUUUGAGAAGUCCUUAAUGAACCUCCUAUAAAAUCCGGCGUGACCAAGGAAACUUCUUAUACCUUUGAUGUCCUUUGGACAUGGCAUCUUUUCAAUAGCAUCAACCUUGUCUUUAUCAACUUCAAAACCUCUUUCAGAAACUUUGUGCCCCAAGACAAUACCUUCAUUAACCAUAAAGUGGCACUUUUCCCAAUUCAAGACAAGAUUAGUUUCUUCACAUCUCUGCAAAACUCGAUCAAGAUUGCUUAAACAAUCAUCAAAAGAGGAACCAUAGACGGAAAAGUCAUCCAUGAAAACCUCACAAAUCUUUUCGCAAAAGUCAGAGAAUAUAGCCAUCAUGCAUCUUUGAAAGGUAGCAGGUGCAUUACAUAAACCAAAAGGCAUACGUCUAUAAGCAAAAGUACCAAAAGGGCAUGUAAAAGUAGUCUUUGAUUGAUCUUUAGCUGACACAGGUAUUUGAGAGAAACCAGAAUAACCAUAUAGAAAGCAAUAACGUGUAUGUUUGAAAAGUCUUUCUAGCAUUUCAUCAAUAAAAGGUAAGGGGUAAUGAUCUUUCUUAGUAGCCUUAUUUAAUUUGCGGAAAUCAAUUACCAUCCUAUAACCUGUGAUAAUUCUUUGAGGGAUCAAUUCAUCUUUAUCAUUAGGGACAACAGUAAUACCUCCCUUCUAAGGGACACAAUGGACAGGACUUACCCACUGACUAUCAGCAACGGGAUAAAUUAUACCUGCCUCCAGAAGCUUGAGUAUUUCUUUUCUUACCACUUCUUUCAUUUAGGAUUCAAAUGUAGUUGAGGAUCACAAACUGGUUUGGCAUCAGCUUCAAAUUUAUUUUAAGUUGACAUAGAGUGGGACUAAUGCCCUUAAGAUCAUUCAGAGUAUAUCCAAUAGCAGCACGAUGCUUCUUCAGAGAUUUCAAUAAUCUUUCUUCUUCAUGCCCUGAAAGGUUAGCGCUAAUAAUAACAAGAUAUAUUUUCUUUUCAUCAAGAUAAGCAUAUUUAAGAUUAUCAGGAAACGGUUUAAGCUCAAACACGGGAUCACCCUUGGGUGGAGGGGGAUCCCCUAGGAUUUCAACAGGCAAAUUGUGUUGCAGAAUAGGUUCCUGUUUAAAGAAUACUUCAUCUAUUUCCCUUCUUUCAUUCAUGAACAUAUCAUUUUCAUGGUCUAGCAAAUAGUGUUCUAAAGGAUCACUAGGAGGUACAGCAAUAGAUGCAAGACCAAUAAUUUCAUCCUUAUUAGGCAAUUCUUCCUCACGAUGUUGUUUACUAAAUUUAGAGAAAUUAAACUCAUGAACCAUAUUAUCCAAGCUAAUAGUAACAACAUUCGUUUCGCAGUCUAUCUUAGCAUUAACAGUACUCAAGAAGGGUCUACCAAAUAUAAUGGGACAAAAGCUAUCUUGCGGGGAACUUAGAACAAGAAAAUCAGCAGGAUAUUUAGUUUUCCCACACAAGACUUCAACAUCUCUAACAAUUCCCAUUGGUGAAAUAGUAUCUCUAUUGGCGAGUUUAAUUGUGACAUCAAUUUCUUCUAACUCGGCAGGUGCAAUUUCAUGCUUAAUCUCUUUAUAUAAUUCAUAAGGUAUAACACUAGCACUAGCACCCAUAUCACAUAAGCCAUGAUAAUAAUGAUCUCCUAUUUUAACAGAAAUAACAGGCACGCCUACCACAGGUCUAUGUUUAUCUCUAUCACAGGGUUUAGCAAUUCUAGCAGUUUCACCAGUGAAUUGAAUAACAUGCCCAUCAAUAUUAUCCGACAAGAGAUAUUUAACAAUAGCAAUAUUGGGUUCUACUUUUACUUGCUCAGGGGGUGUAUAAGUCCUAGUAUUGCUUUUAUGAACAACAGUUGAAGCUUUAGCAUGAUCCUUCAUUCUAACAGGGAAAGGAGGUUUCUCAACAUAAGAAGUAGGAACAAUAGGAUCAUUAUAAGUGACAAUCUUUUCUUCAACAUUAAUAGGUGCAGCUACUUUUACUUCUAUGGGAGGAUGAUAUUUAAACCACUUCUCCUUGGGGAGAUCAACAUAAGUAGCAAAAGAUUCACAGAAAGAAGCUACUAUCUCAGAGUCAAGUCCAUAUUUAGUGCUAAACUUACGGAAAACAUUGGUAUCCAUAAAAGAUUUAACACAAUCAAAAUUGGGUGUCAUACCUGACUCCUUACCUUUGUCGUGGUCCCAAUCUUCAGAGUUGCGUUUAAUUCUAUCCAAUAGAUUCCAUCCAAAUUCAAUAGGCUUCACCAUAAAAGAGCCAGCACAAGAAGUAUCGAGCACAGUGCGAUUGUUAUCAGAAAGCCGAGCAUAAAAAUUCUGGAGAAAUGUCAAUUUUGAGAGCUCAUGAUUGGGGCAUGAAUAUAACAUUGAUUUAAGCCUCCCCCAAGCUUGAGCGAUGCUUUCUCCUUCGUGAGGCCAAAAAUUAUAUAUAUAAUUGCGAUCACGUUGAACAAGAUGCAUAGGGUAAUACUUCUGAUGAAAUUCCAAUUUCACUCUUUUAUAGUUCCAUGAUCUCGUAUCAUCACAUAGCCUAUACCAUGUCAAUGUGUUUCCCUCAAAAGAUAAAGGGAAAGCCUUCUUCUUAACAACAUCAUCGUGUAUACCUGCAAGCUUAAAUAGUCCACAAAUAUCAUCCACAAAGCGUAGAUGUUCGUCAGGAUGCUUUGUUCCAUCUCCUACGAAAGUGUUAGCUAGCAGUUUUUCCAUCAUACCCGAAGGAAUUCCAAAAGGAGUUUCAUUUUCAAUAGAUUCAGUAGGUUCAGUGGGUUGAGGAGCAACUCUUGGCUCAACCGGACGGGGUGAAGAUACCCCUAACAAGCCCCUCAAACAAUUACUUUCCAUAGUAACAAGUGACAGAAAAUUUCAGCACACUAAAUAAAAUUUUCCUUACCAAAUUCCACCUACCAAAGGCGCUUCACUCCCCGGCAACAGCGCCAGAAAAUAGUCUUCAUGACCCACAAGUAUAGGGGAUCUAUCGUAGUCCUUUCGAUAAGUAAGAUUGUCGAACCCAACGAGGAGCAGAAGGAAAUGAUAAGCGGUUUUCAGCAUGGUAUUCUCUGCAAGUACUGAAAUAAGUGGUAACAGAUAGUUUUAUGAUAAGAUAAAUGGUAAGGAGCAACAAGUAAUAAAAGUAAAUAAAGUGCAGCAAGGUGGCCCAAUCCUUUUUGUAGCAAAGGACAAGCCUGGACAAACUCUUAUGAUAGGAAAAGUGCUCCCGAGGACACAUGGGAAUAUCGUCAAGCUAGUUUUCAUCACGCUCAAAUGAUUCGCGUUCGGUACUUCGAUAAUUUGAUAUGUGGGUGGACCGGUGCUUGGGUACUGUCCUUACUUGGACAAGCAUCCCACUUAUGAUUAACCUCUAUUGCAAGCAUCCGCAACUACAACAAAAGUAUUAAGGUAAACCUAACCAUAGCAUGAAACAUGUGGAUCCAAAUCAGCCCCUUACGAAGGAACGCAUAAACUAGGGUUUAAGCUUCUGUCACUCUAGCAACCCGUCAUCUACUUAUUACUUCCCAAUGCCUUACUCUAGGCCCAAUAAUGGUGAAGUGUUAUGUAGUCGACGUUCACAUAACACCACUAGAGGUUAGACAACACACAUCUUAUCAAAAUAUCGAACGAAUACCAAAUUCACAUGACUACUAAUAGCAAGACUUAUCCCUUGUCCUCAGGAACAAAUGUAAUUACUCACAAAGCAUAUUCAUGUUCAUAAUCAGAGGGGUAAUAAUAUGCAUAUAGGAUCUGAACAUAUGAUCUUCCACCAAAUAAACCAACUAGCAUCAAUUACAAGGAGUAAUCAACACUACUAGCAAACUACUAGCACCAAUCCCGGACUUGGAGACAAGAAUUGGAUACAAGAGAUGAACUAGGAUUUGGAGAUGAGAUGGUGCUGAUGAAGAUGUUGAUGGAGAUUUCCCUCUCCUGAUGAGAGGAGCGUUGGUGAUGAUGAUGGUGAUGAUUUCCCCCUCCCGGAGGGAAGUGUCCCCGGCAGAAAAGCUCCGCCAGAGCCCUAGAUUGGUUCCGCCAAGGUUCCGCCUCGUGGCGGCGGAGUCUCGUCCCGAAAGGUUCUCUCUGAUUUUUUUCUCAUCGAAAGACUUCAUAUAGGAGAAGAUGGGCGUCGGAGAGCCACCAGGGGGCCCACGAGGUAGGGGGCGCACCCAGGGGGGCGCCCCCCACCCUCGUGAGCAAGGUGUGGCCCCCUGGCCUUCAUCUUUGGCGACAAUUUUUCUUUAUUUAUUCUAAGGUAUUCCAUGGAGUUUUAGGACUUUUGGAGUUGCGCAGAAUGGUCCUUCAAUAUUUGCUCCUUUUCCAUCCCAGAAUUCCAGCUGCCGGCAUUCUCCCUCUUCAUGUAAACCUUGUAAAAUAAGAGAGAAUAGCCAUAAGUAUUAUGACAUAACAUGAAAUAACAGCCCAUAAUGCAAUAAAUAUUAUCAUAAAAGCAUGAUGCAAAAUGGACGUAUCACACCUCCUCAGAUUUCACCUUAGCGUGGCCAAGGGAUCAAAAUCUGGAUGAUUGACCGUGAAACAUUUAGCACUCCGCUUCUAAUGUUCUCCUUGAUGUUCUACAUACCACAGUCAUACUUAAUGCAUUAACGUGGCCAUCAAGUAUAGGUCGGACUUCGGAAGACAAAGGAUUUAUAAGGAACACUUCUAGAAAAGUCACAUGAAAUCCUUAUAGAGAAGAUCGGCAGAUUGCUCAUUCAAGAUACUACAAUAAUAGAUCUUCCGGCUAGGUGUGUCGGCCAAAACAUUAACCUUGCCAGAGCCUACAUCAUAGAUCUUGAAAAAAUACCAACCAUCACAUCUGCCUGAGAUUUAGAUCCAGUUGGUGACAGGAUAUUUUAGUCAACAUGUCUGGAAAAGAAAGUUUGCAACACAAAUCGACGAGAUGACAUUGCAAGAUUCUCGGGAAAUGAAUUAUGAUAGGAAACUCCAAAACAUGAGCUGGUUCUGCUAAACACAUGUGUACACGCUGUCCCAAACAAGCAUGACCACAUGGUAGUCUUACAAUAAAACACUACCGAGUUCUGGUUGGGAAUCAUCAUCAAGGAUAUCGAAGUCCUUGCAUAAGGCAGGCUCUUAAGAAGAAACUUCUUCUCCUUGAACAACUCAAUCAGUGGCUUGGUGUGCUAGGUAAUACAUAUGGAAUGGAGGUAAUUAAUCUACCAAACCACAAUGUACUUUGCACAUGCAUGAAUGACUUGGAACCAUUCCAAAGGAAGCAAAAACAAUCUUCCUCGGAUCCACGGCGGCAACUUACACCAAGUGCACGUGAAUUAGAGGAAGUCACUUCUUUCAUAUAACAUAUACUUCAUGAAUGGAACAUGAAGAUAAUGCUUAUAAAAGUUUCCAUCACUAGCUGGAUGUUCAACACGAAUCAUGGAGAUGAUAAAAAUGUUGUCAAUGGGCUCAAAAACAAUUUAUCGAGAUUUCCAUAUAAAUGGUAUUCCACAAUCAUGUGAACAAGGUGAUAGCAUUGGUCAGACCCAAAAGAUAUAAUGAUGUAUGGUUGAGGAAACAACCACGAGUAAGACAACAUUACGAAUAUCGUUGGUUCUGAUUUGAUUUGACGAUAGCCCAUACUCAAAUCAAAGAUUGGAUAAGAUGGUAGGUCCAUUAGCUGAUCACGAGGGUCAAUCGAUGAAGAUACCAUCUUUCUUCAACACACAUACAAGAUAUCCCCUGAAAUGAACUAAGUCGGACAGUGGCUGUUUUGAGGAAGGUAUAUGGUGGGUGUAUGAUACCGACAAAAACUGUGCGGUAUUAGAGAGGCUAGCAAUGCCGGAAAGGUGAGAGUGCGUAUAAUCCAUGGACUCAACAUUAAUCAACAGAACUCAUGCACUUAUUGCAAAAAUUUAUAAGUCAUCAAAAACCAAAGCAUUAAAUGCAUACUCCUAGGGGGAUAGAUUGGUAGGAAAAGACCAUCGCCCAUCCCCGACUGCCACUCAUAAGGAAGACAAUCAAUAAAUAAAAUUGUGCCCCGACUUCAUCACAAGCGGUUCACCAUAUGUGCAUGCUACGGGAAUCACAAACUUCAAUGCAAGCAUUCUUUAAAUUCAUAAUUACCCCUACUAGCAUUGCUUUAAUAUUAUCACCUCCAUAUCUCAAAACAAUUAUCAAGCAUCAAACUUAUCUUAGUAUUCAACGCACUCAAAAGAAAGUUUCACAAAUCUUGAAUACCAAGUAUAUUAACUUUAAGAAAAUUACCAUGCUAUUAACAACUGUCAAAAUAAUCUAAGUGAAGCAUGAGAGAUCAAUAGUUUCUUUAAAACAAAUCCACCACCAUGCUCUUAAAGAUCUAAGUGAAGCACUAGAGCAAAAAAUAUCACGCUCAAAAGAUAUAAGUGAAUCACUAUGAGCAAAACUAUCAAGCUCAAAAGAUAUAAGUGAAGCACAUAGAGUAUUCUAGCAAAUUCCAAAUCAGGUAUGGCUCUCUCAAAAGGUGUGUACAGCAAGGAUGAUUGUGGCAAACUAACAAGUAAAGACACAAAUAAUAAAGACGCUCCAAGCAAAACACAUAUCAUGUAGUGAAUAAAAAUAUAGCUCCAAGUAAAUUACCGAUGGAAAUAGACGAAAGAGGGGAUGCCUUCCGGUGCAUCCCCAAGCUUUGACUUUUUGGUGUCCUUGGAUUAUCUUUGGGGUGCCAUGGGCAUCCCCAAGCUUAGGCUCUUGCCACUCUUUGUUCCAUAAUCCAUCAAAAGAAUUCACCCAAAACUUGAAAACUUCACAACACAAAACUCAAUAGAAAUCUCGUGAGCUCCUUUAGUGAAAGAAAACAAAAGACUACUUCAAGGUACUGUAAUGAACUCAUUCUUUAUUUAUAUUGGUGUUAAACCUACUCUAUUCCAACUUCCUUAUGCUUUAUAAAUUAAUUUAUUAGCCAUAGAUGCAUUGAAAUAAGCAAACAACACACGAAAAAAAGAAUCUGUCAAAAACAAAACAGUCUGUAGCAAUCUGUAACUAACGCAAACUUCUGGAACUCUAAAAAAUUCUACCAAAAUAGUACGCACUAUACAAUUCGUUUAUUGAACACCAGCAAAAAGAAUCAAUGCAAAAUCUCGUUCCUGCGAUUUAUUGAAUUUUUUCUCGUGAGUGCAAAGUUUCUGUUUUCAGCAGAAUCAAAUCAACUAUCAUCAUAGCUUAUCCUAUAGGUUCUACUUGGCACAAACACUAAUUAAAACACAAAACCACAUCUAAACAGAAAGUAGAAACAAAAUUUAGCACUAAACAGGACCAAAAAACAAAGAACACAAAAUAAAAUUGGGUUGCCUCCCAACAAGCGCCAUCGUUUAACGCCCCUAGCUAGGCAUAAAAGCGAAGAUAGAUCUAACGAGUGCCCCCCUUGGCACCGGAAGUGUAAGUAGCAAGAGAAGGUCUCCUUUCUAAGUCAUUCAUACUUCUAUUCAGAUUAAGAACAUUGCCAUUAAUGGAUGAGGUGAGAUUAAGCACGUUACGAAAAUUUGCAUCCAAGCUAGACUUCAUUUCUUUAAUAAUUUCAUUUUGAUAAAAGCACAAGAGAGUAGUUGAUUCAACUUUAUCAUUUAAAGGAUGCCCAAAUAUGGUUUUAAUUUUUUCAUAGGUAUCUAUAGCAUCCCCUUCAAGAAAACCUUCUUCAAAAAUAGAGUCUAGAACUUGUUUGAAAGAGGCGGGCAAGCCAACAUAGAAACUUUUUAAGUAAACAUCAAUUUGAUAUUGUGGCACAUAACUAGCCCGGAUUCUUAAUAACCUAUCCCAAGCAUCUUUUAAAGAUUCAUCAAGUAAAUAGCGAAAGAUUUCGGAGUCAUCAUCAUCAAAAUCAUCUAAAUUCUCAUUACUGAUCCCGGUGGGUCUCUUUGUAGCAUCAUUGUUUAUGAGCUUAGAAAGGAUAGAUAGGUUAUCCAAGGCACUAGAACUCGGGAGAAAUCCCUUAGUUAUUUUUGAUUCGGCCAUGGUAACAGGAAGGCAAAUGAGGAAAAGGCAAAAGAGAAAGAGAGGAGGAGAUUGGGAAAGAGAGGGCGAUUAAAACGGCAAAGGUGAAGUGGGGGAGAGGAAAAUGAGAGGCAAAUAAUGUAAUGCGAGAGAUAGGGAUGGGUACUUGGUAUAGUUGACUUUUGCGCGAGCUCCCCAGCAACGGCGCCAGAAAUUCUUCUUGCUACCUCUUGAGCACUGCGUUGGAUUUCCCCGAAGAGGCGAGGAUGAUGCUGUAAAGUAGCGUAAGUAUUUCCCUCAGUUUUUGAGAACCAAGGUAUCAAUCCAGUAGGAGAUCAUGCACAAGUCCCUCGUACCUACACAAAACGAGAGCAACUCGCAACCAACGCUUAGGGGUUGUCAAUCCCUUCACGGUCACUUACGAGAGUGAGAUCUGAUAGAGAUAAUAUUUUUGGUAUUUUUGAUAGAUAGAUGCAAAGUAAAAAGUAAAAGGCAAAGUAAAAACAAAGCAAGUAAAUAAAGUAAUGGAGAUUGAUAUGAUGAGAAUAGACCCGGGGGCCAUAGGUUUCACUAGUGGCUUCUCUCAAGAGCAUAAGUAUUUUAUGGUGGGUGAACAAAUUACUGUUGAGCAAUUGAUAGAAAAGAGAAUAAUUAUGAGAUUAUAUAGGUAUGAUCAUGUAUAUAGGCAUCACGUCCAAAACAAGUAGAUCAAAACGAUUCUGCAUCUACUACUAUUACUCCACUCAUCGACCGCUAUCCAGCAUGCAUCUAGAGUAUUAAGUAAAAUAGAGUAACGCUUUAAGCAAGAUGACAUGAUGUAGAGGGAUAAAUCCAUGCAAUAUGAUAAAAACCCCAUCUUGUUAUCCUCGAUGGCAACAAUACAAUACAUGCCUUGCAACUCUUUCUAUCACUGAGUAAGGACACCGCAAGAUUGAACCCAAAGCUAAACACUUCUCCCAUGGCAAGAACUACCAAUCUAGUUGGCCAAACCAAACGGAUAAUUCGAAGAGACUUGUAAAGAUAACUCAAUCAUACAUAAAAGAAUUCAGAGAAGAAUCAAAUAUUGUUCAUAGAUAAGCUGGAUCAUAAAUCCACAAUCCAUCAGUCUCAACAAACACACAGCAAAAAGAAGAUUACAUCGAAUAGAUCUCCACAAGAGAGGGGGAGAACAUUGUAUUGAGAUCCAAAAAGAGAGAAGAAGCCAUCUAGCUAAUAACUAUGGACCCGAAGGUCUGAAGUAAAGUACUCACACUUCAUCGGAGAGGCUAUGGUAUUGAUGUAGAAGCCCUCCGUGGUAGAUGCCCUCUCCGGCGGAGCUCCGGAACAGGCCCCAAGAUGGGAUCUCGUGGAUACAGAAGGUUGCGGCGGUGGAAUUAGGUUUUUGGCUCCGUACAUGAUCUGACGAGGGUACGUAGGUAUAUGUAGGAGGAAGGAGUACGUUGGUGGAGCUCCGAGGGGCCCACGAGGCAGGGGGCGCGCCCAGGGGGGCGCUCUCCACCCUCGUGACCGCCUCUGGCACUUCUUGGAGUAGGGUCCACGUCUCCUGGAUCACGUUCGGUGAGAAAAUCACGUUCCCGAAUGUUUUAUUCCGUUUGGACUCUGUUUGAUAUUUUGUUUCUUCGAAAUACUGAAAUAGGAAAAAAACAGCAAUUCUGGGCUGGGCCUCCGGUUAAUAGGUUAGUCCCAAAAGUAAUGUGAUAGUGGAAAAUAAAGCCCAAUAUAGUCCAAAGCAGUAGACAAAGUAGCAUGGAGUAAUCAAAAAUUAUAGAUACGUUGGAGACGUAUCAGUGAUCGUUUAUCUCAUCGUCAUGGCUAGUAGUCCUAUCAUCGUUAUUACUCCCGAGCAUGAAGUUCUUAAUUCUAAACAAAGGAUGGGGGAGAAAAUCUAAAAGAUGCUUGGCAUAGAAUUUGCAAUGCUCAAAAUAAAUCUACUAGGAAGCUUUAUCUUUCCAUUCUUCUUCGCAAUUUUUAUGUAGGCAUUACUCCUUAGAAUAGAUGCAUUCUUGAUACCAUUGUCGGAGGGGAUUUCUUGGGUAGCCAUACUUUUGAUGCUUAUAAUGCUAUGUUAGAUUUGUUUGGCCCACCACCUCUUUUGGUUAAUGGAACUAUUUUAACUUUGGAACAUGUGAUGCAAAGGCUUGAAAUUAUUGAAAAUAAAGUUGCCACUGUUGAGUCAAUUGAAAAUUUGGAUAAAAAGAUCCACAACCAAAUUACCCAAUAUGGGUCUAGGGUUGGAGUUACUUUGAAAAAAUUUAAGGUGAAAGAACCUAUAGUUAACGAAAGAAUAGAUCUAGAUUCUACAAGAAUCGGUAAACUUGAGGAUAUUAUUACUAACUUAGGGUCUGCCUUUUCAUCCGUGAAAAAUACUCCAACUCCUCCUACCAAAAUUACUAAAUUUAUUUAUGUUCUUAAAAAUAAGGGUGAAUCUUCUAGUAAGGAAAGUGCGGGUCUUAAAUCAAUAAGUGUUUAUCCCAAUUGUCUCUAUAUCAUUAAGGAACCUUUUGCUACAAAUGAAUUUCUUGAUUUCUUGCCUAGGAGUUUAAUCAUUGCUAAAAAUAAAGAAACUCCUAAGGGUUAUAAGUGCUCCAUUGAAGAAUUAAAUACCAAGUAUGGCAAUAUUUAGAUCUACUCUGGCUUUUAUGCCUAGCUAGGGCGUUAAACGAUAGCGCUUGUUAGGUGGCAACCCAAUUUUAUUUUGGUUCCUUGAUUUUUUCUUAUGUUUAGUAAUAAAUAAUUCAUAUAGCUUCUGUUUAGAUGUGGUUUUAUUAAUUAGUGUUUUUUCCAAGUAGAACCUAUAGGAUCAUCUUGGGUGAUAGUUAAUUUGAUUCUGCUGAAAAACAGAAACUUUUGCGCGCACGAGGUUUUUUUUAAUAAAUCACAGAAACUUGAUUUUUAGUUGAUUUUUUUGCAGUAUAUCAAUAGACAAAGUUCCUAGGACUUCCUAUUUUGGUACCAUUUUUAGAGUUCCAAAAGUAUUUGAAAGUUACAGAUUGCUACAGACUGUUCUGUUUUUGACAGAUUCUGUUUUGUGUGUGUUGUUUGCUUAUUUUGAUGCAUCUAUGGCUAGUAUCGGGGGGUAUGAACCAUAGAGAAGUUGGAAUACAGUAGGUUUAACACCAAUAUAAAUAAAUAAUGAGUUCAUUACAGUACCUUAUGUGGUGGUUUUUCCUUCUUGCACUAACGGAGCUCAUGAGAUUUCCUGUUGAGUUUUGUGUUGUGAAGUUCUCAAGUUUUGGGUAAAGAUUUGAUGGACUAUGGAAUAAGGAGUGGCAAGAGCCUAUGCUUUUGGAUGACCAUGGCACCCCAAGAUAAUACAAGGACAACAAAAAUCCUAAGCUUGGGGAUGCCCCGGAAGGCAUCCCCUCUUUCGUCUUUGUUCAUUGGUAACUUUACUUGGAGCUAUAUUUUUAUUCACCACAUGGUAUGUGUUUUGCUUGGAGCGUCUUAUAUGAUAUGAGUCUUUUCUUUUUAGUUUAACACAAUCAUCCUUGCUGUACACACCUUUUGGGAGAGACACACAUGAUUUGGAAUUUAUUAGAAUACUUUAUGUGCUUCAGUUAUAUCUUUUGAGCUAGAUAGCUUCGCUCUAUGUGCUUCACUUAUACUUUUUAGAGCACGGUGGUGGAUUUUUUUUGUAGAAAUUAUUGAUCUCUCAUGCUUCACUUAUAUUAUUUUGAGAGUCUUUUAGAACAGCAUGGUAUUUUCUAUGGUUAUAAAAUUGGUCCUAGAAUGAUGGGCAUCGAAGUUGGAUAUAAUAAAAACUAUCAUAGGAAGUGAAUUGGAUGUUGUGAUCAAUUUGAUGCUUGAUAAUUGUUUUGAGAUAUAAAGGUGGUAAUAUUAGAGUCAUGCUAGGUGGGUAAUUAUGAAAUUGAGGAAUACUUGUGUUGAAGUUGGCAAGUCCCGUAGCAUGCACGUAUGGUAAAAGUUGUGUAACAAAUUUAUUGCAUGGGGUGCUCUUUUGAUUGCCUUCCCUUGUAUGGGGGCGGGCGAUGGUUAACUCCUACCAACCUCCCCCCUAGGAGCAUGCGUAGUAGUACUUUGCUUCGAGGCUAAUAAAACUUUUGCAAUAAGUAUAUGAGUUCUUUAUGACUAAUGUGAGUCCAUGGAUUAUACGGACUCUUGCCUUUCCAUCAUUGCUAGCCUCUUCGGUACCGUGCAUUUCCCUUUCUCACCUUGAGAGUUGGUGCAAACUUCGCCGGUGCAUCCAAACCCCGUGAUACGAUAUGCUCUAUCACAUAUAAACCUCCUUAUAUCUUCCUCAAAACAGCCACCAUACCUACCGAUUAUGGCAUUUCCAUAGCCAUUCCGAGAUAUAUUGCCAUGCAACUUUCCACCGUCCCGUUUAUCAUGACAUGCAUCAUCAUUGUCAUAUUGCCUUGCAUGAUCAUGUACUUGACAUCAUAUUUGUGGCAAAGCCACCUUGCAUAAUUUUUCAUACAUGUCACUCUUGAUUCAAUGCCCAUCCCGGUACACCGCCGGAGGCAUUCAUAUAGAGUCAUAUAUUGUUCUAGUUUCGAGUUGUAUUUCAUGAGUUGUAAAUAAAUAGAAGUGUGAUGAUCAUCAUUGUAAAUAAAUAGCUAUUACAUGAGGAAUCGUAUCCGACAUAAUUAUCCAUCACUGAUCCAAUGCCUACGAGCUUUUCACAUAUUGUGCUUUGCUUAUUUAUUUUUCCAUUGCCACUGUUACAAUCACUACAAAACUGCUAUCUUUACUUUUGCAACUGUUACCAUUACUAUCUUACUACUUUGCUACUAAAUACUUUGCUGCAGAUUCUAAGUUAUCCAGGUGUGGUUGAAUUGACAACUCAACUGCUAAUACUUGAGAAUAUGCUUUGGAUCCCCCUGUGUCGAAUCAAUAAAUUUGGGUUGAAUACUCUACCCUCAAAAACUGUUGCGAUCCCCUAUACUUGUGGGUUAUCAAGACUAUUUUCUGGCGCCGUUACCGGGGAGCAUAGCUCUAUUCUUUGAGUCACUUGGGAUUUAUAUCUGCUGAUCACUAUGAGGAACUUGAAAGACGAAAGAACUAAUAUUUUCCCCUCAACUAUGAGGGGAGGUUAGGAAAUUCCAUCUAGCUCUGCACUAGAUUCUCCUUCUGUUUUGAGUAAGCUUGGGACACUUAAACCUGCUACUGCUAUGAAUUCUGAUAUGUCGCAUGUUACUGAUGACGCCACUUCUGCUAUGCAUGAUUCUUAUGAUGAAACUACUUCUAUGCUUGAUACUACUGUGCCAUUAGGUGAAUAUCUUGAUGAACAACUUGCUAGGUUUAGAGAGAAUGAAAUUAUUGAAGAAGAAAUUAUUGAUGAUAGUGAUGAUGAAGGUUCUCCCCCUAAGUAUGAAUUGCCUGUUGUUCCUGAGGGUUAUGUUAUGGAUGAAGAAACUUCUAGAGAUCUUUUUGCUUGCAAUGAUAGAUCUGACCUUAAGAAGUUACUAGAUGAACUUAAACAGAAAACUCUGAAUGCUAGAAUGAAAUAUGACCCUGCUUUUGCUACUUCAUCUAUCUUUGUUACUGAUAAGGAUUAUGAAUUCUCUGUUGAUCCUGAGAUAAUUAGUUUGGUUGAAUCUGAUCCUUUUUAUGGCUAUGAAUCUGAAACUAUUGUGGCACAUCUUACCAAGUUAAAUGAUAUAGCCACCCUGUUUACUAAUGAUGAGAAGUCUCGCUAUUAUUAUAUCCUUAAGAUAUUUCCAUUCUCAUUAAAGGGUGAUGCUAAAACUUGGUUUAAUUCUCUUGAUUCUGGUUGUGUGCGUAGUCCCCAGGAUAUGAUUUAUUACUUCUCUGCUAAAUAUUUCCCUACUCAUAAGAAACAAGCUGCCUUGCGGGGAAUAUAUAAUUUUGUGCAAAUCGAAGAAGAGAGUCUCCCACAAGCUUGGGUGAGGCUUAUCCGAUUACUUAAUGCUUUGCCUGAUCAUCCUCUUAAGAAAAAUGAAAUACUUGAUAUCUUUUAUAAUGGACUAACCGAUGCUUCCAAGGACCACUUGGAUAGUUGUGCUGGUUGUGUUUUCAGGGAAAGAACAGUCGAUCAAGCUGAAUUACUAUUGAGCAAUAUGUUGACUAAUGAAAAUAAUUGGACUCUUCCUGAGCCAAUUCCAGAGCCAAUUGAGCCAACUCCUGAGCCUAUUCCUAAACCAACUUUGAAGAAGAGGGGAGUUCUAUUUCUAAGUCCCGAAGAUAUGCAAGAGGCAAAGAAAUCAAUGAAAGAAAAGGUAUUAAAGCUGAAGAUGUUAAGAAUUUACCUCCUAUUGAAGAAAUACAUGGUCUUAAUAUACCGCCUGUUGAAGAAACACAUUGUCUUGAUAACCCGACACAGGUAGCAAAGGUAAAUUCUCUCUAUAGAUAUGAUAAAGUUGAAAUCCCGUCUACUAAAUUUCAUAGCCAAUGUUUAGAUGAAUUUGAUGACUUUAUGGCUAGACAAGAAAGUUUUAAUGCUUAUGUUGCUAGAGAAUUAAAGAGUAAUGCUUUCAUGAUAGGACGUUUGAGUGAUUAUAUGGCUAUAGUUAAAGGUGAACUUAAACUCAUUAGAAAAUAUGCUUCUAUUGUUACCACUCAAGCGGAGGAAGUACUUAAAGCUCAAAGUGAUUUGCUCGAUGAAUUAAAUAAUAAACAUGAUUUUGCUGUUAGAGUGGCUACUAGAACUGGUAGAAUGACUCAGGAACCUUUGUAUCCUGAAGGCCACCUUAAGAGAAUCGAGCAAGAUUCUCAGAGAAAUAAUUUAGAUGCGCCCAGUCCUUCUAAAAAGAAGCCCCCGACCCGGCGCUCGCCCUCGACCCCGACGCGCCACGCCUCCCUCCUCUUCCUCCUCCCCUCCCAACCUCGGCCGUCGUCGGGCCUGCCUCCUCGCCCCUGCACCCUCUGUAACCCCCCUCUCUCUGCUAGCUAGGGUUCUUUGGUUAAUUUACUUAGGUUUUAGUUAGGGCAGUAGGUUAAUUAGGUUAUCUAUUUAGUUACGAAUUUAGCUAGGUUGAAUUCAUAUGCAAAUUUAGGUAGGAUGAAUUUAUAUGCAAUUUUCAACUGGACAUGUGAUAUGUGGACAUGUCAUGUUUGGAAUUUGGACAUGUCAUUUGGACAUGUGAUGUUUUGGUUCAAUUUUGGUAAAUGAUCCGAGUGGCCUAUGUUAUGCCGGAAUGUUGAUUCAUUUCCAUUCCGGUGAAUUUCAGGCGCUCGAUAUGUCCAUUUUUUUAGCAAAGGUCAUGCCGAAAUUUUCCGUGAAUUUUGGCAUGAUUUGUGCUAGAUAGUAGGCAUAUCGAGUGCUAGCACAUAGAUUUCUUUUUUAUGUAAUUUCUCAUUUUUUUCAUACUUUUAGAAAUAAACAAGGAGACUUAAUCAUAGGAAACAUGUCGAACAACGAAGAAACUGGGCCUUCUGACCAAGAUGCAAACGAGAUGGAUCAUGAGGGUGAACAAGAGUACCUCGACUAUUUGACUGCUAAGCAAGGUUUGCAGGUCGGCCUCGAUGAUGGUACUGACACCGACAUCGACACCGACUGUGCCGGCACCGAUGGCGGCACCGAGACUGGCAGGGAAGGUGCCAGCGGGGAAGGUACUGGCGCCGAUGCCGCUACCAAAAAGAAGAAGCAUAAGAAGCAGAGGAUACGAAAACCUAACAAGCUAGUGAUUGGACGACUAGUGAUCACAAAGAUGGCACUAGGCAAGUUUGAGCCAUUAGAUCCGGAAGAACCUCGCAAGUGCUAUGGGAAGCAAGUAGGAUGCAUCCUACGGGAAUGCGCAAGCAUCAAUGACGAUGACUUAAGGAGUAAAUAACAUUUGAUGCAGUUGCUCCUAACGAAUUUGCACAAGAGAUUCAAGUUCCCCGACCGGGAUGAUAACAUAGAAUAACCAUGGGAUGUUCAGCAAUGAUUUGGCCUCCUGGAAAGGGAGGGUGAAACGAGCUAUUGAGGCUGAGGAACCCCUGUCCAAGAUUCUGGAGGAAAAUCCGACACUUACGGAAGAGGAGUUCAAAAAGUUCAAGGACACUUGCGCUACCGAGGCAGCCAAGGCUAAGGCUGCGAAAUUCAAGAGCCUUCAGCAAAGUAACACGGGGAAGCAUAGCCUCGGAAGCCGUGGCUACCUCGGUAAAAGGCCCAUAUGGGAUAAGGAGGACGCGGAACGGGAAGCCGCGGGUCUCCUAGACCCCUUCGCGAAGUUCACCAACCCCUUGGAGUGUGACUUCAUCAAGGCCCGCUACAAGUGGGACAAGGAAAAAAGGUUUUUUACAUGGACCAGAUCAUGAGGAAAUUGAUUAGACUACUGGUAAUGAUUCUUUUAGCACCUUACAUUUAGCUCCAUAUCUAGUCGACUACACAUUCCUAAAUGGUUCACGCUCCUUCUGCAGGAGAAGCAACACCAGCUUGCAGCCGAAAGCCCUACUUCCCCGAUGAGGCCCAAGUGGGACACCCCUCUCAACCGGGCCUUGAAUGAACUUAAGGGACUCCCUUUUGGGCCAGCGGCUGCAAUAUUGUCGUGUGCACAGCGCUGGACACGGCGCCACGUGGAAGGUGUUUUACAACAAGGGCCCGGAGGCCAAGAAGCAGAAAAAGAAGUUUAGUCAGGCGGACAUCGACGCGAAGGUGAAGAUUGUGGUCGAGAAAAAAGCAGCCGAGGACGCGGAAAAAACAGCCGAGGAGCAUUGUCCCUUAUAAAAAAAGAAAGAAAAACAGAAAGGUCAAAAAAGGCCAAAGAAAAAAAGGCCAAAAAAAGAAAGGCACAAAAAAGGGGGGACAAUGUUAUUAUCCUUUUGCACACUUGUGCUUCAAAGUAGCACCAUGUUCUUCAUAUAGAGAGUCUCUUAUGUUGUCACUUUCAUAUACUAGUGAGAAUUUUUCAUUAUAAAACUUGGCUUGUAUAUUCCAACGAUGGGCUUCCUCAAAAUGCCCUAGGUCUUUGUGAGCAAGCAAGUUGGUUGCACACCCACUUAGUUUCUUUUGUUGAGCUUUCAUACAUUUAUAGCUCUAGUGCAUCCGUUGAACGGCAAUCCCUACUCCUCAUGUUGACAUCAAUUGAUGGGCAUCUCCAUAGCCCGUUGAUUAGCCUCGUCAAUGUGAGACUUUCUCCUUUUUUUGUCUUCUCCACACAAUCUCCAUCAUCAUAUUCUAUUCCACCCAUAGUGCUAUAUCCAUGGCUCACGCUCAUGUAUUGCGUGAGAGUUGAAAAAGCUGAAGCGCGUUAAAAAGUAUGAACCAAUUGCUUGGCUGAAACCAGGGUUGUGCAUGAUGGGAGUAUUUUGUGUGAUGAAAAUGAAACAUAGCCUAACUAUAUGAUUUUGUAGGGAUGAACUUUCUUUAGCCAUGUUAUUUUGAGAAGACAUGAUUGCUUAGUUAGUAUGCUUGAAGUAUUAUUAUUUCUUAUGUCAAUAUGAACUUUCAUUUUGAAUCAUUUGGAUCUAAACAUUCAUGCCACAAUAAAGAAAAUUACAUUGAGAAAUAUGCUAGGUAGUCCAUCCGAACACAUUCUCUUGAGAGUUUCCUCCGGUUCGUUGUUCCAUAGUUUUAUACCUACAUUCCUUUCCUAUUCCUCUAUUUUCAUCAAGACCUAUGUUUUCUGCCCCUUUAUUCCGAACGGAGCCUAAAUAUUUGGUAUAAGGGCAUGGGACAGUGGGUGCACUAGCAGUCUAGCACCAUGUACGUAAACAUGGGCAUAAAGUGGUGAUUCAUAGUUUGUUGCCCCGAGAAACAAACAUCCAAGAAACAUAUCUGGGUUGGUCCCAUUUUCGUUCACUCUAGCCACCUACUCAUAUGUGUGGAUAGCAAAUCUAGUCCUGGUCAUACCACUGUGUACAGCGUUACCCCUAUAUUUCCAUUUUCGACCAAGAGACCGGUUGGAUGACCAGUCUGUACUACUUUCACCCCCUUUCCUUCCUGUUUGUACCAAGUCCGAUGUACAAACUAAAUUCCCCCACCCCCACCUUAUGUCUUGUUUGAACCAAGUAUACAAGAUUCGACUCCAUGAAGUAGCUUUACCUCUAACAAUAGAAAAAAAGGUGUAGUUGGACCAUCCGAUCAAGAGGGGCUGAGAGGUAGAAAAUGAUGCACAUGCAGCGAUGUAGCGAGCUGGGGAAGUAGAGCUAAGGCGGUUGAUACGUCCAUUUUGCAUCAUGCUUUUAUGACAAUAUUUAUUGCAUUAUGGGCUGUUAUUUCACGUUAUGUCACGAUACUUAUGGCUAUUCUCUCUUAUUUUACAAGGUUUACAUGAAGAGGGAGAAUGCCGGCAGCUGGAAUUCUGGGCUGGAAAAGGAGCAAAUAUUGGAGGCCUAUUCUACGCAACUCCAAAAGUCCUGAAACUCCACGGAAUACCUUGAAAUAAAUAAAGAAAAAUUGUCGCCAAAGAUGAACGCCAGGGGGCCCACACCCUCCUCACGAGGGUGGGGGGUGCCCCCCCUGGGCGCGCCCCCUACCUCGUGGGCCCCCUGGUGGCUCUCCGAUGCCCAUCUUCUCCUAUAUGAAGUCUUUCGAUGAGAAAAAAAUAGGCAGCAACCUUUCGGGACGAGACUCCGCCGCCACGAGGCGGAACCUUGGCGGAACCAAUCUAGGGCUCCGGCAGAGCUGUUCUGCCGGGGGCACUUCCCUCGGGGAGGGGGAAAUCAUCACCAUUGCCAUCACCAACGCUCCUCUCAUCGGGAGAGGGCAAUUUCCAUCAACAUCUUCACCAGCACCAUCUCAUCUCCAAACCCUAGUUCAUCUCUUGUAUCCAAUUCUUGCCUCCAAGUCCGGGAUUGGUGCUAGUAGGUUGCUAGUAGUGUUGAUUACUCCUUGUAGUUGAUGCUAGUUGGUUUAUUUGGUGGAAGAUCAUAUGUUCAGAUCCUUUAUGCACCUUAUUACCCCUCUGAUCAUGAACAUGAAUAUGCUUUGUGAGUAAUUACGUUUGUUCCUGAGGACAAGGGAGAAGUCUUGCUAUUAGUAGUCAUGUGAAUUUGGUAUUCGUUCGAUAUUUUGAUGAGAUGUAUGUUGUCUAACCUCUAGUGGUGUUAUGUGAAUGUCGACUACAUAACACUUCACCAUUCUUUGGGCCUAGAGGAAGGCAUUGGGAAGUAAUAAGUAUAUGAUGGGUUGCUAGAGUGACAGAAGCAUAAACCCUAGUUUAUGCGUUGCUUCGUAAGGGGCUGAUUUGGAUCCAUAUGUUUCAUGCUAUGGUUAGGGGCUGAUUCGUAAGGGGAGAAGUCUUGACGAUAUUCCCAUGUGUCCUCGGGAGCGCUUUUCCUAUCAUAAGAGUUUGUCCAGGCUUGUCCUUUGCUACAAAAAGGAUUGGGCCACCUUUCUGCACCUUAUUUACUUUUAUUACUUGUUGCUCAUUACAAUUUAUCUUAUCACAAAACUAUCUGUUACCACUUAUUUCAGUACUUACAGAGAAUACCUUGCUGAAAACCGCUUAUCGUUUCCUUCAGCUCCUCGUUGGGUUCGACACUCUUACUUAUCAAAAGGACUACGAUAGAUCCCCUAUACUUGUGGGUCAUCAAGACUCUUUUCUGGCGCCGUUGCCGGGGAGUGAAGCGCCCUUGGUAGGUGGAAUUUGGUAAGGAAAAAUUUAUUUAGUGUGCUGAAAUUUUCUGUCACUUGUUACUAUGGAAAGCAAUUGUCUGAGGGGCUUGUUCGGGGUAUCUUCACCCCGUCUAGUAGAGCAAAGAUUUGCUCCUCAACCUACUCAACCUACUAAACCUAUCGAAAAUGAAACUUCUUUUGAGAUUCCUUCGGGUUUGAUGGAAAAACUGCUAGCUAACACUUUUACAGGAGAUGGCACAAAGCAUCCUGAUGAACAUCUACGCUAUGUGGAUAAUGUUUGUGGACUAUUUAAGCUUGCAGGUAUACCCGAUGAUGUUGUUAAGAAGAAGGCUUUCCCUUUAUCUUUGAAGGGAGACACAUUGACAUGGUAUAGGCUAUGUGAUGAUACGAGAUCAUGGAACUAUAAAAGAUUGAAAUUGGAAUUUCAUCAAAAGUAUUACCCUAUGCAUCUUGUUCAUCAUGAUCGCAAUUAUAUAUACAAUUUUUGGCCUCGCGAAGGAGAAAGCAUCGCUCAAGCUUGGGGGAGGCUUAAAUCAAUGUUAUAUUCAUGCCCCAAUCAUGAGCUCGCAAGAGGAGUAAUUAUGCAAAAUAUUUAUGCUCGGCUUUCUGAUAACAAUCACACCAUGCUCGAUACUUCUUGUGAUGGCUCUUUUAUGAUGAAGACUAUUGAAUUCCGAUGGAAUUUAUUGGAUAGAAUUAAACGCAACUCUGAAGAUUGGGACCUUGAUGAAGGUAAGGAGUCAGGUAUGACACCUAAGUUUGAUUGUGUUAAAUCUUUUAUGGAUACCGAUAUUUUCCGUAAGUUUAGCACUAAAUAUGGACUUGACUCUGAGAUAGUAGCUUAUUUAUGUGAAUCUUUUGCUACUUAUGUUGAUCUCCCCACGGAGAAGUGGUUUAAAUAUCAUCCUCCCAUAGAAGUAAAAGUAGCUGCACCUAUUAAAGUUGAAGAAAAAAUUGUCACUUAUAAUGAUCCUAUCGUUCCCACUUCUUAUGUUGAGAAACCACCUUUCCCUGUUAGAAUGAAGGAUCAUGCUAAAUCUUCAACUGUUGUUCGUAAAAGCAGUAUUAGAACAUAUACACCUCCUGAGCAAGUCAAAGUAGAACCUAAUAUUGCUAUUGUUAAAGAUCUCUUGUCUAAUAAUAUCGAUGGGCAUGUUAUUCAAUUCCAGGGUGAGACUGCUAGAAUUGCUAAACCUUGUGAUAAAGAUAAACAUAGACCUGUGGUAGGUGUGCCCGUUAUUUCUGUUAAAAUAGGAGAUCAUUGUUAUCAUGGCUUGUGUGAUAUGGGUGCUAGUGCUAGUGUUAUACCCAUUGAUUUAUACAAAGAAAUUAUGCAUGAUAUUGCACCUCUUGAGUUAGAAGAUAUUGAUGUUUCAAUUAAACUUGCCAAUAAAGAUACUAUAUCUGCAAUGGGAAUUGUUAGAGACGUUGAAGUCUUGUGCGGAAAAACCAAAUAUCCCGCUGAUUUUCUUGUUCUUGGUUCUCCACAAGAUAGCUUUUGUCCCAUUAUAUUUGGUAGACCCUUCUUGAAUACUGUUAUGCUACGAUAGACUGCAAAAAGAAUGUUGUUACUUUUGGCUUGGAUGAUAUGGUUCAUGAGUUUAAUUUCUCUAAAUUUAGUAAGCAACAUCGUGAGGAGGAAUUUCCUAGUAAGGAUGAAAUUAUUGGUCUUGCUUCCAUUGCCGUACCUCCUAGUGAUCCUUUAGAACAGUAUCUACUAGACCAUGAAAAUGAUAUGUCCAUGAAUGAAAGAAGGGAAAUAGAUGAAGUAUUCUUUAAACAAGAACCUAUUCUGCAACACAAUUUGCCUGUUGAAAUCCUAGGGGAUCCCCCUCCACCCAAGGGUGAUCUCGUGUUUGAGCUUAAACCAUUGCCUGAUAAUCUUAAAUAUGCUUAUCUUGAUGAAAAGAAAAUAUAUCAUGUUAUUAUUAGUGCUAACCUUUCAGAGCAUGAAGAAGAAAGAUUACUGAAAACUCUGAAGAAGCAUUGUGCUGCUAUUGGAUAUACUCUAGAUGAUCUUAAGGGCAUUAGUCCCACUCUAUGUCAACAUAAAAUAAAUUUGGAAGAUGAUGCCAAACCAGUUUGUGAUCCUCAACGAUGUUUGAAUCCUAAAACGAAGGAAGUGGUAAGAAAAGAAAUACUCAAGCUUCUGGAGGAAGGUAUAAUUUAUCCCGUUGCUGAUAGUCAGUGGGUAAGUCCUGUCCAUUGUGUCCCUUAGAAGGGAGGUAUUACUGUUGUCCCUAAUGAUAAAGAUGAAUUGAUUCCGCAAAGAAUUAUCACAGGCUAUAGGAUGGUAAUUGAUUUCCACAAAGUAAAUAAAGCUACUAAGAAAGAUCAUUACCCCUUACCUUUCAUUGACCAAAUGCUAGAAAGAUUAUGCAAACAUACACAUUAUUGCUUUCUAGAUGGUUAUUCUGGUUUCUCUCAAAUACCUGUAUCAGCUAAAGAUCAAUCAAAGACUACUUUUACGUGCCCUUUUGGUACUUUUGCUUAUAGACGUAUGCCUUUUGGUUUAUGUAAUGCACCUGCUACCUUUCAAAGAUGAAUGAUGGCUAUAUUCUCUGACUUUUGCGAGAAAAUUUGUGAGGUUCUCAUGGACGAUUUUUUCGUCUAUGGUUCCUCUUUUGAUGAUUGCUUGAGGAAUCUUGCUCGGGUUUUGCAGAGAUGUGAAGAAACUAAUCUUGUCUUGAAUUGGGAAAAGUGCCACUUUAUGGUUUGUCUUGGGGCACAAAGUUUCUGAAAGAGGUAUUGAAGUUGAUAAGGCCAAGUGAGGGAGUCCUGGAUUAGGGGGUGUCCGGAUGGCCGGACUAUGACCUUUGGCCGGACUCCCGGGCUAUGAAGAUACAAGAUUGAAGACUUCGUCCCGUGUCUGGAUAGGACUUUCCUUGGCAUGGAAGGCAAGCUUGGUGAUAUGAUAUGAAGAUCUCCUCCCAUUAUAACCGACUCUGUGUAACCCUAGCCCUCUCCAGUGUCUAUAUAAACCGGAGAGGUUUAGUCCGUAGGACGAACAACAAUCAUACCAUAGGCUAGCUUCUAGGGUUUAGCCUCUCUGAUCUCGUGGUAGAUCAACUCUUGUACUACCCAUAUCAUCAAUAUUAAUCAAGAAGGAGUAGGGUUUUACCUCCAUCGAGAGGGCCCGAACCUGGGUAAAAACAUCGUGUCCCUUGUCUCCUAUUACCAUCCGCCUAGACGCACAGUUCGGGACCCCCUACCCGAGAUCCGCCGGUUUUGACACCGACAUUGGUGCUUUCAUUGAGAGUUCCUCUGUGUCGUCACCUUUAGGCCCGAUGGCUUCUUCGAUCAUCAACCACGACGCGGUCCAGGGUGAAACUUUUCUCCCGGGACAGAUCUUCGUAUUCGGUGGCUUCGCACUGCGGGCCAAUUCGCUUGGCCAUCUGGAGCAGAUCGAAAGCUACGCCCCUGGCCAUCAGGUCAGGUUUGAAAGUUUAAACUACACGGCCGACAUCCACGGGGACUUGAUCUUCGACGGAUUCGAGCCACGGCCGAGCGCGCCGCACUGUCACGAUGGGCAUGAUUUAGCUUUGCCACCGGACAAUGCCCAGAGCGUCGCUCAGGUGCCCGCUCCGACCAUUAGCUCGGAGCCGACUGCGCCAGUUGGGGACGGACGGUUGGACGCCGCCCCAGGAGCCGCAAUCUCUACGGCGAUAGAGCCAAACACCAGCCUAGUCCUUUGCGAGGCCUAUGACUCCAGGGUGCCGGACUCCGUUCCAAACUCCGAAUCUUCCGCACCUCUUCCGAUCGAACCCGAUUGGGCUCCGAUCAUGGAGUUCACCGCCGUGGACGUCUUUCAGCACUCGCCCUUUGGCGAUAUCCUGAAUUCGCUAAAGUCUCUCUCUUUGUCAGGAGAGCCCUGGCCGGACUAUGGUCAGCAUGGUUGGGAUGCGGACGACGAAGAAAUUCGAAACCCACCCACCACCCACUUUGUAGCCACUGUCGACGAUUUAACCGACAUGCUCGACUUCGACUCCGAAGACAUCGACGGUAUGGACGCCGAUGAAGGAGACGACCAAGAACCAGCACCUAUAGGGAACUAGAAAGCCACCUCGUCAUAUGACAUAUACAUGGUGGACACCCCCAAAGCAGGGGAUGGCGAUGAAAAAACGGAGGACGACCCCUCCAAGAAGCAACCCAAGUGCCAACGUCAGCGGUGCCGCUCUAAAUCCCGCCAAAGCAAAAACGGUGAGUCCGGCACCGGAGACAACAACACCCUGGACAGUGCCGAAGACAACCCCCUCUAGCAGGAUUCAGCGCAGGAGGACGAAGGAGCCAGCCCUCAUGAGAGAGCUGCGGACAGGGAGGUCAAGGACGACAAUUAUGUGCCUCCCUCCGAAGACGAGGCAAGCCUCGACGACGACGAAUUUGUCGUGCCAGAGGAUCCCGUCGAACAAGAGCAUUUCAAACGCAGGCUUAUGGCCACGGCAAGCGGCCUCAAGAAAAAACAGCAGCAGCUUAGAGCUGACCAAGACUUGCUAGCCGACAUAUGGACUGAAGUCCUGGCGGCCGAAGAGUAUAAACUCAAACGCCCCUCCAAGAGCUACCCAAAGCGUAGGCUGCUACCCCAACCAGAGGAGGAAGCAACUAAACCUACAUCACCAGCGUACGAUGCGCCCGAUCGGCCACCCCGUGGCCGCGACAGAGAGGCCUUCUGGCCCUCGACCCAAGCCGCACCACAGCGCCGCUCAAAAAAUACCAGAGCGCAGGGACACGCAACAAACCUGUGAGACAUAUUGGAGAAUAACGCAAGGCAAACAAGAUCGAUCUAUGGAUUGUGUGGGUGCCCCACGUCACAUGACGAUAACCGUCACGCCGGAUAUGAUAAAUGCGGCCAGGCCAAACACAAAAUACAAAGCUCAUCCGAGUUGCGUCGCGAUAUAGCCCAAUAUAGGGGUGCCGCACACCCAUUAUGCUUCAUAGACGUAGUAAUGGAUCAUCAAAUUCCCGAGGGUUUUAAACCCGUAAACAUGGAAUCAUACGAUGGCACAACAGAUCCCGCGGUAUGGAUCGACGAUUAUCUCCUUCAUAUCCACAUGGCCCGUGGUGAUGAUCUACACGCCAUCAAAUACCUCCCGCUCAAGCUUAAAGGACCAGCUCGGCAUUGGCUUAACAGCCUGCCAGCAGAAUCAAUUAGUUGCUGGGAGGACCUGGAAUCCGCGUUCCUUGACAACUUCCAGGGCACUUAUGUGCGACCACCAGACGCCAAUGACCUAAACCACAUAAUCCAGCAGCCAGAGGAAUCGGCCAGACAAUUCCGGACACGGUUCCUAACCAAGAAAUAUCAAAUAGUCGACUGUCUGGACGCCGAGGCCCUUGCAGCCUUCAGGCACAACAUCCAAGUCGAAUGGCUUGCCCGGCACCUAGGACAGGAAAAGCCAAAAUCUAUGGCAGCCCUCAUGACACUCAUGACCCGCUUUUGGGCGGGAGAAUAUAGCUGGCUAGCUCGUAGCAAUAACAUAACCAAGAGCCCUGGCAAUUCGGAUACCAAGGACAACAAUGGCAGGUCACGUCACAACAAGCACAAGCGCCGCAUUAACAGCGACAACACUGAGGAUACGGCAGUUAAUGCCGGAUUCAGAGGCUCUAAACCCGGUUAGCGGAAGAAGCCAUUCAAAAGAAACCCUCCGGGCCCAUCUAGUUUAGACCGGAUACUCGAUCGCUCGUGCCAGAUACACGGCACCCCCGAACAACCAGCCAACCACACCAACAGGGAUUGUUGGGUGUUCAAGCAGGCAGGCAAGUUAAGUGCUGAAACCAAAGACAAGGGGCUGCAUAGCGAGGACGAGGAGGGGCCCCGGCCGCCGAACAACAGAGGAUAGAAGGGCUUCCCCCCGCAAGUGCGGACGGUGAACAUGAUAUACGCAACCCAUAUCCCCCAAAGGAAGCGGAAGCAUGCUCUCAAGGACGUCUAUGCGUUGGAGCCGGUCACCCCAAAGUUCAACCCAUGGUCCUCCUGCCCGAUCACUUUUGAUCGAAGGGACCACCCCACUAGCAUCCAUCACGGCGGAUUCGCCACAUUGGUCCUAGACCCAAUCAUUGACGGAUUUCACCUCACUAGAGUCCUCAUGGACGGCGGCAGCAGCCUGAACCUGCUUUAUCAGGAUACAGUGCAGAAAAUGGGUAUAGAUCCCUCAAGGAUUAAACCCACAAAGACAACCUUUAAAGGAGUCAUACCAGGUGUAGAAGCUAGUUGUACAGGCUCGGUUACACUCGAAGUGGUAUUCAGAUCCCCGGAUAAUUUCCAAAGCGAAGAGUUAAUCUUUGACAUAGUCCCAUUCCGCAGUGGCUAUCAUGCCCUGCUUGGACGAACCGCAUUUGCAAAAUUCAAUGCGGUGCCGCACUAUGCAUAUCUCAAGCUCAAGAUGCCAAGCCCUCGCGGAGUCAUUACGGUAAAUGAAAACACCGAACGCUCCCUCCGAACGUAGGAGCACACGGCGGCCCUGGCGGCGGAAGUUCAAAGUAGCCUAUCAAGGCAAUUCCCCCAUCCGAGUGUUAAACAUCCGGACAAUGUCAAGCGCGCCCGAAGUAACCUACAACAAAACCGGCUGGCAUGUUCCGAGCAAGCAUAGCAGUGCGGCCCCAACCCCAGCCCUCGCCAGAUGGCGAUAGCGGUACCACGCGUACAUAAUUACGCUUUGGAAAUACCAUGGGCAUAAGGGGAGGGGCACAACUACGGCACGCCCAGAAUGCGGCUUAACCGCACUAGGGGCUCCCUAUUCUGCCGUUUCUUUCUUUUUUUAUAUACUUUCAGGACCCAACUAUCCGGAAGGCCUGUCCGGCAAUACACUCGCCGAACACACGACGCAACAGCCAGGGAGAGUACAAGCCACGUCAAAUGUCCAGGUGGUCUCUAUAAUGAGCUAAAUACCCGUUUUACUUAAAAGUCUCACAGCUUGCCCCUGGAGGGGGAUAUGUGAAAUAAUCCCAUCUCUUGCUUAUCGCACUAUUUGUAUCGUUCUGCUUUCAUAGCAGCCCCCUUUAAUAAACAAUAUAUAGCUCUUAUCUAUUAUUGUAUUCAUCUGUUUUUAUACAAAUAUGUUCAUUCAUGACAUUUUGCAACCGUAGACUUUGGUACGGCCAAUACACUAGGGGCUUAAGCACCCCAUAACACAGUGUGAGAAGACCGAACACUCUCAUGAGUGUGGCACCCCGAACUUAUAGCACUAUAUGCAUCGGCUCCGAAUCAUGUUUUGGGUCAAUAGUUGGGUUUUCCUGGCUCCCAUGUUUUGGUACCUUACGUUCCGCAAUGUUGGCUAAGGUAGCGCUGGGAGAACUACUGCGAUUGUGCCCCAGUUGAGCUGGGUUAACACCUCAGUAGAGAAAGCUAAAACUGACCGUCAAGAUAAUGCGAGAGACCGGUCGCUGUUCGCGAGGUUUUUUGAGUCCCUAAAGACUUAUGCCGCUUCGAGCGAGGAGCCGGAUUUAUCUGGCCCAGGCGUGGAUAGCGCCCCGAACUCGGUCUUCUGAAUACUAGGGGCUUCGCCGAAAUUUAAAAUUAUAGAAUUCUAUGGCUAAGUGAGAAUGAUAAAGCACUAUAAGCCCGAUGGCCUUGUUCGUUGUGCUGAGCGCCUCCCUAGAUGGACCCAAGAAUGGGAACAACAGCGCUCAGGUUUAUCCCGAACACCCCAGCACUCGUGGCAUGGGGGCAGAAGCCGACGACUUGCAUCUCUCGGAUUUGAUAAACGGCCGCACAAAAGGUAAUAUUUUAAAUUUUUAAGCGUUGCUUAGCGCAUAUGAACAAAGUUUUUAGCGUACAGGAUAACAGAUGCGAGUCUACUCAAAAAUUACAUCUUUGGAGCAUUCAUCCGCUAUAAUGCGGGCACCCUUCAGGACGCCCUUAUAAUACAUCUCGGGCUUGCGAUACUCCUUGCCCGGUGGUGGCGCAUCCAUCACAAGCUUCUCAGCGUCCAUCUUCCCCCAGUGCACUUUAGCACGGGCAAGGGCCCGACGGGCACCUUCAAUACAGACGGAGCGCUUGAUGACUUCAAUCCAUGGACAAGCAUCCACCAGCCGCCGCACCAGACCGAAGUAGCUCCCAGGCAUGGCUUCUCCAGGCCACAGCCGAACUAUGAGGCCCUUCAUGGCCUGUUCGGCCACCUUGUGGAGCUCGACCAGCUGCUUCAGCUGGUCGCUCAGGGGCACCGGAUGUCCGGCCUCAGCAUAUUGAGACCAGAACACCUUUUCCAUCGAGCUCCCCUCCUCGGCGCGGUAGAACGCGGCAGCAUCAGACACACUACAGGGCAGAUCGGCGAACGCUCCUGGAGAGCUCCGAAUUUGGGUAAGUAACAAAUAAUUCACUUUUAUAUGCUUGCUUUGCAUAAAGAAUGCCUUACCCGCCGCUAUCUUCUUUAUCGCCUCGAUCUCCUAGAGGGCCUUCUGGGCUUCGGCUUUAGCGGUUUUGGCACUCUCAAGAGCCAAGGCGAGCUCGGACUCUCGAGUCUUCGAGUCACGCUCCAAACUCUCGUGUUUCUCCAUGAGAGCCUGGAGCUCUUGCCGCACCUCCGCCACCCGCGCCUCCUAUUUCUCUCGCUCGAUGCGCUCCAAGGCCGCACUAUUUUCGGCCUUGGACACCGCUUCCUUCAGGGUUGCCACCUCGGUCGUGGUCCCUGCAACAUUCACGUUUGUCCUAUCAUUAUUUGCAACCAGGUUUUUUUAUACAUUUACAUACGGUAUUACAUACCCUCCUUGUCCUCGAGCUGCUUCUUGGCACGGCCGAGCUCGUUCUUGGACCGCUCGAGUCUCUUCUUCAAUGUAUCGACCUCCGCAGUCAGUGCGGCAGAGGUCAGCAACGCAGCCUGCAUUCCCAUAUUGACAUAUUUAUGUUAGACUCUUGCGUAUAUCUUUUUAGAUCCUCAGCUCGGCUUUUCUUUUCGAACGCCGAACUAAGCAUCAGGGGCUACUGUCUAUGCAGUAACAUUUAUAUGUUUUACAUACCUCGAAGCCUGUUAGCAGGCUGGUACAGGCUUCUAUCAGUCCGCUCUUGGCGGACUGAACAUUCUGAAUCACCACACUCAUAACAGUGCGGUGCUCCUCGUUGAUGGAGGCGCCAUUAAGCACCUCCAACAAAUUUUCCGGCGUCUCUGGUUGGACGGAGGUCGCCUGCGUCGUAGGCGCGCCUUUCUUACAAAGGCGCCGCCUGCCGGACUCUGGAACCGUUGUUGGUUCCGGAGCGGUGUCCGGCCCGGGGCCAGACUUAGAUCCCUCUGGGGUUUUACCCCCUUUGGGCCUGGAGUCCGGAAGGUCGCCUUGUGGCGCCUCCAGGACCACCUCCUCCUGGUUUAGCCCCUUUUGGGACUCCACCUCAGCAUCGUCUGUAGGGAGAGGGGAGGAGGCCAUCGGGAGUGAAGCACUAUUCACAUCCGACGGGUCUAGGGAGCCGCUCGACGAAUCGCCGAGCUGAGCCCGGGGCAGACUGCAUACUUGAAUUCAGCGUCAGAAGGUACCAUACAUCAGAGGAGCGGCAUAAGUUAUUCUAGUAUCCGGAUACUUACGAUUUUGCCAGGGGCUUGACCCUGGAUGGCCAUUCCUCCCCGCCGUCUUCGGCAUCAGAGGCGUAGUCCGGCAGAAGGGUCCUCCCCUUCUUGGACCCUCCGGCCUCCCCAGUUGGGGCGGCCUUCCUCUUCUUUCCUCCCCUCGCUGGAGGGGGAGAGGCUUCUUCUUCUUCUUCUUCUUCCUCCUCGUCCUCAGAGGCGGAGGGUGCUUCGGGGUUGUCGGGCGAUGAAUCCGACACCACCAGGCACUGGGAACUCUUUCGGGUCCCCGUGGCCUUCUUCUUGGCCUUCUUCUCCAGCACCACAUGAGGUGCCAGAACCAGCAGCUUUGUCAAGCGCGCGUCUGCUGGGCCUUCGGGCAAAGGGGUCGGGCAGUCAAACUGUCUGGAUGUCCUCUUCCAGUCCUGUCAAAGGAGCAGGAGUUUAGAUCCUGCAUGGAAUCAAACCAUGAAAAUCAAGUGUCCCGAGAAAGACUAAAGGCAAGCUUACUUCGGUGGCUUGGCGCUUGGCACAUAAUCCGCGAUCCUCGGUGACGGGUGGGGAGACCUCGGAGCUCUUGAAUAGCACAUUCCAAGCGUCCUCGUGUUUUGUGUCGAAAAGCCGGGACAGAGUCUGGUGCUGGGCCGGGUCGAACUCCCACAAGGUGAAGGCCCGUCGUUGACACGGGAGAAUCCGGCGGAAGAGCAUGACUUGGACUACGUUGACAAGCUUAACCUUCUUGUUCACCAGGUCUCGGACGCAGGUUUGGAGUCCGGUCACCUCUUCCGGACUACCCCACAACAGGCCCGUCUCCUUCCAAGAUGUGAGCCGAGUGGGGAUGCCGGAUCGAAAUUCGGGAGCCGCUGCCCAUUCAGGGUCAUGCGGCUCGGUGAUAUAGAACCACCCCGACUGCCAUCCUUUGAUGGUCUCUACGAAGGUGCCCUCGAGCCAUGUAACGUUGGCUAUCUUGCCCACCGUGGUGCCUCCGCACUCCGCUUGACGUCCUCCCACGACCUUCGGCUUGACGCUGAAGAUCUUCAGCCAUAGGCCAAAGUGAGGCUGGAUGCGGAGGAAGACCUCACACACGACGAUGAACGCCGAGAUGUUGAGAACGAAGUUCGGGGCCAGAUCGUGGAAGUCGAGGCUGUAGUACAACAUGAGCCCCCGGAGGAACGGGUGAAGAGGAAAGCCCAGUCCGCGGAGGAAAUGGGGGAGAAACACGACCCUCUCAUGGGGCCUAGGGGUGGGGACGAGUUGCCCCUCCUCGGGAAGCCGGUGCGCGAUGUCGUCAGACAAGUAUCCGGCAUUCCUCAACCUUUUGAUUUGCCCCUCCGUGACGGAGGAGACAUCCAUCUACCUCCCGCUCCGGACAUGAUUGGAGAAAUGUAGAUGUGGGAAGUGCGGACUUGGGCGCUGGAGUUCGAGUGCGCAGGGAUGGAUAAGCAAGGAAGGAAGAAGGCAUGAAUGGAAAGGGUGGAUCCAUAUCCCCUUAUAUGGGUGGCCGAGACUAUAUGCCCUCACCAGCCCAAUAAAACUCGCUUAUCUCCCAAGCGUCGCGGUUAAUGGCGCGGUUGGGUUACCCACGCCCGUAUUGAUGAGAAUCCCGGAAUAAGGGGACACGAUCUCUGCUUUGACAAGACAUGCCAAGGAAACCGCCUCGCUAAAUGCGCUGAGGUGGAACAGUAAAACGAUUCGAAUAAAGGCUUGGCUGUGGCGUGAUGUCAUGCUGUGGAAUACGUCAGCAUAUUAGAUUUGUGCAAAUAUUAUUCUCUCUCCGGUGGCAUGUGGAACUUAUUUUGCAGAGCCGGACACUAUCCUUGUGUUCAACACCUUCUAUGGAGUAUUCGGAGGAGGAACCCGCCUUGCAAUGCCAAAGACAAUUUGCGUGCCGGACUCGUCGUCAUUGAAGCCUAGUUCAGGGGCUACUAAGGGAGUCCUGGAUUAGGGGGUGUCCGGAUGGCCGGACUAUGACCUUUCGCCGGACUCUCGGACUAUGAAGAUACAAGAUUGAAGACUUCGUCCCGUGUCCAGAUAGGACUUUCCUUGGCAUGGAAGGCAAGCUUGGCGAUAUGAUAUGAAGAUCUCCUCCCAUUGUAACCGACUCUGUGUAACCCUAGCCCUAUCCGGUGUCUAUAUAAACCGGAGAGGUUUAGUGCGUAGGACGAACAACAAUCAUACCAUAGGCUAGCUUCUAGGGUUUAGCCUCUCUGAUCUUGUGGUAGAUCAACUCUUGUACUACCCAUAUCAUCAAUAUUAAUCAAGCAGGAGUAGGGUUUUACCUCCAUCGAGAGGGCCCAAACCUGGGUAAAAACAUCGUGUCCCUUGUCUCCUGUUACCAUCUGCCUAGACGCAUAGUUCGGGACCCCCUACCCGAGAUCCGCCGGUUUUGACACCGACACCAAGGUUGAUGCUAUUGAAAAGAUGCCAUGUCCCAAGGUACUUUUGCUUAUAGACGUAUGCCUUUUGGUUUAUGUAAUGCACCUGCUACCUUUCAAAGAUGCAUGAUGGCUAUAUUCUCUGACUUUUGCGAAAAGAUUUGUGAGGUUUUCAUGGAUGACUUUUCCGUCUAUGGUUCCUCUUUUGAUGAUUGUUUAAGCAAUCUUGAUCGAGUUUUGCAGAGAUGUGAAGAAACUAAUCUUGUCUUGAAUUGGGAAAAGUGCCACUUUAUGGUUAAUGAAGGUAUUGUCUUGGGGCACAAAGUUUCUGAAAGAGGUAUUGAAGUUGAUAAAGCCAAGGUUGAUGCUAUUGAAAAGAUGCCAUGUCCAAAGGACAUCAAAGGUAUAAGAAGUUUCCUUGGUCACGCCGGAUUUUAUAGGAGGUUCAUUAAGGACUUCUCAAAAAUCUCUCGGCCUCUGACUAAUGUAUUACAAAACGAUGUACCAUUUGUCUUUGAUGAUGAUUGUGUAGAAGCAUUUGAAAUACUUAAGAAAGCACUAGUCUCUGCACCUAUUGUUCAGCCACCAAAUUGGAAUUUACCCUUUGAAAUUAUGUGUGAUGCUAGUGAUUAUGCUGUAGGUGCUGUUCUAGGGCAAAUAGUUGAUAAGAAAUUGAAUGUUAUCCAUUAUGCUAGUAAGACUCUAGACAAUGCUCAAAGAAAUUAUGCUACUACCGAAAAGGAACUUUUAGCAGUUGUGUUUCCUUGUGAUAAGUUCAGACCCUAUAUUGUUGAUUCUAAAUUAACUAUUCACACUGAUCAUGCUGCUAUUAAAUAUCUUAUGGAAAAGAAGGAUGCAAAACCUAGACUUAUUAGAUGGGUUCUCCUGCUUCAAGAAUUUUAUUUACAUAUUGUUGAUAGAAAGGGAGCUGAGAACCCUGUUGCAGACAACUUGUCUAGCUUAGAGAAUGUUCUUGAUGACCCACUACCUAUUAAUGAUAGCUUCCUUGAUGAGCAAUUAAAUGUCAUUAGCACUUCUCGUAGCACUCCAUGGUAUGAUGAUUAUGCUAAUUAUAUUGUUGCUAAAUUUAUAUCACCUAGCUUCACAUACCAACAAAAGAAAAAGUUUUUCUAUGACUUGCGACAUUACUUUUGGGAUGACCCACAUCUUUAUAAAGAAGGAGUAGAUGGUGUCAUUAGACGCUGUGUACCUGAGCAUGAACAGGAAUAGAUCCUACGCAAGUGUCACUCCGAAGCUUAUGGAGGACACCAUGCUGGAGAUAGGACUGCACAUAAGGUAUUGCAAUCUGGUUUUUAUUGUCGUACUCUCUUCAAGGAUGCCCAUAAGUUUGUUUUGUCUUGCGAUGAAUGUCAAAGGAUUGGUAAUAUUAGUAGACAUCAAGAAAUGCCUAUGAAUUAUUCACUUAGCCAUUUGAUGUUUGGGGCUUUGAUUAUAUGGGACCUUUUCCUGGCUCUAAUGGAUAUACUCAUAUUUUAGUUGCUGUUGAUUAGGUCACUAAAUGGGUAGAAGCUAUUCCAACUAGUAGUGCUGAGCAUAACACUUCUAUUAAAAUGCUUAAGGAAGUUAUUUUUCCGAGGUUUGGAGUCGCUAGAUAUUUAAUGACUGAUGGUGUUUCACACUUUAUUCAUGGUGCUUUCCAUAAGAUGCUUGCUAAAUAUGACGUUAAUCAUAGGAUUGCAUCUCCUUAUCACCCACAGUCUGGUGGUCAAGUAGAGUUGAGCAGUAGAGAGCUCAAGCUAAUUUUGCAAAAGACUGUUAAUAGGUCUAGAAAGAAUUGGUCCAAGAAACUUGAUGAUGCAUUAUGGGCCUAUAGAACUGCAUAUAAAAAUCCUAUGGGCCUGUCUCCGUAUAAAAUGGUUUAUGGAAAAGCUUGUCACUUACCUCUCGAACUAGAACACAAGGCAUACUGGGCUAUUAAAGAGCUCAACUAUGAUUUCAAACUUGCCGGUGAGAAGAGGUUAUUUGAUAUUAGCUCACUUGAUGAAUGGAGAGCCCAAGCGUAUGAAAAUGCCAAGUUGUUUAAAGAAAAGGUUAAAAGAUGGCAUGACAAAAGGAUACAAAAGCGUGAGUUUAAUAUAGGUGAUUAUGUAUUUCUAUACAACUCUCGUUUAAGAUUUUUUGCAGGAAAACUUCUCUCUAAAUGGGAAGGUCCAUACGUUAUCGAGGAGGUCUAUCGUUCCGGUGCCAUAAAAAUCAACAACUUCGCAGGCACAAAUCUGAAGGUGGUAAACGGUCAAAGGAUCAAACACUAUAUCUCAGGUAGUCCAAUAAAUGUUGAAACCAAUUUUAUUGAAACCGCAACCCCGGAGGAAUACAUAAAGGACACUUUCCAGAAUGUUCCGGACUCCGGAAAGGAAUAGGUAUGUGGUACGGUAAGUAAACCAAAUCCAAAACAAUUUUUAAGGCAAUAUUUCUCCGUUUUGGAAUAUUUAGAAAAAUAGAAAAAUAAGUAGCAGUCCGGGGAGGACACGAGGCCUCCACGAGGGUGGAGGGCGCGCCCCCCUACCUCGUGUGCCCUCCGAACUCCGUUUCCUUGCAUGAUAUGUAUUUUGGUCGGUAAAAAUUCAUUAUAUAUACUCCCGGAGGUUUUGACUCUUGUAUCACGCAAGUCUCCCAUGUUCUUGUUUCGAGCUGUUUUUCUGACAGGUCUAGAUCAUCAUGACAGCCCCAAGUGCUUCCAAGGACAAGUUCUUCGAAAAGGUGAUCAACCCUUACCUCGCGGAGGUGUUGCGACACCUUCAAACCAUUGAGAUACAUGAUGGGUUGCUGCACAUCCGUGAUGUUGAGGGACCAAAGGGGACCGGAAGCAUGGAGUCGAGGCUCGAAGAAAUGGAGAAACAAGUUUUCAAAUGUCAGGGGAUGGUGGAGCGCGGAAUCAACGCUAGACACAAGAUGCUCGCGGAGUUCACCAACAACUAUGAGUCGGACGCUAAGAACACCGAGGAGGCCAUCUUUAAGCUACAAGAGAAGAGCGAGCACCUCCAAGCCCAAAUUUAUGAUCGGCAAAACCAAAACUAUGAGUAUGAAUAUAGAUUCAAAAGGAUGAGUUUGGCUGCAUAUUUGAGGAUUCCGGAGACUCGAUCAUCCUUCUAUGAUGGUGAGCCUAUGCCAUGGAAGUUGGACGACAAGCCUGCAUCAUCUUCACCACCUCCAUCACCUCCGAGGAAAUAAUCAUAUGGGUAUGGGCACUCCCCUUGGCAACUUCCAAGCUUGGGGGAGGUGCCCUGGUAUCGUAUCACCAUCACAACUCCUAUCUUUACCGUUUGUCUUACUUCGAUCCUAUUAGUAGUAUCUUUAUUUAGUAGAAUAAAGUCAUGGCAUGAUCUAGUUUUGAGUUUUGCUUUACGAUCUUUCUUUGUAAUCGAGUCUGUGAGCUAUAUAAUAAAGAUUAGUGUUGAGUCAAGGGCUUGAAUAUUUUGCCAUGAUCUUGGGUGAUUAGAAGAAAAAGAAUAAAAAGAAUCAAAGAGUUCAUAUUGAUCUUAGUGAAAGUAAUGACUUCACAUAGAGAGUGUAUGAUGAUUAAAAGUUGUUGGGAAUUGGCAAAUAUAGCUUUGGUCAUCUUUGCAAUUAAAAGGAAGUAAUAAGGAAAGAGAGGUUUCACAUAUAGAUAUAUUAUCAUGGACACCUUUUAUGAUUAGGAGCACUCAUUAAAUUAUGACAUGCUAAAAGAGUUGAAGUUGGACAAGGAAGACAACGUAAUGAGUUGUGUUUUCUUACAUCCGAGAUAAAAUGUGUUCAUGGAUCCUCUACCGUGUUGAGCUUGCCUUUCCCCCUCAUUGUCGGGGGAAACUGAUCCACGAACACCUAUGGGACCGGAGCCCCUUUCGGUUCGGCGGGAGGCGGAGGUCGCACGAAGAGCUGAUCGAGGCGGAGCACACGAGCAGUUUACCUAGCUUCGGAGCUCUCCGAAGAGAUAACACUCCUACUGCUGCUUGUCUGAUUCUAUUAUGUUCUUGCUCCAGAGCGAGCUAAGUGUUUUUCUGACUUAUGAAAGAGUCGAACCCCCCUCUAUGUUGCGCAUGGGCCUCCUUAUACGUUAAAGGGGUCACCGACAGGUGGCAACGCAGAGAAGGGUACAAAUAUAAAAAGUGAGGUGGUUGGUACAGUCACUUGUACAGUGUUUCUUACCUAACCCUGACGGCAGGGGACGAGGGCAUUAAAUGCCCGUCUGCGUCGCCCAAAUAGUGCAGGAAAAGUACCGUCAGGGACGCCUCAGUUCGCCAUGAUGGCGAUCUUGUCAGCGUCGCAUGCCACUUCGCACCCCUGGUUGCACAGCCUCCCGCCACGCAUGCCUGGAAAAGCCCUCAGGGCGACACGUUGCUGGAUGCGCUAGAGCGCGGGCGCAGAGUGGCCGCCUGCCGCGGCAAGCGCCUUGCCGCGGCCGUUGUCUUGUCGGGCCCGGAAGCUUGUCGCUCGCCGAACCUUGAGGUGCCUUGGUUGGCCUUCCCGGCAAGCUCCUCUUGCCGGGGCCUUGUCUCUUGGGCUUAAAUACCUUGUUCUUGAUUGGCUCCAAAGGAGCCAAGGAGGAUCUUGGCAGUCACCCGGCAAGCCCUUGCCGCGGGGCGCUGCAACUGCCCGUGAACAAGUUCGGGGUACUAGGGUACCCCUAUUCUAGUACACCGACAGGAGCCCCCGGGCCUGGGCCAUACACGGUGCCGAGCGCUAUUGGGCCAGGCCCAAAACAGGGCACGGGCACACGCGGCCUGGAUUUUGCCGUUACUCACUCCGCAUCCACCGCGCCCUCCCUAACGGCACGCGUUGAACGCGGCGUCGUGGGAGAGAUCGUGGGUGGAUUCUUUAUUCGGAAGGGCAAAACGUCCGCCCCGUCCCUCUUUAUAAGCAGGGGAAACAGGGGCAGUUCGUUCCCCCUCGCUGGUUGCUGCUACUCCAUCUUCACAAACCUCCACCGCUCCCCCCUUCUUCUCCAAGCCGAGAGAGAUCAGCGCUUCGCCCCCCGUCGCCACCAGCACCACCACGCCGCCGAUCUCCCCUGCCACUUCCGCCAUGGCUCCGAAAGCCGACAAGGGGAAGGGCGUGAAAUCGGCCGAGGCGCAGCGGCUGCGGCGCUGCGGAAGGAGCGGGCCAUCUUCCCCCCUCAGCUCGGCGCCAAGGAGCUGAGGGAGUAUUACUACCUUUUCUGGUCGACGGAGACGCGUGCGCACCCACGCACGAGGGUACUCCCGGCCACCGCAUUGGAGCUGGCUCCAACCGGGUACCCGUUCUUUGCACUUUUCUUCUACUGCAGGCUCUGUCCGCCCUUCUCGGAGUUCUUUUGUGAUAUCAUGAACACGUACGGCCUCCGCCUCCUAGACUUCACCCCAACGCCGUCCUUACGAUGGCAGUUUUCGCACAUUUGUGCGAAAACUUUGUCGGAGUCCACCCCAAUGUAGCCCUUUUCCGCCAUUUCUUCAUGCCUCGGGUCGAGAGAGGAGAGCCGCUUGCCGGAGGGAUCGCCUGGAUUUCGAGAGUCGGCAAGAAGGAGGCGUAUCUGGAGGGUGAACUUCGCAGCAAAUGGGAGGAGUGGAGAGUGGAGUGGUGUUGGAUUGUUUAGGAGAACCCGCACCCAUUCACCGCCGUGCGCCAAGCCCCAAUAGUACGCGGCAACGAUUGGAGCAACAUGGCCCCGGAAGAUGACAGGCUGAGGAUCGCCGUCACCAGAAUCCUCCGCCUUAGGCUUGCCGGGCUCACUGUAGGCGCUGUCGGCGCAGACUUCCUUCGCCGCCGCAUCGCCCCCCUGCAGGAGAGAGGGAGGCCUGCCUGGGAGUUCAAGAACUCGGUGGACAUCAUGAGGCUGCGCCCGGGCCUCAACUUCAAUUUCACCGUCUUGGAGCUAGAUGCAAUGCUCCUGGAGCUCUUCAAACGCGACCCCCAGCACCCGUUCCUGUUGCUGAGGAGUGUCGUUCCGCUGUGCAACAAUUCGUCGCUUGACCAGAUCCGCGCGAUGAUGCCGUUGUGCGACUCUCACGGAAUCACCCCAACUUGGCAAGAGCCGGCGGAUGACGUCGUGCGGGCGUUCUUCGAUAGCUUGGAGGAAGUGCCGAUCCGCGCCGACGAGCAGAGGAGCCUCACCCGUGACACCACCGACGAGGAGCUGCAGCGCAUCGCCACUAGGGCAGAAGAGGCUGCGGCAGCAGCUGCCGCGGGCGAGUUCGGGUUCACCGAGGCGGAGGCAGAGGCAGCAGAGGCGGCAAGCCUUGCCGAGCGCGAGGAGUUCGCCGGCGAGGAAGAUCUUGCCGGCCCCGAGGCCGAGCCGAGCGAGCCCAGCGAGGAGGAGCCCGAGCCUUCAGAAAGCUUGCCGCAGGCGGAGCCCCCGGCCCCGCCAAGAAGGCGUCUUCGCAGGGCCACGGACGUGGCGGGGCGGCAGGCGGGUCAACAGCCGCCGAGCCGCGCGACACGCUCUACCGCGGCAAGUACCGUUGCCGCGGGAGCGCCCCACGCUGCUGCGGCAACUGGAGCGGGAUCUUCUUGGUCCACCGCCACCGCCCCUGCCAAGCGGGCAAGGGAUCCUACUCCUCCGCCUCGCCGCACCAGAGGGGAGGCGGACUUCGAUCUCUCCGCACUCAGCUCCGACGAGGAGGAAGAAGAGUAAGUUUCUUUGUUGUCCUUGUAAUCCUCCAAUUCUUGUUGUUCUUCAAUCUUGUUCCUGACUUGCUUCGAUCUGAACUUAUUCCUUUUCAGGACGCUAGCUCAAAGAGAGGCAAAGAGAGCCAAGGCCGUGGUGAUCGUCAUCGAGGAUGACCCCACCGUGUCAGCAGGGGGUGGGUCCAAGACCACCUUGUCGGACCGGGCAGCCACUCCCCUAAGCAGCCCCCAGUGCAGCCCCCAGCGUAAGUUUGUAGUUUACUUUCUGCUGUCGGGCGUGCAUGAGUGCUUCUUUCUCUACUGACACCUUGACUGUUGAUUUGUGUAGGAGCAGAACAGCCUCAUCAAGAACGCCCAGAAGCUGGUCCCGAAGUGCCAUCUGCUUCGACUACGCCGCCAAGGGAGGAGUCCCCGGCAAGGGAGCGCUCUCCGCCAAGGGAGAACUCUCCGGCAAGGGGCAGCUCUCCGGCAAGGGACAGCACCAACGACCCCGCGGUGGCUGAGACCACAACUGCAGAUCUUGGUACAGGUAAUCCUCUUGCCCAAAAACUUCCCUUGGGUUUUUCUUCUUCUGAUUUUCUUCUUGCACAUUUGCUUGAUUCUUCUCCCUUCUUCGUUCUUCAGAUCCAUCUGCUGCGGAGCCAAUGGAGACUGAGGACGCCGGCGAGGAAGGCGCGCGUGGCAGCAACGUCGACGCCGCCGUUAACGAAGAAGGGGCCGGUGCUGAUGAACCCGCCGGCGAGGAGGCCGCCAAGGCUGUCGGCGCAGAAGCUGGCGAGGGGUCGGGCGAUCGCACUGACGGCCCUGAGGCCGCAGGAGCGCCAGGCGCUGCAUCGAUCGCCGAUCCCUCCGCCGCUGCUGCGGAGCCAGGCUCCGAAGAGCCUCAGCCCGGCGCCUACCUGAAGGCCGGCAACGGCAUCUUCAUCAAGCUCCCCUGGGCGUCGAGCUCCAGGGCGCCGGUCGAAGGAGAAACUUUCGAUGAGGAGCUGCUCGCCUCCGCUGGGCUGUACUUGGUCGACGCGCCAAGCAGCAGUGGCGAGCCUGAGGAGGAGCAGCUGAUGCGGAAGCUGCUGUCACUCUACCGCGCCCGACAAGCCAAGCUGGCUUCCCGGGAAGCACUUGUCGCGAAGGCGGGAGUGGAUAUGGAGAAGCGCGCAGAGGAGCUCUGGAGCAUCAACCAGGAAGCUCUCCGGUCCCUGGCACAGGAGCGGGAGAGACUUGCAGAGGAGCGUACGGCCUUCCUUCUUGAGAAGGCCGAAGUUGAGGAGGAACAAAGGCUCGCUGCCGAGAACCAGUCCGCGCGAGAAGGCGAGUUGGUGCAGCGGAAGGCCUAUCUUGAUAGCUAUGAGGAGGAGCUCGUUGCGCGCGAGGAAAAACUUGGCGGGACUCUAAAGGAAGCAAGGGAUGCUGCCGCAACUACAGAGGCCGCCAAGAAGGAGCUGGAGGCAAGGGUGAAGCAGCUGGAGGCGAACAUCCAGAAGAGCGGCGAGGAGCUUGCCGCGCUCCAGCGCGAGCGCGAGAAGGAUGCUGCUGCUCAUGGUGAGCUGCAGGGUCUUCUCGCUGAGAGGAGCAGGGAGCUCAGCGCCGCCAAGGACUCCAAUGCGGAUCUCGAGCUGAAGCUGACCACGCUAACUCAGACGCUGGACGGUGCCAAGGAGCGGGAGAAGACUUUGUCGGAGAAGGUCAAGGCCGACGAGGCGCUGCUGGCGAGCAUCGCCGUCACCCAGAAUGCAUUCAAGGAGACUGUGGAGCACUGGACCGAGGGUCUGGUGAACAUCGCUGCAGUCAUCGACGGGGAGCUGGCGCAGCUGGGGAUGGAAGACCUCGGGUACUCUUCCGACGAGCAUCUCCAACCCAGCGCCAAGCUCAACCUAUUCUUCAAGGGCGUGGCGAUGGCACUCUAGCAGCUUCGGGAGAAGAUCCCAAAGCAGCUGGCCGACGAGUCACGCAGGAUUUGUGCCGGCGCUCUUCAGAAGGUGCUGAUGAAGGUGGCCUUCCGCAACCCAGGCCUCAACUUCACCAACGUCCUCAAGUCCUUGUCGCCGGAUGCCGACGUGGAAGCGCUCAAGGCCCUUGUCGCACCCAUUGUGGACAAGGUGAGCGGGAUCAAGAGGGUCGAGGGCGAUCGUGUAGACUAGGCCGCCCAUUUUAUCUUGUUUUCCCUUGUCGUUGCUAAUCAUGUUAUGAAAACAGUCUGUUAGAGCUGCGACAAGUUACCUUGUAAUAUAACUUUAUUUCUGGUAUUGAUUGCUACGUUAUUUCCUUUACUAGAUUCUUCCUUUGUAUGUUUUUACCCUACGCUUUUAGGAAACUUGCCGGCGCAGGCACCCGAGCCGCGAGCGCUGAGUGCAGGACUUCAGCAGCCUGCUGGCGGUGCCGCCUCCGACAAGAAAACUUGCCGCGACUAGUUGCAGCACACUUAAGUUGUUGAGCGGACUCGAAACAAAGUAAGGGCGCAACUAGCUACGAGUUGGUUCCUCCGCGCACAGGUUUUCCAUACAAAGCACGGUCGUUCGAGGAAGAUAACUUAAAAAAGAAUUAAAACUAAUUGCUCAAGCUUUGGCAACUUAGCUUUUCUGUUGUUUGCUUCCCGGCAAGGUGAAACUUCUUUGAACGACGCCCUGUCCACACCAUAAUCNNNNNNNNNNNNNNNNNNNNNNNNNNNNNNNNNNNNNNNNNNNNNNNNNNNNNNNNNNNNNNNNNNNNNNNNNNNNNNNNNNNNNNNNNNNNNNNNNNNNNNNNNNNNNNNNNNNNNNNNNNNNNNNNNNNNNNNNNNNNNNNNNNNNNNNNNNNNNNNNNNNNNNNNNNNNNNNNNNNNNNNNNNNNNNNNNNNNNNNNNNNNNNNNNNNNNNNNNNNNNNNNNNNNNNNNNNNNNNNNNNNNAGAAAAAGAAAGAAGAGAAAAUAAUGAUAUCGAGCCUUAUGGCUUGUUAUUGCUUACCGGGAGUUGGUGCUGCACAAAGUGUCAGAUAGCGCAUACAAGAAAAAGAUGUAAUGCAUGGAAUUGACAAGAUGUGCGGAGCACAUGAGCUUUACUUAUGCACGGGAUCUGCGCCCGGCUUUGUACAAAGGAUUACAUGCAACAUCGGCAAGACUUGUACAAAAGGUGGUUGCCGGAACGGGUUCCGGCAACCGCGCCCUAUGGGUAAAACUUACGAAGAUGCUCAAUGUUCCAGGAGUUGCUCACUGGAAUGCCAUCUUCGGUCUCAAGGCGGACAGCGCCGGGCCUAGUGACUCGUUUCACCCGAUAAGGGCCUUCCCACUUCGGUGUCAACUUGUUGGAAUUCUUGGCGGACUGAACGCGUCGAAGAACAAGGUCGCCUUCCUCGAAGCUUCUGGCACUAACUUUGCGGCUAUGGUAGCGGCGCAAAGCUUGCUGGUAUCGAGCAGCUCGUACCGCAGCCUGAAGACGAUCUUCCUCAAGGAGCAGCGCGUCAUCUUGUCGCAGCUGCUCUUGCUCAAGCUCAUCAUAAGAGAGCACUCGAGAUGACCCGUAUACGAGUUCCGUGGGGAGAACUGCCACUGCUCCAUAGACUAGAGCGAAAGGUGUCUGUCCAGUGGCUCGAUUUGGCGUCGUUCUGAUCGACCAAAGAGCCACCGGCAGCUCCUCGAUCCAGUUUCUUCCGCACCUGUGCAGCCUGUCGAAAGUCCUGGUCUUGAGCCCGCGCAGCACUUCAGCAUUUGCCCUCUCCGCUUGACCGUUGCUUCUCGGAUGACCAACAUAAGCGAAGCAGACCUUGGCGCCAAGGUCAUGGACGUACUGCAUGAAGGUGCGGCUCGUGAAUUGCGUGCCGUUGUCGGUGAUGAUCCUGUUAAGGAUCCCGAAACGGCAAACAAUCGACCUGAAGAACUUGACUGCUGACAGUGCUGUCACCUUCCUCACUGGUUCCACUUCCGGCCACUUUGUGAACUUGUCGACUGCAACGUAUAAGUACUCAAAGCCCCCGACAGCUCGGGGGAAGGGGCCGAGGAUAUCGAGCCCCCAGACUGAAAAUGGCCAGGAUAAAGGGAUCGUCUGGAGAGCUUGAGCUGGCUGGUGUAUCUGCUUGGAAUGGAACUGGCAUGCUUCACACUUGGUUACUUGUGCAGUUGCAUCCUGGAGGGCUGUCGGCCAAAAGAAACCUUGCCGGAAAGCUUUGCCGGCAAGUGCUCUUGCACCAAUGUGGUGACCACAUAUGCCUCCAUGUAUCUCUGCCAACAGCUUUUGUCCGUCUUCUCGGCAAAUACACUUCAAUUUCACACCAUUUAGUCUCCUUCUGUACAGUAUGUUGUCGACAAACUGGUACAUACUUGACUGCCGGGCUACUUUUUCCGCUGCUUCUUGCUCUUCGGGAAGUUCUCCCGUCUGGAGGAAACGGACAAUCUGCUGUGCCCAUGCUGGAGCUUGUGGCUCGAUAACAAGGACUAAAGGCACAUCUGCUGCUGCGGGGACAUCCGCUUCUACGGCAAGAACCUGCGGCUCAGCCGGAGCUUGAUGUCCCCCGACAAGCUUGCCGGAGUGAAACUUGUCGAGAGCGUCUGCUUCGACAGAACAAGCACUGAGACUUGCCGUAGCAAACUGCUCCUCAGCAUCUUUAGCGUUGAUUUUGGGGACCUUCUUGGCGGCGGCUUCGGGAAGCUCUGCCGGAAAGUAGUCACCGGAAAUCAACUUUCUCUUCUUGCUCUGUCCAGUUGAUGGUGUCACGGAUGGUUGAGUCAGCUUGAGCACAAAGAUCCCUGGUUCCACAGGUAACUUAAGUGCGGCGCACUUUUACAGGCCGUCAGCAAUGUCAUUCUGAGCUCUUGGAACAUGUUCCAUCUGUAGGCCGUCAAAGUGCUCUUCUGACUUUCUCACUUCAUCAACAUAAGCUUCCAUCAAUGGACUCUGAUAAUCCUUGUUCACUUGGCGGACGACAAGUUGUGAGUCACCCCUGACAAUGAGCUUCUUGAUCCCAAGGUCUGCUGCGAUCCUGAGACCGGCAAGCAAACCUUCAUACUCUGCAGUAUUGUUUGUUGCUUGCUCCUUGGGAAAGUGCAUCUGGACUACGUACUUGAGGUGCUCUCCGGUGGGCGCGACAAGCAGCACGCCCGCACCGGUGCCUUGUAGCGAGAAGGCACCAUCAAAAUACAUCAGCCACUCUUUGCUUGCCUCCUUGACGGGGAUGCUUGUCUCUGGAAUCUCCUCAUCUGGUGUUGGCGUCCACUCUGCUAUGAACUCUGCCAAUGCUCUGCUUUGGAUAGUUGAAGUGCUUUCAAACUUGAGGCCAAAGCUUGACAGUUCCAGUGCCCACUUGACAAUCCUGCCUGUUGCUUCUGGAUUUUGCAGUAUCCUCUUCAACGGAAAGCGAGUGACAAUUGUGAUCUCAUGUGCUUGGAAGUAAUGGCACAGCUUUCUCGAGGCCAUGAGAAGGCCGAAAAGCAACUUCUGCACACCAGAGUACCUUGACCUAGCCCCCAGCAAAAGGGAACUGACAAAGUAAACUGGGCGAUGCACCAUUCUCUUCUGCACCUCCUUAUGUGUCUGCGCAGAUCCAUCUUUGUCGGGACCGAAGCUUGCCGGACUAGAGCUUGUCGGACCAGAGCUUGUCGGUGAAGCCCCCUGCUUGUCGCUGGAUGCAUCUGCCGUGGUUGCUGGCUCAUCAUCUGCCUCCCUCUCCGCCACUAACGCAUCACUAACCACUUGAUUGGUUGCCGCUAUAUACAGCAGCAACUUCUCUUGUGGCCUAGGUGCGACAAGCGUUGGAGCGGAGGAUAGGUAUCUCUUCAAGUCCUGCAGCGCAGCCUCCGCUUCCGGAGUCCAUUUCAUUGGACCUGCCUUCUUCAAAAUUUUCAAGAAUGGCAGGGCGCGCUCAGCAGAUCUAGAGAUAAACCUGCUGAGAGCAGCCACGCAACCGGCAAGUCUUCGUACAUCCUUGACGCGCUUUGGUGCUUCAAUCUACUCAAUGGCCUUGAUCUUGUCGGGAUUUGCUUCAAUUCCCCUCUGAGACACGAAGAACCCGAGAAGCUUGCCGGAAGGGACUCCAAACACGCACUUCUCGGAGUUCAGCUUGAGGUUGAUCUUGCGCAGAUUCGCAAAGGUUUCAUCUAAAUCUUGAAUCAGGGUUGCCCUGUCCUUGCUCUUGACCACUAUGUCAUCCAUGUAAGCUUCCACAUUUCUGUGCAUUUGUGGCUCAAAAGCAUGAUGGACUACCCUUGCAAAUGUCGAACCAGCAUUCUUCAAACCGAAAGACAUCCGUACGAAACAGUACAUGCCACACGAGGUGAUGAAUGCGGUUUUCUCCUCAUCUUCUUCUGCCAUGAAGAUCUGAUGGUAUCCUGAGUAUGCAUCAAGAAACGAAAGCAGAUCACAUCCGGCCGUGGAGUCAACAAUCUGGUCAAUGCAUGGCAAAGGAAACGGGUCUUUGGGACAAGCUUUAUUGACAUCGGUAAAGUCAAUACAAAGUCUCCAUUUCCCGUUAGCCUUGCGCACGACAACAGGAUUGGCCGACCACGUGGGAUGGAGCACACCUCUGACAAGGCCUGCUGCUUCCAACUUCUUGAUUUCUUCUGCAAUGAACUCUUGGCACUCCACUGCCUUCUUCCUGACUUUUUGCUUGACGGGCCGCGCAUGAGGACAGACGGCAAGGUGGUGCUCAAUUACUUUCCUGGGAACACCGGGGAUGUCAGACGGUUGCCACGCAAACACGUCGACAUUCGCCCGCAGGAAAGCAACGAGCGCGCUUUCCUAUUUAGGGUCGAGCGUGGCACUGAUGGUGAAGGUACCACCAGUGUCGUCCUCCUUGGCGGACACCUUCUUGGUCUUAGGUGGAGCUGCCAUUGCCUUCUUACACUUGCCGGUGGAGCUCGAUGGUGCGUCCUCGACGGUAGCGCAGCACUGCGAAGAGGUGCGCUUGCCAGAGUGGGCCUCAGAGCUCUUGCCGGACUUGGCCUUCUUCUUCCCCCUGGGAGCUUCAGCGGCAAGUGACUUGCGAUCAGCGGCGGCUGCUGCUUCCUGGUAGAUCUUGUCGGUGCAGAUAAGGGCAUCUUUCUUGUCGCCAGGGACAGAGAUGACACUUAUCGAGCCUGGCAUCUUCAGAACGUUGUAGGCAUAGUGAGAGGCUGCCAUGAACUUGGCGAGCGCUGGACGGCCAAGUAUCCCAUUGUAGGGCAAUGGAAAAUCAGCAACGCCAAAAGUGACCCUCUCAGUCCUGAAGUUCAGCUCGCUGCCAAAUGUUACCGGCAAUGUGAUCUUUCCCUUCGGCUUGCUCCUUCCCGGGUUGAUUCCUUGGAAUGUGCCGGUCUCUUCGAGCUCGCUGUCAGGGAUCUGGAGUUUCUGGAGCACCGCGGAGGAGAUCAGGUUCAGGCCGGCCCCACCGUCAACUAACAUCUUGGUGACCUUGAGGUUGCGGAUAGUUGGUGAAACCAACAUCGGCAAGCACCCGACCGCAAUUAUGCGAUCAGGGUGGUCCUCAAUAUCAAAGGUGAUAGGCGUGCUGGACCAUUUCAGAGGCUUGCACGACUCGACGGGUGGUUCUGCUGCAUUGACUUCCCGCACCCACUGCUUGAGCUGGCGGUGCGAAGUAUGCAGAGAAGCACACCGUCAACGCAUAGGACCUCUGUGGCCUUCUGGAACUCCUGCUCGUCGGUCUCGUCAUCAUCCAUGUCUUCGUCGUCGUCGUCUUCAUCCUUGUCGCGGCCGCGGGGAGGCCUGUCUCCUUGCCGCUGCUUAGCCUUGCCGCGGCGUCCUCCCCGGCCGGGACGCUUCUUGCCGGAUCCUCCAACACCCUCUUGGGCCUUCUCCUUGUUGCGCCGCUCGUAUUCAGCUUUCUGCUGCUCAACAAGCUGCUCGACCUUCUUGCAGCUCUGGAGAUCAUGGCCCUUGGUGCGGUGGAUCUUGCAGUACUGCUUGUUGGUGCCGUCCUGCUUGUCGGCAACUGCCGCCUCCGCGGCAACCUCCUUGUCGGAGCUGCCAGCUUUGGGCAUCUUGCCGGACUGCUCAACGACCAGCACCUCUUUGCCUUUCUUUUUCCUGUUAUUCCGCCGCCGGUUUUUCCUUCCCGGGGCGACAUCCUCACUGUCGGAUCCUCCUGCUCCUACAUUCUCUCCGGGGAGUCUCCUCCCUUCCUCAGCACGUGCGCACUUGUCGGCCAGGGCAUAUAGCUCACUGACGUCUCUAAUCUUGCACAUCGCCAUCUCCUCCCACAUCCUGCGGUUCCGCACGUUCUGAUGAAACGCGCUGAUCACCGCGGCAGGGUGGACGUCUGGGAUGUUGUGCUGUACGUUGCUGAAUCUCUGAAUGUACUUGCGUAGGGGUCCCCUUCCUUCUGGGCGAGCAGAUGAAGGUCACUCUCCUGGCCAUGAGGCUUGUGGCCGCCUGUGAAGGCGCCGACAAACUGAUGGCAUAGAUCAGCCCAAGAGGAUAUGGAGUUGUCCGGCAAGUGCAUGAGCCAGGAUCUGACGUUGGGUUUGAGCACCAGCGGGAAGUAGUUGGCAAGGAUCUUGUCGUCCCGCCCCCCGGCAGCUUGCACCGCGAUGGUGUAGAUGCUGAGGAACUCUGACGGAUGCGUCUUGCCAUCGUACUUCUCCGGCACAUCUGGCUUGAAGUUCUUCAUGCUGGGCCACUGGACCUGCCGCAGCUCACGAGUGAACGCAGGGCAACCUACCGCGUACGGCAAGUCGCCUGGUUCUCCGGGUGCGCGCAUGUCAACAGAGGGCCCAGCGCGCUUGUCGGAUUGACGCCGCGCUUCUCUUCGGCGCUCGAUACGAGUACGAGCGUCUUCUUGUUGUCGUUCGUGAAGAACUUGGCGCUGAUCGCGACGAGCUCGUGGAUCCGACGAUGCGGUGGAGUCGCUGUCGAGGUGGAUCCGGCGAGUCGGCGAUCUUGGCCUUCGGGAUGGAGAGUGCACGGUGGUUGCACCUCCACCAGUCUCGUCGCCACCGGCUCGCGCCUGGCAACCCUGCUGCGGCGGCGACUUGCUCGGCUGCCGCGGAGUGUCGCCGUUGGUGUAGCCGAUGAGACUCUGAAUGGUGGCCCUCCAUUCGUCGAUCUUGUCCGACGUCGGAGGGUAAUCCAGGAGCAGUUGAGCUCGCGCCAGAGCUUCUGCCGGAGUAGUGGGUGGCAGUGGCGGACGGCGCGAGGAGCGGGAUGUGCUCGGACUUCUAACUAUGUUAGAAGGAGCAUUAUCCCGUCCGGGCGACCGCAUCUCGCUCGUGCCAACACGUUGGCAUGCAUGCUGGUCUUGCGCGCCCCGGGAUCCACCAGCUUGAUCUUGGCCCAACAAACGUAUGGUACUGCGAGUACCAUGACGUUGUUGGUCCCGCGCCUCCUGAGAUGGGCGCGGAACAAGCGCGGACGUCGAGGUCUGCGCUGCCUUGCCCUUGGACCUGGCAGCGUCGUGAGCCUCCUCGUCGACGUCCGUCCUUCCGUUGGCGUCUACCCCACCACCCGUUUGCUCCGGUGGUGGUGGGAUCGACGCGGACCGAGCAGCUGCCUCCGAAGCCUUCUUCUUCGGUGGCAUGUUGAUGAAGAAAACGAAGAUCUAGCUCGUGUGAACGCCGGAUCAGGUUCACGCAAUCUCGACGCCCCCUACCUGGCGCGCCAAAUAUGUCGGGGGAAACUGAUCCACGAACACCUAUGGGGCCGGAGCCCCUUUCGGUUCGGCGGGAGGCGGAGGUCACACGAAGAGCAGAUCGAGGCGGAGCACACGAGCAGUUUACCCAGCUUCGGAGCUCUUCGGAGAGAUAACACUCCUACUGCUGCUUGUCUGAUUCUAUUAUGUUCUUGCUCCAGAGCGAGCUAAGUGUUUUUCUGACUUAUGAAAGAGUCGAACCCCCCUCUACGUUGCGCAUGGGCCUCCUUUUAUACGUUAAAGGGGUCACCGGCAGGUGGCAACGCAGAGAAGGGUACAAAUGUAAAAAGUGAGGUGGUUGGUACAGUCACUUGUACAGUGUUUCUUACCUAACCCCGACGGCAGGGGACGAGGGCAUUAAAUGCCCGUCUGUGUCGCCCAAACAGUGCAGGAAAAGUACUGUCAGGGAUGCCUCAGUUCGCCACUUUGGCGAUGUUGUCAGCGUCGCAUGCCACUGCGCACCCCUGGCUGCACAACCUCCCGCCACGCGUGCCUGGAAAAGCCCUCAGGGCGACACGUUGGUGGAUGCGCUGGAGCGCGGGCGCAGAGUGGCCGCCUGCCGCGGCAAGCGCCUUGCCGUGGCCGUUGUCUUGUCGGGCCCGGAAGCUUGUCGCUCGCCGAGCCUUGAGGUGCCUUGGUUGGCCUUCCCAGCAAGCUCCUCUUGCCGGGGCCUUGUCUCUUGGGCUUAAAUACCUUGUUCUUGAAUGGCUCCAAAGGAGCCAAGGAGGAUCUUGGCAGUCACCCGGCAAGCCCUUGCCGCGGGGCGCUGCAACUGCCCGUGCACAAGUUUGGGGUACUAGGGUACCCCUAUUCUAGUACACCGACACUCAUGCUAGCCAAAUACUUAGCACCAAGUAGAAAUACUACUUGUGCUUCCAAUUACCCUUAAACCAUUUUCGCCAUGAGAGUCCAUCAUAUCUACCUAUGGAUUGAGUAAGAUCCUUCAAGUAAGUUGUCAUCGUUGCAAGCAAUAAAAAAUUGCUCUCUAAAUAUGCAUGACUUAUUAGUGCAGAGAAAUAAGCUUUGUACGAACUUGUUGUGGAUGCAAUAAAAGCGAUGGACUGCAUAAUAAAGGUUCACAUGCAAGGGGUAAUAUAAAGUGACGUUUUUUGCAUUAAGAUUUUGUGCAUCAACCCUAAACGCGCAUGACAAUGUCUGCUUCCCUCUCCGAAGGGCCUAUCUUUUAUUAUUAUCCUCUACCUUACAAGAGUCAUGGUGACCCUCACCUUUCCUUUUUCAUUUUAUCCUUUGGCAAGUUCAGCAUGUUGGAAAGAGUAUGAUAUACAUAUCUAAUUGUAUGUGGGGGAGCAUGAAUUAUUGUUGUUGACAUUACCCUUGAGGUAAAAGGUUGUGGGGCAAAACUAUAAGCCCCUAUCUUUCUCUGUGUCCGAUUAAAACUCCGUAACCACAAGUAUCGCAUGAGUGCUAGCAAUUAUGAAGGACGAAAUGAUAGUUGAGUAUGUGGACUUGCUUUUAAGCACUAACAUAGACUCUUUCCGAUGUUAUGAUAAAUUGCAAUUGCUUCAAUGACUGAGAUUAUAAUUGUUAGUGCCCAAUAAGGUUUCUGAUUCAUGCUUUGGCUUUGUGAAUAGAUCAUCACUUGAACAUGAGUAAUCAUAUGACAAAAUCUAUUUAUGUUGUUGUUAUGAAAUAAUCAUGAUGCCUUCAUGUUCGUAUUUUGUUUUUAUCGACGCCUCUACCCCUAAACAUGAGGACAUAUUUAUUGUUAUCGACUUUCCGCUUGAGCACAAGCGAGGUCUAAGCUUGGGGGAUUUGAUACGUCCAUUUUGCAUCAUGCUUUUAUGACAAUAUUUAUUGCAUUAUGGGCUGUUAUUUCACAUUAUGUCACAAUACUUAUGGCUAUUCUCUCUUAUUUUACAAGGUUUACAUGAAGAGGGAGAAUGCCGGCAGCUGGAAUUCUGGGCUGGAAAAGGAGCAAAUAUUGGAGGCCUAUUCUACGCAACUCCAAAAGUCCUGAAACUCCAUGGAAUACCUUGAAAUAAAUAAAGAAAAACUGUCGCCAAAGAUGAAGGCCAGGGGGCCCACAUCCUGCUCACGAGGGUGAGGGGCGCCCCCCUGGGGGCGCCCCCCUACCUCAUGGGUCCCCUGGUGGCUCUCCGAUGCCCAUCUUCUCCUAUAUGAAGUCUUUCGAUGAGAAAAAAAUAGGCAGCAACCAUUCGGGACGAGACUCCGCCGCCACGAGGCGGAACCAAUCUAGGGCUCCGGCAGAGCUGUUCUGCCGGGGACACUUCCCUCCGGGAGGGGGAAAUCAUCACCAUCGUCAUCACCAACGCUCCUUUCAUCGGGAGAGGGCAAUCUCCAUCAACAUCUGCACCAGCAGCAUCUCAUCUCCAAACCCUAGUUCAUCUUUUGUAUCCAAUUCUUGCCUCCAAGUCCAGGAUUGGUGCUAGUAGGUUGCUAGUAGUGUUGAUUACUCCUUGUAGUUGAUGCUAGUUCGUUUAUUUCGUGGAGGAUCAUAUGUUCAGAUCCUUUAUGCACCUUAUUACCCCUCUGAUUAUGAACAUGAAUAUGCUUUGUGAGUAAUUACGUUUGUUCCUGAGGACAAGGGAGAAGUCUUGCUAUUAGUAGUCAUGUGAAUUUGGUAUUCGUUCGAUAUUUUGAUGAGAUGUAUGUUGUGUAACCUCUAGUGGUGUUAUGUGAACAUCGACUACAUAACACUUCACCAUUCUUUGGGCCUAGAGGAAGGCAUUGGGAAGUAAUAAGUAGAUGAUGGGUUGCUAGUGUGACAGAAGCUUAAACCCUAGUUUAUGAGUUGCUUCGUAAGGGGCUGAUUUGGAUCCAUAUGUUUCAUGCUAUGGUUAGGUUUACCUUAAUACUUUUGUUGUAGUUGCGGAUGCUUGCAAUAGAGGUUAAUCAUAAGUGGGAUGCUUGUCCAAGUAAGGAUAGUGCCCAAGCACCGGUCCACCCACAUAUCAAAUUAUCAAAGUACCGAACGCGAAUCAUAUGAGCGUGAUGAAAACUAGCUUGACUAUAUUCCCAUGUGUCCUCGGGAGCGCUUUUCCUAUCAUAAGAGUUUGUCCAGGCUUGUCCUUUGCUACAAAAAGGAUUGGGCCACCUUGCUGCACCUUAUUUACUUUUAUUACUUGUUGCUCAUUACAAUUUAUCUUAUCACAAAACUAUCUGUUACCACUUAUUUUAGUACUUGCAGAGAAUACCUUGCUGAAAACCGCUUAUCAUUUCCUUCUACUCCUCGUUGGGUUCGACACUCUUACUUAUCGAAAGGACUACGAUAGAUCCCCUAUACUUGUGGGUCAUCAGCGGUUUCGAACGAAGAUAUACCUGAAGGUCGUCGGGAUGUGGAUAGGUGGGCGGCGGGAGGCCGAAUCCGCCUACAGGCAACGACGAAGGGAUCGGAGGACCUCCCAUGCCGGUGCUCGGCCAGAGAUAAUGGUGCGGCCGGCAGCGGGUCUCCUCCCUCACUGUCGACGACGGCCUAAAGCUGCCCCUCCUCCCCUUCACCGGCGGAGGGGGAUACGUCCGGAUCUGUAACCAGCGGUGAGGAUAGAAAGCCAGUGUUUUUUGAAGGGAGAAAGACAGUGUUACUGCCCCUAUCUUUUUUAGAUCUGGAGAGGAUGAGAGUGUGUGAAUAGAGCAACCCUAGCAAGCAAGCGCGGAGGCUCCGGCCUAUAUAUACGUAGUGGGGUAGUUUUCCUUUUUCACUCCAUUAAAACAAUCGUUUUUUAGUUGUUGACUGUUUUUUGAGAUAGCUACCCGCUUGUUCGAAGUGGUGUUACGGUGUGCCAGGUCGCACUUUGUAUCGUUCAAGUCUGGUACUACAAGUCCCUCCAUUAAAUGAACAACCACCCCCUCGAAAAAAUUGUGAACAAGCCCACGGCUAAAAUUAGCGGAAACGUGGGUUGCCCCAACAUGCAUUAUUAUUUAUAUUUUCUACUCCCUCCGUUCCUAAAUAUAAGUCUUUUUUAUUAGCCACACCUAAGACAAGAAUUUUUUUUAUUAGCAGUGAACCGCACAUUUCAUAGACACAAAAAUUGUGGCAAGAUUCCCUUAGGCAAGCCAAAGUGUGUCUAACAAUUUGAGCAACUUAGGUUAGGCAAGUGUGGCAAGUGUGGGAAAAAUAAUGUGGCAACAUAAGACAAACACAGUCACAAUCCAAACAGCCCCGUAAUUUUUUGUGACAUGCAUGGAAAUUUGGUUAGUUAAAUUUAUAGUCAAAAUUUGGCAAGGUGCAUCAAAUCAACACAUGCAAGUAUCAAAAGGAAAGUCACGGCAUGCACGCAUGCGUUGUACUCCCUCCGUUUCCAAAUAUAAGUCUUUUUAGAGAUUGCAAAAAGUGACUACAUAUGAAGCAGAAUAUGUCUACUCCUACAUACGAAGUAGCCCAUUUGAAAUGUGUAAAAAGACUUAUAUCGAGUGCAGUGCUUUGAUGUGUCAUGUCAACUCGUACAAGACCAAGAAAUUUGAUUACUACAACGCCCUCUCCCUCGCGGACUGAGCUCCAGUGCCUUAACUGCACCUGCCUUUGGCUGCAUGACAGGAGGGCCAACCACCUGUUGGGCCCACCUGUCAUAGACGCAAAGGCAGGAGCAGUAAGUAGAAGCUUUCACUACACGCUAUCCCUCCCACACGAGGUGGACGGACAUGCGGAAGUGGAUUUGAUACUGUAGAAGUAUAACAUAGGGUGACACGGAACUAGCUCCAGUUCAUCAAUGUAAUGUAGGCAUGUAUUCCGCAUAUAGUCAUACAUGCUUAUGGAAAAGAACUUGCAUGACAUCUUUUGUCCUACCCUCCCGUGGUAGCAGGGUCCUAUUGGAAACUAAGGGAUAUUAAGGCCUCCUUUUAAUAGAGUACCGGACCAAAGCAUUAGCACUUAGUGAAUACAUGAACUCCUCAAACUACAGCCAUCACCAAGAAGUAUCCCGAUUAUUGUCACUUUGGGGUUGUCGGAUCAUAAUACAUAAUAGGUGACUAUAGACUUGCAAGAUAGGAUCAAGAACUCACAUAUAUUCAUGAAAACAUAAUAGGUUCAGAUCUGAAAUCAUGGCACUCGGGCCCUAGUGACAAGAAUUAAGCAUAGCAAAGUCAUAGCAACAUCAAUCUUAGAACAUAGUGGAUACUAGGGAUCAAACCCUAACAAAACUAACUUGAUUACAUGGUAAAUCUCAUCAAACCCAUCACCAUCCAGCAAGCCUACGAUGGAAUUACUCACACACGGCGGUGAGCAUCAUGAAAUUGGUGAUGGAGGAUGGUUGAUGAUGACGACGGCGACGAAUCCCCCUCUCCAGAUCCCCGAACGGACUCCAGAUCAGCCCUCCUGGGAGAGAUUAGGGCUUGGCGGCGGCUCCAUAUCGUAAAAUGCGAUGAAACUUUCUCUCUGAUUUUUUCUCCACAAAACGGAAUAUAUAGAGUUGGAGUUUAGGUCGGUGGAGCAUCAGGGGGCCCACAAGACGGGGGGGCGCGCCCAGGGGGAGGGGCUGCACCCCCCACCCUUUUGGACGGGGUGUGGGCCCUCUGGCCUUGAUUCUUUUGCCAGUAUUUUUUUUCCAAAAGUUAUCUCCGUGGAUUUUUAGGUCAUUCCGAGAACUUUUUUUUUCUACACAAUAAACAACACCAUGGAAGAUCUGCUGAAAAUAGUGUUAGUCCGGGUUAGUUUCAUUCAAAUCACGCAAGUUAGAGUUCAAAACAAGGGCAAAAGUGUUUGGAAAAGUAGAUACGUUGGAGACGUAUCAACGAGGAGGAAUUAAGCUUGGGGAUGCUUGAUACGUCUCCACCGUAUCUAUAAUUUUUGAUUGUUCCAUGCUAUUAUAUUACCCAUUUUGAAUGUUUAUGGGCUUUACUUUACACUUUUAUAUCAUUUUUGGGACUAACCUACUAACCGGAGGCCAAGCCCGAAUUGCUGUUUUUUUGCCUAUUUUAGUGUUUCACAGAAAAGGAAUAUCAAACCGACUCCAAAUGGAAUGAAACCUUUGGGAGUGAUCUUUUUCGAACAAACGCAAUCCAGAAGACUUGGAGUGGACGUCAAGAAGGAGCCAAGAUGGUCACGAGGCAGGAGGGCGCGCCCUAGGGGGGUGGGUGCGCCCCCCACCCUCGUGGGCCCCUCGUGGCUCCCUUGACCUACCUCCUUCGCCUAUAUAUACGUGCAUACCCUGAAAACAUCUAUGAGCACCACGAAAAACUAUUUCCACCGCCGCAACCUUCUGUAUCCGUGAGAUCCCAUCUUGGAGCCUUUGCCAGUGCUCCGCCGGAGGGGGAAUUAACCACGGAGGGCCUCUACGUCAUCUCCAAGGCCUCUCCGAUGAGUUGUGAGUAGUUUACCACAGACCUUCGAGUCCAUAGUUAUUAGCUAGAUGUCUUCUUCUCUCUCUUUGAAUCUCAAUACAAAGUUCUCCUUGAUCUUCUUGGAGAUCUAUUCGAUGUAACUCUUUUUGUGGUGUGUUUGUCGAGAUUCGAUGAAUUGUGGGUUUAUGAUCAAGUUUAUCUAUGAGAAAUAUUUGAAUCUCCUCUGAAUUCUUUUAUGUAUGAUUGGUUAUCUUUGCAAGUCUCUUCGAAUUAUCAGUUUGGUUUUGCCUACUAGAUUGAUCUUUUUUGCAAUGGGAGAAGUGCUUAGCUUUAGGUUCAAACUUGCGGUGUCCAUUCCCAGUGACAGCAGGGGAAGCAAGGCACGUAUUGUAUUGUUGCCAUCAAGGACAAAAAGAUGGGGUUUAUAUCAUAUUGCUUGAGUUUAUCCCGCUACAUCAUGUCAUCUGUAUUAAUGCGUUACUCUGUUCUUCAUGAACUUAAUACUCUAGAUGCAGGCAAGAGCCGGUCGAUGUGUGGAGUAAUAGUAGUAGAUGCAGAAUUGUUUCGAUCUACUUGUCAUGGACAUGAUGCCUAUAUACAUGAUCAUGCCUAGAUAUUCUCAUAACUAUGCACUUUUCUAUCAAUUGCUCGACAGUAAUUUGUUCACCCACCGUAUUAAUCAUGCUAUCUUGAGAGAAGCCUCUAGUGAAACCUAUGGCCCCCAGGUCUAUCUUUUAUCAUAUAAGUUUCACAUCUACUUUUAUUUGCAUCUUUACUUUCCAAUCUAUAUCAUAAAAAUACCAAAAAUAUUUAUCUUAUCUUAUUAUCUCUAUCAGAUCUCACUUUCGCAAGUUACCGUGAAGGGAUUGACAACCCCUUUAUCGUGUUGGUUGCGAGGUUCUUGUUUGUUUGUGUAGGUACGAGGGACUUCUGUGGAGCCUCCUACUGGAUUGACACCUUGGUUCUCAAAAACUGAGGGAAAUACUUAUGCUACUUUGCUGCAUCACCCUUUCCUCUUCAAGGGAAAACCAACGCACUGCUCAAGAGGUAGCAGCGACCGGUACAAACCCUCAGCCCCAAGGGUGGACUACUCGUUCCUCAUCAUGGAGACCAUAGGGAUGAUGAAGAUGGCCUCCGGUGAUGAUUUCCCCCUCUGGCAGGGUGUCAAAACGGGGUCUAGAUUGGUUUUUCAUGGCUACAAAGGCUUGCGGUGGCGGAACUUCUAAUAUAGUGUUAUUUCUGAUGGUUUCUCUAUUUAUAGGAUUUUUCAGUGUUGGAAUUACGUGAAGAUGGGCUCGAGGUGACCACAACCCACCAGGGCAAGCCAGACCCAUCUGGCGCGCCCUGGUCGGUUAUGCCCACCUCGUGGCUCUUCUGGCUCUCCCACGAAGCUUCUAGUGCCUCUUUUGUUCCAAAAAAUAUCGUCAAAAAGUUUUUCUACAUUUGGAGAAAUUUUAUUUCUACACAAAAAACAGCACCAUGGUAGUUCUGCUGAAAACAGCGUCCGUCCGGGUUAGUUCCAUCAAAAUCAUACCAAAACCAUAUAAAAUUGUUGUAAACAUGGCAUGAAUACUUCAUAAAUUAUAGAUACAUUGGAGACGUAUGAGUGACAGACCUGCUGCAGGAGCUGUUGUAGAUGUUAUGUAGGUCUGGCAGGCUCAAUCUGAUGACUACUCGAUAGUUCAGUGUGCCAUGCUUUACGGCCUAGAACUGGGACUUCAAAGACGUUUUGAACGCCACAGAGCAUAUGAGAUGUUCCAAGAACUGAAGUUGAUAUUUCAAGCAAAUUCCCGGGUUAAGAGAUAUGACGUCUCCAACAAGUUCUAUAAUUGUAAGAUGGAGGAGAACAGUUAUGUCAGUGAACACACACUCAAAUUGUCUGGGUAUCAUAACCUCUGAACUCAGCUGGGAAUUGAUCUUCCAGUUGAGAGUGUUAUUGACAAAGUUCUUCAGUCACUGCCACCAAGCUACAAGGGCUUCGUGAUGAACUAUAAUAUGCAAGGGAUGACGAAAACGAUUCCCGAGCUCUUCGUGAUGCUCAAAUCGGCGGAGGUAGAAAUUAAGAAGGAGCAUCAAGUGUUGUUGGUUAACAAGACCACUACUUUCAAGAAAAAGGACAAGGGAAAGAAAGGGAACUUCACGAAGAAUGGCAAGCAAGUUGCUGGUCCAUGAAGAAUCCCAAAGCUGGACCCAAGCCUGAAACGAGUGCUUCUACUUCAAAGGAAAUGGUCACAGGAAACGGAACAGACCCAAAUACUUGGCAGAUAAAAAGGAUGGCAAAGUGAACAAAGCUAUAUUUUAUAUACUUGUUAUUGAUGUGUACCUUACUAAUGCUCGUAGUAGCGCCUGGGUAUUUGAUACUGGUUCGGUUGCUCAUAUUUGUAACUCGAAACAGGAGCUACGGAAUAAACGAAGAUUGGCUAAGGACAACGUGACGAUGCGUGUCGGGAAUGGUUCCAAGGUUGAUGUGAUCGUUGUCGGCACGCUACCUCUACAUCUACCUUCGGGAUUAGUUUUAGACCUCCGUAAUUAUUAUUUGGUGUCGGUGUUGAGCAUGAACAAUAUAUCUGGAUCGUGUUUAUUGCAAGAAGGUUAUUCAUUUAAGUCAGAGAAUAAUGAUUGUUCUAUUUAUAUGAGUAAUAUAUUUUAUGGUCAUGCACCCUUGUUGAAUGGUCUGUUCUUUUUGAAUCUCAAUCCUAGUGAUACACAUAUUCAUAAUAUUGAUGCCAAAAGAUGCAAAGUUGAAAAUGAUAGUGCAACAUACUUGUGGCAUUGCCAUUUUAGGUCAUACUGGUGUAAAUCGCAUGAAGAAACUCCAUGUGGAUGGACUUUUGGAAUCACUUGAUUAUGAAUCAUUUGAUACUUGCAAACCAUGCCGCAUGGGUAAGAUGACUAAAACUCCAUUCUUCGGAACAAUGGAGCGAGCUAAUGACUUAUUGGAAAUAAUACAUACCGAUGUAUGCGGUCAGAUGAGUGUUGAGGCACGCUGCGAGUAUCGUUAUUUUCUAAUCUUCACUGAUGAUUUAAGUAGGUAUGGGUAUAUCUACUUGAUGAAACACAAGUCUAAAACUUUUGAAAAGUUCAAAGAAUUUUAGAGUGAAGUGGAGAAUCAUUGUAACAAGAAAAUAAAUUUUCUACGAUCUGAUCGUGGAGGCAAAUAUUUGAGUUACGAGUAUGGCCUUCAUUUAAAACAAUGUGGAAUUGUGUCACAACUCACGUCACCUGGAACACCAUAGCGUAAUGGUGUGUCUGAAUGUCGUAACUAUACUUUAUUAUAUAUGGUGUGUUCUAUGAUGUCUCUUACCGAUUUUCCUUUAUCAUUUUGGGGUUAUGCAUUAGAGACAACAGCAUUCACAUUAAAUAGGGCACCGUCUAAAUCUUUUGAGACGACAUUGUAUGACCUAUGAUUUGGCAAGAAACCUAAGUUGUCGUUUCUUAAAGUUUAGGGAUGUGAUGCUUAUGUCAAAAGGCUAUAGCCUGAUAACCUCAAACCCAAAUCGGAGAAGUGUGUCUUCAUAGGAUACCCUAAAUAAACUAUUGGGUACACCUUCUACCACAGAUCCGAAGGCAAGAUCUUUGUUGCUAAGAAUGGGUCAUUUCUAGAGAAGGAUUUUCUCUCGAAAGAAGUGAGUGGGAGGAAAGUAGAACCCGUUGAAGUAGUUGUAUCUUCUUUCGAAUUGGAAAGUAGUACAUCAUAGAAAACAAUUCCCGUGAUGCCUACACCAACUAGAGUGGAAGUUAAUGAUGAUGAUCAUGAAACUUCAGAUCAAGUUACUACUGAGCCUCGUAGGUCAACCAGAACAUGUACCGCACCAGAGUGGUAUGGUAAUCCUGUCCUGGAAGUCAUGUUGUUAGACAAUGGCGAACCGACAAACUAUGAAGAAGCUAUGAUGAGCCCAUAUUCUGACAAAUGGCUUGAGGCCUUGAAAUCUAAGAUAGGAUCCAUGUAUGAGAACAAAGUAUGGACUUUGGUGGAAUUUCUCGAUGAUCGGCAAGCAAUUGAGAAUAAAUGGAUCUUCAAGAAGAAGACAGACGCUGAUGGUAAAAUCAAUGUCUACAAAGCUUGACUUGUCACAAAAGGUUUUCGACAAGUUCAAGGGAUUGACUAUGAUGAGACUUUCUCACCCGUAGCGAUGCUUAAGUCUGUCCGAAUCAUGUUAGCAAUUGUCGCAUUUUAUGAUUAUGUAAUCUGGCAAAUGGAUGUCAAAACUGCAUUCCUUAACGGGUUUCUUAAAGAAGAGUUGUCUAUGAUGCAACCAGAAGGUUUUGUCGAUCCUAAAGGUGCUAACAAAGUGUGCAAGCUCCGGCGAUCCAUUUAUAGACUGGUGCAAGCAUCUCGGAGCUGGAAUAUAUGCUUUGAUGAUGUGAUCAACGCAUAUGGUUUCAUACAGACUUACGGAGAAGCCUGUAUUUACAAGAAAGUGAGUGGGAGCUCUAUAACAUUUCGGGUGUUAUAUGCGGAUGACAUAUUACUGACUGGAAAUGAUAUAGAAUUUCUAGAUAGCAUAAAAGGAUACUUGAAUAAGAAUUUUCCAGUGAAAGACCUUGGUGAAGCUGCUUAUAUAUUGGGCAUCAAGAGCUAUAGGGAUAGAUCGAGACGCUUGAUAAGAGUUUCACAAAGUGCAUACCUUGACGAAGUUCUAAAGAAGUUCAAAAUGGACCAGUCAAAGAAAAGGUUCUUGCCUGUGUUGCAAGGUGUGAAAUUGAGUCAAAGUCCAACCACAGUAGAAGAUAGAGAUAAAAUGAAAGUCAUUACCUAUGCAUCAGCCAUAGGCUCUAUUAUGUAUGUCAUGAUGUGUACCAGACCUGAUGUGUGCCUUGCCAUAAGUUUGGCAGGGAGGUACCAAAGUAAUUCAGAAGUGGAUCACUAGACAGCGGUCAAAAUUAUACUUAGGUACCUAAAGAGGACUAAGGAAAUGUUUCUAGGUUAUGGAGGUGAUAAAAAGUUUAUCGUAAAUGGUUUCGUUGAUGCAAGGUUUGACACUGAUCCGAAUGGCUUUGAGUGUCAAUCUGGAUAUGUAUUGAAUGUGGGAGCAAUUAGCUAGAGUAGCUCCAUGCAGAGCAUUGUAAACAUAGAAAUUUCCAAAGUGCAUACGGAUCUGAAUGUGGCAGACCCGUUGACUAAAACCUCUCUCACAAGCAAAACAUGAGCACACCUUAGAACUCAUUGGGUGUUAAUCACAUGGCAAUGUGGACUAGAUUAUUGACUCUAGUGCAAGUGGGAGACUAUUGGAAAUAUGCCCUAGAGGAAAUAAUAAAGUGGUUAGUAUUAUAUUUCCUUAUUCAUGAUAAAGGUUUAUUAUUCAUGCUAGAAUUGUAUUGACUGAAAACUUAAAUACAUGCGUUGACACAUAAACAAAUACUGUGUCCCUAGUAUGCCUCUACUAGACUAGCUUGUUGAUCAAAAGAUGGUUAAGGUUUCCUAACCAUAGACAUGUGUUUUCACUUGAUAACGGGAUCACUUCAUUAGGAGAAUUAUGUGAUGGACAAGAACCAUCGGUUAGCUUAGCAUAUGAUCAUUCAGUUUAUUGCUAUUGCUUUCUUAAUGUCAAAUACAUAUUCCAUCGACCAUGAGAUCAUGCAACUCCCGAAUACCGGAGGAAUACCUUGUGUGCUAUCAAACAACAAAACAUAACUGGGUGAUCAUAAAGAUGCUCUAUAGGUAUAUCCGAAGGUGUAUGUUGAGUUGGCAUGGAUCGAGAUUGGGAUUUGUCACUCUGUAUGACGAAGAGGUAUCUCUGGGCCCUCUCGAUAAUACAACAUCAUAAGAAGCUUGGAAGCAAAGUGACUAAGGAGUUAGUUACAAGAUAAUGUAUUACGGAACAAGUAAAGAGACUUGCAUGUAACGAGAUUGAAGUAGGUAUGGAGAUAUCGACGAUCGAAUCUCAGGCAAGUAACAUACCGACAGGCAAAGGGAGCUACAUAUGUUGUCAUAAAGGUUCGACCGAUAAAGAUCUUCAUAGAAUAUGUAAGAACCAAUAUGGGCAUCCAGGUCCCGCUAUUGGUUAUUGACUGAAGAAGCGUCUCGGUCAUGUCUACAUCAUUCUCGAACCCGUAGGGUCCGCACGAUUAACGUUGGUUGAUGAUAUAGUGUUAUAUGAGUUAUGUGAAUUGGUGACCAAAUGUUGUUCGGUGUCCUGGAUGAGAUCAUGUACAUGACGAGGAGCUCUGGAAUGGUCCAGAGGUAAAGAUUGAUAUAUAGGACAAUACUAUUUGGUCUCCGAAAAGGUUUCGAAAUGCACUGGAUAUUAAUCGGAUCAUCGGAAGGGGUUCCGCGAGGCUGCGCGGAGUUAUUGGGCUUAACGGGCCCACCAGCCCAAAGGGCUUAACGGAAGGGGUUCCGCGAGGCACACCAGCCCAAAGGGGCUGCCGCACCCCACCUCAUAGGCGCCGGCCCUAGGGAAGGAACGGGAGAAGCACUACAAAAAAAAUACACUUCCGUGAUGAUACGUGUUUGUCACAGUAGGUCGCGUUUUCUGUCAUGCAUGUACAUCCAUGACGAUUUUAUGACAGAAUAAAGAUAGUCAUACAUGUGCUGUCAUAGAAGUGUUCCAUGACAUUACCAAAAUUAUCAUCAUGGAAGUGUGCACUUCCAUGACGAUAAAUCGCGCGUCACAGAAGUGCUUUCGUCAAGGGUGACCGACACAUGGCAUCCACCGUAACGGAACACCGUUAAGCUAUCGGGUCGGAUUUUGGAUCCGAUAACCCGUUAACAGCCCUAACCAAUGGGAAAUUUCCAUGUGUAAAAUUCUGAUUGGCCAAAGGGAACACAUGUCAGCUCGUUAGUGGGCCAGAUGUCGCCCGUCCACUUGAGGGGACAUGCCUAUGAUACGUCGACACAUGGCUAGGCCCAACAGAGGCCCAUAUAGGUUAGAAAGGCCGGCCCAGUCAAAGGCCCGUAGUACUUAAUCAGGUACUAGUGGGCCAGCCCAAUAACGACCUGCUUAAUAGAGGCCCAUUUAUGGCCCGAAGCCAGAUCUGGCCCGUUAAUUUUUAGCCCAAUGUUUGGGCCCAUUUACGGCCCGAAGCCAGAUCUGGCACGUUAAGUGUUCGCCCAAUAUUUGGGCCCAUUUGUGGCCCGAAGCCAGAUCUGGCCCGUUAAUUGUUCGCCGAAUAUUUGGGCCCAACUACAGCCCAGUGACUUUCGGCCUGUUCGAGGCCUGAUGUAGACAUGGGCCCAUUUCAGCCCGGUGUGACUUUCAGCCUGGGAAUGGCCCGUGCUGCCCAUGGGCCAUAUAUGGUCCGAUGGGACAUCGGGCCCACUAACAGCCCGUGCUAAAGGUGGCAACAGUUAAGCCCAACGUGACUUUGAGCCUGUUAAAGGUCUGUCGCUUAAUUCAUCCCGUUGAUGCCUGUACUAAGCUUUCGGCCUCUUAAAGGCCCAUGAUAUGAGUGGGCCAACUAAGGCCCGAGAUAUGUUUCGGCCUGGUAACGGCCCGUUAGCUAACUGGGCCCAAAAAGGCCCAGACUACAUUUCGGCCUACUGAAGGCCCGUCGACGACUAGUGAAAAUUGAGGCCCAACAUGCAUUUUGGCCUGCUAAAGGCCCAUGGUUUCAUCUCAGCCGUAACAGGCCAGUACAAUGUUCAGCUUGUUAAUGGCCCAACACUACCUGGGCCAAACUAAGCGCUGGGUCGACAAAAGGCCCAACUAAAAUAUAGGCCGGUGUAAGUUUGGGCCUGGUGCAAUGUGUGAAGGCCCCAAUCAUUCGGGCCCAAGAAAGACGCAGGCUAGCCCAACUGUGGCCCGCUAAAAACAUGGCCCGUUAGAGUCGAAUGUUUCGGCCCGGUCGACUACAUCUGGUUUUUUUCAGAACUAGUAAGAAUUAAGAACAAACCUACUCUAUAUAAUAAAGAAAUUACGGCAUAGUAACUAAGAAUAAACCUACACUAUACAAUAAAGGAUUUAAGGUAUAUUACAUCCACUGGGCAUCAAAAUUCACCACCAGUGAUCAUAAACCGCAACGAAGAAGCAGAUUACAAAAACUGGGCACCAUUGCAGCAUAACAAAAUAAUACUGAAUCGAGACCACUUCCAAGACAAAUCAAGAAAGGUUAGCCUUGCGGCGGAACUGCUGCGCAAGCUGCUGAGCAAGGCUGUGAGACCGGCCUAGCAUGUCGGUCCUAGCUUCCAGGUGUAGAUGUUUAGUGAUGAGGUUCUCAUUGGUGUUCUCCGCAAUCUUUCUUUGAGAUAGGACUUCAAGUCGAAGUUGAGUUGCAGAAUGCCUUUCUGCUAGAACUUGGGACUGAAGAAGUCGAACUGAUUUAGACAACAAAUUCUGUGAGCUUGUCUGACUGUUAGUCUCAAGUAACUUGAACACUGCAUCAAGACAAGACUUUGGGGUUGUCUCGCUAUCUUCAAGAUGUUUUGCCUUCUUUGCUGCAAUAUAUGUUGGGUUUGUCUCACAGCCUUCAGCAGACUUGUGCAUGCCAUCAGGCAUAUCACCCUGAAACAAAGCCGAGAGAUGACAGGUUUUGCACGUGUAUAAACAAAGAUGAUAACUGUGCUGUCAAUUCUAUCCAAUUUCAAAUUAGAAAAUAAAGAGGAAGUUCAAAAUAUCAAUAGCAUAAUUUGGCAUUGUUUAUAAUGCGGGGAGCUUCACCACACUACUGGAUUACCAUGUCAACAUAACAAGCAUAAAUGAAGGGCAAUGAAAAUCAUUGUAUCUAUUUUGGAUAAUGUGCAUGGCAUGUUGUUCAUAUCAUCAACCACAUAAGUAAGAUAAAACGGGAGAUGACAAGGUGCAAACAUGGGCUGCUUCACCACACACUGGAUUAUAGAUCCACAAAAACAAGCAUACAUAUAGGGAGUAUUAAGUAAUGUGCAUGGUAUGAAUAAGGAAUUUGGUUUUACAAGUAAAACUUAGAACUUACGGUUCUUGCGAACAUGCAUUUUGGUAGAAAUAGCAAACUAAACAGCAGUAAAUGAUAGGGAGUAUGAGCAAAUUAAACAGCAGUUGAGGAUAAAGGCUUUAGAAGGACUGACUUACAUUAACAGUUAACACCGGCUUUAUAAUGCCCUUAUCCAUGUCAAGGGAAGGAUAACUCAAGAAUUUCAGCACAUAAUCUUCUUCAUAAGCAUUGUCUGUACUCUACAUUUUGUAGAGAGUAAUUAUAGAUAUGAUAAUGCUAGAAGGGAUAGAGGAUAAUGAAGAUAAGAUGCAGAUUGAUGCUACAUAAUCAACUACCAAUCCCUGGAAGUACAAGCGUUACAGGACAAAAUGUAAUGAAAAAAAUGGGCUACACUUCUGCACUGGCAUUGUCUGUGUAUUCUACUUGUUGGUAAGAUUAAAUAUAGAUCUGAUCUUUUUUUUAGUAAAUGGUGGGCGAGGGAGAUAAGAUGCAGAAUGCUACAAAAUGAACCAAUCCCUGUUCCCAUAAUACAAGAGUGCUUUGAACAGUUGUGUACUGUACAAAACGUUCUUAUAUUAUGGGAUGGAGGGAGUAGCUGUUAAUGUAAGUACAUUGAUAGACCACGUUCAGUCCUUACAAGAGGACUGCAGAGCUAAACCUCUUCAAAAGCAUUGGGUUGAUUCUAAAUUUAUGUAAGAGUCCAUACGGAUCUUAUAAUGUCCACCAAAUGGAUGAUUACGAGGCUAACAUGUGUAGUGAUGCUACAUAAUCAAACAGAUAUGAAAGUAAGUAUGGUCAUACAGGGCAAGAGGUACUCACAAGAACAAUGCAGUGUGCAGUAUAGUUGCGAGAUUCUGUGGUCCCUUGAGAAUGAAUGUUCUUCUGCUAACAGUUUUCUUACAAGUGAGACAUUAAGGCAAAUGCAGAAAUGUAGUUCAAAUUGUGAUGUGAUAUCAUAGACAGUACCUUACGCUGCAGCUGAGACUAAUGUGUAACAAGAUUAUUCCAGUCACCGUCGGAUAAAUGUAGCACUGGAGACUUUACAGAAAUUUCAUUUAGAGGCUUGCCAUCGAAGUGCGCUUGCCUCAGGUAGGAACGAUACUUCAUCAACGAGUGCUUGAAAAUCGCAACCAACCCUUGCUCGUCAUCACAAUCCAGUUUGCUCCUCGCCUAUUUAAAAGAAUGAAAUCUUGUGUCUUCUGUCAGCAGAAACAUAUGCAGUAAUGACCAUGAAUAACAUUAGUACAUUACUUACGCGUAAGUUGCGGAGGAAGACUGGAAAUUGUUCUAUGUCUGCGGUAUAAUCUUUCCAUGAAGGAAAGAUGCGCAGAAAGUUCCUGACAACAACAUAAGCUUCAUUGUCUAAAGUUGGAAGAAAUGGAACAGGGGUCCUAUUUGCUGCAAUUGGGGUCUCUCUGGUUUGAAAAGGGAUUUGGCAACUGGAUUUGGUGUACUCUUUGCUGGAAUGGGGGUUUUGCGCCAUACAGCUGGUGUUAUGUCAACUGGCAUAAUCAUACUGUUUGCUGUAGUUGGGGUCUGCUGAGUUGGGGCAUCAGAAAUGACCAGUGUAGUAGGGAUAGAGUCUGCUAGAGUUGGGGUGUUUUUGUGGGUCAGGUGAUAUUGCAACUACACCUAAUGGGCUAUUUGAUUUAUCAGGUGCCACUACCUUUUCCAAAUACUUUGCUUGUGCUCCUCCACGAUCAGCAAUCGCCCUCUUCCUUUUGAAUGUCUGAUACACAAGAACAUCAUUUGAAUGGAUAAAUAUGGUAUGAUGACAGAUGGAAUACGUACUGAAAAUGGAUAGGCAGGGCAUAUUCACAUACACGAUGUGUAAACUAAGCUAAUGGCAGUUCAACAAAGUAGAAGCAAUGCAAAGCAUCAGUUGCAAGAUAUGUGUGAGCAAUGUAACCUUGGAAAGUUAGAGCAAGUACCUUGAUGGGUGAAUAAGAUAGGGCAUAUUCCUCUGACUCCUCCACUAGGGAGCUACAUUGACUUGGGUCUCCCUCUAGCUCAGAAUCACUGUUAGGAUCAUAUUCUGAGCAUGAAUCUAUAGGUGGAGACCGUUUGCAUUGCAUUGCAUCCAGACUUGAUUUCAGCCCCUUAAUGCCAUGUUUGACAGCCAUGGCAUUGUUCUGAUUUAUUAUUUUCAUGCGCGCAAGCUCAUAAUCAUUAUGAUGUUGUUCAGAAUCUCAGAUUCAUGAAAACAUAAAAAGUAGUCAGAUUAUCUAUUGAAUGCAUUGCGGAUUCAACUCGGAGAGUGUCUUCCUAUAAACCCCUGCAUAUGCAAAGUUCACCUCCCCAACCGUGCUGACCAGACCACACACAGAAAUACGAACCCCUUAUGUCUCUAUAACAGGCAAGCACACAUUUCAAAACUGAAGUAGGAACAUUAGAAUCAUAUGAAAUUCGUAUUUGAACAAAUAAACUAAGCAAUUAUGAGUGGCAUAAUGUUUAGCUUCAAGGGUGGAGUGUUGGUAGUGCGACACAAAGCAAGUAGGCAGAUUGUAUUCCAUGUAAUAGAUCGAAACCUAUGUAAAAGCUGGAAAUGACACUUUCUUUCUAUACAAUGCAGUGUUCAUUGCCCACACAUGAUGGAAGAGAACACAGAGAAAUACUAUUCACUCAUGUCUAUGGUUCCAGUAUUUAGAAACAGGGUGGUCCACCCUAAAAGAAUAUUGACAACAAAUAUGACAAGGCAAGCAUAGAUGUAGUGAAUCAAUCAUUUACUUGUGAGCUUACUAGGACAAGUAUGCAGAAUUGUAACUGCAGUAAGAGACCGUCCAAAAUCUGAAUGAAGAAGUUUGUCUAGCACUUAUUGUUUGCAACUAAUCGACGUGAAUAAUUGGAUAUUAUAUUGAAUGAGUAAGAAAGACAUGUAAAAUUGUCAACAAACCUGGCUUGCAGUAGUAAUCUGGGUCAAUGUCACUACGACCAACAAUCCAAAAUGACUAGUGUCUGUUUCGAGGCCCGGAAUUUUGAAAACCCUGUGAACUUUAGAGGUACUAAAGAUUACUGAAAUACAUCUAAACCAUUAAGUUUAGGUAGCACUGAGCACACAACUAACCCUAAUGACUGUCCUACCUAAUGAGUAAUGAAUGAAUUAGAAAAUGGGUGAUGAGGAGUGGCUGCUGAGUGUUGAGGACGUAUCUUAGGAUAAAUCGGGUUGGCUUGGUGGGUGCUGCACGCCUGAGCCCUGAACGGACUGGGAAGGUAGGCACGGCGGCGUGCCCGGGCAGCGGUGACGCUGUUGGGCGAGCGGCUCCUUGCCUCCUGUUAGUCCGGCGUCUCCUCCUAGAGUCAUGCCGUCCGGGGACGGCAAGUCGCCGGCGAGGCAGGAGACUGGGGGCGAGUAGAGAUCGGAAGCGCGCAGGAGAACAGAGGGGAAUCGGGGCCUUGGACGACCCAAAAUCCCAGGGUGGGCCGGCCCACCGUGGGCACCCUGUAGAGAUACACGCCCGAGCGGCGAACAUGCAUUUUCGAAACUAAUUUAGGAACAUUUAGCUGACCAAUUAAAAAACUAUGUUUUAAUAAUAUCUGAUUCGUAUUUGAACAACUAAGCUUGUUUAGCUUGAUGGGUGGAGCAGUGUUAUUAUGACACGAAGCAUGUAUUCUGAUUGUAUAGUAAUCAUAAAAGGGGGAAACUCUAAGCAUAUUUUUUUUAGCAAAAGAGGGUUUCCCCUCCGAUUUCUAUUAAAGAAACCACCACGGAACCAACAUGAUCAAUUAAACCCUAAGCAUGAUCAAUUAAACCGUAUUAUGGCUGUGCCAUGGCAGAUUUGAAGCUGCAAACCGGAGAAAUGAUAUUUAGCAUCCAAUCUUUGCUUCGAACUAAGAACUAAAUUCUAAGAUCUGAAAAGAAAGUAUAGUAACCAAGUUAAGAUCUAUUUUAUGGUUGAGAUCAAAAAGUUGAGGAGAUAUGAAGUACCACCUCUAUUGCGGCGCCGUGUAGGCAUCGGGGGUGCGAUGGAUGUCGGUGGCGUUGAAGUAGAUCUGCGACGGUAGACGGGUGCAUUGGGGGAUAAGUCCCAUUGCGGUGGAAGAGAAGGUCGUGUGAGCGGCCCCGGCAAAGAGGACAACGGCGCCGAUGAAGCGAGAGGACGCGAUGCAAGGCUAUUGGUCUGUCGCCGUGGAUGAGAAACGUCCAUCUCUAGCAGUGGACGGCGCGGUCUUGGUAGGCGCUCCGGCAUGGUGGAGGACGGUGGCGAUGCAUGUGGUGGAGGACGGUGGCGAUGGAUGGGGUGGCGGACGGAGGCUGGUGUGGGGAUGGGGUGUUCUAGCGCGGACGGUGUAUGAAUGGGAAAAUGGAGGGAGAGGUACAGGGAACCAUGUUUUUGGGACGCACCUGUCUGAAAUAUGGGAAAGUUACGAACUUAGCCCCUGUUUAAAAUUUGGACGUCUCGUCGGUUGGGGAUAGGAUGGUAAUCUUGCAUCUCGCCAAUAUUUGCCCAGAGCGAUUUCGGGCGAGGAGAGGGUGGUUGGCGCCCAUGGUUAGCGCCCAUGGUGUAUGAAUGGGGCUGACAGGUAGGGCGGUUGUGUCACGUCUGAUUGAAGUUACAAACGUGCCCCUAUGGAAAAUAUUUGCCUCCAUCGAUUUUGGCCGAGUCGAGUUUGCUUUGCCGCCCAUCGUGUAUGAACGGGGAAUGGAGGGAGAAACAGAGGUCUUUCGGACAAGCUUGAAUCAAAUGUGUUUUUCCGCCCAUGUUUGACGCCCACGGUGUCGGAAUGGGCUCAGAGGCGGUCGUGUCACGUCUAAUUGAAGUUAUUAACCUACCCCUAUUUAGAGCAGUGGAAAUCGGGCCGAUGGAUUGUCCGUGUAAUGGGUAGACAGUAAUUUCCAUCUCCCAAACACUUGCCUUCGGGCAGCCGACGUGGGAGUGGACAUUUUGCCGCUUCUUUCGAAUUUUGGGACAAUAAGCAUCCACGUUUACCCUGGCAACUAAAUUUGAAUCCAUUUUGUAUUCCUAUAUGAAUCUUUAUAAAUCAUUCUAUGCGUUUUUAUAUAUCUUCAAAAGGACGACAAAGAUGUAUUCCACUAUCAUAUAUGGAUAUGGUUUACAAAUGCCGAUACUCAAAUUCAGAAGCUAGAAUCGAGUUUAAGGUGAAUUCCAAUAUUUGGAACACUUCAUGUCCAACUCAAAUGUCACACGCAGCAUAAUGUGUACUCCCAUUUAGAUAUGUACACAAGCGAUGUAUCAAAGAUUCAAAUACCGAGUCAAUCAACCAAGAAUGUACGGAACUAACAGACAUAUAAACACUUAUAGAGUAUAUGGAUCAAUAAUAUCAACUAACAUACAUAAGCCAGGCCGCUGUACUUUUUUUUGGCUACAACAUCAUCCUUUUUUAGCCAGCAUCUUGGCCAUUUCCGAUGCGUGCCACUUAUGGUCCAUCUAUACUACUACUAUUGCUGAAUGCACAUUCAGCCCAAUUGGCAUAUUUGUAGGUCUGGCACAACAAUCCAAAUGAAAUGUCUCCGAGUCUUAUCAAUUAAUACAGACUUGUGCUCAAAUAAAAUUACAAACCAAAAAACAAAAAAAACAAUUAUCACAUGAUCUCUAAAACAAAUUGUUUGAUUGAUUACAUGAACAGACAACACAAAGGUUAUUCAACGAUGGAAAGAACAUUUCACCUAUGAUUUACCAAGUAGGAAUUUAAUUUCCUUUUUUCCUUUAGGACCUUAACAAUCUGGUCAGUCUCAGCUUGCUUCGUUUUGAAAUCCACCAAAUAUUUAAUGGUUGUCUUGAGUACUACUUGUGAUUGUGUUGUUUGCUUCCUCAACAUGUCAACUUCAUCUCUAAGUGCAGAAGCAGAAUCUCUUUCUACCACUAGUUUAGCCUCUAGAUCAUCAGCAGUUGGCAAUUCAUAAUGCACGAUUGGGCCGGUGCCACUGCUGUGGGAUGAUGCAACGUCCAUGGGGACCUCGCUCUUUGAUCUUGGGCUAACCUGUUUCGCCAUUAAAGUUCCGAUUGGAUUCAGAAAAGUUGAAGUUAGCAAAACAUCUCAACUGGGAUUUAUAACAGCAAACUAGUUAAACAAACAAGGAAUUAAAGAGUUUCAAUUGGAUGCUGAAAAGUAGUUAUUAACAUCAUUGUAACCCGCUGUUGCAGCAGCAAAGCAGUUAAACAAACAAGUAGAUAUUUAAGUUAAGGCAAACAGGUAAUUCUUAACAGUAAGUAUCAAACACAUAGAUAGGAGUAGUCUACAAUAUGAUUAACAGGCUGUGGCAUUAUGUAAUCAAUAGCAAACUAAAUUAAGCCAAGCAACGUAAUUGAACAAUUUUACAAUAAGUGGAUAACUAAAAUUCUGAGAAGCAGGUAACUGAACUUAUGCUAGUUCUUUGUACAGGCACACUGCAACUUCUUUUUCGCUUACAAGGUUGUACGAAGGAGUCCAUGGCAUCAAUUGCUUGGAUACGUAGUCCCAAUACUUCUUUCUUCCCAUACUGCAUGGGUAAGUCGAAUGGUUAAUCUGGUAAGAUGGUGCGUCCUUGAUAUGUUAUAUGAGGACGUGUAGUCAGACUAGUUGUAGCCACACACAUCACACUGGCUUUUACUGUAUAUUUCAUGCGAUUACUUUUGGCAUAUCGAGAUCUAAGCAAUCUACAAUAGGAUGAAAAGACUGGCAUCCUUCACAUUAUUGGCGAACUCAGUUCAUAGAAACAAGCAAUUCAACCAUUCUGUGGGUAAACCAAAAGCGCCACUGGAAUAUUUUUCACUAUCCAAUCAUAGACGCAAAAAGGGGCGACGCCACCAUAGGGGCUGGUAUGGGCGGCCGCCUCAGGUGGCUGGAAAGUGUGCACCUAGUUUGAGUCAUCCAGGUUGGCGCACGCUAGUUUUCUUCAUCCCAACGCACGAGCAGGCAAUGUAAAAAAUGAAGAAAAAUGUUUCAAUUUGGAUGGGCCAAUAACAUAAGUGCAAUGCAGGCCCUAUAGCAGGCUCGCGGCCCAAACAAGUGUCUCCCAUAUCGAUCGACAGCAGGAAAAUUCCCAAUUCAUUCGCUCCAGCCUCCAGUCUGGUUUGCUCCUAACCUAGCCGCCGCUGGACAGACCGACACAGCACUUCCUCGUGCCCUCGUUGGAGGGCGGUCACUGGGCUUCAAGCGAACGAAAGGACAAGAAGAUGAAGAUCCAACCCUGGGUGUAGCCUGUGUGGGAGGUAGCGGCGGCAGCACGGGCAUGGCAUCGAGCUUGCGCAAACGAACAGUCGCAGCUUGCAGGAGUAGCAUGCGCAACGAGCAGGUACAUCACAUCCCUAAUUAUAUCUAGUUCAAACUUUCAAUUUCUGGCCAAUAGUUAAACCUGACAGUGUUGUAAAACUGCUUGUAUGUAGGGAAUCUAUGAGAAAAUGAAACCAAUUUCUACUUAUUUUAUAACUCCCGCAAUCAAUACUGAACUGACUGAAUCUGAUGUAUCUAAUAAGUUUCCGGUGCAAACAUACAAGCUCAUGUUGUUCUUGAGCCUGAAGUGUCUAAUGAACAGACUGCUAAUGAAGGAUUUGAUGCAAGCAUUUUACAUGCUCCUGGUGAUGAACAUAUAGUGUCUAAUGAGGGAUCUAAUGCAAGCAUUUUGCAAGCUCGUUGAAGGAUUUAGUGUCUAAUGAUGAUCUACUAUGUUGAGAGAGAUAGAGAUUUGCAGGCAUUGAUGACAAGCAAAUUAUAGUGCAUUUUCAUAGCUUGAGGAAACGUUGAGGCCAUCUACCAGAAAGUCCCCAUAUCAUGACAACAUAGCAUAAAUACUUUUCUAAUUUGUUGUUUGAAACUAUUGGCAUACUUGUGCAGGAUAGAUAUAUUGAUAUGCAGUUUGCACAAUGGUUAUACGUGCAAUUAUACUUCGAUAUUUUCAGCCAGAGAACGAAUAAUUCAAGCAGGUAUAGACCAUGUUUGUAGUCCUUGUACACCAUGUUGCAUUUUGUGUUUUUUGGUGCUUGCAUCAUUUAGUGUUUAUAAUCUGAACUACUUUGGAUCAUUAGCUGGUUUUCAAAGUGCAUGUAGCUUCACAUUUCUCAGGUUAUGUUGAUUUCCGGAGUGCAAGUGCCUUCGUAUUUUUUAAGUUAAAUGUUCACCCCUGGUAACUUGAAUUCGUGGAUCAGCCACUGCACACAAAUCAUACACGAAUGCCAGUAUGAAUUAAAUGAAAUGCAGGGACUUACGCUAGCUUGUUGUAGAGGCUCACUGCAGCUCUGCUUGCGCUUGGGAUGUUCCAUGUACAAAUCAAUGUUACCACUUGCUUGGAUGUGCAGGCCUUGUGCUCCUUGCAUCCCCCUCUGCAUUUUUGACACGGCGAAUGGUUGACCAAAUAAGAGGAAUCGACCUGGAUGUUGUACCGGAGGAUAGAUACUUACAAGGUUAUACGGGUGUGCAGGAUGUGUACCAGUUCCCGUAGCGCCGUCAUGCUUCGCUAAAAUAUGGAUUUGCUUGUCUCAGAUGAUAUCUUCAGAAGAAAUAAGAGUUAAAGUCAGAGUUGCAUAGGCGUGUAAGCUAAGAGAGCAGUGAAAGGAUAUCCAAACAUCGUCGGAACAGUGCACAAGGGAGUGAUGUGUGGAUACCUAGUUCGGGCCGGCGUUUGGGCAUGCUCACCUAGCUAGAGUGCAGGUCACUUCAGAGCCGUUGAGGGUGAUGCACUGGCGUUGGCUGGCCGCGCACGAAUGCAGAUCUUGAGUGGCAGCGGAGUGCUACGAUGCGGUGGACGAGUCCGUUGGUGAAGCCCCAACGGCCUCGGGGGGCGGAGGUGUGAUGAUGUGCUCGGUGAAGUAGCCCCGAUGAGCUAGGAGACGGCAUCGGUGAAGCGCACCUGAUGCAGUGGAACUCGAUGUCUAUGAGGCACGUCGGUUGCGGCGGCCGACAUUAUCGGUGGACCACCCGGUGCGGUGGACGAGGGCAUAGAUGAGGUAGCACCGGUGCGGUGGUGAAGCGCGACCGUCGUCUUCGUCGUCGUCGUCCGGCACAGAGGUGGGGAACGGUGGGGAAAGAGACGAGACGAGGGGCGAUUCAAACUUUGCUUGGGUUGGCGGUGAAUUAGGGAUUUCAGCAAUUUGGGCGCGGAAGGGGACGGUAGAGAAGAGAGAUUUUGCAGGGCUGGAAUUGGGGCCACCAGAUAUUUCAAUCCGAAACAUAGAAGCACGAACUUAUUUUGUCUUCAUCCUUUUGGGGGGCGGGGGGUUGCUGGGCCCGUCCGACACACGCGACCACCCCGACAGGACUAUGCUUUGGUGCCUUAAGGCACCUGCCUUUGUGUCCAUGACAUGUGGGCCCAACAGGUGGCUGGCCCACAUGUCAGUGACCCAAAGGCAGUUGCCUUUAAGGCACCGAAGCAGCGUCCACCCCGACACGACCCUGGUCUGCCCGGUGCACCUACAUUUGAGAAUGCAAACGAAUCUUCUUUCAUUUGCAAACAAAUCUGUAUGUAUUACCAUGCCCGUGUUUUCCUUGCAAUAAUUAGUCAUUCGAAACGAGAUACUCCCUCCGUUCACUUUUGUAAGUCAUUUCAGACAACUUAAAAUGAACUGUUUUGCACAUUGUCUGAAAUAUCUUCAAGGUCUUAUAAAAGUGAACAGAGGAAGUACUAUAAAUUAAUUAAUGAGGAGUUAUUUGAAAAAAAAAUCGAAACGGUACCCACGCUAACGUGGAUUAGAGUGUGUGUCACAUAAUUAGUUAUUUGAAUUCGAGUUUGUGUCACAUAGUUAGUUAUUUGAAUUAGAGUGUGUGUCACGUAGCGAUCUCCAAUUCUAACGUGGAUUCACAUUUCACUGUAUCCACGCUACUUUUUUAAUACAAAUUCAUAUGUAUAUGAUGAACACCAUGGUAGUGAGAAAACUUUUGGAUGGAUUCAAACAUAUGACCUACAAAAGAGCACAACAAAUUGAGUCAAUGUCAACUUUUCGAAACUUAGUAUGGCGCGAAUUCGAAAUAAUUACCCGUAUGCCUAGUCCUCGGUUCAAAUCUUACAAUGUAGACCAAAUUGAAACAUCGAUAUUAAGUCUCGUACUAUGUACAUUCAAAUGUUGUUUUUAGCCCCCCCCCCACAAACGCUACAUACUUCCUGUAUCGGUCAAUCUUCCUCUCCUAACCACCUUAGGAAGCUAUCGGUUUGCAACACACGUUCAUUCUUUCUCUCCGUGUUUCGAUCUCUAAGUCUCUCAACUACACAAACCCUUUUUCCACUCUACUACCAAAUGUAUUUACCUCACACACCCGCCAUUGCACCCCAUGCCGAGCUCUCUCUCUCUCUCUCUCUCUCUCUCUCUCUCUCCCCUCUCCCUCUCACCCUCUCGCGCUAAAUACAUGCAUUGCCUAUCUAGGCCCCCCCAACCUCUCGUGCGCACGCAUGCAUGUUGUAUAUCUAGGUCACUCCCUCGAGAUUGGCUCACUCUUUCUUCCGCACGGUGGGCCACACUCGCUCAAUCUCGCUCUCUUUAUCUGAUUCUCGUUUCACCUCGUUUUAUUUCACACACAAAUGAUAUAUCUCCCUGUCUGGGCCUCGAUCGACACACUCUAUACUCUCUCACACAGAUUGUCUAUCUAGGUCAGUCCAUCCAAGCCGCCGCCACUCUUUCGACCUCAUGGUGGGCCACGCUCACUCAAUCUCUCUCUCUCUCUCUCUCUCUCUCUCUCUCUCUCUCUUUGUAUGUCUCGAUUGACCUCGCUCUUUCUCGGACAAAAACGAUAUAUCACCAUGUUUGAACGCAACUCGACCUAUUCACAUUGUAUACUCUCUCAUGCACAUUGUCUAUCUAGGUCAUUCUCUCCAACCCGUCUCACUCUUCCGAUCGCACGGCGACCCUAUGUGAUCGAUUGACCUUGCUUCCUCCCACGCACAAAAUAUAUCUACAUGUCUAUGACUGGAUCAUCUCUCAAGCUCUAUCUUACAGCCCUCACCCUUCCCAAAAGCUCAAUCGUACAAUAUCUCUCCAGAGCAUAUAUAUUUGUUCAAUGAAUGUCGGACCACACUCACUUUGUUUCUCUAUCUAUAUGUCCCUCGAUUGACCUUGCUUUCUCACACUGUAUCUUCCACACGUUGAAGCUACUACCUCUCCAUCCCUCGCAAAGCUGGAGCUAUUUACAUUGCGAGAGGCACUCCAACCUUGGAUUAAUUUGUGUAGGCAUUUAUUCCGGUCGGUUUACAUUAUAUUUUCGUAGUAUCCGGCCCACAACUACUCCAAACACCGUUGCAACCCAGGCAACUCCCCUAGUUGAUUUCCCUCUGGCUUGGUCAUCGCUCUCUCGCACGUCCUUUCUCGCCUUCAACAUCGCACCAUGGUAUUAUUGAAAAAACUAUGUUGUUCUCUUUAAUUAUUAUAAAUAAGCUACAAAACUACACACCGAUUGUCCACUUGGAAUGGAACAAAUUUCGACCCACAAAUAAAAGUGCUACAAACUACACACUGAGGGGCCCACAUGUCAUGAAACAAAUUUGGACCCAUAUAGAAAUUAAAAAAUAAAGGACGACGAUUGAACAUGCGACCGGGCCUUCAAGUCGCACGUCAAUAGGCAACAUACGUAGAAUAGCAAUGUUUGUUGUACCCCCCUUUGUUCACAUAAUGUUUUUAUAUUACCACAGCCUAAUUAAUGGAUAACACGUAAUAUUAUUUUUAGUACUAUUCGCCUUCACUUACUGGUGGGUUCCAUGUGCUCUCUCUCUCUCUCUCUCUCUCUCUCUCUCUCUCCUCCCCUUCUGCGUUUAGACGCACGGGCAAACAGGAAGAACUCAGGGACGAUGUUGCCGUUGACUAUAUCUGGAUGCGUUCGCAAGACACGGCACCAGUUUCACGUACUAGCAGCACUAGUCAGUGUGUACAUGUAAUGCACGUUAAUUUGGAAGUAUAUUAAGUGCAUGCGGAUAUUAAGUACUAGGAUAUUAUUUGAGUGUUGUUAUGUGAUUAGCACUGUUUUUGGCAUGAAAUUAACCGCACACUAAACAUGUUGAGCGCUCGACAUUGAAGCAGUCUAGGUUGUUGGAUGACAAGGAAUACAUGUGGCUUGAUGAUGUUUUAUAUUUAAUUUGAUACGGCUCUAGCAGAACAUUCAAUCGAUCAAACCAUAGAUUUCAUUCAGUCUGACUCCGACUUUAAAUUAUACGACGAUCGAUAUAAAAUAAACGGAAAUGAUAAACAUUCGGAUUUUAACCAUGGCAAUCUGAAUGUUUUUCAUGGCAAAGUUAGAUUACGCGGCGGCGGCGGGGGGGUCUCGCGGUGGGAAGCGGCUUCUCUGCCGUGCUCUUGUGUCGUCGGGCCACUGACCGACGGCGACGGCGGCGUCUUGCGCCGUUGUUGGCAUACUCCUGGACAUUGGCCUAGCUUCAAGGAAGGCCAAAAUGUUCUAGACUUCAGAGCGAGUCAACUGGUGGGAGGAGGCGACUAGCGUUGGUGCAAGGAAGCGGUCAACAGCGGCCAUCCAUGCUGCUGAGGGGGCACUGGCACCCGCGCGGGGACAGGCACUGUCAAUGGCGCGGCGGAGACAUUCAUGUGCACAGUCACUGGCACGGGCGUGCAUGUCAGUGCACGUGUAGGCGCAUGCGCUGGCAGGUGCAUGGGCCCCGGCAUGGGUGUGCGCGUCAGUGCACGCGUAGGCACAUGCGCUAGCAGGUGCACGGGCGCGUGAAAGUCGGCGGGGACCUCGUGGAACCCCAUGGGAUCAAGCUCGGCGAAAAUGUGCGGCUCCUAGCCCAUCAAUGCCACGGGGAUGGGCGCUGGCGCAGUCGGGGCGACGGGAGCCGGAACAGGAGCGAGGACAGGCGCGACGUCUUCCCGCAAGGCCAGUUCAAGCUCGCCUCAAAGCACCUUAUGUUCUUGAGACUCCGGCUGGGUGUCUUCCUCAGGAAACUGGAACACUAAGGGCAGAUCAUCAUGAUGUGGCAUGGCGUAUGUUUAGGUCAGGCUAGUUGGAGGUAGACGACAGGAGAAUCGGAGAGGAAGAGAGAAGAUUGUAGCGAUACCGGGUAGUGCGGGGUUGAUUUUAAACUGCGGGCCAGCGACAUUAAAAGUGGGAGCAGUUGGGACGACGGUGGGCGGCGGAGCCUGGGCAAAGGGCUCGCCUCUCGGUGAGCCUGCACAGCGGUCUGCUCGCACGCCUCCCUGACAGCCGGCGCAGCGGUCUGCUCGCACGCCUCCCGUCGACUCACACGCUUGCUCGUACGACACCUGCCGAUGAGAAGCGGGGGCUCGUGGCGGCACGUAAACGCCCACGGUUUCAAUAGUGAAAACGUUCGCCUUAACAUGACAGGUCUUUGUUCCAAAAUACCUUGGCUCUUCAUUUGUGCAACUUGUCAUAAGCAGCUUGUCUCAAAUUGAAGAAAAAAACUUACAAAGUAAUAUUUGUGCCAUAUCACGUGACCAUGCUCAGUUUCAAGAAUUUAUGCUCACUUUUGGAUUUUCUGAAAUUUAAGAUCCAGGAUUAGAAACAAUAUCAUAACCUGCAUCAUGCAAUAAAUUUUCAAGCCAUACAUCUUUCCUGUUGUAUUUCUUAAGAAAGGAUUUGGUCAAACAUUUUGCUUAGUUAGACUUCAGACAAGUUAUAUAUGCAGAGUAAAAGGAUAAUUCCUCCGUACCAGUGCAUUGCCUGAUAUAUUAACUCAAGUACUAGGCACGAACAAACGGGCUCAAUUUUGUGCUCAUCCCGGUGUAGUAGUAGUAGUACUAGGCAAUGCAGUUGACGGGUGACCUUGAUGAGCGGUGACCGAGGGAAUUGAACCGUGCUCGGCACGGUAGGUAACGUUGUCUAGUUACUAAAGCAUCCCUCCGUUGUUCACGGGUAGUCAUUAUAGACCGGGGACAUGAGGGGAAUUUCCUAGGGCUGGAAUUCUGGCCGCCAGAUAUUUCGACUUGAAACGCUGAGGCUCGACUGGUUGGGGUUGCCUAAUGUGCGUACCACGCACGCCACCGAAGGACACGAGCCCAGUUUUUUUUUAUUUUUUUUAUUUUUUUAGGAUCAACACGAGCCAAGGCCUGGCUGGUACGCCAUUGGGUCCUACCAUUCGAGAAUAUGAAAGGAACCUUUUAAAUUGCCGAACGAAUCUAUGUGUAUUACAAUACCUGCAUUUUCCUUGCAAAUACUAAUCUCAACGUGGUAAUUGAUUUAUGAUGAGUUGUUGAAUUAGAGUGAGUUUGUGAUAUAGUGAUCUCAACGUGGAUUUCACAUUUCAUGGUAUCCCUAGUAAGUUUUCCAAUGCAAAUUCAAAUUUAAAAGAUGAACAAUAUGGAGGUGAGAAAACUUUGUAUGUAUCAAGCAUAUGACCACACACAGAGAGAGAGACACACACACACACACGCAAGAACACAACAACAAUCCAAUAAGUAUAGUGCAUCUAUUUUUCCAAACCAUGCAUGUUUGACACGAAUUCAAAAAUACUCCUUCUAUUCUUAUAUAUUAGUCAUUUAGAGAGUUCAACAAGUGACUACAUACGGAGCAAAAUGAGCGAAUCUAGACUCUAAAAUAUGUCUAUAUACAUCUAUAUGUGCCAGUCCAUUUGAAACCUCUAAAAAGACUAAUAUUUAGGAACGAAGGGAGUAAAAUGUAAGACAUCCAUGGUCCUCCGCUUAAUAUUUAAAAUGAACAUGAAAUUGGAACAUGAAUAUCAAGUCUAGUACUACAGUACAUGCAAAUGUUGUGUUUAGGCGGAGCUAUGAUUGUCGGGGGUCAACCCCUGGACCUUAGCUAAAAUUGUGGAGCUCUGUUUAGGGUUGUUUAGAUUAUNNNNNNNNNNNNNNNNNNNNNNNNNNNNNNNNNNNNNNNNNNNNNNNNNNNNNNNNNNNNNNNNNNNNNNNNNNNNNNNNNNNNNNNNNNNNNNNNNNNNNNNNNNNNNNNNNNNNNNNNNNNNNNNNNNNNNNNNNNNNNNNNNNNNNNNNNNNNNNNNNNNNNNNNNNNNNNNNNNNNNNNNNNNNNNNNNNNNNNNNNNNNNNNNNNNNNNNNNNNNNNNNNNNNNNNNNCCGGGAGAAUAUCAUGUGCUCCCAUACCUGAGAUGAUAUAUGCCGAUAUGAGUUGCUUGGAGCUUAUAGAUCUGAGAUAUAGCAGCUCACAUGAUGUGUCUUAAUAUUUUUGUAGGAAACCUUGAUGAGUUUGAGAAUUGCACACAAUUUGUACAAAAACUAUUCAGAUGCCCUUUCAUCCCAUAUCCAACGACCUCGAAGCUCGUAUCACCGUAGCAUCUAAGAUGAAGGAGGACAUCAUAUUCUCCUGUGUGUAAGAAUAUCAUGUGCUACCACACCUUAGAUGCUUUGGUGAUACAAGCUCUUCAGAGGCGUUGGAUUUGUGACCCAACACCUCCUCGGUGGUUCAAAUGAUUUUUUGCAGAAAAGCCCCAAAAGAGUUCGGCCACUGCUUACAAGCACAAAGACUGCUCAGAUGCCAUUGGAUCUCAGAUCAAACGACCUCCAAUCUCGUAUCACCGUAGCAUCCAAGCUGCGAUAGCACCUUAUGUUUUCUCGCACGGGAGAAUAUGAGGUGCUCCCGCACCGUAGAUUCUAUGGUGAUACGAGUUCACUAAGAUCUAACGGCCCACAGUAGGAGGUUUGAAUGUUUUUGCAAUAUAUGGCUGAUAGAGUUUGGGAAAUGCGCAGAAAGUACAAGUACUACGCAUGUGCCAUCUGAUCAUUGAUCAUACGACCUAGAUGCUCAUUUCACCGUAGUGGGUAAUUAAGCUACGGGGAGCACCUAAUAUGAGCAACGGGGAGCCGUUGGAUCGAAGAUGCAGUGGCACACACGAGGCCUGAAUGUUUUAUUUGCAAAAAAACCUUUGGAGAGUUUGGAAAUUGCGCAUAAUUACAAAGACUACUCCCAAGCCAUUGCAUCUCACUUCCAACGGUGUAAAAACGUGUAUCACCAUAGUAUCUAAGCUGCGGGGUGGAUGUGAUAUUCUAUGCCGCUGUCAUUUUUGUUCGUAAACUUGUAAAAUACGUGUAACUCGUGUCGUUACUUGUCUAACCGCACAAAGUGUUUGUUCAAAAAAAACAUCCUACACUGAAAUAUUGGAACAACACACGGGGGUCCCACUUGUCAUUAAUCAAAUUUGGACCUAAAACUAACAAAUCUGAAAGACGAGAUUCAAACUGGCAACAUGGACUACAAAGCGUAAGUCGAUAGCAUGAAAAAACAAACGGUUGUUGGCUUUCUCCCAUAACUUGAUUUUAUACAGUACUUGCGUUGAGUAGAGUAGAGGGAGUGCCUCGUCAACACGUGCAUGACCGUUGUCUCACUUACUGGUGGGUCCCAGGUCUGCGAUCUCAAUCUCUCUUCUCUCCAUCGUCUAACCUUUGCACGGUCACACACGAAGAGCGGCGCUAGCUUGCCAUGGUGUUAUUACAACUAAAAAAAGCUUGGAAAAUAGAAGAAUUGCCUAGAACAAGAGACGUUGUGGCUGGUUGAGACGGAGCUAACCACAUCUAUCCUCCGUGCCACGUUUUCAUGAUGAAGCUGUGUGGCUAGUGGGGUGUUUUCGACUGACUAGCUGGGUCCCGAGGUCGAACCAUAGGUACUAUUGUUGGGGAACGUUGCAGAAAAUAAAAAAAUUCUAUGCUUCACCAAGAUCAAUCUAUGGAGUCAUCUAGCAACGAGAGAGAGGAGUGCAUCUACAUACCCUUGUAGAUCGCGAGCGGAAGCGUUCAAGUGAACGGGGUUGAGGGAGUCAUACUCGUCGUGAUCCAAAUCACCGAAGAUCCUAGUGCUGAACGGACGGCACCUCCGCGUUCAACACACGUACGGUUGGGGAAGACGUCUCCUCCUUCUUGAUCCAGCAAGGGGGGAGGAGAGGUUGAUGGAGAUCCAGCAGCACGACGGCGUGGUGGUGGAAGUAGCGGCGAUCUCGGCAGGGCUUCGCCAAGCUCAGUGAGAGGGAGAGGUGUUACAGGGGGAGAGGGAGGUGCCAGGGACUAGGGUACGCAGCCCUCCCUCCCCCCUCUUUAUAUAGGGGCCCUACGGGCGCCGACCCCCUAGAGAUCCAAUCUCAAGGGGGGCGGCGGCCAAGGGGAGGAACUUGCCCCCCAAGUCAAGUGGGGCGCCCCCCACCCCUAGGGUUUCCAACCCUAGGCGCAGGGGGAGGCCCAAGGGGGGUGCACCAGCCCACCAGGGGCUGGUUCCCUUCCCACUUCAGCCCAUGUGGCCCUCCGAGAUAGGUGGCCCCACCCGGUGGACCCCCGGGAACCUUCCAAUGGUCCCAGUACAAUACCGGUGACCCCCAAAACUUUCCCGGGGGCCGAAACUGGACUUACUAUAUACAAUUCUUCACCUCCGGACCAUUCUGGAACUCCUCGUGACGUCCGGGAUCUCAUCCGGGACUCCGAACAACUUUUGGGUUACCGCAUACUAAUAUCUCUACAACCCUAGCUUCACCUUAAGUGUGUAGACCCUACGGGUUCGGGAAUCACGCAGACAUGACCGAGACAAUUCUCCGGCCAAUAACCAACAGCGGGAUCUGGAUACUUAUGUUGGCUCCCACAUGUUCCACGAUGAUCUCAUCGAAUGAACCACGAUGUCGAGGAUUCAAGUAAUCCCGUAUACAAUUCCCUUUGUCCAUCGGUACGUUACUUGCCCGAGAUUCGAUCGUCAGUAUCCCAAUACCUCGUUCAAUCUUGUUACCGGCAAGUCACUUUACUCGUACCAUAAUGCAUGAUCCCGUUACCAACCACUUGGUCACAUUGAGCUCAUUAUGAUGACGCAUUAUCGAGUGGGCCCAGAGAUACCUCUCCGUCAUACAGAGUGACAAAUCCUAGUCUUGAUCCGUGUCAACCCAACAGAUACUUUCGGGGAUACCUGUAGUAUACCUUUAUAGUCACCCAGUUACGUUGUGACGUUUGGUACACCCAAAGCACUCCUACGAUAUCUGGGAGUUACACGAUCUCAUGUUCUAAGGAAAUGAUACUUGACAUUAGAAAAGCUCUAGCAAACGAACUACACGAUCUUGUGCUAUGCUUAGGAUUGGGUCUUGUUGAUCACAUCAUUCUCCUAAUGAUGUGACCCCGUUAUCAAUGACAUCCAAUGUCCAUAGUCAGGAAACCAUGACUAUCUGUUAAUCAACGAGCUAGUCAACUAGAGGCUCACAAGGGACAUGUUGUGGUCUAUGUAUUCACACAUGUAUUACAAUUUCCGGAUAACACAAUUAUAGCAUGAAUAAUAGACAAUUAUCAUGAACAAGGAAAUAUAAUAAUAAUCAUUUUAUUAUUGCCUCUAGGGCAUAUUUCCAAUAGUCUCCCACUUGCACUAGAGUAAAUAAUCUAGUUACAUCGUGAUGAAUCGAACACCCAUAGAGUUCUGGUGUUGAUCAUGUUUUGCUCGCGGAAGAGGUUUUGUCAACGGAUCUACGACAUUCAGAUCCGUAUGCACUUUGCAAAUAUCUAUGUCUCCAUCUUGAACAUUUUCACGAAUGGAGUUGAAGCGACGCUUGAUGUGCCUGGUCUUCUUGUGAAACCGGGGCUCCUUGGCAAAGGAAAUAGCUCCAGUGUUGUCACAGAAGAGAGUGAUCGGCCCCGACGCAUUGGGUAUGACUCCUAGGUCGGUGAUGAACUCCUUCGUCCAUAUUGCUUCAUGUGCUACCUCCGAGGCUGCCAUGUACUCCGCUUCACAUGUAGAUUCCGCCACGACACUUUGCUUGCAACUGCACCAGCUUACUGCCCACCAUUCAAAAUAUAUACGUAUCCGGUUUGUGACUUAGAGUCAUCCAGAUCUUUGUUGAAGCUAGCGUUGACGUAACCCUUUACGAUGAGCUCUUCGUCACCUCCAUAAACGAGAAACAUAUCCUUAGUUCUUUUCAGGUACUUCAGGAUAUUCUUGACCGUUGUCCAGUGUUCCAUGCCAGGAUUACUUUGGUACCUUCCUACCAAACUUACGACAAGGUUUACAUCAGGUCUGGUACACAGCAUGGCAUACAUAAUAGACCCUAUAGCCGAGGCAUAGGGGAUGACACUCAUCUUUUCUCUAUCUUCUGCCGUGGUCGGGCGUUGAGCCGAGCUCAAUUUCACACCUUGCAACACAGGCAAGAACCCCUUCUUGGACUGAUCCAUAUUGAACUUCUUCAAUAUCUUAUCAAGGUAUGUGCUUUGUGAAAUACCUAUGAGGCGUCUCGGUCUAUCUCAAUAGAUCUUGAUGCCUAAUAUGUAAGCAGCUUCUCCAAGGUCCUUCAUUGAAAAACACUUAUUCAAGUAGGCCUUAAUGCGGUCCAAAAGUUCUAUAUCAUUUCCCAACAAAAGUAUGCCAUCUACAUAUAAUAUGAGAAAUGCUACAGAGCUCCCACUUACUUUCUUGUAAACACAGGCUUCUCCAUAAGUCUGCAUAAACCCAAACGCUUUGAUCAUCUCAUCAAAGCGAAUGUUCCAACUCCGAGAUGCUUGCACCAGCCCAUAAAUGGAUCGCUGGAGCUUGCAUACCUUGUUAGCAUUCUUAGGAUCGACAAAACCUUCCGGCUAUGUCAUAUACAGUUCUUCCUUAAGAUAGCCGUUAAGGAAUGCCGUUUUGACGUCCAUUUGCCAUGUCUCAUAAUCAUAGUAUGCGGCAAUUGCUAACAUGAUUCGGACGGACUUCAGCUUUGCUACGGGAGAGAAGGUCUCAUCGUAGUCAACCCCUUGAACUUGCCGAUAACCCUUAGCGACAAGUCGAGCUUUAUAGAUGGUAACAUUACCAUCCACGUUCGUCUUCUUCUUAAAGAUCCAUUUGUUUUCUAUCGCUCGCCGAUCAUCGGGCAAGUCUGUCAAAGUCCAUACUUUGUUUUCAUACAUGGAUCCUAUCUUGGAUUGCAUGGCUUCUAGCCAUUUGUUGGAAUCUGGGGCCGCCAUCGCUUCUUCAUAGUUCGAAGGUUCACCGUUGUCUAACAACAUGAUUUCCAGGACAGGGUUGCCAUACCAUUCUGGUGUGGAGCGUGUUCUUGUGGACCUACGAAGUUCAGUAGCAACUUGAUCUGAAGUACCUUGAUCAUCAUCAUUAACUUCUAUAGUCGGUGCAGGCACCACAGGAACAUCUUCCUGAGCUGCGCUACUUUCCGGCUCAAGAGGCAGUACUUCAUCGAGUUCUACUUUCCUCCCACUUAUUUCUUUCGAGAGAAACUCUUUCUCCAGAAAGGACCCGUUCUUGGCAACAAAGAUCUUGCCUUCGGAUCUAAGGUAGAAGGUAUACCCAAUGGUUUCCUUAGGGUAUCCUAUGAAGACGCAUUUUUCCGACUUGGGUUCGAGCUUUUCAGGUUGAAGUUUCUUGACAUAAGCAUCGCAUACCCAAACUUUUAGAAACGAUAGCUUAGGUUUCUUCCCAAACCAUAAUUCAUACAGUGUCGUCUCACCGGAUUUAGACAGUGCCCUAUUUAAAGUGAAUGUAGCUGUCUCUAGACUGUAUCCCCAAAAUGAUAGCAGUAAAUCGGUGAGUGACAUCAUAGAUCGCACCAUAUCCAAUAGAGUGCGAUUACGAUGUUCGGACACACCGUUACGCUGAGGUGUUCCAGGCGGCGUGAGUUGUGAAACGAUUCCGCAUUUCCUUAAGUGCGUACCAAAUUCGUGACUUAAAUAUUCUCCUCCACGAUCUGAUCGUAAGAACUUUAUUUUUCGGUCACGUUGAUUCUCUACCUCAUUCUGAAAUUCCUUGAACUUUUCAAAGGUCUCAGACUUGUGCUUCAUCAAGUAAACAUACCCAUAUCUAGUCAAGUCAUCAGUGAGGGUGAGAACAUAACGAUAGCCACCGUGAGCCUCAACGCUCAUUGGACCACACACAUCAAUAUGUAUAAUUUCCAAUAAGUUGGUUGCUCGCUCCAUUGUUCCGGAGAAUGGAAUCUUGGUCAUUUUACCCAUGAGGCAUGGUUCGCACGUGUCAAAUGAUUCGAAAUCAAGAGACUCCAAAAGUCCAUCUAUAUGGAGCUUCUUCAUGCGUUUGACACCAAUGUGACCAAGGCGGCAGUGCCACAGAUAUGUGGGACUAUCAUUAUCAAUCUUACAUCUUUUGGUGUUCACACUAUGAAUAUGUGUAACAUCACGUUCGAGAUUCAUUAAGAAUAAACCAUUGACCAGCGGGGCAUGACCAUAAAACAUAUCUCUCAUAUAAAUAGAACAACCAUUAUUCUCGGAUUUAAAUGAGUAGCCAUCACGUAUUAAACGAGAUCCAGAUACAAUGUUCAUGCUCAAAGCUGGCACUAAAUAACAAUUAUUAAGGUUUAAAACUAAUCCCGUAGGUAAAUGUAGAGGUAGCGUGCCGACGGCGAUCACAUCGACCUUGGAACCAUUCCUGACGCGCAUCGUCACCUCGUCCUUCGCUAGUCUCCGUUUAUUCCGCAGCUCCUGUUUUGAGUUACAAAUAUGAGCAACCGCACCGGUAUCAAAUACCCAGGAGCUACUACGAGUACUGGUAAGGUACAAAUCAAUUACAUGUAUAUCACAUAUACCUUUAGUGUUGCCGGCCUUCUUGUUUGCUAAGUACUUGGGGCAGUUCCACUUCCAGUGUCCACUUCCCUUGCAGUAAAAGCACUCAGUCUCAGGUUUGGGUCCAUGCUUUGGCUUCUUCCUGGCAACUAGCUUACCGGGCGCGGCAACUCCCUUGCCGUCCUUCUUGAAGUUCUUUUUACCCUUGCCUUUCUUGAAACUAGUGGUUUUAUUGACCAUCAACACUUGAUGUUCCUUUUUGAUUUCCACCUCCGCUGAUUUCAGCAUUGAAAAUACUUUAGGAAUAGUUUUCACCAUCCCCUGCAUAUUGUAGUUCAUCACAAAGCUCUUGUAGCUAGGUGGGAGCGACUGAAGGAUUCUGUCAAUGACCGCCUCGUCCGGGAGGUUAAUGUCCAGCUCGGACAAGCAGUUGUGCAACCCAGACAUUUUGAGUAUGUGCUUGCUGACAGAACUAUUUUCCUCCAUCUUACAACUAUAGAACUUGUCGGAGACUUCAUAUCUCUCGACCCGGGCAUGAGCUUGGAAAACCAUUUUCAGCUCUUCGAACAUGUCAUAUGCUCCGUGUUGCUCAAAACGCUUUUGGAGCCCCGGUUCUAAGCUGUAAAGCAUGCCGCACUGAACGAGGGAGUAGUCAUCAACACGCGACUGCCAGGUGUUCAUAACGUCUUGAGUUGCGGGGAAGACGAGUGCUUCACCUAGCAGUGCAUCUAGGACAUAUGCUCUUUUGGCAGCUAUGAGGAUGAUCCUCAAGUUCCGGACCCAGUCUGUGUAGUUGUUGCCAUCGUCUUUCAUCUUGGUUUUCUCUAGGAACGCGUUGAAGUUAAGGGCAACAUUAGCGUGGGCCAUUUAAUCUACCAGACAUAUUGCAAAAGUUUUUAGACUAAGUUCAUGAUAAUUAAGUUCAUCUGAUCAAAUUAUUCAAUGAACUCCCACUCAGAUAGACAUCCCUCUAGUCAUCUAAGUGAUCCAUGAUCCGAGUCAACUAGACCGUGUCCGAUCAACACGUGAGACGGACUAGUCAUCAUCGGUGAACAUCUUCAUGUUGAUAGUAUCUUCUAUAUGACUCAUGUUCGACAUUUCGGUCUCUUGUGUUCCGAGGCCAUGUCUGUACAUGCUAGGCUCGUCAAGUCAACCUAAGUGUUUUGCAUGUGUAAAUCUGUCUUACACCCGUUGUAUGUGGAUGUUAGAAUCUAUCACACCCGAUCAUCACGUGGUGCUUCAAAACAACGAACUUUCACAAUGGUGCACAGUUAGGGGGAACACUUUCUUGAAAUUAUUAUGAGGGAUCAUCUUAUUUACUACCGUCGUCCUAAGCAAAUAAGAUGCAAAAACAUGAUAAACAUCACAUGCACUCAAAUAAUGACAUGAUAUGGCCAAUAUCAUAUUGCUCCUUUGAUCUCCAUCUUCGGGGCGCCAUGAUCAUCUUCGUCACCGGCAUGACACCAUGAUCUCCAUCAUCGUGUCUCCAUGAAGUUGUUCGCCAACUAUUACUUCUACUAUUAUGGCUAACAUUUUAGCAAUAAAGUAAAGUAACUACAUGGCGUUUAUUCAAUGACACGCAGAUCAUACAAUAAUUAAGACAACUCCUAUGGCUCAUGUCGGUUGUCAUACUCAUCGACAUGCAAGUCAUGAUUCCUAUUACAAGAACAUGGUCAAUCUCAUACAUCACAUAUAUAUCAUUCAUCACAUCCUUUUGGCCAUAUCACAUUACAAGGCAUAUGCUGCAAAAACAAGUUAGACGUCCUCUAAUUGUUGUUGCAUGUUUUACGUAGCUGCAAUAGGGUUCUAGCAAGAACGUUUCUUACCUACGUCAAAGACACAACGUGAUAUGCCAAUUUCUAUUUACCCUUCAUAAGGACCCUUUUCAUCGAAUCCGAUCCGAGUAAAGUGGGAGAGACAGACACCCUUUAGCCACCUUAUGCAACUAGUGCAUGCCAGUCGAUGGAACCUGUCUCAUGUAAGCGUACGUGUAAGGUCGGUCCGGGCCGCUUCAUCCCACGAUGCCGCCAAAACAAGAUAAGACUAGUAGUGGCAAGUAAAUUGACAAAAUCUACGCCCACAACAAAUUUGUGUUCUACUCGUGCAUAGAAACUACGCAUAGACCUAGCUCAUCAUGCCACUGUUGGGGAACAUUGCAGAAAAUAAAAAAAUUCUAUGCUUCACCAAGAUCAAUCAAUGGAGUCAUCUAGCAACGAGAGAGAGGAGUGCAUCUACAUACCCUUGUAGAUCGCGAGCGGAAGCGUUCAAGUGAACGGGGUUGAGGGAGUCGUACUCGUCGUGAUCCAAAUCACCGAAGAUCCUAGUGCCGAACAGACGGAACCUCCGCGUUCAAUACGCGUACGGUUGGGGAAGACGUCUCCUCCUUCUUGAUCCAGCAAGGGGGAAGGAGAGGUUGAUGGAGAUCCAGCAGCACGACGGCGUGGUGGUGGAAGUAGCGGCGAUCUCGGCAGGGCUUCGCCAAGCUCAGCGAGAGGGAGAGGGAGGCGCCAGGGCCUAGGGUACGCAGCCCUCCCUCCCCGCUCUUUAUAUAGGGGCCCUAGGGGGGGCGCCGCCCCCCUAGAGAUCCAAUCUCAAGGGGGGCGGCGGCCAAGGGGGGAACUUGCCCCCCAAGUCAAGUUGGGCGCCUCCCACCCCUAGGGUUUCCAACCCUAGGCGCAGGGGGAGGCCCAAGGGGGGUGCACCAGCCCACCAGGGGCUGGUUCCCUUCCCACUUCAGCCCAUGUGGCCCUCCGGGAUAGGUGGCACCACCCGGUGGACCCCCGGGAACCUUCCAAUGGUCCCAGUACAAUACCGGUGACUCCCGGAACUUUCUCGGUGGCCGAAACUGGACUUCCUAUAUACAAUUCUUCACCUUCGGAACUCCUCGUGACAUCCGGGAUCUCAUCCAGGACUCCGAACAACUUUCGGGUUACCGCAUACUAAUAUCUCUACAACCCUAGCGUCACCGAACCUUAAGUGUGUAGACCCUACGGGUUCGGGAAUCACACAGACAUGACCGAGACAGUUCUCCGGCCAAUAACCAACAGCGGGAUCUGGAUACUCAUGUUGGCUCCCACAUGUUCCACGAUGAUCUCAUCGAAUGAACCACGAUGUCGAGGAUUCAAGUAAUCCCGUAUACAAUUCCCUUUGUCAAUCAGUACGUUACUUGCCCGAGAUUCGAUCGUCGGUAUCCCAAUACCUCGUUCAAUCUCGUUAUCGGCAAGUCACUUUACUCGUACCGUAAUGCAUGAUCCCGUGACCAACCACUUGGUCACAUUGAGCUCAUUAUGAUGAUGCAUUACCGAGUGGGCCCAGAGAUACCUCUCCGUCAUACGGAGUGACAAAUCCCAGUCUCGAUCCGUGUCAACCCAACAGAUACUUUCGGGGAUACAUGUAGUAUACCUUUAUAGUCACCCACUUACGUUGUGACGUUUCGUACACCCAAAGCACUCCCAUGAUAUCUGGGAGUUACACGAUCUCAUGGUCUAAGGAAAUGAUACUUGACAUUAGAAAAGCUCUAGCAAACGAACUACACGAUCUUGUGCUAUGCUUAGGAUUGGGUCUUGUCCAUCACAUCAUUAUCCUAAUGAUGUGAUCCCGUUAUCAAUGACAUCCAAUGUCCAUAGUCAGGAAACCAUGACUAUUUGUUGAUCAAUGAGCUAGUCAACUAGAGGCUCACUAGGGACAUGUUGUGGUCUAUGUAUUCACACAUGUAAUACGAUUUCCGGAUAAUGCAAUUAUAGCAUGAAUAAUAGACAAUUAUCAUGAACAAGGAAUUAUAAUAAUAAUCAUUUUAUUAUUGCCUCUAGGGCAUAUUUCCAACAACUACGUCUGAUACAGUAUAUUUUUACACGCACAUUUUUCCUCCGUGCUGAGACGUGGCACACCCUACCGCGCGGUUUCGGGGUCCUCCCGGGUGGUGCACGCAUAUAUUCUUCCUGACGUGGGACGCCCUACCGCGUGUUUUCUGGGUCCUCCUCGAUCGUAGCGCCGAAGCAAGUAAAUGAGUCGUCAAAUCACGAAAGACCACCUUUCCUACCGAGUACAUCAGUGAAGCAUGAUGGCUAGCUAGUUGGGCUAGUUCGACCAAUUAGCUAGGCCGCCGCCACAUUUGUUUUUUCACCCCUUUUUUAUCUACUUGCCGGCAGGUAAAUUUAAAUAUCCACCGUGGCAUUGCUCUGGUGUUUGGGUGCGGCAGGAUUUUUAAAUUUUUUUUAUUGACGGGAGCAGGCGUGGCAGGAUUUUAAAUUUUAUGAUUGAUGGGAGCAGGCGCGGCAGCAAUUAGUCACGAUGACUCCGGCUGUAAAACCCACUGCUCCCUGAUGUGAGAAGUCAUCAACUGGUGUUUUACCAUGGUGAAAACCAAAAGAUUCCCCGCUCGUCGGCUGGAUCCCUCUGCCUUCCCGUAGAUUGCAUUGCCUUUCAGCCGUUUCGCCCCCUUUGCUUCCUCUCCCCAUUGCUCCUACCUGGUCCCAUGGCGGCGCAGCAGAUCACGGAGUCUGAGAUGAGGCGCCUGACACAGGAGCUCCAUGCCAAGGAUGCGGAGCUCAGGGCCAAGGAUGUGGAGCUCCGUGAGCUCAAGGAGGAGAGGAGUGUCGUGCUCCUCUGUUAUGUGCGGGAGUUCACGGAGCUUCAAAAGCGGCAGGCGUCCACCACAAAGAUGCUCGAGCCGUAGGUGGUGUUGCUGCAGAAAGCGGGAGAUACGGUAGGCCAUCAGGGGAGCCGGGUGGAGCGCGAGCGGGCCGAUCAUGACGAGGUCCAGGAUCGCCUUAGCCACUUGGUGAACCAAGUUGCCACGCACGUGUGCGGCUGCGUGAUGCCCACCGUCGUGCGAGCGUGAUGAUGCUGGCCGUCGGGCUAAACCCUUUCGACCACCCGGUCGACUUCAAUGAGUUGCGGCUUCCUGACCUGGUCUCCUUCUUCACCUAUAUCUCCGAGGAGCUGAGCCGUCUCCGCGCGAUGGUGGGGGCUGAGCUAGACAAAGAGGGGUUGCGGGCUGCCCUCGCCGUUGCCGGGCGAAUCCUUUCAGGGCUCCAUCACCGGAAUCCAUUCGUGCCAUUGGACGCCGUCUUUGACGAGCUGGCUCCCAUCGACCGGGAGCAGGCUCUGCGGGCGGUUGCACCCUGCAUCACCAACAUCGUGCGCCUCGAAAAGCAGAUGGACUUCGGUGUUGUUUAGGCGCCCUCUGCAUGGACAUGUCCAUGUCUCGGUGCAACAUGACCGUCGGAUCAAACUCAGACGAUGCAAAUCAGUCACUGUAGCACAAAGCGUGUGGGUGUGUUUGGUUGCAUUCUCAUCUCAAUAUAGUUGUUUCCUCUUUGUGUAUUUUUGUCAACCUACUAGUGUGGACUCAUGCACCCUUCAUGCACUCUGCCAAACACACAAAAGUGGGUCGACAAGGGAACUUUUGCUCCCAUCCCAUGCACCCUUCAUACACCCUACCUAACACUAUUCGUGCUUCAUAUGGUUCAUGUUUCAUGGAGUACUAUAGCACCGUACUCUCUGUGCGCUGUGGACCUAGUUCUGUUAACAUUGAUCUCACCGUUCAUUCUCGACCGGACAGUCGAAAAAGCGGUACUAUGUUACAUAUAGGAGUAGUUGACAUGCGCACAACAUCAUUUGUUAUUGUCAUAUCUUACUACACUAGCAAAAAGAUUGUGUAGUACUAACGUAUGAACCACUGCACAUGCCUAGUAGUAGGAGCAAUGUGUAUGUUCAAGUGGCUGCCGUGUUUCGCACUCCUCCGUCGUAAGUGGAAACGCUUGCUGUAAUCAUUUUUUUCUUCAGAAAAACAGUGGACAUGCUCUACCGUGCGGAUCCUCCUCCAGCCAUGCACUAAAUUACUCACUUUCGCCGAUGUGUGGGACAGCCAGCACCUGGGUCCACCAACCAUGCACUAAAUUACUCCGUAGUAGAGUGACGGUAGACUACCCCGAUCGAACCGCCACAGUAAUGUCCAAUGAUCCGCCAAAUCACAAAACCCCCUCCUUUCCAGCAGUAAGUUGGAUGGACGAAGCAACCAUCAUUUCACUCUUCUCUCUCAGCUUCCUCUCUUGAAGAAAACCCCCACUCGCUUUUCUUCUCCCUCAUCUCCUUCCUCCUUUCACUCUUCUCUCUCAGCUUCCUCUCUUGGAUGGACACCGGAGCACCGGCCGACGUGAUGUCUAUGGCUCUGGCCAAAAUCGUCGAGGCUCAUGGUACGAAGAAGCGCAAGCACCCCGCUGAGACUACCACAGACAAGCUCGAAUCCAUCGCCCUGUCCAAGCCCCCCUCUCUAGGAUCCCUCAUUAAGCAAGUCUAGGUAAUGUCUCUUGUUCACGAUCUUUUUCUCGAUCUUGAUCGUGUUUUUUCAUCUAACACGUAGUACUAGUACUGGUAGUACAACUUUCUGGGUGAUCUUGCAUGUGAUUUUAGUGUGCCAAAUGACGGUUCUAAAUUCCUCUUUUGACCAAAACAUGCGAGAGGUUGACGCUGAUUUCUUAUAGAUUACUUUCAACUACUCCCUCUGUCCCAAAUUUCUUGUCUUAGAUUUGUCUAGAUACGGAUGUAUCUAAUACUAAUAUGUGACUUGAUACAUCCGUAUCUAGACAAAUCUAAGACAAGAAUUUUGGGACGGAGGGAGUACUUUAUGAACAUCAAUGCUACCUUUUAAGAGGGUAUAUUUGCCUCAGUAACUUGUGUUAUGGAUAUUGCAAGUAAUCCCUCUGCUCUCAUGCCUUUGAAGACAUGUUCUAGUGUCUUUGUUCACUCAUUUCUGUGUGUAUAUGUAGUCAUAUAUGGAGUAUAAUAUCGAAAAUCAUCUUAUAUUUCUGAACGGAGGUAGUAAUAAAAUAUGGUUUCUGUUUGAAUUAGAACCAGGUCCGCGGUGGAGAUGAAGUUCUCAAAGUCAUGCCGUGUGAACUGGAAGACCUGAUGAUGAGUUCUACUGCUGAACUAUCCAACUGCUGUGUCCUUGUCGCCACGUGUCCUGAACUAUUGUUUUCAUGUAGCAUUGUUGUCAGGCGUGUUCUCGAGGUUGUACUUGACCACAACAAUUUCCUGGCGUGCCUUUGAUUACAAAGGGCGUGGUUCUUGUAAAGAUUCCCAACAAAUCUGAUGCGGCCUGUCUUCAUCAUCAUGUUUAUGAGUGGAAAUACCACUCUGUUAGGUUCUCCAAGGUUGACAAGAUGGUGAUGGUGCAUGUAGACAUCUCACACGAAGUCCAUGGCCUAGUCAGUUAUGCGGGGUUCAUCCUAUAGGUCGGUGGCAAGAAAUAGUCUACAGAGUUUAGUUAGUGCAACUUUGCUUGUCUGUAGUAAGUACUAUUGUUCAGUACUUGAUUUGUCUUUGUAAACCCUGUAUUGUUUAUUAGUACUGCCGCUUUUGGUGUGUGGUCAGUCCUAAGAACGGUCUAUGUUAAUGUCUGUUCACUCAAUUCAGUUUGUAUAUUUUGAAGUAUCCAGAUCAUAUUUUUUGUGAGGACGGUUUAUCAAGUAUGGUUACACUCCCAUAUCUGUAUGCAUUGCAGGGUUUAUCGCACCCACCAGGAUUUCUAGUCCCAUGGAUGUUCGGUCCAUACGAUUUGUCACGACCUUUGGACUGUCCUGCUUGUGGGAGUAGGCGGGGCCCCUGCAUGCCACGCGUAGUUGGACGAUCAAUCUUCUGUUUAGUACUUCAACAUAGUGAUUUCCUGGUAAGGAUUCACUCGUGUCACAUCAAGUAAAUCUUAUUGAUUUGUUGUCUAAAUCUUAUUGAUUUAAUGUCAUGUUUUCUUUCUUUUCCUGCAAUUUUACGAUGCAGGUUUUGCCAUGUGACAUUCAUCACAGAAUAAACCGUUUGGUUUGCUCUGCGAUGGCUAUUUUUGCAGGUUUCACUUCUUAUGUCGUGUUAGUAACGAAGGCAUUGUCCAUCACUUACAUUACUUGGAAAAAAUUGGAUCAGUCUGUUGUCUGAGUACAAGCUGAAUCCCUGUGAUGAACUGCAGUUUGGUUUAACAAAAACGCCACAAUUAGUCCUUCUCGCGUUUAAAAGAAAUGAAGAAAAAAAACUUGAUCACGGUCACGGAUCCUAGUCAAGUUAGAAAGCUGAUCAUAGCAGACCAGACACGAUCGUCGCUGUCUCACACAUCGGUACCACCUUUAGUAAUGGAUCGAGCACCGGCAGUUGCUCUAGCACUGACAGUGGCAGCAGCUCAGUCUGAUCCAGCUGAGGAUUGGGCACCAACCGCGUCAGCGGAUCAGUCUGAUCUACCAGAGGAUCAGGCAUCAACACCGGCACCUGCUCCGACACCGGCACCAGCUCUACAAGGAGCACCAUCUCCAGCAGCAGCGGCGGCUUCGGCACCUGCACCAACACUUGCACUUGCAUCUGCUCCGGCCUGUGCAGUUGCACCGGCAACAGACUGGGCUGCAGUUCGCACUUCAUAUACCAAAGUCCUUACAAAAACCGACAUGUCCGCCUUCUUGGUAAGCAUUGGCUGCCCAAGUGCUUCGUUCUUUUUUAUUUCCAUGUUGUUUCACAUGAUUCACUGUGUUGAUCCAACUGUGUGGGUAUGUCUUCUUGUUUGCAAACAGAGAAUUCCUAGAGCAACGAGGGAGUCGUUCAACAAUCUAGGCGACCGCGGCCAAGUUUCUCUUACCAUGCACAGCCUUGGUGUGAAUGAACCUGCUCAAUAUACCGUAAGUACAAAGGAUGGUCGCAUGAUGAUUGAUGCUAAAGGAUGGUCAAGGUUCAAAUCUAAAUCAUAUCUUGUGGUAGGGGAUGAUGUAAAAGUCGAACUUUCUCGGCAAGGAGAGCUGGUCCAAAUCAACUUUGAAAUUCUUCAGUAGCAGCACGCAACUGCCGAGCUGAUCUAUCCUCCGAGAGAUUUUGAUGUAAUAAUCUGGCAUGGUGAAACAAGUGUCCUGUGUGUAUAAGUAGUACGACACUAUUAUUUAUCACAUGAUAUAUCGCUGAUAGAAUUGCAACUCUGAUUGCUGGUUAGGAACUGUAGUUCAAUUUCAUUCCAACAGCUGUCGUGCUUUAUUCAAUUUUGUGUAUUCGCCUUGUGACAGCAUCUAAAACCAGCAUCGUACCGAUUGCUUGCAAUAUGAAAAGCGAUGAGGUAGAACACAUGGGCCCCCAAACAUGCAGGGUCGGCCUGCGGCCCAGUCUAGAACCGUGAGCCUAUCUGAGUAUUAUAUUCUCAGCUGAACCCCCAUAAAAAAGCUGAACCCCCAUAAUGCCCGUGCAUUGCAGAGGGAGUAUAUUUCUCGGCAAGGUGAGCCUGUCUGUGAUAUAAAAGACUUGUAUAUUUCUUUAUAGAGGGAGUAUCUCUCUGCCAAAAAAUAUAUUUAUGUGUAACUAGUUAGUCUUGUAUUUCUACUUCCUUUCGCUGAUAUGUGGGGCAACCGGCAAUGGGGUCCAUGUGCCAUAUGCACCAAUUAGAGUGCACAACUUAGCGGUAGACACACCCCGGUCGUAGCGCCACAGUAAUGCCCAAUGAGCCAUCAAAUCACAACCCCCCCCCCUUUCCAGCUUUAGCAGUAAGCUGGACGGACGAAGCGGCAAUAUUUCACUGGGCCUGAAUCCCCUUCUCCCUCGUCUUCUUGUUCAGAGAAAACCCCCUCUCGGCGAUUGCAUAGGGUUUUAUCAUGGAGAACCAGGUACGAAUUCUUCAUCCAUCCCCGAUAAAUCCAAGUCCCUUGGUCGCAGGUAAUCCUAGGAUGGCAGCCGCCGCCGUUGAUGCAUUUCUCUUCCUACUGAAUCUAGUGUGUUUCAUUUGCAGUGCCCAAAGUGCGAGGACCCUACAGGUUUCUGCACCCUCUGCGAGAUGCCACACUUGUUCCUUCUCAUCCUAACUCAGCAUUUUGAAACGUGCACAGUAUGUUCCUAGAAUCCUCUUUUCUAUCCGGGAGGGUGGGAGUUUUUUGAACAUGAUGUGUUCUCAUAUUAUUUUUCCUGUAGCGUCUUAUUUGCUCUGCCAGAACACAUGUACUCAAGAUGCUCGGCCUUGCCAUAACUGAAUACACUAGUUUAAUGGUCAUAGUGAAGACAAGCCAUGGAUAUGAGUUCCGAGUUGGGUUCAUGAACCAAGAAGAUCGCUGCUUUUUUUAUGGCCGAACUUGGAUAAACUUUCUCAAGUGUUACGGACUGAAAGUUGGCGCACGAAUGUUGAUGGAAAUAGCAGAACUUGGUCUCAUCUUCACUGCGAUCUUCCACCCCGACGUCAUUCCAAUUGUUCAUCCAUGUUAGUUUUGUAUCUGGUUCUUGCUUGUUGCCUCGAUUACUUCUUAAUCCACCUAUUCUGUCUAACUAAUCACAAUUUAACUUUAGAAGUAGCAAUGAGUCUCUCACGAAGAUGCUACUUCUAACUAAUAUUUUCUUAUAAUUGGUGGCACGUGUAGGUUUUUUCAGAGUUAAGCAGUCUGCUCGUUUGUUACUCUGUAAUAACUCAGCUGUUACUGAUGGCACUGAAGUUGAUUGGAUCGACAUCCACAAGUUCCUACACUUUAUUGAUCGUCUUGAGGUCCUUGUGGGGCGUUUCAAUGGUGGAAGGCCACGUGGGAUAUGUGUGCCACUGCUGCACUCGUUGAACAGGUCCAACUGUGUCGAGAAACUUAUGGUACGAGCUGUUUUUUGUUAUAUAUGUUGUUCAUAAACUAUUGCUUAUACACAGUUUUAUAGCUGUGAUCUUCUUGAAACAGGAACCGCCCAGUUCUGUUGUUCCUAUACAGAUGCCUGACCAUGGUCGGGUCAGACUUGCGAUUGGUCACAACAUGAUGUUUAUGUCGACCUACUCAAUUCCCCUUGGAGGUGAAAAGAUACUUAUUCAUGGGUGGUCUCAAAUAAUGAAGGCCCGUCCAUCUUGGAGAAUAGGACAGAAGAUUAUGUUCAUGGUUUUCCAUGGCUCUAAAGAGAAUAUCCUGUUUAUUGACCACGUUGCGAGAUGAAGCCGCUUUCAGAAGGUUCUGGAUGCGCGGGGUGGCGCCUGGGCCUUGUCCUGGGGCUUGGCGGCCUCACCCUUGGUUAACUGUAUGCAAAGUAGCACGGUUUGAAGCGUGCUUUGUACGGUUGAACCUGUAUAAGUACUCAUACUGCUUUCAUCUUUGGUUGUUAAGUACCCCUGCUGGUUUCAGUUAAGGUUGUUAAGUACUCCUACUUUUACAGUCUGUCGUGUUUCUUCAGUCUUGUCUUCCUCCAGCCGCCAAAACCAAACCAGCGCCGGUGGGGCCGCCUGCUUCCACCUCCCAUGGCUGGCUGCGCCUCAGCACACGCAUCGCCACCGCACCGUCUCCUAAAUCGUUAACGCCGACGUCCUCCGCGCGCUUUGGUGCGCUCGUCGCGGCGCCGCCCUCUCGCGUUGUCAACAUGGUCAACAAACAACAGGAAUCAGCUGAAGUACGUAUAGAGGAUGACAAUAGGGACCCACCACAUUAGCGUAUGGAAAAAUAAAAUGCUUCCUCCCAGUGUUUUCCUGACAUCUGGGACCCACGACAUUGUGAGCGUAUAUAGUCAAUAGACAAGAGAACAGCGCAAGAUCGGCUGACACCUGGGACAUAGCUACUUGAGCAUUAUUUCUUUUUGUUAUUGUUGAGACGGAGCAGGGUUUGAACUGGGUUGUGGCCCGUCUAGCCCAGGCUUAUAUUUUGUGUUCACCAUGUGACCAGCCCAACUAUUUUUUCUUUGUGAAAAUGAGCCCAGUUUAUUUUUUCUGAAGAAUACGGCCUACUUAUUUUUCUACGCCCUGAUGGUCUGUAACUCUUUCAAGACGCCUGCAAAUCUUGAAAGUAAUAUGAAAUGGGUUGUAAAUAUAAAAACAGAUGACAAAUUGGCAAUUACUUUAUAAUUUCUGAAUUUUUUCACAUUUUCAGAUUCCUAUUUCACUAGGCAUUAACCUAAUUUAAAUAUAUCUUCAAAGUACUUUAAAUAUGGCUUGACAUUUCGGUAUUAAAAAUAGUUUGGAACCCACAGAAAUAUGCGAAAUUGGCCCUGGUCAACCAAAAAAAUGACUGCAAUAAAUUGCAAAAGAAGUUGCCAUGAGCUAUAUAUAAAUUAUUAAAAAAAAGAGGGAGUGGUCUGACUUGUCGGCCUGUUUAGUUGACGCGUAUGCAAGAUUUUUUUAGUUAUUAUAUACAUCAACAAACGAUUCUAGUAGACGUAACUGUUGGAUGUCAAUCCAACGGCCGUCGUGUUUCUUCAACCUCUAAUCUUCUUGCUUCAGCCGCCAAAGCAGCGCCGGCGGGACCGCCUGCUCCUGCCUCCCGUGGCUGGCUGUGCUACCGCGCAGGCCUCAGCGCCCCCUACUACUCCCACCGCUGGCCAGGGCAUCCCUCUACUCACCCACACCCCCUGUUAUUCUGUGGCGACGGCAGCCUCACACCGCAGUCGAACCGGUGAACCCUCAUACUCCUCUCCGCGCGGGCUUCCACUGUCGCGUCGUUCCCUUGCUAGGCCUCGCCGUCGUCCAUCGCCCUGGUGCUCUCGACGUGGCGUGGUCAAUGUGGUCAACGACCGACUUCUAUCGGAAGAGUACUGUACGUGGAGAGGCUGACAGCUAGGUCCACGGCAGCCACAAGGAAGUGCGUCCUUAUUACACGAAAAAUAAUUAUUCCUCCAUCUGACAGCAGGGACCCACCGAACGGGCCACUAGUAUUUCGCGAAAAAAACAUUUCCCCCUGACUGCUGGGACCCACCGGACGGGCCACCAUAUUUCGCGAAAAAAAUGUUCCCCCGCUGUCAGCUCGGACCCACCAGAAGUGCCUCCUUAUUACGCACAAAAAAAUGAAUACUCCCCCUGCUAGCUGGAACCCAGCAUAGUGGGAGGCUGACUUGUGGGCCUACCAAGUUGACAGGGAUGGAGGGCUUUGUCAACUUAGUCAAUAUGAACGAUUCUAGCUCCUGUUACCGUACGAUGUUCAUCCAACGGCCGUAGUGCUUCUUCAACCUCUGGUCUUCUUGCUCCAGCCGCCCAAACCAGCGCCGGUCGUGCCGCGUGCUCCUGCCUCCCGUGGCCGGCUGUGAUGUCGCGGAGGCCUCACCGCCCCCUACUAUUCCCACCGCUGGCCAGGCCAUCCCUCUACUCACCCACAUCCCCUGUUAUUUUGCGGCGACAGCAGCCUCACACUGCAGCCGAACCAGUGAACCCUCGUACUCCUCUUCGCGUGGGCAUCCACUGUUGCGUCUUUCCCGGCUCCGAGUUGUCCCCUUCCUAGGCCUUGCCGUCGUCCACCGCCGUGGUGCUCUUGGCACGGCGUGGUCAACGUGGUCAAGGAACGACUUCCAUCGGAUGUGGACUAUAUGUGGGGAGGCUGACAGCUGGGUCCACGGCCGCAGCAAGGAAGUGCCUCCUUAACACGCAAAAAAAUUAUUCCUCCACCUGACAGUGGGGACCCAUCAGACGGGCCACUAUAUUUCAUGAAAAAAACGUUUCCCCCUGACUGCUGGGACCCACCAGCUACAUCUUCACACGCAAGGAAGUCCGUCCGGGAAAAAAAACAAUUCGCCCCCCUGACUGCUGGGACCCACCAGUGACAUGUUCGCACGCAAGGAAGUGCCUGACAUUCGGGACCCACCUGGUCGAAGUGUACAUAGCGUUGUCAUUCUGGUCGCGAGUACAUACUGGUGGAUGAGAGGCGCGCACGUGUCGUAGUAGAGGCGCGCACGUAGCAUGUACACGUACGUACAACGGCCAGGGUGCAAGAAAGAAAAUACGGCCACGUAUGUGUACAUACGGGCGGGGUCUCGAACACCUACUCGCGCAUACGUACGGCCAGGGCUCAUGUACAUGGCUGUGUCGAAACGGAGAAACAACAUCGUUGUCGUGUUCAUGGGGAGACAACCGGCUGGGUUGGAACGGAAUGUGUGGUCGUGUUCAUCGGGAGGGCUUGGACGGAACAAGCAAUGGAAACGAGGCCUGGCGUACCGCAAAACAGAGGAAACGGCCUUGUGUUCGACCGGCCAUGUUCGAAACAGGAUCCUGUUCAUCGGGAGGGGUCUGGCGUACCGUAAAACGGAGGAAACGGACCUCCUACGGUCGAAACAGUGGUCCUGUUGAUCGGGAGGGGUGUGGCAUACUGCAAAACGGACGAAACGGACCUCCUACGGUCGAAACGGGGUCCUGUUGAUCGGGAGGGGUGUGGCCUACCGCAAAACGGACGAAACGGACCUCCUACGGUCGAAAUGGGGGUCCUGUUGAUCGGGAGGGGCGUGGCAUACCGCAAAACGGAUGAAACAGACUUGUGUUGGAGCGCUACGGUCGAAACGGGGGUCCUGUUCAUCGGGAGGGGUGUGGCGUACCGCAAAACGGGACUCCACGGGAUAUUGUUCAUCUCCACCGUCGACCUCCUCCAGCCUCCACGGGCUACUGUUCAUCCACCAUCGACCUCCUCCAGCCUCCACGGGCUCCUGUUCAUCCAGCCUCCACUCCGCGCUACUCCACCGGCUACUGUUCAACCACCCCUCCACGGGCACCCCUCCACCGUCUACUGUUCAUCCAGCCCUCCACACCACGGGGUCCUGUUCAACCACCCCUCCACGGGCACCUCUCCACCAUCUACUAUUCAUCCAACCCUCCACACCACGGGGUCCUGCUCAUCCAGAGGCAACGCCGCCGCUCACUGUUCAUCCAGCCCCCCCCCUCAACACUCACUGUUCAUCCAAUCGAUCGGCUUCAGUUAGCAGCAGUAGCGAAGGAAUCGCUCGAUCGGGUUCAAUUAACAGCCAUCGAUCGCUCGCUCGGGUUCAGUAACGCAUAGCCUGCAGUGCAAUCGCUCGGGUUCAGUUAGAGCCCAACGCCUCGCUCGGGUUCAGUUAGAGCCAACGCCUCGCACACACGCGCAUACCUUACGAGAGAAACGCGCAUCGCUCGGCCCCCGACCUCCCACCGUAACCGGGAACUCCCCGAAAUUUUCCUCCCCCUCGCUUCUACCAUGGUUUUUUCCGUCAUGGACGGUCCAAAGAAUGUCAUGCAGCUGCGUCUCCGGCCCGCCUAGGAUGAAAAGCCCAUUUGCUAUCAUGAUUUUUUGUCAUAGAAGUAGGAGCCCACCACAUCUAUGAUGAUACCGGGUUUUGUCACAAUUAUUGUCACAGAAGUGUCAUAUGUAUGACAGAAAAAAAAAUUCGUUCGGCCCAAAAUGUCACGGAUGUGUCUUUUUUUGUAGUGAAGGCUAGCCCCCUCUUACCUUCUCUUCCAUGUGAGAAAAAGGAAAAGGGGGGCGCCUCCCCUCCUGCGUUCUCCCCUGCGCCAUAGGAAUGAAAAGGGGGGGGGGGAAGGCACCUAGGGCAGGAUCCCAGGACGGUCGCCGCCCCCCUUGGGGGUACCCCUAGGGCUUCCUCCUCCUUCCCCCACCUAUAUAUAUGAGUAGAGGGAGAGGGGCAACACACACCACGAUCCCCAAGCCGUGUGCGGCGCCCUCUCUCCCUCUAGUUCUAGUUCCUCCUCCAUCCACGUCCGUUGUGCUUGGCGAAGCCCUGCAAAUAGUUUCACCACCUCCGUCACCACGCCGUCGUGCUGCCGGAACUCAUAUACUACUUCUCCUCUCUUGCUGGAUCGAUAAGGCGGACGUCAUUGAGCCAAACGUGUGCUGAACGUGGAGGUGACGUACGUUCGGUACUUGAUCGGGACGGAUCGUGAAGGUGUACGACUACAUCAACCGCUUUGAUAAACACUUCCGCUGUGAAGCCCGGAUAGUUAAGCUACAGUAAUCCUUCGUUAAUGGUGCCAUGUCGUCAAGCUUGACUAAGUCAAAUUGCCCUUGAUAAGGAUCCAAGCCAAAUUCAAAUUCCAAUUUCAAGUGAAAAAUUUAAAUUCACAAAUAAGAAAAACUAAAAAGUUCAUGUGAUGGCAAAUAAUCCAUAGUUAAUUAUGGUGGAGUAAAACUAGGUCACUUGCUUGCUUAUUUAAAAGUUGUCGCCCAAAAACAGGGACUAAAACAACCACUUUAAUCCAUUUGUAGUUAAUCAAAUAUCUAAUGAUUUCAAGUAUUACCCCAACCAUUUUAUUGAAGUGCUAGAUAUCGCCUAGUAUUUACUCUGCCCAAUAGCACUUUUUGCAAAAGUCAUUUAGUGCAGAAAUUACAUGGAAAAUAGAGAGGAAAUAAACAAACAUAAAAUAUAAAAAAGGGGAAACGGAGAAGGGCCUAUUCUACCGGGCACUUUGGCCCAACUAGCCAAAUGACCGGCCCAGCCCACCUCCACUGUCCUUCAACCUACUAUAGGGACACAGAGGAUCGUGGCGCCCAUCUGUGCCGGCCAUGCCGUGCGUGGCGGCCAUCCCCUGCCUCCCCAAUGAUUACAAGGGCAACCCCAAGCCCCUCCUCUCUCGCCCGGUCGAACCCUAGCCGCCACUACUUCCAUCCUCGCAUCAUUGCUCGCACCCCCCCACACACACCCGAAGCUACCAUUGUCGUGCCAUCAUCACCGUCGCGACCACCAUCGUUGCCUUCACGCGGCAGGACGUCACGGAGGACCGUGGCCUUCGGCUUCGUUCGUCCCGGGCAUCAGCUCAAGCCAGGGCAGCUCGUAUGCUCGCCAUUGCCGUCUUCUUCAUCGCGUACAUCGCCGGCCGCCGUCGUUGAUUCCCACCGCCUCAGUCCACCCUCGGCUUCCUCGUCUGCGCAACCGAGCUCGCUCUGAGCUCCUCUUCCAAAACCCCCUCUCCUCCUCUCGAUUUCGUCGCCAUAGCCGCCGUCCCCGAGAUCGUGUGAGCUCCCGCAUACGCGUACGUGGUGCUCCUGCCCAUGGCCGCGCCUGCUUGCUGCUGCCGCACGUUUGGGCCAUGCCCCUGGCUGCGCUCGCUCGCCUCCAGCCUCGCCUAGCUGCGCCCUGGCCAUGCCCCCUGCGCUUCGCCCGCGCCUGGCCUCGAGGUCGUCUACUGCUGCGCCUCAGGCUGGACGACACGGUCCGGUCCGGCGGUCCUGCUCGUGGCCCGCUCGGCUCGGGCCGGCUCGGUCCUGGCCCGCUAGUUUAAAUGGCCGGUCCGGUCCCUGCAAAGAGGCCCGAGAAAAUCUCGGUCCGGUCCAGUCUUUGACCGAGCCGACCGAGCGGACCGAAGGUGGCAGUCGGCGGCAUGGCUGGGGCGCGGCUGGGGCGUGGCGGGGGCGUGCUGACGGCUUGCCAGGGGCGUGGCGGGGGCGUUGCAGGUGCGUGUCGUCCACCCUGAGGUGCGUGGCGAGGGCGUGGCGGCUCAUGCGUGGCGGGGGCGCAAGAAACCGCCGUCGUCUACGUCCGCCGCCACAGGGGCGUCGUCCGCGCGGCCACUGGACUCGAUGGCCCCGGAAACUAUGUCCAUUAGACGCGCCACACUCGGGUCCGUCAUUCCCAUCAACGAAAUCGACCUGGGAGGUCCUACAUCGCCGCAUCGGCCGUCGUCCCUUUUAUCUCCGUUCACCGGCCGUCGUGCCAGAUUCGUCGCCGAUGAGCUCCCUCCGGUGUUCUUCUUCGUCAUGUAGCUCCCUCUGGUUCUUCUAAAGCUCCCAGACAUCUUUUUAACGAGCUGCACUUCCUCUAGCAUUGCGUCCCUGAUAAACAGCUCUCGCCGGAGCUCCAAAGCGCGCUCUGCCCAUGUCUUGGCCGGUCCUGACGGUCCUCUCGGUCCGGCUCAUGGCCCGCCAUUGCCGGUCCGGUCCCUGCAAACAGGCCCGAGACACUGCUCGGUCCAGUCCGGUCCGGACCGCCAGCGUCCGGUCCAAACGCCGGCUCGGACCGUGUCCACCCUGAGCUGCACCCGCUGUUGACCCUGUCCGCCGCCGCCGUUCGCGCCCGCCGGGGCCGCGCCCACGCCGUGCCCGCGUGCGUCCCCCUGUCCCCGCCGACCUCGCAUGCCGCCCGUGCCCGCACGCUGCUUCGUGCGGCCUUGCGAGCUGCUACUGCUCCUCCCCUGCUGCUCGCUAGCCGCUGCUGACUGAAGCCGCUUCCGCUCUUGGUUUUUACCGCCGCUGCUUCCUAGUACUGCUGCUGUCGCUAGGAACUGCUGCUGCCGACGUUGCUGCUUACUACUACUCUACUGCGUAGCCGCCGCCGCUGCUCUAGCUGCUCCUGUAGGCUAGUUUUGCUGCUCCUAGAUGUUGCUACUCGUCUGCUAAUGGACAUGGCCGUGGCCAUGGCUGGGCAUGUGUGGUGUGCGUGCGUGUGUACGGCCAUCACUGGCCGGCCCGUACGAAUUAGCUUAGGAGAUAAUUUCUAGUUAGUUUAAUUGCUAGCCAAUGACACAUGGGCCCUCUUUUAAUUGAAAGUAUGUUAAAUAAAUCACUCAAUGACACGUGGGACCACAUCUAGUUAAACCUAAUUAAAUCAGUAAAUAACCCUGUUUAUAAAAAAAUGUCUCACUGACAGGUGGCCCCAACCUGCCAGUUGGACUAGUCAAAGUUGACCCGGUCAAUUGCUGACUAUACAUGCUGACUGGACCCCCCUGGCCCACUGUCAUACAAAUAGGCUAGCUGCCUCUGUGUUUAAAAAGUAAUAGACCAUUUUAUUUUCGAAUUAAAUUAAAUCCAGGAAAUUUUCAGCAUAUGUUUAAAACUUUAGAAAAUCAUAUAAAAUAAUCAGCAAAUGUUUUCUACAUGAAAGUUGCUCAGAACGACGAGGCGAAUCUAAACACGCGUCGUCCGCCACAUGUCCCUAGCAUAGCAAACUUCGAAUCUUUCCCCUCUGGUUCAUCUGUCUGACAAACGUCUGGAACCGGGAAAACUUUCCCGGAUGUUCCCCCCUUCGCUAGUAUCGCCUAGCACUGCGUUAGAACACCUCUAGCACCACUUGUCGUCUUGUUAUGCAUAUGUUUGCGUGUAUUUACUGUUUCUUCCCCCUCUUCUCUCCGGUAGACCCCGAGACCGCUGUCGAUGCCCCUAUGAUCGACUACGUCACCGAUGACCCUUCUUCCCUUUUAGCGGAGCUUCCAGGCAAGCCCCCCCCCCCUUGAUCAUCUCGAUAUCGCCUAUUCCAUUCUCUCAUGCUUGCAUUAGAUUUUGCUACUGUAUUUGAUUGCUCCUAUUCUGAUGCAUAGCCUGCUUUUGUACCUGCUAUUGUUACCUACCUGCUUAUCCUAAACUACGUAGUAUAGGUUGGUUAGAGCUCCAUCAGUGACCACCAUCUUGUCCUUGUUUCCCCUGCUUCAUCAUCGAUGACUCGAUCAAUGUGAUCGACGACCAGAGCCCGACACCUCACAUCACAUCACGCCUCUUUUUGUUGCUCGACUCUGCAAAGUUACCAUCGAGUGCCGAGGGUGGAACCUCAUACAUCACUCCUGAUGAGAUCUCUGCAGUGUAGCUAUUCGGUUGUGGUCAUCGAGGGUGGUUCCUCUUUCACCAUUCCCGAUACGGCUCUGUCGUGCAACCCCUCAAGUGUGAACCUCGAGGGUGGUUCCUCUUACGUUCACCUUGAUGAUUACAUAGUGUGGAAUCCACCGGGGGUGAUUCCUCGGGUUUUCCCCUUGCUGUCUGGACACACGGUUACCUUGACUUUACUUGAGACCAUUGUGAAAACCCGGCGGGCCCGGAGAGCACCCGUGCGAUGUGACGAUAGCGGCUGGCUAUUUAGUGGUAUCCCCGGGAGAGGGUGAUAGCUCCGGACUUGUCCCGGCAGCCGUCACUUCUUUUAAUAAUGCACUAACAGGUUUGGAUAUUUGUUCUGAGUUGGCCUCUGGCCUUUAUGCACUAACCAUCAUGCGAGAAUAGUUAUGGGCCUCGACGUCGCAGUAUCAGCUGAAGCUUUGUCAGACGUCCAGUUCAGCAUUAUGGCCAGGCCGGAUCAUGCCAUCCACUUCACGAGUGGUGCUGGUAUCUGCUUGCGCACAAUGACCCGGAGUGCAACGGGCGAUGGGCCCAGACCCCGGAGUGCUUAGGAUGUAGACCGGCGGGGACCUCUCUACUGAGCCUAUGUAGGGCUACGAUGUGUUGAUCUUCCGAGGCCGGGCAUUGACCCCAGAAAGGUGUGUCCGGCCAGAGUGAUCGAGCAUGUUGGGUAACGUGGUGCACCCCUACAGGGAAGACAUAUAUUCGAAUACCGUGUCCACGGUAAUGGACAUUCAGACUUGUAUCUUGAUCUUAUACAACUAGAAAUGGAUACUUGAUAUGUGAUGGAUAUGUGGCCCCGGGAUUGCUUUCUCGCAGGGAGUCGAGGAAGGAUCUCUGUGCGUUAAUGCUACAACAUGCUUGUUAAUUAUAAAAUGCUAUUCUUUACUGUUCUACAUGCUGCAAGAUGCUUGGACCUGCUUGAAGAUGCUAGUCUUUGAUAGGCUAGGCCUUUCCCCCUCUAUUCUGGCAUGCUGCAGUUCAGUCCACAGAUACAACCCUUCCAUUUGAUACCAAUGCAUACUUAGUAUAGAUCUGAUGCUUGCGAGUACUUUGGAUGAGUACUCACGGUUGCUUUGCUCUUCCUUUUCCCCCCUUCUUUCUUCAUUCUGGUUGUUGCAACCAGAUGGUGGAUCCCAGGAGCCAGAUGCCACCCCCGACGACUACUACUACUACCCCGAGGGUGCCUACUACUACAUGGAGCCCGCCGACGACCAGGAGUAGUUAGGAGGUCCCAGGCAGGAGGCCUUGCCUCUUCGAUCGUUGAUGUUUGUGCUAGCCUUCUUAAGGUAAAACUUGUCUAACUUAUGUCUGUACUCAAAUAUUGUUGCUUCCACUGACUCGCUUGUGUAUCGAGCUUUUGUAUUCGAGCCCUCGAGGCUCCUGGCUUGUAAUAUGAAGCUUGUAUGUCUUUCUUUUGUGUUUAGAGUUGUGUUGUGAUAUCUUCCCGUGAGUCCCUGAUCUUGACCGUACACGUUCGCGUGUAUGAUUAGUGUAUGAUUGAAUCGGGGGCGUCACAACCGCUUAGGGAUCUACAAGGGUAUGCAGAUGCUCUCCCCCUCUUGUAGAUAUGCAUCUCUAUGGAUAGAUCUUGCGUAUGCGUAGAUUUUUUUUGUUUUCCUUGCAAUGUUCCCCAACAUUCUCAUGACCACCCAAAAUUUUACAAUCCUCAAUGACAACAUCAGAUUGUUGUUCUUCAACACUAGAACAGCUAAUACCUCUAUAUUCUCUGCGGUGGUCUUUCUAAAAAAAAUUAUCCAUAACACCCUUUGCGAUCCAAUGAAUUUAUCUAUAAGUUACUUUUUUUUUCUUUUCUCACAAUCAGAUAAAUGAUUUUUUUUGAAACAUGGUUACAAAAUAAAUGGAGAGAAAACACCUGAAUUCUUGAAUCUUGGUCUUGGUCUCUUGGAUUAAAUUAGAAUAAAUCCCAUGUUGCUCCAGCUAUCCACUAAUCCAAAUUCAAGCAACGCCACAACAGCAAAAUCUAUCUGACUGUAAUGUCGUACAACAAGGAAUCAAGCAAGUCAAACAUCCUUACAUCAAUUGAUAAUUACAGAAAAUAGACAAGGGGGAAAGUUGAGAACUUGAGAUGCAAACAAUUACAAGGAACUGCUUGCCUCGGACGGUCGGAUCUUGACCACGGCCCUAACAAUGGAUGGCAAGGCUGCGGGCUGCAGCUCUCCAUGUUCCUUCCAGGGCACAUGGAAUGUCUCCGCUAGCCGGCUCGCCUAUGUGGCUCUAUUCGCCGGGGCCCUUGUGGGUAUUUCUAAGAUGCCUAUGUGGCACUGGAGUAUUAUGAUACUAAGCGAUAUUUCAUUGAUUAGCUUGUAUAUUUGGGGUCUUGGCCUCUUAGGAACUUGGGGCAAUAAUUGGAUUUGGGGAAGAGGAAGAUGAUGAGAACGGGAGGGAGACGAUGAGUUGGCAGCGUGUUCCUCGGAGAGAGUUAAGGAAAGGAUUCAGGGAUUGGGGAUUUCCUAUUUAGCGCUGCAGGUGCCCGUUAACCAAAACUUCCUGCUUAACAGCACACAGAGGUAACCAUUCCGCCACAGUAACUUGAUGCUCACAGUUCCAUCAUUUGUUUACCUUAUCAUCUUUUUCUUUCACUUUUUCUAUUUUUUCUUUUUCAUUUUUCUGUUUAAUUUUUUUCCUUCUUCCUCGUUCGAUGAUCUUUCUCAAAUACAUCCACAUUUUUCUACAAUUGAUGAACUUUUUCCUAAUUUAGCAAACUUUUUUCAAAUUUGACUUUUGUUUUCUCAAAUUCGGUGAAAUUUUUCCAAAUCCGAUGAACUAAUUUUGAUGAACUUUUUUUAACAUUGACGAAUUUUUUAUUGAAAUUUGUGAACUUUUUUGAAAAUCGAUGAACUAUUUUCUCAAACUCGAUGAACUUUUUUGAAAACCGAUGAAUUUUUUUUGAAAAAUAAUGAAAUUUUUAAACUGUUUCAUAAAGUUUUUUCCAAAAUCGUUGAACUUUUUAAAGUUUGUGAACUUUUCUUGAAAAAUGAUGAACUAUUUCUCAAAAUCGAUGAACUUUUUUUAAGUUUGUGAACUUUUGUCUCAAAAUAAUUGAACGUUUUUAAAUUCACGAUUUUAUAGAAGUAAAAGAAAAAACUAAAUGAUAAAUAAAUAGCGCGCCCAUACUAGUUCAUAUACAGUUUAGCGCUAGUAAAUCACAAGUGAGCAAUUGCCCUAGUGGUCAGCUAAGAUUGAACAAGGUCGAGCGAUGCGAGUACGAUCCCUGAGGGGAAAUAUCUGGUGCACCCAAGCUUGUGGUGCUACCGGUGCACCAAACUCGCAUUAUGCUUUUAAAAUGUUCAAAAAAUUCUAAAAAAAAAGUUAGCACACUCACACAACAUCAAUGUAGGUUGUCACAAAAUUUCAAGUCAAAAUUCGAAACAUAACUCGAAAAACAAAAAUGAUAAAUUCAACACUAAAUAGUACAUAACAUAUCGUGGGCUUUAGAUUUGGCUCAUUAUCAAACUGAUGUCAAAUUUGUCAUUUUUGUAUCUCAGAAAAUAUUUCGAAUUUGUAUGCGAAAUUUUGUGACAUCAUACAUUGAUGUCGCAUUAACGUGCUAGAAUUUUUUCAGAUUUUUCAAAAUAUUCUAUAGCAUCCGGUGUACCGGUAGCACCACAAGUGCGGGUGCACCGGAUACAUUCCCCGAUCCCUGAAGUAGCCACCCAUUUUGCGGUUUUUUUUGCGAUUUCUAGUCGCUACCUUUCCCAUCGUGGGCCGGCCCAAGAAGGCGCUGCAGCGGGCGCCAGGAACUGUUCGGGCGCAUAAGGCGCCGAACAGGAGCUCCCCAGGGAUUGUUUGACCGAAAUCACUAAUUAAGGAGUACUCCUUGCGGAGAUCACUCCAAUUUCCCCAGGUUGCAACAAGUGGCGCGCUGCAUGUGCGCCACUUGUCGCAACCUGGGAGUUUUUCCUUUUUUCGUAGAACCGUUUAUUCAAAAUGUUUUAUCUCUUAAACCGUGCGUCCAAAUCUCGAACCGCUUUCGCCAUUGGAUUCCUCGCGUUGAGAUCUUCAAAACUAGAUCCCAUGUUGAUAGGUUUUGACGGACUUUUUUUUUCACGAAAAAACCAAAAGAAAAAACCGAACCGGAAACAUGGGUUUUUUUCCGUUUCCGAAAGAGGCACGCCCGUGCCUCUGACGAAAGCACAACCGUGCCUCUGGCGGAAGCAAAACCUUGCCUCUCGCGAAAGAAAAAAAAACAAAAAACGCGUUUUUUUCCUUUUUCGAAAGAGGCACGCCCGUGCCUCUCGCGAAAGCACAACCGUGCCUCUGGCGGAAGCAAAACCGUGCCUCUCGCGAAAGAAAAAAAACAGAAAAUGCAUUUUUCCCCUUUCCGAAAGAGGCACGCCCGCGCCUCUCNNNNNNNNNNNNNNNNNNNNNNNNNNNNNNNNNNNNNNNNNNNNNNNNNNNNNNNNNNNNNNNNNNNNNNNNNNNNNNNNNNNNNNNNNNNNNNNNNNNNNNNNNNNNNNNNNNNNNNNNNNNNNNNNNNNNNNNNNNNNNNNNNNNNNNNNNNNNNNNNNNNNNNNNNNNNNNNNNNNNNNNNNNNNNNNNNNNNNNNNNNNNNNNNNNNNNNNNNNNNNNNNNNNNNNNNNNNNNNNNNNNNNNNNNNNNNNNNNNNNNNNNNNNNNNNNNNNNNNNNNNNNNNNNNNNNNNNNNNNNNNNNNNNNNNNNNNNNNNNNNNNNNNNNNNNNNNNNNNNNNNNNNNNNNNNNNNNNNNNNNNNNNNNNNNNNNNNNNNNNNNNNNNNNNNNNNNNNNNNNNNNNNNNNNNNNNNNNNNNNNNNNNNNNNNNNNNNNNNNNNNNNNUUUUUCCCUUUCCGAAAGAGGCACGCCCGUGCCUCUCGCGAAAGCACAACCGUGCCUCUGGCUGAAGCAAAACCGUGCCUCUCGCGAAAAACAAUGCAUUUUUUGCGCAAAAAAAUAUUUUUUUGAAAAAAAAAUUUGGUCGAGAAGCUAGGGAAGACCGGUAGAAAACCAAAACGUCAAAAAAAACCAGAAGAAAAAAACUUUCAAAAAGCCGAAAACGCGUGCGUAAAAAUAAAAAAAAAUCCGGAGGGAGCGCCCAGAGCGUGACACGUGGCGAAUGGCUGUGAGCACGCCAAGUGGCGCUGAUCCUUGCGAGGCUCCCGAAGGAGCGCUCGUUAAUUAGUUGGUCCCUUGUUUGACUUGUUCGUGCGUGACUACUCGCGCCUUUAUGGGUUGGGCUGCUUCUUAUGCGUACUAUUUUUUUUCUUCAAAAAUAUAUACAGUAGACAUGCACAGGUUAUGGGCCCCUACUCGGGCUGGGCGCCUAGGCCGUCGCACUCGCUGCCAUGGCCCAGUGUCGGCCCUACAUAUAGUUAAUGUAUAUUUUAUACUUCAAGAUAUGAUGCAUCGGUUACCCUUUUAUACCUACUGCCUCCGUUUCUAAUAAAAGUAUUUUUAAAGAUUUCAAUACAAACUAUAUACGAAUAUAUAUGGAUAUAUUUUAGAAUGUAGAUUCACUCAUUUUGCGAUGUAUGUAGUCCCUUACUAGAACGGAGGGAGUAGGACAAAACACAUUAAAUGUGAUACAGGUCAUUGUAGAACUUGUAGCUAAGUGUGUAUUUAAUGUGCCAUAUAUAUAUAUAUAUAUAUAUAUAUAUACUUCUGGACAAAAUUUUAAAGAUUCCAAUGUUGACUACAUAUGGAUCAAAAUGAGUGAACCCACACUCUAAAAUAUGUCUAUAUACAUCCGUAUGUAGUUUUUAUUGAAAACUUCAAAAACUUUUAUUUACGAACGGAGGGAGUAGCACAAAACACAUUAAAUGCGAUAUAAGCCAUUGGAGUCUAGAAGUCUAUAUAUGGCACAUCAUUUCACGCCAUUCCAUAUCCCUUUGACACUUUUUAAAGGCUUGAUUGACCCUUUGGCUCUUGUUGGAGCGCGUAAUUCAAGAAUGGAUGGAAGGUCUGCCGCCGCUUGUUUUUUGGUGAUGCUUGUGUUGUUCGGAAGCACUACAUCUGCAGGUCUGUUCUCUCCCUUUUUUUAACUAGAUUUCCUAGGGCAUAUGCUAUUUCAAACGAAGAGCCUUGAGAAAUCUUCAUAAGAUUUCAAAAUCAUACUACCAAGAGUUUUCUCUAAUAUGAUCUUGAUCAAUGCAUAUUCUGUGUAUUUCCUUGAGGCUUUUCACAACUUAUCACUUUUAUGCAAUGAUGUAAAGAUCUUGUUAUUACAAUCCAUCUCCCACUCUUAUGGUUUAACUUUUAUUAUGUUUGUGUAUGCAGAGAAAUGUUUGACUUCUUCGUUUUAUCGGCUGGUGUUUUGUACCAAGGGUAUUUGCAAGUCUGUAUGCGUGGGUUGGUUCGGUUACCCUGGGCAGAAGAUCCGCGAACUUUGGUGCAGUAAUUUUUUCUUUGGCACGUGCACCUGCAAGGUUUGCGUUGAUGGAUAGAGCUUAAUGGAUAUGCUAAGUGCACUUCAUGUUAUCAAUAAAUAAUCCAUCACAUCGUGUCCUUAAAUGACGUAUGUUAUGCAUGUGAGUUUUUUUUUUUGAGACAAUGUUAUGCAUGUGAGUGUAUGCUUGGGAAACAACAUGGGGGACAUAAUGUAUUCGAGAAACAUGGGGGACAUAAUAAUAUUUGACCUCAUGGGCCUGAAAAUUCAAACCUGAGCCCAGUCUCAGGUGCAACUGAUAUCACACCGUCCACACACGUUGUGAUGUGCUCCUUCAGUUUGUAUUUGCAGCUAUAUUCAGAAG
rnacentral:lncRNA from 1 species